rnacentral:lncRNA from 1 species
UCAAUUUCAGAUGCUGAGAAGAGAAGACUCCAUACAAAUAUUUCUCAUUCUUUGUUUAUCAUCUCUCCCCAAAACUACAAUUGUGCAUCUCCGAUCAGAAAGUUCAACCGGGGAUUCUGGUAGUUGCUUAUUAUUGCAUCUUUGUACGUCAGUAGAUCAUUGAUUAGCAUACCUCCUCCGAAUAGUCUACCUGGUCUACUGGCUUGUAGGACUGUUAAUUUUUGUGAUCCAAUAAUGCCAGACAGCUUAAUCCUUGCAGUGACAUUCUCGUAAGGGGUAUGCGACAUGUCUAGGAUAUUCAUCUUGGCGAGUAAAUCAAUAAGAUGGCAUGCUCAGGUUGGUCUUUCAGUUUCCAGUCACAAAUUUCGAACAGUGAGCAGUUGCUGGAGCGAUCCCUUUGCAUUAGAAAAUCGAAGAAAUGGCCUUUCGGUGGCAGCUGCUAUUUGCACGGCUUCUUUGGUUUUGAGUCCCUCAUUCAAAGUGAGGAGACAAUUUAACCUCUUAGUAAAAUCGACUAAAGCAGUGGAACCCCCAACUUUAAAACCUUUCGUCUCUGAUUAUUAUUAACAUUUGCCCCUAACCAAAUGUUGUUGAUUUGAGAAACUGCAAAGCCUAACAAAUUGUGGACUCAAGAUUCAGCGUUGGAGAGGACAUGGAAAAUUCUGAGCCUGAGUAAUCCUAGCCGGGUAGAACAAUUACUUCGGCAGGUCAAUGGUGUGGUCCACCUCUAUUUUUAAGAAACUCCAUAUCAACAAAAUUCUAACGUAAUCAUCUGCAGUUCGCAUUGUUCCUUGUUGAUACGAUAUUUCAAGGCGCAAUUCAUAAGUAUUGUUGCCGUGAGUCUAUCCCUGCAUAUGCUUUUUUAUUUUUCCCUGGCUUGAAGGGGUCUUUAUGAAACUAAUGUCUAAUUGAAGUAAUUCAAAUAAGUCCUGAAUAUAUCAAGGCAUCGGAGCACCAGGUGACCGGCUUAAAAACGAGGCAUUGAGAAAUGGAGAGACCACUUUUUUACUGACGAAUUGAUCUUUUAUAAUUGGGAAAGGUAGUCCAUUUCUCUUAACUGGUCAACAUAAGUACUGUAGAUAUCAUUGGUGGUCAAUGCACUAGAAGAAAUUGAAUCGAAGGGAGUCACUUGGCCACUUAUCACUAUUUAUAUCAACCGUGGAAAGUAUGUCAACUAAAGCUGAAACCUUAAGCCCAUUAACAAACUUAGUAAAGUCCAAUAUCACACAAUGCUUACCUCGUUAUGAGCGGAUUAGAUAAAGUAAUUUUGGCCCAAACAUAAACUAUAUAUUAAUUGUUCUAUAAGACCGUCAACUUUUUGAUGUCAAACUUUACAAUUGCCUUCGUGUAUUACUUUAGAUUGGGGGAGCAAAAGCAGGAUAGGCCAAAAUAGAAAAACAAUUUAUUUGGAUGAUGCCUUACAUGAGGAAUUUUCGGAGGAGGAUGAACAAUAUAUUCAUAUUGCUCAGAGCAAAUAAUAGCUUGACUGACUUAAAAUAAUUAGUCAAUGAAAAAUAUUGUUGUUACAAUUUAUAUUCAGAUAUUUUCAUGUAUGAUAAAAAUAUAUUUCGUUCAUUCAUUUUUAUAAGUAAUUAUUUUAGGAAAAUAUUUUUCAUAUAAUUCAUUUUCUAUGAAAUAAACAGAGUCUAAUAUAUGAAUUGAUGCCCUGUAUAUCUGUAAUUUUUUUAGGACAUCAUAUAUGAUGAAAAGGGCUGUUGGAUUGGGAGUUUUAGCAAUUCAAGUCAAGCUUUGUUGAUAAUGACGUGACGUUUGCUUUUCUUUAAGACAAAAUCCUUUGGUGUAUGCUUAUAUAAAUUUUCUCAGUUUUCGCCGGACAGAGUUCCAUAAUGAAAGCAUAAAUAAAUCAAUUGAGGAUGCAUUUUUGUGAAGCUGAGCAAAGAAUUUUGUGAGAUAAUAUGAUAAUGAAGAGCCAAAGAGCAGAAGUCCAAGGCGCUUUAUUUGGCAUUUUGCCUUUUUGAAUAUUAAGCCGCCUAAAAUGUAUUAUUUUGUAAUAAGAUCAUUUUUAACUGAAUCAAGUUCAUCGCCUUUCUUUUUCUUUUAAAAAAUAACAAACCUAAAACGAAUUCUGAACCUGUGUAUAGAAAUAAACAGUUGAAAAACAUAUCUGUGUAUUUUGGCUUGAUUGUGUAGACUCAUUUUACCAUUUAUAUAGGAGAUGAGAAUAAUCACAUCACAGGAUUAAUGCAAGGGCUGUGGAUCUUUCUCCUAGGUAAAUAUUUGCAACCUUUCUAAUUUAUAGUUUUUUUACGAUAAAAGCCUACGUUUAUUUCUGCAAACGACGGGAGACCAAAUGGCAAUUGAGUUCGAUUGGGCUUUGUGUGGAGCUAACAUGCCAAAUAAAAUCAUCUCUUUUGUGAAUUUGACCGCUUAAAUCAUCUUAUUAUAUAAUUUCUCAAUAGUUGACUUCUAGCGCUGCUCGACGCAUGCUCCCUAGUGGCCUCAACAACGGGCCUAUUAUUCCCAUUGGCCCUAAGGAGUCAUCAUUUCUCCAUUUAGAAGUAAAAUAGGCUUACGAACAAAUUUAAUUGAUGCAAAUAGAAUAAUAAACUGAUGGCCUUUCGUUUUCACAUCCAGUAGUCUUCCUCUGCGCGAGCUCGCACGUUGCCUUCUAGGGAUAAUCAUUAUCCCGGGGAGUUUGGGCGUGUAGAAGGAGCAAAAUGCUAUAAGCAUCCGAUGUAUAGGGGCUUACUUCAUCUUAGCUAUUAGAUUAUGUGAGUGGUCAUAUUAUUUAAUGUGCUGAAUUUUAUCUAGGGAGGCAUUAGGAUAAGCGUCAAUAUUAGGAUCCCUUGAUUCAUGCAAUGAUUGAAUUUCAUAAUUAAAUUAAAUGCAAGUUUGUGGUCAAAAAAAUUAAAUACGAUUCAGUGGAUUCGUUUGCCUCUUCCUUCUCCCUUCUUGUUUCCCAAUUUGAGGUGCAUGUAUGAGAAGCCAAUUUUUUAUGUGAAGUUAAUCGUUAAUACUGAUAAAAUAUUUCAAAUAUGUCUGUUUUGCAUUUAUACAAUCCCAUAAUGUUAGAUCUCAAAUUCCAUGCCCACUUUGAAUGUGACAAAAUAACAUAUUCAGGACAUGAUGACAUUAUUAAUACGUUAAAUGUGGUGUCAACUUCUCCAGGAAGAAAAUAUAAGAUAAAUUACUCCUUAUUCCUUAACUAUAGAGAAUCUCAUGUUAAAAAAAAAAAAAAAAACUAUAGAGAAUCUCCGGUAAAUCUGUUCACCUGCCGUGUGCGCAUGGUGCGGUUACCCUCCUAAAUGACCCAACUGCCCUCACUUUUUUGACGAAUUUCCUUUUUAAAAAAAUCCGGACUCUGAAAANNNNNNNNNNNNNNNNNNNNNNNNNNNNNNNNNNNNNNNNNNNNNNNNNNNNNNNNNNNNNNNNNNNNNNNNNNNNNNNNNNNNNNNNNNNNNNNNNNNNCCGUGCCGUCACCCCUCGUCGUCGAGCCGCCCCCGGCCAUCGCCUGUGCCGAUCCUUGACCUCAAAUUCGGAGUCCAUCUCUGCAUCGUCCUCACAGAAUGAAGAGAAAGAGGGAGGGAGAAGAGACGGCGACAGGCAGCUGGGACAGGCAGAAGCCGUGAUGGCGGAUUAGGGAGGGGUUACGAGUUGUUCCUGAGUUUGGGACUUUUGCUUACGCUAGGCCGAAGGUGCUGGUGAAGGAUAUGUCUGUUGAAAUUUUGGAUUUUUUUUUUCUUUUGGAGUAUUAGAGUACUUGUGGUGAUUGGUGGGAUGAUGCUUGCAGGCUGCAGCAAUGUAAGCUGGGAUGGUGAUUGGAGGGAUCGCUGGCUUUCUCUAAUUCGUAUUUUUGCUGGCAAAGGUUUCCUGACUUCAUUGUUGCUACUUUGGGAUUUGUUAUUAUCGACAUCCCUAUAGAUGUUUGUGUAUAAUUUCUCAUCGACUGAUUCUUUUGUAUCGUUAUAUCUGCUAUUGAAUUCGCUGUUGAGUUACAUUUCGUUGUUCAUUUUCUUCGUGUGAUCACAAACAAAGACCCAGAUUUAAACGCAUUGUCGAAUACCAUAGACACUAUCCCUCCUGUCUGCCCUUGUGCUAGCACUAGACCUUGUUUUUUUCUCUUCUUUUUCUUUGGUUUUUUCAGUAUAGUAUGACCAACGCAGUGUUGAAAUGUUGCGCAAUGGUUAACAUGGAGGUGGGCAUACGUGAGGUUCGUUGUCUCAUGCAGCUCAUACUUCUGACUACGUGAACAAGAUUUUGGGUGAAUUUCCAUUUAUUUCCACAAGUUGAUAGGGAAGUCGUGGUUAUUUGCUUUUUAACAAUAAGCUGUGGAUUUUGGUAAUUUAGUUGAUUGGUGCCCAAUUGAUUGACGACCUUGUGUUGAAAUUGCGAGGCUUUGAAUAUUGAAACGAUUGCAGUUACUUACCUCUGAGCAAAUUAGAUCAAGAUGUUCACAUGUAAUUAGAAUGAGAAAGAGACUCUCCUUCUAAAAUGCUUGCUUGGCCCAUUUAUGGAAAUGAAGAAUGUCGAUGCACAUCACUAAAUAGUAAGCCUUGUUUAUGCCCUCCACGUCAGGAAAUUUUCUCAUUUAAAGGUACCUGGAACAUGCUGAUUACAUGUUGCAUCUUGCAUGUUAUAUAACCUUAUAAAUCUUCCUUAUACUUUAUCACUUAAAAUGGUUNNNNNNNNNNNNNNNNNNNNNNNNNNNNNNNNNNNNNNNNNNNNNNNNNNNNNNNNNNNNNNNNNNNNNNNNNNNNNNNNNNNNNNNNNNNNNNNNNNNNAUUAUUUCUCAUGUCGUACAUUAGAGGCUUUCAAUUGCUUAUCUUAAAAUGAGUAGGAAUUAUCUGCAUUUAGGUUCUAUUUAGAAAGGAAUCACUUCAGCAGAUCUUUCUCGUCCUUUGAGAAAGUGCAAGAGUAUAGGAAGAGAUAUUGUUUUGCAUGUUAUUCAAGUUCAGAGCCUGGUUAAUGGUAUUGCGAAAACUGACAAAAGAAAGGUGGAGAUGUAUCUAAUUCUGGAGUUCUUUCCAUUUUUUUCUUUUUUCUUUUUUUCUUUUAAACUGUUUCACAUUGGUUGUUCUUUUAUUGGCUGAACCCUUAAUGAAGCUCAGAGCUGGUAUUAUUGUCUUGUGUAUAGAACAAAAUAAACAAUUCAUUUGUUUCAUGUGUCCCUUCAUUUAAAUAUGAGAAUGCUUUCUUGCUGAUUGAAUAUACUUCCGAAAGCAAUAGUUAUUAGAGCAAACUUCUUAGUAGUUUUGUUUACAUGAGAGUGAAUCUAACAAACUUGGGGUAAGAAGUUAGUCUUAAAAAUUGUUAACCGCGUGUGAAGUCUAAAAAGCCAUCCUUUUCCUUAAUGCAAGAUUUUAAGGCUCUCUUAUUUCUAUCUCUUGACUAAGAAAAAGGCUAAGAUUCGGAUUGGGAUUUAAUUCCAUGGUCACCACAUCUUAUCUGCAUCUUUUCCAGCAUAUCCAUGUCCAAAGGAGAUCUAGUCUGAGGGCAACACAUUGGUGGGUGAUCUGAGGAUUCUCAUUGACUUUGCCAUAGCUAGUAUCUGUUUGUAUGCACCCUUCUUCUUGUUUUUGUUUUCUUUUUGUAUGUUGGCUAUUUAGAAACCCUCCCAGGGCAAUCACACAUGUCGAAAACUUGUGAUGCCGAAUAGUUCCAUAUGGNNNNNNNNNNNNNNNNNNNNNNNNNNNNNNNNNNNNNNNNNNNNNNNNNNNNNNNNNNNNNNNNNNNNNNNNNNNNNNNNNNNNNNNNNNNNNNNNNNNNNNNNNNNNNNNNNNNNNNNNNNNNNNNNNNNNNNNNNNNNNNNNNNNNNNNNNNNNNNNNNNNNNNNNNNNNNNNNNNNNNNNNNNNNNNNNNNNNNNNNNNNNNNNNNNNNNNNNNNNNNNNNNNNNNNNNNNNNNNNNNNNNNNNNNNNNNNNNNNNNNNAACUAUGAGUGGACAAGAACCUGUGAGAUUUGUCCUGCACAAUUAGUCCUUAGCAUCAACUAUGGUUUGCCAGGCACUCGGCCCCUCUGCCAAGACCCAUCUCUCUCUCUCUCUCUCUCUCUCUCUCUCUCUCUCACACGCGCACGCACGCAAACACGGACAAACACAAGUACUACUAUGUGCUGCCUCCAUCUUUCUUUGCACUGUGGUUUACUCCAUUAAAUAGGCUAUGACUGUGCUGACAGUACCUAAACAAAGGUGUGGUAUUUCUCUCUAUACGAAAAUCCAGGAUUUGAAUUGGUCAAUGAUUUCAAAUUGGGGCACCUUGAUGCAACAAUUAGUUCACCACUCCAUUCCACCACAAUGUUAUGCUCUUGUCUCCUCUCUUAUUUAUUUGAUAUGUAUACCUGCAUAAUGACUGAAGCAAACUGGCUUAUUUGCUAUAGCAAAGUGACCUGUGAUUGAGGAUGCCAUUAUAUGCGUGCACAAUGAGCUUGAGUUUCUAUUACAGUAAGAUUGAAUCAUGGCCUCAGAACUGGAAUUUAAGUUUGAAAUUCAAGCUGAACGCUUUUCGGUGCAUGUAUUUUAACUGAGGAUACUUAAUGGGUAUCUGUCAGACUCAUACUGCUGACGUUGAGGCUUUUCACAAAGUAAACUUGAUGUCGCGUAAGCAGAUCAUAUUUUUUUAAAUCCGGAGUUCUUUCUCAUUAUAUCCGCCGGAGUUCUUUGUAUUGUCUUAGAAUCCACCAAUUUUUUCCUUUGCAAUUUCUGUUUUUCAUCUGGAAUCCUCGACAAUCUAUCAGUCAUCUCUUAUUUAUGAUGUCAGCUAAAAUUUUCUCAUAAUCUUGUUGUGCUAAAAAGUAUUUUCUUAAAUAAAUAUUCUUGCUCCUCGAUGUUCUCUUAGCCGAUCAUAUUACCCCUUUCUAUCUUUACAAAGCAAAUGGAGGAUAGGCUAGUUUAAUUCUUCCAUACUAGGAACUAAUUUUGGUAUGGUUGACAUGAUGUGAAAUAUCCAAUUGUCAUUUCUCCUUUGCAAAUGCACUUCUGGAAGCAAUAUUCCUAAUAAUAUAGGUUAGUGCUUUGAAGAGCCCAUGCUGAUCUCAAUAAUUGGUUUUAGAUUUGAACGCCUGAAUAUCACCAGUAAUAUUUAGCUAGUUGCUUUGGUGUCUGAAGGUCCAAUUAGAAACCGACAUGGGAUGGGAUUACUGUAUUGGGCUUAAGACCUAAGACUAUCAGAACUUAUAUGGUGCAAAAGAUAAUAGGCACCAAGCUGACUGGUUUUCAUGACUCUUUUUUUUUUUAUACAGGCACUCCUUGCUGAUUUUGAAGUCUCUGAAGGCAUAUAUUCUCGAGCUCGCAUUGAAGAUACUGAUUCAGUCUGUCUAUGGCUGGGAGCAAAUGUUAUGUUGGAGUAUUCAUGUGAAGAGGUUGUACUCGAGUUUAAGCAAUGUCCCUUUCUCUCCAAUAAUGAUGUCAAGUAUCUUAUUUAUUGCAAAAAUUUAUGCUGCAGGCCACAACCCGUCUACAAAAGNNNNNNNNNNNNNNNNNNNNNNNNNNNNNNNNNNNNNNNNNNNNNNNNNNNNNNNNNNNNNNNNNNNNNNNNNNNNNNNNNNNNNNNNNNNNNNNNNNNNGUAAUGUUGGAUCCAUCAAUGUUUCGGCAUUUCACCUUGACUCUGUAUGUUAGUAAGAACCAAUUUAAAUUUGAAUUCGGGGGAGAAACAUGGGCCUGCCUGGGGUCCACUGAGGAAUACGCGUCAGCAGGAGUGUUUUUGGAUCAAGUGACUUAUUGCUGUAAUUUGGUUGGUCUCUUGUUGUCAGAUCUUGAAGAUUUCCAUUAUAUUAGAGCAAUGUAGGUACCGUCUGGGUAGAAAGUCCGUGCCAAGACAAUUUGUAUAUAUAUAUCACUAAAAUCAACUUUUUGCAACUUUUGAGUUUUUAAUGUAAGUACAUUACUAAGUCAAAUUUUCAAUUCGAGCCAAUACAGUAGUGCCAAGCCCUGAGUUCAACUCCUCUUAGAUAUUCGAUGUUGGAAACUCCCCUCAAAUCAUGGACUACUAAAAGUUUGGCUUGAGCUUCACCAAACUAGAAUCAAGAUAUUCAAGAUCAAGUUGACUUGAAACAAUCAAAUGAAAGAAUGGGCUUGAGCUCAAGCCCAUUAACUUCAAAUAUUAUACUCUACAUUUAUGUGAAUUAAGUAUACUACAAUUUGCAAAUGUCUUCCCCUCUAUUAUCGUGAUUAUCAAUUAUUUUCUGAACAAAAUAAUAGAAAUUGGAUUGGAAUUGUGAUUCUCUCAAGUUUGAUCUCGACUCGAUGAAAUUCUUGGUGUAACUCCAAUCUAAGCUCGACUCAAAACCAGACUAGUUGAUCUCAAUUAAUUAUUAAGUCAAGCUUCAAUUAGUCUAAGCUCGACUCGAAACUAGACCAAUCGAUUUCGACUAAUUAUUAAGUUGAGCUUGAAUUAGUCCUAAGUCGGACUCAACUUCAACCCUACUGCUAGGCUCGCAAGGUCCAAUACAUGUAUGAGGACUUUCAUGGGCCAAAUAGUAUUUCCGACGUUGAACUCGUCAUUAUGUAAUGCAAGCCCUUCCUUGGUAGGAGGGUCUCGCACAUCUCCCCGAAGUGUUAUGACCUCCGAAUGAACGCGAAUUUUUAGAGAAGUUGAUGGGAAAAAGUAUAUAUGAUCACAAUUCAAUGGAGGCAAUUAAAAGUCACAAUGGGACAAUUUUUUUUUUCCAUGUAGAAAGAAUGUAUAUUUAUUAUGUACACUAAUUAUUCCUCUAAUCAUGAAUAUACCAAGAUGAUGGAAUGCAAAAGGUCAUUAGUGAAUUUGGGGAAAUUUGCAGUCUAUUAAUGUUACAUCAUGCAUCACAAUCAAUCUAUGACUCUUGAAAGCAAAAGGUGACUUGGAGCCAAAUUCACAUUUCACAACUUUUUCAUGGCACAAGAUAAAAGAUUAGUAAGUGGAAUAAAGGCAAGUAUCAAUUGAUCAAGCAAAUUAGUGCGAAUAUGGAUUGAAUAUUAGAAGAUCUACUUUGUUGGGCUUAGCAAAAGCAAAAUGAAACUUCGGCUCCGGCUGAGGAAAAGCUAAUCCUCAUGAUUUUUUGUGGUUGAAUUCCUUCUGAAUUUAAUGAGCAAAACAAAAACAAUUGCGCGUGGUUUUAUAGUAAAAGUUCCACUGUGAAAGUAAGCAAUAAUUUUGCUACAAUGAUCUCAGGGUGAACAAUAUCUUGUCUGCCAGUAGUGGAAACCUGAUAGCAUAGUGUAAAUAAGCAAUAAUUUUUUAUAGUGAUUGGAUGGUGAACAGUAUUAUUGCACAUGUUGCUACAGUUUCUGGUGGCUAUCUUCUCUUGGUGAUUUUGUUCUUCUUCUAACAAGCCGACCCCACGGUAGUAAUCUUCUUUUGUAUCUCUGCUACGGUGUGAUUGGUAGGAGCUAGCUUUUCACAGUUGGUGGGCUCUUUAAUUUUGGAAAUGAUUUUCUCCUUUACUGAAACAUAUUCAUUUGGUGAUUGCGCAACAGCAAGGUAGGGCUACUGCAAGAGAUUUUUGUUGCAAGAAUGAUGCAUUUAAUGAUCCGUCUAAUGUCGUUUGUGAUCUUGUGGUGAUUUGGGCGUAACGGUUGUUUAACCAAUUAUGGACUGAUUCUUUAGAAGUUUGCAUCAUCAAAGAGUGCAUAUAGCAAAGUUUAUCCCUACUCCCGCAAUUCAUGCAUUCUUACCAUAAAAGCCUACAUUUAUUUCUCGAGUUACACACAUUUCCUUGAUGAGUGAUGACCAAGCCUCACCUGGCCACGGCAAAAAGUUGAUGGAGAAAUCUAUAUUGUAAAUAACUAAAUUCACCCAAUUUUCACUAAAAAGACAAAAUUGCUUCAAAUCAUUCAAUCGCAAUUUAAUUGAUAGCCCCAAAUUCAUAAAAUAAAUAAAUAAAUAAAUAGUUUUUCUAUUUCAAUGUAGGAUUUCGUUACCAUAAUUAAGAAUUUCACAUGUCUAGUUUUUCUUUAUAAUAGGUAUUUCAAUAUAUUUAAAACACCAUUUCUUUUUUCACUGUUAGAUUUGUCUUCCAUAAACUUUAGGAAAUUUCCAAGAAACCUAGUAUGUCAAGCAAAUUUAAGGAUGAAUCUAGAAAAAAUUAUUAUAUAAAUAAUUUUUUGACACAAACACUUGUUUACAAAUUUCAAUUUUGUUGUGCAUAUCACUAUCAAACUCCUUCUUUUAUCAUUUGACCAAAUAAAAUUCCCUCUUAUCAGUUCUCUUCUAUACAUACAUACAUACAUACAUACAUACAUACAUACAUACAUACAUACAUGCAUGCGUGGAAAUUUAUCUAAUCUUCUAUACAUACAUACAUACAUACACACACACAUAUAUAUAAUGGGAUGAUCGGAUAAAUCAAGAAGGACUAGCAAAGAUUUUGAACUUAUUUCAAAAUAAAGAUUCAAAAUGUUAGAUCAAAAUCUUGAAUUUAUCUGACAAAUUUAGAUAGAUUAUCAAAAGGGCCUUUAAAUUUUUGUUAUCAAUCAAGAAGGACCAACAAGUAUUUUAAUAGUGCAUUACAUUUCAAUACAAUACUUAUCACAUAUAAAAUUAUUGUUCAAUCUGAUCAAGGAUAAAUCCAUCAUGCCACUUAGUGUGACAUUGGAAUAAAUAUAAGGAGAUCUGCUUUUUGGGCUUAGCGAAAGUAGAAUGGAAUUCUAGCUCCAACUGACAAAAGCUAAUCCUUUUGAAUUGAAUGAGCAAAACAAAAGCAAUUGUGUGUGAUUGUACAGUAAAAGUUCUAUAGUGAAAGUAAGUAAUAAUUUUACUGCAAUAAUUUGAUGGUGAAUAGUAUCUUGUCUGCUAGUACCAGAGGCCCGCUGGCAUAGUGAAAGUAAGCAACAAUUCUAUUGUAGUGAUUGGACGGUGACCAGUAUUAUUGCACAUGCUGCUACAAUUUCUAGCGGGUAUCUUCCCUUGGUGAUUUUGUUCUUCUUCUAAUAGGUGGAUCCCAUUCCAGUCAUCUUCUUUUGCAUCUCCGUUACGAUGUGAUUGGUGGGAGCCAGCUUUUCACUGUUGGUGGACCCCUUAAUUUUAGAAAUGAUUUUCUUCAUUACUGUAACAUAUUCAUGCGAUAAUUGUGCAGCAGCAAUGUGGCUUGCUGCAAGAGAUUUUUGUUGCAAGAAUGAUGCAUUUGAUUAUCUGGCUAUUGUUGUUUGUGAUCUUGUGGUGAUUUGGGCAUUUCAGUUGUUUAACCAAUUCCUGAGUAAUUCUUCGGAAGUUUGUAUCUUCAAAGUUUAUUUCCCCUCCCGCAAUUUAUGCAUUCUUACCAUAAAGGCCUACAUUUAUUUAUUUCCCGGGUUACACACAUUUUCUUGAUGAGUCAUGAUGAUCAAGCCUCUCCUGGCUUACGGCAAAAAGUUGAUGGAGAAAUCCAUUUCAUGUAUAACUAAAUUCACCCAAUUUUCACUAAAAAGAUCAAAGUGCACAAAAUCAUUCAAUUGCAAUUUAAUUGGUAGCCCCAAAUUCAUUGACUUUUUAAAAAAAAAUUCUAUUUUAAUGUAGGAUUCAAUUACCAUAAUUAAAAAUUUCACAUGUCUAUUUUAAAAAAAUAAAUUAUUGUAGGUAUUUCAAAUAAAUUGAAAACACCAUUUCUUUUUCUCUGUUAGAUUUUUCUUCCAUAAAACAUAGUUUUGUUGCAAAAAGAAAUUUCUAAGAAUCCUAGUUCUUUUCAAUGUUGUCAAGCAAAUCUAAGGAUAAAUUGUCAGGUAGAAUCUAAAAAAAAAAUUUAUCAUAUAGAUUUUUUUAACACAAUCACUUGUUUACAAAUUUCCACUUUUGUUGUGCAUAUCACCAUCAAACACCUUAUCGUUUGACCAAAGAAAAUUCCUUCUUAUGGGUUCUCUUCCACCACACAUAAUUAGAUGAUCAGAUAAAGAAACCCUCUUUAGGGUUUGAAGAUUUUCCAAAAUAAGAUAACAAUUACAUUUUCCAAUGGAAAACUUUAAAGAUGAAAUUUAAUUAAAUUAAAAAUUUCACAAAAUAUAAUUUUUUUUUAAAGAUGUUGAUGACAUCUCAUUAUUUUGAAUUGACAAAAAUUAAUAUCAUUGACCAAGUAUGUAUGAAAAAAUAUCUUGAUGCUUCAUUAUGCACAACCGUUUUAGUAUAUUCCUAGAUAUUCCACAAUGCCUAACAUCUAUGUAAAAGCAUCUCGCUGAUAGUAAGGGUAAAAGGUAAGUUCUUUAAAGAGACUUGGUAUAUAUUUUAGACUAAUGAAAUUAAAAAAAAUAAAUAAUUCACCAAGAAAGUGAGCUUUUGAAAUAAGAGGGAGAAAGAAUAAAUUAGUUUUUAUUAGGGCAAUGAUGAGAAGAGACUUUCAAGGUUUUGACUAUAUCAAAUAAUUUGUGUUUUUUUUUUCUUACUAGUGGCCUUUAUAAGGAGCAUGUAAUACAUUAUAGUAAUAUUUUAAGGAUACACUAAAAAAAAAUUCUUUAGUACACUAAGAAGAAUAAAACGCGUGGAAUGUGUAAUUAUGGUAACUAGAAAACGUAGGAAAAGAAAUAAUGUGAUUGUCACUCUAAAUUGCAAUUGAAUGAUUGAAGGCAGUUUAGUCUUUUUAGUGUAAAUGUGGUGGAUUCGAUCUAGCGCUAUCCAGAAUUUAAUGGGGAAAUUAAAGUUACAAUGAGAUAAUACUUUCUUUUCCAUAUAGAAAGAAUGUUAGCUCUUAUGCACACUGUUUAUUCCUUCAUCAUGAAUAUACCAAGAUGGUAAAGUGCAGAGGUCAUCAGUGGAUUUAGAAAAAUUCCGUGUGAUUUCACCAACAAUUGGCUUUUAACGGUGUAUCACACGUUAUGGUGGAUCUACGACUCUCGAGGGCGGAAAGCGACUCUGUGCUGAUUUGACAUUCACAAUUUUGCAAUGACAAGAAAAAGGGUAGUCAAUGGAACAAAGGCAACAUUGAUCAUUUGGCUUAGCAAAAGCAUAAUGGAAGCUUGGCUCCGACCGAGAAAAGCUAACCCUUUUUAAGUUAUGGAGUAGAACAAAAGCAAUUACAAUAUGCCUUUUUCUAGACUAGAAAUCGAGGACGAGAUUUGUCACCAAAAACAAAACGGACAAAAGGAUUAAAGGGCAUCCAUCAUGCUUCCUCAGAGGUCACGCCAAAUCGUCUGUUUAUGGAGCCAGACCACUUCAUCAUCUUAUGUUAUUAAUAUUCUAUAUAUGUCUAGAAGGAUAAAAGCAUUAAGACAAGCGGCUAGAUUGGGAUCCCAUGAUUUGUGCAACGAUUGAAAUGCAUAAUUUAAAUUAAGAUACAAAUAUGUGAUAACAAAAAUCAGAUGCAAUUCUAAAUGAUUUGUGAGCGUAUUCCCUCACUUUUUGUUUCUCAAAUUUAGGCGCCUGUAUGAGUAGCUUAAUUUUUACGUGAAAUUAAUCGUCAAUUUUGAUAAAACAUUUUAAAUUUCGGUGUGCUCGUAUGUGAAGUGAGUCUCUAUACAAUCGCAUAAUAUUGGAUUUCAAACUUGGUGCCCACCUUAAAAAGGACAUAAUAACAUGUAGGACAUGAUCACAUUUUGUGUAUGUGCCUGUGUGAAUAAUCUGCGGAAAUAGAGAGUAAAUCUAGACCGCAUUCAAUGGAACUAGAGAAAGGUUCAACGCCUUCGAUUCAUUAGAGACGCCAUCAUCGAUUAUUAGCAAAAAGUAGUUGAUUUAACCAUGUUUAACCAUGAUUAAGUUAAAAUUUUGGGCUUGGCACUUAUAAGAAAGAAAAUUUUGCUCACAAAAAUUGAAAAAAUGAAGUAAAACCCUUUGGUCGUUACUUGGAUGUUUCUACGAUCUUUCCAAAAAGCAUUCUAGGAGGGCCUGCAAUUGUUAAAUCACAAAAUAAUGGAUCUCCACUAUGAAAACAAAGCUUUUUCAAGAUUUUACAAAUUGCUACGGUUUGCAUUAUUACGUGUAUCGAUCCAUCGACUAAUCAUAAAAUGGAAAUAGUUGCACGGAUCAUGGUUUGCAGACCAAAUGUGAUCACAUCCAUUGAUGUUUAGGUGAUCCAUGUAUAAUUUAUGUGAUAAUGAUUUUUUGAUGGACCCGAUAUAUGUGGAUCAGAGUACUGGCAAGUCUUAACCCAAUGAAGUCUAUAUGAGUUGGGAGAGAGAGUGAACUCCCUUAAGAAACAAAGAUGAACUUAAGUUCUCUUUGCUUAAAAUAAAUGCGAGUCUAUCCUCAAGUCUUUGUCAUACCCUCUUGUGAAAUCACUCUUGUGAACGCAAAAGCAAAAGCACUUAAGUAUGUUUGUCUGGUCAAUUCUUUGUCAGAUCCUCUUGUGUAAGCAAAAGCACUGAAGUAUGUCUGUCUAGUUAAUUCGUUUGCACAUAGCCAAAUUCCACAGGCUUGUUUGUUCGUGUGUUCACACACGCACAACGUGUUUUGCAAUUUGAGGACCAGGACCUGGAAAAUACCAAGAAACUCAGGUUGAUAUCAUCAAAAAGCAUAAAGACCCUCAUUCAAGAUUAAAAAUGUUUCGAAAAUCUCAACUUUGUUGAUCUCCUUGUGGAGGAGGAAUUGUAUUUUCUUCACAAUUUCCACAAAAGAAUCAGCUAAAGUCUCCCGCUUAGCUCCCUUUUAGCUUGACAAAAGGGAUCUAUUUUGUACACGUAUUUUGCAAAGUGAAACUCAAAUUGCAUAAAAGAUUAACAUUAGCAUGGACCUAAAAUUAAAGAAUAUAGAAAACUUUAACCAAUAUCUUUCAAUUUUAUGAACCAUUAGGUGAAAUCGAAGUACAUAGACUUUGAAGAAGGUCAGCCAACUAAAAUUGCCCAAUCUGUUAUGUAGAGUUAAACUGAAGCUAAGAGACCGGUCACUCCUAUAUUGUUCAUGAGACACAUCUCUAUAGCUCUGUACUUAUGACGUGACAUGACGCUUGGCAUUGUGUUGCCAUGUAGCUCAAUGACCUUACAAAUUAUUUACAUAUCAUCCUGUGCAAUGUGUUAUUUUCCAGUGCUAUUUAUAGAUAAAGUCAACAUUUAACAUCUUCAAAUACGAAAAAAAAAGAUUUUAUCUAGAGGUAGGCUUAGGCAAAACAAUUAAUUUAAACUUAGCCGAAAUAAUUGAAUUAAACAACAAAUAGUAUAGAAAUGUGUCUUAUAAAUAAGUAGUACAUAUUGCAGUAAUUGUCUUCUUCCACGGAGCAUCGACAUUUUUUCUUCGAAAAACUCGAAAAAUAAUGUUACCCAUAUUUUACCUAAAUUUGACCGAAUUUGGUCAAGCAUAACUUUUUCGUAUAAGGUACAAUUGAAUCGAUUUUUCCCCCAUGGAAAGCUGGUGACUUCAAUUUAGCUAAAACGCGGUUGACCUCAGAUUGCGGAUUUUGGGCGGUCAGGCCAGUUUGAACUUGGCAAAAAGUUCUGAUGUUUUUGUCAUAAAAAUUCCGAUCUUUGUGAUUUUGAUGGUGUUGGAAAUCAUAAAGUUUCCGACACCUCAAGAUCGUACAGCCGUGCUUAGAAAAACUUGAUAUAUUGAGAUCUGGCUGUCCGAAUUGGGCAGAUUGGGUAUCUUUAGAAAGCUUUUGACAAGCACACCUGAUUACAACCUUCGACUGAACUUUUAAUGAAGUUUGACUCUCGGUCAACUUUGCUAUGGCACUGAAAGGUCGCUUGAGUCUUUAGGGACCUUUCGAAUGUGUUCAAUGAUGACAAGUGAUUAUUUGUCGAGCAAUCCAGCUUUGCCAUUUCUGUUCCUUAUUCGAUGGAGUUAGCCAACAAAUAGGGUGACCCUUUUUUCGGUCCAUUCGUUAUUGCCGAAAUAAAAUUUUCUGGAGUUCUACAAAGACAUUCGACUUGUUCUUUUAAUCUGUACUGUGUUGGAUCCAAAAUUGAAUAUGAACGAGUUCGGAGUUCUGCUUCCGAUAUAUUAUGAAAACUUUGGCCUAGAUGAAUUGUGAGAUAUAGAACAAAUCUUGGUGAUGGUGAGGACUUAGCUACAUAAUCUAUGGAUCAAUGCAAUCACAUCCAUUGAUUUUUGUAAUUUAUAUAGCUAAUGGAUUUGAUAGACCCAAUUUAUGGGGACUUGAGAACUAGCAAGUCUAAUCUAGUGAAGCCCAUUUGAGUUAGGAGAGAAGAUGAACUUCCUUAAGAAACAAAUUUUUUUUUUUUGAUCAACUAAGAAACAAAAUUGAACCUGCCAUUUUUCUUUGCUUAUAUUGUACAGAAGUCAAUCUUGAAGUCUUUGUCCGACCCUCUAGUGUGAAGGCAAAAGAUAAAGCACAGAAGUAUGUUUUGUCUAGUUAAUUCGCUCGUUAUGCACUGGUCUACGCAUUGCCAAAUUGCACGGCAAAUAGGCUCGUAAUUCGUGUGUUCACACGAGUACACACAAAGAUGUCAAUACUUACAAGUUCCGUUUGGAGAUUGGCAACCGACUUGGAAGAUCGGCAAAGAGCAUUUUGAAAUUUUAGGCCCUGAAAAAUACCGGGAAACUGCGGUUGAUAUUAUCAAAAAAUCAUAAAAGUCAAACUUUCGAGAAUAAAAUGUUUGAAGAAUCUCAACUUUAUUGGAAUUAUUGUGAAGGAGGGACCACAUUUUCUUGGAAAUUUCCAUAAGAGAUCAACGUCCAAUUAAGCGAUAUGAGUCCAAUGCUAAAUCAACCAAAAACAAAUGAUAGAGACGAAUCAAAUCCUGACAGAAUCAACAUUUGAUUUAAAUAUCAGCGUGCAAUUUUAUUUGGUGUACAAUUUCAAUCCGCGAGCAAUUUUAUUUUGUUACCGUCCAAUCUAACAUCGAAGUGCAAUCAUAACUUGUAAUAAUGGUCAAUAUUCAGGUUCAUGUAACUUUAUUGCUAAAGUGACUAAUUACGAGUAUGAAUGGCUUUUUGGGUUUUUUUAUUUACGAAGGAAGGCUGCAGGUGGCUUCCAGGCAAACGACACGUAGUACCAAAGCAAUGGCAAGUGAAACUCAUUUUCAGUUGUCCAGCUACAUCCAACAUUCAACCAUUCAUUAACACACAACUUAUACUUCCGAGACCACCCCCUCCUCUUCGACCACUUCUAUCAAUUAUUUACUCAACUUAGCCUGAAUGCUUUUGUUUGCUUAUAGAGGAAAGCCGCAGGUGAUUUCCCAGGAAACGCAGUGGAAGUGAGCGAUUUCACUCCUUUGCUUCGUCAAGUUGUUGCAAGGAUCAGGCUCAAACUUCCCGAGUUACCGGGCGGACUCAAUUCAGGGAUCAAUCACUCCAUCGUCCUCUCAGAAUGAAGAGAAAGCGGGAGGGAGAAGGGGCGGCUCUGACAGCUUCAGCAAGUAGUAGCUGUGAUGAUGGAUCAAGGAAGGUUUAUGAGGUGUUCUUGAACUUCAGAGGACCUGACACCCGCUUAACCAUCGUUGAUUGUCUUUACAAUGACUUGAUCUGUGCGGGGAUCCGCGCUUUUAAAGACGAUGAAGAGCUCCGAUUUGGCAAAAAGAUUGAAGGCGGCCUCUUGCAAGCAAUCAAUGACUCCAGAAUUUACAUCCCGAUUUUCUCCAAAGAUUAUGCUUCAAGUAAGUGGUGCCUCCGUGAGCUGGCACUCAUAGUGGAGUUAUCGAGAGAUAAUGAUGAGAAAGUGAUCCUCCCUAUCUUCUACGAUGUGGAUGUGGACGAUGUCAAGCUUAAGACCAAUUUAUAUAAAGGAUGCCUCCCAAAAGCACAAGAAUGACUCUGGGGAAGAUUUAACAAAGCAGUGGGAGGAGGCUUUAAGAGAUGUUACCAGAAUUAGUGGAAAGAAACUAAAAGAUUACGGGUAUGGUUUGCUUCUCCAUUGACUUUAUUUUCUUAUUCACAAUUUCAAUUUCUUAUUCCUUCAUAGAAUAGUUAGAUUCAGUUUGCUGCUGUCCAAACUUAUGUAAUGUUUGGUUGGAUUUGACGCAAUGAUCUGUCAUUUUUUAAACCAAGUUUGCUCAGAGGGCAAGGUUUCUUGCACAAAUUGACUUUUCAUUUUUAAAACCAACUUUUGAUAACAAUUAAUGUUAAGGUGUAUCAACUUGAUUAAUUAAUAUAUAACGGAAAAAAAAAAAAAACCAAGAUAUCCAUAAACAUCUAAGAUGUGUUAAUAUAGUAUGACUAUAUAUGUGUGAAAAAUAAAAAUAUUUAAGUUUCUUAACUUCAAUUGCAUUUUGUACAUAAAGUUAAAGACCUGUUACAAUUUUCUUGACCUUAUGCCUAUGAUGUUUGCCUGAAAAAUUAGAUCGAGUUUAGUAUUAUAUCUUCUUUCCUUUUGUUAUACUAAUGAAAGCUGAGGAAGAAUUGGCCCAAAAUAGGAGAGCUCAGUAAGGAGCUUCUUUAUGCGUCCGAGCUAAUAAUGGUUAUAGUUAGUUCAUACUUGUUAGUGUAUGAUGUACCCGAGGGAGACGAAAAAAUGCGCAGGAAACAUAGAGGAAGUCUUUGGGAUACUUUUCUAAAACUUAACAGCGAAGAGGAAGAAAUGAUAGAGCUGACCCCCUUUGGGAUUGACCCAGUGACUCUGGGAAGGAUAUGGCAAAGUAGUGGGAGGAGGCUUUAAGAGAGUUUGAUAGAAUAAAGGACGGAAUCUAAAAGAUUACGGUAUUAUUAGCUUCUUCCAUUAAGUUUAUUUCCAUUUCAUCAAUUUCGAGAUUAUAUUUUAUGAUACUUUUUCCAAAAUAAGAACUUUCAGUUUGGCGCUGUCCAAUCUUAUGUGAUGUAUGGUUGGAUCAGCCGGAGUGAGGGAGGCAGGAAUUUUGCUCUGCGAGCAAGGUUUCUUGCACAAAUUGACUUUUCACUUUUUAUCCCAAGUUUUGGCAACAAAUAGUCUCAAGCUAUAUCAACUUAAUUAAUUAAUUAAUCAAUAAUGCAAAAAAAAUAUUUUUAUGAAAAUCUAAGAGUUGAUGAAAUAGUAACAUAUGUGUGAAAAGUAAAAAUUUAAAUCUCUUAACUUCGCAGCUCACUUUUCAGCUAGCAAAAUGCUUUUAAAAAACUUUGGUCGUUUCUCUUGCUUUGACCAAUUCACGGCCCCAAAUUGGGUACCACAGGGUGCGGAUUUCCUCAGCCUCGUGACCAUCCUAGUUUUAAAGUUGUCAAGUUUUAUAUGAAGCUACCAACCUUAAUUUGUGUCUUACCAACUACUUUUCGAUUAUUUUACAAACUAAUUUAAGGUGACCGGUGUUUAUUUGAGUCAUUUACUAAAUUUAUUUGAUAGUUUGCCGAUUUACAAAUUUUAUAAAACCUGCCCUCUCUUAUUUGAAUUGUUUACUUCACAUUUCAAGAUUACCAAUACUUGAAGCAAAUUACUAACUCAAAUAUGAGUUUCCUACUAGCUAACCUCUGAUUAAGUUAGUGACUAAUUUAAGUCACCCAUUCCUAUGUGAGCCACUUAUCAAUGUUUAUUUAUUUGUUGAAAAUUCCCGCCUUUCGUAACAAACUUUUGUUAUCAACGGACCCGCUUUGAUUAGCAUAGUUCACAAAUAUUCUGAGGUUAGGAACUCGAUUAUCAAAAUACCAAGCAUAGUUUGAGUUACCAACUUAUUCUGAUUAAAUUACCAACAAAUUUAAUGCCACUGAUGAAAUUGCUAAGUUAAACCAGUUGGUAGCUUAUUCGGAAAAAUGAUUGUUGGCAACUCAAAUGAAGGCUAAUAAAUACUCUGAAAGUGUUCCUCAUUUUCGGUUGGUACCCUAUUACUCGGGUAUAUUAAGAAAAACGCUUUUGAGCUUUUAUUCUUGUUUCCUAAAUUCCAGGUAACUGCAUGGUGAGAAAAUCUUUUUCUUUUAUGUCAAUCUUCAAACUCAUCCUUAGUGGCUGAAGAGAUAAAAAAGACCGGAUUCACCGAGGAAUUCCGGUCAAAGCCCAAUUAGACCUUCGUCAUGAAAUAAGCUUUUUCCUACCAUUUACUGGACCAAAGAAUCCUGACAGUAGCAGGUUUCAUUUUUCUUUCUUUUUUUUUUUCCCUUUUUGGGCAAACGGCUCGCAGCAUGAAUGAUCACUCAUUUCAUGCUGGUUGCUUUCAAAGUCAAUUACUUUGAAUUUGAUGAUAACCUUCUAGUGACACGUUAUGCAGGCAUAGAUUCCAUAUGUGAUUUUUUUUUUAUCUGCGAUGAUUGCAUGUUAUGUAUGUGGCAGCCUAUCUGAACUUACAAAACUCAUGGUGCAAGAGGUUUCAAAUUUGCUAUGGACAAGACGGACGGACAUGUCUAAUCAUUUGGUGGGAAUUAAGGAUCGAAUGGAUCACAUCAUGAAGCUAUUAGAUGUAGGAGCUUUUGAUGUACGGUUUAUUGUGAUUCAUGGUAUGGGUGGCAUCGGAAAAACGACACUAGCCGAGGCCGUCUUUAGGCAAAUCUACCCUCAAUUUCGGGAUUAUUGCUGUUUUCUUAAAGAUGUUCGAACUCAUGAUAUAAUAGACUUACAAAAGAAAUUGUUGUUCGAUAUUCUCAAUCUUAGUUACACAAACUCCUUCAUUGAUGAGGUGAUCAAGACAAGGUUUCUUGGCAAGAAAGUUCUCAUUGUUCUUGACGACAUCAACAAUCGAGACCAAAUCAUGAGACUUGCUGGUGAGCCCAACUGGUUUGGUGGGGGUAGUAGAAUCAUCAUAACAACUAGGAAUAUUGAAUACCUAGUAAAGGAAGGUGAGGAUGACAAUGUCCUAACCUCUAUUAGUAGACAAUUUUCAUUCUACAACAUGCCGGAGAUGAAUUUGCAUGAUGCUCUUCAACUUUUCUGUGAGCGUGCCUUGGGAUGUGCCGAGCCUCCACCUGGUUAUGUGGAUAUCACAAAAGAGCUAAUCAAUACACUUGGAGGACUUCCAUUGGCUCUCGAUGUUGUAGGUUCGACGCUCCGUGGAAAAUGCCGAAGAACAUGGGAAGAUGCCCUAUGUAAGUUAAAGAUGGUGAUGAAUGAGGAUGUCAAAAAGAAGUUGAUGAUAAGCUACGAAGCAUUGGAACCUAAUCAACAACAAAUUUAUCUUGAUAUCGCAUGUUUCUUCAUCAACGAAGAGAGAACAACUGUAGUUAAAUAUUGGGACUCGAUUUUUGGUUAUCCGACUGAAAUCGAGGUCAAUAUCCUCAAACGUAUGUCUCUAAUAAAAAUAUCCUACAAUAAUAAACUAUGGAUGCACGACCAACUUAGAGACCUUGGAAGGAGUAUCAUCCAUCCAGAAAGUGGCAAAAUCCAUAUGAAGGGUAGCAGAUUGUGGUCUCCCAAAGAUGCCUUCCGUGUAGUGCAGACAGAAAUGGUAAUCUUUACCUCUAAAUGUUUUCCAGUGCAUCCAUUAGCAUCACCACCUUUUUAUCUAAUUUCAAGUCAAAGUGACAUAUGUACUCAUUGAUUUCUACUUUUGUUUUCUAGGGAACCAAAGACAUAGUGGCACUCAAUCUUGGUACACCUAGCUUGAAUAAGACGUACAGAUUUAAGCGCAAGCAAUUUAUGGGCUUGGUCAACCUUAGGUUCCUUCAAUUGGACCAUGGAAAUUUUGAAGGAGACUUUAAGAAUGUUUUCUUCGAGUUGAGAUGGCUCUCUUGGAGCAAUUGCCCUUCAAAAUUCCGAGCUACCAAUUUUGGGUUGAAGUACCUAACCAUUCUCAUGCUAUCUGGGAAUAACGUUACUGAAGAUUGGGGAGGAUGGUGUCAAAUCAUGGUAUGAUCUCACAACAUACUUUUGCAUUACAUUUACUCUUUUACUCUUCCUCUUUUCUGAGUUUCAAACAAUUACUUUAUAGUUGGCAGAACAAUUGAAAAUCCUACAGCUCAAGGACUGUCCAUUCCUUAGAAAGAUGCCCAAGUUCUCCACAUUCUCACAGCUGGAGAAAUUGAUUCUUAGAUGCGUUGGACUAAGAAAGAUUGACAAGUCCAUCAGCAAUCUACAACAUCUUGAUUACCUAGAGAUAAAGAGUGAAGCUAUUGAGUCGCCACUAGAGUCCAUCGGCGGUCUAAAAUCUUUGACAGUGCUAAGAAUAGAACAAACACCCUCAAUGAAGUCUCUAAUCUUGCCAUGCAAGGAACUUCAAAAGCUUCCCGACUCUAUCGGACAAUUGGAGUCACUGCUUGAGCUAGAUGGCCAAUAUUUAAAAAUUAGUGAACCACCUCAUUCUAUUGGAAAUCUUGAAAGGUUGAAAGUUUUACGCGUUUGGAAUUCCUAUCUAGAAAAGCUACCAGACUCGAUUAGGAGGCUCCAAUCAUUGGUCAAGUUGGAUUUGAGCUAUUCAAGAAUCAGGAGUUUACCUGAUUGUAUUGGAAAUCUCAAAAAGUUGAAGGUACUAAAUCUCAAUGAUAGUUGCAUAAGUGAACUUCCGAAAACCAUAGGAAUGUUGGAAAAUCUAAAAGAGUUACAUGCCUGCUCUAAACAUCCGGUGGGGGAAAUUCCAAGUGAAAUCGGGGCACUAUCCUAAUUGAAAUAUCUACUCUUAGGCGACGGUUGCUUUAGUGGAUUGCCUACAACGAUCAAUCAACUUACAAAUCUCCAGCUACUUUAUUUACAGGACUGUAAUUCAAUCCAACAGCUGCCGGAGCUUCCCAAGAGUCUAACGUCUUUAACCCUUACAUCGGAUUCACUGACCAUGAUCCCCGACUGCUCAAACCUAACCAAUUUAGUUGACCUUAUGAUAAUUGGAUAUUCAAUUGAAGAACCCAACACAGAGGGGAUCGUGAGACUACCUGCUCUGAAACGAAUGGUCCUACGCGUUGGAAAAAUGGCCUUGCCUCCGACCAAUUUCAGUUCCCUCUCUCAACUACGAAGCCUCAGCAUAAAUUAUGCUAAGCACCAAUCCCUUAUCGGGCUCCCAUCCAGCCUUCCAUAUUUGUCGUUAUGCGAUGUCCUGUCACCGAUAGAUUAGUCAGUCUUUUCCAACUUGGAGAAUUUGUUGAUGCUGUAUAUUUAUGGAUAUUUGCUGAAAGAGAUUCGAUUCGAGGUGCUUGGAGAGCUACGGAAAUUCAAUAAAUUGAGGAUGUCCGACUGUCCAUUGCUCAAGACGCUGCCCGUUUUGCCUGGUCUGAAGGAGAUCCAGUGUUUGUUCCUGGUGUGAUUGCCUCUGCUAACUGAGAUUCAGGGUUUAGGAGAAUUGAAAUCAUUGCAGGAUUUGGAUAUUUCGGAAUGCAAUUCCAUCAAAAGCUUGAAUGAGUCUGAUCUUUCUAAUCUACGGAAUCUGAAAAGUUUGAGGUUUUGGCGAUGUGAAUCAUUGGAGAGGGUGCUGGGUGUGCCAAAAUCUUGUCGACUCAAGGUCGAUUGUUGCCCGAGGUUCAAUAGAGAUGGAUAAGAUAUGUAUCAUUUGAUUGACAAAGAUAGUAGAUGAUGGUAAGUCAAUAGAACUAGAGUUCGUUUUUUGUUGUCUUGUUUUGUGAGCUUUCCUUUAGCUAACCUUUCAUCUUGGUUCUAGAACCACCUCUUGCAUUCGUUCAUCCUGUUGUCUCUGAGGGAAAAUCCUCUUUCAUGUAGCAUGAACGUGUGAUACUUUGACUUGCCUACUUGACGAUGGUGAUACCUAGCUGGUUUACGUUGCGCACCAGCAUAAUGUUGGGAUUGACAUGCUUCACGGCACCUGUUUUGUUUAGAAAAUAUGGAUAAAGUGGAAGGGAACUUUUAGAUAGUAAGCACACUAAAGAUGCUGACAAAUGCUGGGUUUUGUUGUAAGGCUGAGGUGGUUGAGACUUGAGAGUACUGGUCUCAUCUUAUGGACUGUUUUUUUUUUUUAAAUUAGUAGAGAACAAUCAUGAUUUAUGAGGACUGAAAUAAAGGAAUUAUUGCUUGGUUAGCAGAAGAGUGAAUCGUUGAUACCUAUUAUGCAAUAUGAGUGAUUUAGUUAUUUCCUUCACGAAGAAUUGGAGGUGUUUUUCUGGUUACUUCUGAGCUGAAGUGGAGAAGCUUCAAGUCUUGAGUCACGGUGUGAUUUGUGAACUAUCUUUCUUCAUUCUAGUAUUUAGCCAUUUAUGCGUGAAAUUCGUGCUCCGAGACAAUUGAUAUUAGAGUAAAGUUGUCUCUAUGGUAAAACCACUAUUUCUUUCAAGACUAGGUUUAGCUGCAUCGAGUUGUGCAUUUUGCAAUUUCUGGUGUUAGGAAAGAGGACCUUCGUGUCAUUGAAGACUAGAUUUUGUUAAUUAUUUUAGCUGACUUAUUGCACCUUUCCUCAUCUCUCUCUUUUUUUGUGCUUAUAAUGUGGUUAUUGUUAACUUUUUAAAUAAACAUGUUUGAUCUAUGUGUCUAUCAUUUUUACAUUUGCUGAUAAAACGUUUUUGCGCAAGCUCCUUCGACACCAUGGUGAAAUGUUCUUUUACAUGGACAUCUAGGCUUUGGCAAGACAUAUUGUUGAUGCUACAACAACAACUUCUUCUCUUCAAUCCAUAUUAGUAAAAAGGCGAGCUGUGGAUAAGUGCAUCGGUACUUUGUAGCAAGCUGUAAGAGUCUUCUUUUCAACUAUACGAAUGUUUAUUGAGUUCCAUUAUGCAAUCUUCUAUUGAACUCUGUUAUUUCCAUACGUUUCACAAUUUUGUGCUUUCUUCUUUUGCUUUUGUCUGCACUUAAUAGAGGUCCCUUCAUCUAUGCCAGCAGUCAAAAUAGGAUAACUACUAGCAAAAAUGAGGAUCCUACCUUUACAGCCAAGAUGUUCUAAUUGUAUUAUUUUAAACAACAGCAAUGAGGAUUCUCCCAUAACCAAUGAAGAGCCAUGUUAAAAUGGUUCUUGAGUUUUCUCACGCAUGAAUGAGAGAAUCCUCUAUGAAGAUUUGAGAAAGAUUAAGAUGUAAGAUAUUUGAAGUUUUCCUCUACUAGAAAUUUGAAAUUUGUGAUCAAAUGUCUACUAGAUCAUCUGUUCUGCACAUUGACAGCAUUGAUUUUGUGAACAAACUAGAGAAUUUUUGAAUAUUUGAGAGUAAUGGCAAUUUUAAAAUUACAGGUCUAGAUAUAUUCUCAGAGGCAGCAUCUGUAGUACCUUGCUUCUCUUUUUUCAUGAAUUUGAUUCCAUUGUGCUGAAGAGGGGGCAUGAUAAUACGGGGUCACUGACCAUGCCAUCAAUCAGUUAGUUUCUUGCAUUCAAUGACACUUAUAAAGUGGUCGUGUGAAAUAUAGUUGAUGGCAUGACUCACUAAUAGUUUGUCAUUCAUUGGUGCAGUUUUUUUACUGAAUCGGAUGAUGUUGAAGGAGACUUUAAGCGCAAGCAAUUUAUGGGCUUGGUCAACCUUAGGUUCCUUCAAUUGGACCAUGGAAAUUUUGAAGGAGACUUUAAGAAUGUUUUCUUUAAUUUGAGAUGGCUCUCUUGGAGCAAUUGCCCUUCAAAAUUUCGAGCUAGCAACUUUGGGUUGAAGAACUUAACAAUUCUCAUGUUAUCUGGGAAUAACGUUACUAAAGAUUGGGGAAGAUGGUGUCAAAUCAUGGUAUGAUCUCAUUACAUCCUUUUGUAUUAUAUUUACUCUUCCUCUUUUUUGAGUGUCUACUCAAUUACUUUAUAGGUAGUAGAACAAUUGAAAAUCCUACAGCUCAAGGAUUGUCCAUUCCUUAGAAGGACGCCCAAGUUCUUUGCAAUCUCGCAAUUGGAGAAAUUGAUUCUUAGAUGCGGUCGACUAAGAAAGAUUGACAAGUCCAUUGGCAAUCUACAACAUCUUGAUUACCUAGAGAUAAAGAGUGAAGUUAUUGAGUCGCCACCGGAGUCCAUCGACGGUCUAAAAUCUUUGAUAGUGCUAAGAAUAUAACAAACACCCUCAAUGAAGCCUCACUCGAUUGGCAAUUUAGCAAAGGUGAAGUCUCUAAUCUUGCCAUGCAAGGAACUUCAAAAGCUUCCCGACUCUAUCGGACAAUUGGAGUCACUACUUAAGCUAGAUGUCCAAUAUUUAAAAAUUAGUGAAUUGCCUCAUUCUAUUGGAAAUCUUGAAAGGUUGAAAAUUUUACGCAUUUGGAAUUCCUAUCUAGAAAAUUUACUAGACUCGAUUAGGAGGCUCCAAUCAUUGGUCAAGUUGGAUUUGAGCGAUUCAAGAAUCGGGAGCUUACCUGAUUGUAUUGGAAAUCUCAAAAAGUUGAAGAUACUAAAUCUCAAUUAUAGUUGCAUAAGUGAACUUCCGAAAACCAUAGGAAUGUUGGAAAAUCUAGAAGAGUUAGAUGCCUACUCUGAACAUCUAGUGGGGGAAAUUCCAAGUGAAAUCGGGGCACUAUCCUCAUUGAAAUAUCUAUACUUAGGCAACGGUCGCUUUAGUGGAUUGCCCACAAUGAUCAAUCAACUUACAAAUCUCCAGCGACUUUAUUUAUAGGACCGUAAUUCAAUCCAACAGCUGCCAAAGCUUCCCAAGAGUCUAAUGUUUUUAACCCUUACAUCGGAUUCACUGACCACGAUCCCCGACUGCUCAAACCUAACCAAUUUAGUUGACCUUACGAUAAUUGGAUAUUCAAUUGAAGAACCCAACACAGAGGGGAUCGUGAGACUACCUGCUUUGAAACGAAUGGUCCUACGCGUUGGAAAAAUGGCCUUGCCUCCGACCAAUUUCAGUUCCCUCUCUCAACUACGAAGCCUCAGCAUAAAUUAUGUUGAGCCCCAAUCUCUUAUCGGGCUCCCAUCCAGCCUUCAAGAUUUGUGGUUAUGCGAUGUCCAGUCACCGAUAGAUUGGUCAGUCUUUUCCAACUUGGAGAAUUUGUCGACGCUGUCUAUUAAUGAAUAUUCGCUGAGAGAGAUUCGAUUCGAGGUGCUUGGAGAGCUACGGAAAUUCAAUGAAUUGUGGAUGUCCGACUGUCCAUUGCUCAAGACGCUGCCCGUUCUGCCUGGUUUGAAAGAGAUCUAGUGUUUGUCCCUGGAUCGAUUGCCUUAGCUAACAGAGAUUCAGGGUUUGGGAGAAUUGAAAUCAUUGCAGGAUUUGUGUAUUUGAAAAUGCAAUUCCAUCAAAAGCUUAAACGAGUCUGAUCUUUCUAAUCUACAAAAUCUGAAAAGUUUGAGGUUUUGGCGAUGUGAAUCAUUGGAGAGGGUGCUGGGUGUGCCAAAAUCUUGUCGACUCAAGGUCGAUUAUUGCCCGAGGUUCAAUAGAGAUGGAUAAGAUAUGUAUCAUUUGAUUGGCAAAGAUAGUCGAUGAUGGUAAGUCAAUAGAAUUAGAGUUCGUUUUUUGUUGUGUCAUGUUUUGUAAGUUUUCCUUCAGCUAACCUUUCGUCUUGGUUCUAGAACCACCUCUUGCAUUCGUUCAUCCUGUUGUCUUUGAGGAAAAAUCCUCUUUCAUGUGAACGUGUGAUACUUUGACUUGCCUACUUGACGAUGGUGAUACCUAGCUAUUUUACGUUGCACGCCAGCAUAACGUUGGGAUUGACAUGCUUCACGGCACCUGUUUUGUUUAGAAAAUAUGGAUAAAGUGGAAGGGAACUUUUAGAUAGUAAGCACACUAAAGAUGCUGACAAAUGCCGGGUUUUGUUGUAAGGCUGAGGUGGUUGAGACUUGAGAGUACUGGUCUCAUCUUAUGGAGUGUUUUUUUUAAAUUAGUAGAGAACAAUCAUGAUUUAUGAGGACUGAAAUAAAGGAAUUAUUGCUUGGUUAGCAGAAGAGUGAAUCGUUGAUACCUAUUAUGCAAUAUGAGUGAUUUAGUUAUUUCCUUCACGAAGAAUUGGAGGUGUUUUUUUGGUUACUUUUGAGCUGAAGUGGAGAAGCUUCAAGUCUUGAGUCACGGUGUGAUUUGUGAACUAUCUUUCUUCAUUCUAGUAUUUAGCCAUUUAUGCGUGAAAUUCGUGCUACGAGACAAUUGAUAUUGGAGCAAAGUUGUCUCUAUGGUAAAACCACUAUUUCUUUCAAGACUAGGUUUAGCUGCAUCGAGUUGUGCAUUUUGCAAUUUCUGGUGUUAGGAAAGAGGACCUUCGUGUCAUUGAAGACUAGAUUUUGUUAAUUUUUUUAGCUGACUCAUUGCACCUUUCCUCAUCUCUCUUUUUUUGUGCUUAUAAUGUGGUUACUGUUAACUUGUUAAAUAAACAUGUUUGAUCUAUGUGUCUAUCAUUUUUACAUUUGCUGAUAAAACGUUUUUGCGCAAGCUCCUCCAGGACCAUGGUGAAAUGUUCUUUUACAUGGACAUCUAGGCUUUGGCAAGACAUAUUGUUGGUGCUACAACAACGACUUGUUCUCUUGAAUCCAUAUUAGUAAAAGGGUGAGCUAUGGAUAAGUACAUUGGUACUUUUUAGCAACCUGUACAAGGUUUCUUUUCAACUAUGUGGAUGUUUAUUGAGUUUUAUUAUGCAAUCUUCUAAUGAACUUUGUUAUUUCCAUAUAUUUCACAAUUUUGUGCUCUCUUCUUUUGCUUUUGUAUGCAUUUAAUAGAGGUCCCUUCAUCUAUGCCAUCAGUUGAAAUAGGAUAACUAGCAGUAGCAAUGAGGAUCCUACCACUGCAGCCAAGAUGUUCUAAUUAUAUUAGUUUAAACAACAACAAUGAGGAUUCUCCCAUAACCAAUGAAGAGGCCAAGUUAAAAUGGUUCUUGAGUUUUCUCACACAUGAAUGACAGAAUCCUCUGUGAAGAUUAAAAGAAAGAUUAAGAUGUAAGAUAUUUGAAGUUUUUCUCUCCUAGAAAUUUGAAAUUUAUGAUCAAAUGUCUAUUGGAUCAUCUGUUCAACACAUUGGCAGCAUUGAUUUUGUGAACAAACUAGAGAAAUUUUGAAUAUUUGAGAGUAUUCGCAAUUUUAAAAUUAUAGGUUCAGAUAUAUUCUCGAAGGCAACGGCUAUAGCACCUUUACUCCUCUUUUUUCAUGAAUUUGAUUCCAUUGUGCUGAAGAGGGGGCAUGAUAAUACGGGGUCACUGACCAUGUCAUCAAUCAGUUAGUUCUUGCAUUCAAUGACACUUAUAAAGUGGUCGUGUGAAAUAUAGUUGAUGGCAUGACUCACUAAUAGUAUGUCAUUCAUUGGUGCAGUUUUUUUACUGAAUUGGAUGAUGUUGAAGUUUAAAGUGGUGUGUUUGUGUCAGUAGGGACAAGAUAAUAAUUUCGUCUUACAUAGUAACAAAAAGUACUCUCUUUACAUAGCAUACUAACUAUAAACUACUGUUGGAAAUUGCAUGGCCAUUAUGAAUGCUUUGCCAAAACAAUUUCUAUGAAGCAUUUAAUAUGGAGACUACGUAAUAACCUUCAAGGCAGACUAUUAAAUGCUAGACAUGACUUUUCCUUGAUUUAGAAUUGUUUAACUUUGGAUACACAGUAUUGGAUAAACUACAUAUGUAUCAAAGAAGGUAACAAACGACAGGAUUGCUCGAAUUACUUUUCAGUUGCUGAAGUAGCUUACAAGAAGUGUAUUAAAUUGGUCUUGAGCCUCUUUAACAGCAUCAAUGGAUGUUGAUCAUUUCAGUUUUGGGUGUGCCAAAAUCUUGAACUCAUCAUCAUUGACUGCCCGAAGCUCAAUAGAGAUGGAUAAGGUAUGUAUCAUUUGAUUAGCAAAGAUGGUCGAUGAUGGCAAGUCCAUAGAACUAGAGUUUGUUUUUUGCUGCGUCCUGUUUUGUGAGUUUUCUUUUAGCUAAGCUUUCAUCUUAGUUCUAGAACCACCACUUGCAUUCAUUCAUCCUCUUAUCUUUGAGCAAAAUUCCUUUUUUCGCAUGUCAUGAACAUGCGGUACUUUCACUUGCCUCCACGGUGGUGAUGCUUUGCUGGUUUAUGUUGUGCAUCAGCAUAAUGUUGGGGUUGACAUGCUUUGCAGAAUGUAACUUGCUUAGAUAGUAAGCACACUGAAGAUGCUAACAAACGCUAGGUUUUGUUGAAAGGCAGAGGCGGUUGAGAGUACUGGUCAUACCUUAUGUAGUGUUUUUUCAAUUUCACUACAGAACAAUCAUGAUUUGUGAGGAAUGAAAUAAAGGAAUUAAAGCCUCAUUAGCGAAAGAGUAAAUUGUUGAUACCUUUUAUGCUGUAUGAGUUAUUUAGUUACUUCCUUCAUGAAGAAUUGGAGGUGCUUUUGUAGUUACUUUUGAACUUACAUUUUGUUUGUCUGUCUGUUAUUCGUUCAUUCCCUCCCAUCUUAAAUUACCAAACACAGUUGAGGAAGAUGUUGAAAUUCGCCAAACAAGGCAUUUACAUUCUUGAAUUCUUAUUUGUUGUGCCGAUAACAUGUCUUUUUCUGAAUCCUUUGCUGUUUUGAGCUGGGUCCGGGAAUUUGAUGACUUCUACUCAUUGAUGAAUUCAAUGAGGCAAAUGCAAUAACCUGGGUUGCUCACUUUUUAAUCAUCUCUGUUUCCUGCAGUUUUAGAGAUUGAGCAAGGAUUAUCUGAUGUUGCACAAUCAAAGAUUAUUGUAAGCUUUACUCCACAUUUGAUGCCCAUGAUUAUAGUUGCAAUUUUCUAGUGUUCCCAUUCUUAAAGUUAAAAUUAUGCUUCCCUAGCGAUAGCUGUAAGCUUUCUUCAACUAUUUCUGCAGAGUCCUAAAAAUGCAAUAAACUAUUCAUGCUAAAAUGUCUUCAGGUGUAAUGGCUGGGGAUCUAUAUGAAGUUGCUAACUGGGCAAACUUUUUUCUAACUAAUAGUCCUAUUUUGCUUAGGCAUUCGAUGGCUUAAUGUGCUAAGUAUUAACCUUAGCUUUCGUUUACUGAAGUACUUAUUUUUAGUACUCAUGAUUAGCUUAAUCAAAGUACAUCAUUUAUUUCAUAGAUCUUGAUUAAGUCAAUCAAGUAGUAGACGUGUUUGGGAACUGAAACUUGAAAGAUCCGCAACUUCCUUUCAUAUUCUUGAGUGUGCUUCCCACAUACUUCAUGCUGUCUGAUCGCUUAAUUCACUUUAUCUUGCUGGACGAGGGAUUUGUUAUGCUGUUAAAAAAUGGAGUUGUUCCUCGUACUCAAAAUGUGCAAGGAUCUUAUUAUUUUUUUAUGAGUGUCUUUCUUGAUCAAGUAUCCGGACAAGCAAUACUUAUCUAUGUAGUCGGUUCCCAAGUGUCUGUUCUCCAUUAAGUGCUUUACUUUUCAUGUAACGUCAAAGUCAUCUCUUUAUGAUAAGCUGUCUAAACCUUCUUUUGCAGAUUGACAAUCAAGUGAAGGGAGCUGGUGGUCAUGUUCUGCAUAAUCUUCAAUAAGACGAUGGGUUUACCUGAGAUUGUGGGGCUUAACUACCUAUUAUUGUUUCCUUGAUGCAUUCUGCAUUCUUGUGAGUGAGGUAGAUUAUGCAUGAAUUUUGUUCAAGAAAGCUUGUAUAAUUGCAUUGGUUGUGUCCGAGCUAUAGCUAUUGUUUAUUAUUUAUGGUGACUCAUAACACCUUUCCUCAUCUUGCUCUCCUUCUCUCUCUAAAAUGUUGUCACGCCCCGACCCUCAGGCACGCACACAUCCCUUACUUUUGGUCGAUUUAAAAAUGCGAUAUCCCAGGACUAUGUAUCGCCGACCCUUUCUUUUAUAUAUGCACAUGCGGAAGCAGUUAUAAUUCCCCAGACAAUAAAGCAAUGGGAUAGAAAAGCAGGCCAUAUAUUUUUCUUACUGAAAAUUCACAACUACAUCUUUUUACAUGCGAACAAGGUCUGACAAGACAGGAUAGGAUUUCGAUCCUCAUCCGAGUCGUACUCGAUGUCAUACUCGGGGUCCUCCUCCACGUACUCCUCUUUGGGUUCCUCAACAGAGAUCUCCUCAUCAGAUUCAUGCUCCUCAAGCUCCUCAUCCAGGUCCUGAAAUGGUUAUUCAAUAACCACUGAGACCACGUCUCAGCAAGUUCUAGCUCCUAAGACCCAAUUAGUAAACUAAUAUACCUUAGGGUUGCCUACGCACAACAUGAGUCAGAGGACGUACCUUAGCCUCAGAUUCCACCUGCAUAUUAGUACAGUUCGAAUAGGCACACAAGCAAUCACAUCACAGAUCGAAGCAUCGAUCUAAUCGACUUAGUCGAUUUCACAUUAGGAAGACCACUCACGAUCAUCUCCCUUCAAUCAUUCAAUUCACAACAUCAAACCAAGGCAAUGAAUCGCAUCAAAUCACACUCAGAUCGAAUCAUCGAUCAAUCGACCUAGUCGAAUCAUUUCUAGGUCAUUCAUCCCACAUCAAGCAAUUCCUUGGAUUUAGUGGCUUUACGGUCCCACCCGACCCUCUCGAGAACUAGUGGCUUUACGGUCCCACCCGACCCUCUCAAGAACUAGUGGCUUUGCGGUCCCACCCGACCCUCUCGAGAACUAGUGGCUUUUCGGUCCCACCCGACCCUCUCAAGAACUAGUGGCUUUACGGUCCCACCCGACCCUCUCAAGAACUAGUGGCUUUACGGUCCCACCCGACCCUCUCGAGAACUAGUGGCUUUACGGUCCCACCCGACCCUCUCGAGAUGUCAUACUAUGUCACCGAGCCACGUGCAUUCUCCAGGAAGACAUACCGAGUCUCCGAGCCACGUGCAUUCUCUAAGGCUAUCUUUUCGCCAAGAUGACAUAUUAAAUCACCGAGCCACGUGUCUUUCCCAAGUGAUAUUCCAAUUCACUGGGCCACGUGCAUCCUCAAGGUGAUUUACCAACUCACUUUCGAUACUAACAACCGAUAUCCGACCAAUUCUCAAUCACAAGACCAAAAUUGCAUUAUUUAAUAACAUACUUAAAAAUGCACCAUUAAAUCAAUUCGACACAAAUUAAAGCUCAAAUAAAUAAACGGACUGCUCCACGACAAUCAGCACGAAAUUCCGGUCACUGGCCAUCCCAGUUGAAUUUCCGGAAAAUAAAUAAUUAAAUAAUUAAUUUCGAAAAUUAAAUAAAUAAAUACAAUAAAUUCAAUUUAACACAAUAUAAAGCUCAAUAAAUAACGNNNNNNNNNNNNNNNNNNNNNNNNNNNNNNNNNNNNNNNNNNNNNNNNNNNNNNNNNNNNNNNNNNNNNNNNNNNNNNNNNNNNNNNNNNNNNNNNNNNNCGAUCAUCAGCAUAAAAUCCCGUCACUGCCCAUCCCAGUGAUUUCCGGGAAAUAAAUAAUUAAUAAUAAUUUCGAAAAUUAAUAUUUAAUUCCUAAAAAUACCACAUAAGCCCGAUUUGCUUAAUUAACACCCGAUAAGGGACGGGAAAAAUCCCAAGAAGCAUCCAAUAAAUACUACAAGCAAUUCUCUAUCUAAUUACACUAAUCACACAACUAAUAUGCAAAGCAAUUAACUAAUAAUCACUAAUCAAAUCUAAUCUAACAACCUAAUUAUACUUAAUUAACACUAAUCAACCUUUAAGUAUAAUUAGCGCACUAAGAAGGCGUUAGUGAGUAAAACUCACUCAAAACGACGGGCUCGACGCGAGGGUCGACUUUCCUCAAAGCGGGCCAAGCAUCCGGGCUCGGGAAGGCGGCCAAAACGGGCCAAACAGUUGCUGCAAACCUAUUUUCUGCACUCACUGAUCGCUGCUGGUUGGAGGUGAAGGAGGGCGGAUUCGGGGCUGGUUGAGCUCGGGAAUGGGCGGAGGAGCUGAACAAGACCAAGGCGAGUCUUCACGGUGGCCGGAGGUGGUUGGAGGAAGCUCCGGCGGGUCUUGCACGAGCUGGACAGAGGCGGAACAGGGGUUGGACAGCAGCUCUGGAACAGCGAGCUGGGUGAGAGGGAGACCGAGCUGAGCGGAGCAGCGGCGGAGCGCACGGCGUCGCGCGGGCAGCGGUGCGGCAGCUCCGGUCCAACAACGCCAGCUGCUGCCCCAACUCCAGUGUCCUCCUAGAUCUGGAACCCCGAGCAGCGAACAGAGGGGAAGACAGAGGUGCCGACGGCGGCUGGAAUGGGUGAGGGAGAGGCGGAGAUGAACGACGGAGCAGCGGAGCGGGUGAUGCGCCGGCGAGGACGGCUUGAGGCAUGAGGCGGUGUGGAGUAACGACGGCAAGCUACUGUCUCUGUUUCUGCUUCGUUCGAACCAGAGGAGGGAGAGGGGGCGGAGAUGUGCAGACGGCAGCACGGCGUCAGGCUCGGGUGCGCGAGCAGCUCAGGUCCAGGUGGGCGUGCGACGACAACGGCGAGAGGUGAUGACUGCAGCUCAGUCUUCACUGGUCUUCAGCUCCCAUGGAGUUUUGAAGAAAAAGAAGAAGAUGGGGGAGGAGUUCGGUCGACGAAGGAGGAGAGAGGGGAGGAAGAAAAACUCAAUUUCCCUUUCUUUUCUCUCACUCUCUCUCUCUCUUAGGUCAGCCACACAUGGCCACCACCAGCUGUCUCCCACUCUUCAAUUUUUGACAAACAUGCCCCCUUCUAUAAGAUUUAGGUACGCUAAAGAGUUGGGUUUAUAGGCAUACUAAUUUUGCUAACGAUUCUUUUCUAAAUGGAACCUUAAUUCCUCUUGAAUUAAAUCAAAGUGAUCCCCGUUAAUAUAUGCAACACCUCAUCAUUGAAAUUGGUAUUUUCCAUACAAUAUAGCCCANNNNNNNNNNNNNNNNNNNNNNNNNNNNNNNNNNNNNNNNNNNNNNNNNNNNNNNNNNNNNNNNNNNNNNNNNNNNNNNNNNNNNNNNNNNNNNNNNNNNGUAUUUCUUCUUCGUGUCUAUCAUUUUUACAUUUGCUGAUGUAAAAUGUUUUUGUGCCAAGCUCCUAUAAGGAAUGGUCAAAUGUUCAUUUACAUGGAUGUCUGGGCUUUGGCAAGACACACAUUGUUGGUUCUGCAGCAGCAACUUGUUCUCUUCAAUCCAUAUAAGUGAAAGUGCUGAGACGUUCAAUAAGUACACUGGUACUUUUGAGCAAGCUGUAAGAGGCUUCUUUUCAACUUCACCAAUGUUGAUUGAAUUCCAUUGUGCAAUCUUGUAUUAAACUUUGAUAUUCCAGACAUUUCACAAUUUUGUGCUUUCUUUUGUUGCUUUUGUAUGCAUUUAACAGAGGUCCCGUCAUGUAUGCUAGCAGUGAAAAUUAGAUAAUUAGCAGCAACAAUAAGGAUGCUCCCGCUGCAACCAAGGUGUUCUAACUAAAUUAUUGUCAACAACAGCUCCCAUAACCAUUGAAGUGGCCAAAUUAAAAAGCCAAUUAUAACCGAUUCUCUUCUGAAGUCCGUUGCUUCGAAGGGAAGACUGUCAGUCUCAAAUGCCGAGAAAAGAAGACUCCGUAGAAAUUUGAAGUAGCGGCAAGGUAAAAUGUUUUUUUUUUUCAAUUAGAAUAAUUCAUACUUAUUAAACACGCUAAUUACUUCUACGAUCAUGAAUAUACCAAAACGAUCAAAUGUAGAGACCAUUAGUAGAUUUUAAAAAUUCCAUGGGUUUGUAAAAGCCAUUGGCUUUUAAUGGCACGUCACGCGUUACGUUUGACCAACGACUCUUAGGUGCGGAAGGCGGCGACCUUAUGCUGAUUUCACAUUUUCUAGUUUUGCUCUGACGAAAGAAAACGAGUGGAAAGUGGAGUAUAGGCAAAAAUCAAUUGAUCAUGGCUCAGCAAAGCAGAAUGGAAGUCUAGCCCCAAUCGAGAAAAGCUAAUCUUAGUGCAGAAUUUCUCAAGUUCUAUCCAUCACAAGGAGGUUAAUCAUUUUAGCAUGCAAAAUCUUAUUUUUUUAAGGAUACGUCACUAAUUAGUUAUUAGUAGGCUGAUUAAAAAAGUUGAUCCUUUUUAAUAUGAUGAGCAAAACAAAAGCAUUUAAUAUCCGGUAUUUCUAGCCUAAAGAUAAAGGAAGAGAUUUCUCAUUGAACAAACAAAAAGAUAAAAGGGGAUCCAUUAUGCUUUGGUCACACCGGAUGUUGGGCAAAUUCUAUGAGAUAUUGCAUUGAACUUUGAUCUAUAUGUAAAAGAACAUAGAGGAGUCGAAUGCUUUCUCUAGAAUUAUACAUGGAGAUUCUGGAUUCUCUGAAUAUAUAUAAAAGUCAUAAUGCAUGACAAAGUUUGAAAGUACCAACCAUAAAACUUUUUGUGUCAAGAAAAUGCCCAAAAAUACGAUUAUUUAUGUUUUGACAUAAUUUCCGAAUGUGACUCUAAAUAAGAUUUUCAUUACAUAUAUACAUAUCUCCUAAUUCUAGGAGGGUAGCAUAUACAUUUGAAAGCGAAAUGAACUUAGUACAUUUAAAUUUAACAAAAUAUCACCUAAAUACAUGAAAAAAGUGAAAAAGAUCAUAUUAAAAAGGAAAAGUUGCAUAUAAAUUGUGGGUGGGCCUAAUUAGAUCCAAAUAUUUUUUUGUGAUACCAAAAUCCCCAAACUUUUGUUUUGCGACACUAAAUUUUAAGGGUGAAUGUAUAGAGAAUUUUUAUAUCAUAAGAAGAAGUUUGGGAUAUAUAUACAAAUUUGGGAUUCCUGAUGCCAAAGAAAAGUGUGAGGGUAAACGGUGACCAAACUGCCCUCACUUCUUGACAAAUUUCCGUAAAAAAUAUCCGGACCGUGAAAAAUCCCGCGCCAAUUCCAUAAAAAAACACGAACUUUAGGUGUUGUCCCAAAUCUGGCCCGAGCUUUAUUUUGUCUUAAAAAAAAGCAUGAACUUUAGGGGUUGUCCCAAAUCUGGCCCGGAUUUUAUUUUGUCUAAAAAAAAAGCACGAACUUUAUGUGUUGUCCCAAAUCUGGCCCAAAUUUUAUUUGAGACAAAAUAAAGUAAUUCUAUUAUAAAUAGGCUUCCUACAAGAUAGAUGCACACGCUUUUAAUAUCUCGUUUUAAGGCAAUGUAAUCUUCUGUUUUCAAUCCAGUUUUUGACAUUGCAAACAAUUUGCCAAUUGUUAAUUGAUCUAAUGGCCCUAGCUAUGUGCCCCAUCCCCUGGAACUGAAGCUGCUGAAUUAUUUUUCCCAUGAGAAUCAUCUGUAAAGUUCACCUCAUUGGAAGACAAACUUAAAUUUAACACUUCCUCCAAACACUCGAAUACAGCAUCAUUUUGUUGUGUUGGAUAUUAUUGCUGACGUGGAAAUGCCAUGUUGGAUGACUGUGGAAUGAGGGUUAACGGAUGGCAGAUUUGAGACACAAGUGAAAAUUUAUGCCUUUUUUUAGACAAAAUAAAUUUCGGGCUAUAUUUGGGACAAUACUUAAAGUUCGUGCCUUUUUUUGAGACAAAAUAAAGUUCGUGCUUUUUUUUAGACAAAAUAAAGUUCAGGCCAGAUUUGGGAUAACAGCCUAAAGUUCGUGCUUUUUUAUGGAAUUAGCCCGAAAAAUCCCCUACUCUUCCCUUGGUCACCGCAAGCCUCCGCCACUCGCCGCCGCGUCGCCGUCGUAUCCCCUUCCCGUGCCAUCACCCCUCGUCAUCGAGCCGCCCCCGGCCAUCGCCUGCGCUGAUCGUUUCGCGUCCCGUCUCGGCCAAGCCACCAUCUCUCUCCCUAUCUCCCCGUGUUUCCUCUUCGAAGCAAUUAUUUUGUCAAUCUGAACGGCUUUUUCACUUACGAAGGAAGGCCGCCUGUAACUUCUAGGCAGACGCAGCGAAAGUGAGAGAUCUCUCUCCGUUGCUUUAUCAAGUUGCUACGAGGAUUAGGCUCGGACUUCCCAAGUCACCGGGCAGGCCCAAUUCGGAGAUCCAGAAUGAAGAGAAAGCGGGAGGGAGACGAGACGGCGACGGCAGCUGGAACAGCCUGCUGCCGCGAUGGCAGAUCGGGGAGGGGUUACGAGGUGUUCCUGUUUUUGGGCUUUUGCUUCCACUAGGCUGAAGGUGCUGCUGAAGGAGAUGUUUGUGNNNNNNNNNNNNNNNNNNNNNNNNNNNNNNNNNNNNNNNNNNNNNNNNNNNNNNNNNNNNNNNNNNNNNNNNNNNNNNNNNNNNNNNNNNNNNNNNNNNNGUCUUAAGAGUACUUGUGGCGAUUGGUGGGAUGAUGCUUGCAGGCUGCAGCAAUACAAGCCGGUCGAGAUGAAACUCCUAGCUCAACAGAGGGAUCUUCAGGUGUGUUGUUGUAUUCUGCUCUGUCAGUUUGGCGUAAUCGCUGGCUUUCUAUAAUGCGUAUUUUUGCUGGCAAAGGUUUCCUGACUUUAUCGAUGCUAGUUUGGGAUUUGUUAUUAUCGACAUCCCUUUAGAUGUUUGUGUAUAAUUUCUCAUUGACUGAUUCUUUUGUAUCGUUAUAUCUGCUAUUGAAUUCGCUGUUGAGUUACAUUUCGUUGUUCAUUUUCUUCGUGCGAUUACAAAGAAAGACCCGGAUUCAAAUGUACUGCUGAAUACCAUAGCCAUUAUCCCUCCUGUCGGCCCUUGUGCUAGCACCGGACCUUGUUUAUUUCUUUUCUUUUUCUUUGGUUUUUUUGGUAUAGUAUAACCAAUGCAGUGUUGAAAUGUUGCGCAAUGGUUAACAUGGAGGUGGGCGUACGUGCAUGUGUGGGUAAAGAACUUUGAAUCAUUUAAGUGUGCAACUUUUUUCUUGAUUCUUAGGAGGUAUAAAGACAUGAUUAGAGAUAUUGAUACCAAUUGUUAAUCACGAUGAAUAUUUAGUUUCAGGAAAAAGAAAUGUACUAGGUUGAGACAGACAAGUAACACAACAAGACUAUGCUCUCCACGUUAGGAAAUUUUCUCAUUUAAAUGUACGGGGAACAUGCUGAUUGGGGGUUGCAUCUUGCAUGUUAUACCUUAUAAAUCUUCCUUAUACUUUAUUGCAUCAAAUGGUUUGUCAUUGAAAAACGUCCGUAUUAUCUCCCAUGUUUAGCAGUCGUGCAUUAGAGGCUUUCAAUCGCUUAUCUUAAAAUGAGUAGGAAUUAUCUGCAUUUAGGUUCUAUUUAAAAACGGAAUCAAUUCGGCGGAUCUUUCUCGUCCUUUCAGAAAGCGCAAGAGUAUAGGAAGAGAUAUUGUUUUGCGUUUUAUUCUAGUUCAGAGCCUGGUUAAUGGUAUUGUGAAAACUGACAAAAGAAAGGUGGAGAUGUAUCUAAUUCUAGAGUUCUUUUCUUUUCAUUUUUUUAAAAACUGUUUCACAUUGGUUGUUAUUCUCUUUUUGCUGAACCCUUAAUGAACUCAGAGCUGGUAUUAGUGUCGUAUAUAGAACAAAAUAAACAAUUCAUUUGUUUUAUGUGUCCCUUCAUUUAAUUAGGAGAAUGCUUUCUCGCUGAUUGAACAUCCUUCAGAAAGCAAUGGUUAUCAUGCAAACAUCUUAGUAGAGUUAUUUACAUGAAUCUAACAAACUUGGGGUAAGAAGUUAGUCUUAGAAAUUGUUAACCACAUGUGAAGUCUCAAGCCGUCCUUUCCCUUAAUGCAAGAUUUAAAGGCUCUCUUAUUUCUAUCUCUUGACUAAGAAAAAGGCUAAGAUUUGGAUUGGGUAUGAUUCAAUUCCAUGGUCACCACGUCUUAUCUGCAUCUUUUCCAGCAUAUCCAUGUCCGAAGGAGAUCCAGUCUGAGGGCAACAUAUCGGUAGGUGAUCUGAGGAUUCUCAUUGACUUUGCCAUAGCUAGUAUCUGUUCGUAUGCACCCUUCUUCUUGUUUUUGUUCUUCUAAAAGGUCGACCCCAUGGCAGUCAUCUUCUUUUGUAUCUGGUGUGAUUGGUAGGAGCCUUUCACUGUUGCUGGACUCCUUAAUAUUGGAAUGAUAGUCUCCAUUACUGUAACAUAUUCAUGUGGUGAUAGUAUAGCCACAAGGUGGGCUGCUGCAAGAGAUUUUUGUUGCAAGAAUGACUCAUUUGAUGAUUUGGCUAAUUUUGUUCACGAUCUUGUGGUGAUUUGGGUGUUUUGGUUGUUUAACCAAUUCCUGACUGACUCUUCAGAAGUUUGUAUCUUCAAAGAGCACAUAUAGCAAAGUUUAUCCCCACUCCCGCAAUCUGCGCAUACCAUAAAAAGCCUGUAUUUAUUUCCCGGAAUUACGCUUAUUUUAUUGAUGAGUGAUGACCAAACCUCACCUGGUCCACGGCAAAAAGUUGAUGGAGAAAUCCAUCCCCUAUAAAAUUCACCCAGUCUUCACUAAAAAGACAGAAUUGCUCAAAUCAUUCUAUUGCAAUUUAAUUGGUAGCCCCAAAUAUAUUUCAAUGGAUGAUUUAGUUACCAUAAUUAAGAAUUUCACGUGUUCAGUUUUUCAUAAUUGUAGGUAUUAUUAAAAACACCAUUUCUUUAUUCAUUGUUAGAUUUUUCUUCCAUAAAAAUUAUUUGUGUAAAAAAGAAAUUUCCAAGAUAUCUAGUUUGUUGAGCAAAUUUAAGGAUAAAUUUUCAACUAGAAUCUAGAAAAAAAAUUAUUAUAUAAAUAAUUUUUUAACACAAUUACUUGUUUACAAAUUUUCAAUUUUGUUGUGCAUAUCAUUAUCAAAUUCCUUAUCGUUCAAUCAAAUAAAAUUCCUUCCCAUUGGUUCUCUUCUUUAUAUAUAUGGGAUGAUAAGAUAAAUCAAGAAGGACUAGCAAAGAUUUUAAACUUAUUUCAAAAUAAAGAUUCAGGUAUUAGAUCAAAAUCUUGAAUUUAUCUAACAAAUUUAGAUAAAUUAUCAAAAGGGGUCUUUAAGUUUUUGUUAUCAAUCAAGAAGGACCAGCAAAAAAUUUAAUAGUGUAUUACAUUUCAAUAUGAUACCUAUCACAAAUAUAAUUAUUCUUCUGUCUGAUCAAGGAUCAAUUGAUCAUGCCAUUUGGUGUGACAUUGGACUAAAUAUAAGGAAAUCAGCUUUGUUGGGCUUAGCAAAAGCAAAAUGGAAUUCCGGCUCUAGCUGAUAAAAGCUAAUCCUUCUAAAUUUAACGAGCAAAGCAAAAGCUAUUGUGUAUAGUAAAUGUUCCACAAUGAAAGUAUGUAAUAAUUUUGUUGAUAUUUACUAUGAAAGUAAGUAAUAAUUUUGUUGAAUGAUAUGAUGUGAACGAUAUCUUAUUUGCUAGUACCAGAUCCCACCAGCACAUCGUAAGUAAGCAAUAAUUCUGCUUGAGUAAUAACUCUGUUGCAGUGAUUGGACGGUGACCAGUCUUAUUGCUCAUGCUGCUACAGUUUCUGGCGACUAUCUUCCCUUGGUGAUUUUGUUCUUAUUCUAACAAGUUGACCCCGUGGCAGUCAUCUUCUUGUGUAUCUCCUCGACGGUGUGAUUGUUAGGGGGUAGCUUUUCACUGUUGGUGGACUCCUUAAUUUUGGAAAUGAUUUUCUUCAUUACCGCAGUAUAUUCAUAUGGUGAUUGUCCAGCCGCAAGGUGGCUUGCUGCAAGAGAUUUAUGUUGCAAGAAUAAUGCAUUUGAUGAUCCAACUAAUUGUUUGUGAUCUUGUGGUGAUUUGAGCGUUUUGGUUGUUUAACCAAUUUCUAACUGAUUCUUCAAAAGUUUGCAUCUUCAAAGUUUAUUCCCCCUCCCGUAAUUUAUGCAUUCUUACCAUAAAAGCAUGCAUUUAUUUCCUGGAUUACACACAUUUUCUUGAUGUGUGAUGACCAAGCCUCGCCCGAUGGCAAAAAGUUGAUGGAGAAAUCCAUUCCUUGUAUAACUAAAUUCACUCAAUUUUCACUUAAAAGAUAAAAUUGUACCAAAUAUUCAAUUGCAAUUUAAUUGGUAGCCCCAAAUUCAUAAACUUUUUUUUUUCCUUUUAGUUUUUCUAUUUCAAUGUAAGAUUCAGUUGCCAUAAUUAAGAAUUUCAUAUGUCUAGUUUUUCUUUAUUGUAGGCAUUUCAAAUAUAUUAAAAACACCAUUUCUUUUAUUAACUAUUAGAAUUUUUUUUUCUAUAAAGCUUAGUUUUGUUGAAAAAAGAAAUUUCCAAGAAUCCUAGUUCUUUUACAUGUUGUCAAGGAAAAUUGAGGAUAAAUUGUCGAGUAGAAUCUAGAAAAAAUUAUUAUAUAGAUUUUUUUAACACAAUCACUUGUUUGCAAAUUUUCAAUUUUGUUUUGCAUAUCAUCAUCAAACACCUUUUCAUCAUUUGACGAAAGAAAAUUCCUUCUUAUGGGUCCCCGCCCCCCUCCCCCCUCCAGCCAGCCCAGCCCAGCCCAGCCCAGCCCAACCCACACAGAAGGAUGAUCGGAUAAAAAGAAAACCCUCUUGAAGGUUUGAAGAUUUUCCAAAAUAAAAUCACAAUUACAUUCUCCAAUGGAAAACUUUAAAGAAGAAAUUUAAUUAAAUUGAAAAAUUACAUAAAAUAAGAAACUUUUAAAAAUGUUGAUGAAAUCUCAUUAUUUGGAAUUGAUAGAAAUUAAUAUCGUUGACGAAGCAUGUACGAAAAUAUAUCUAGAUGCUUCAUUAUGCACAAUGGUUUUAGUGUAUUCCUAGUUUUUCCACAACGCCUUAACAUCUGUGUAAAAGUAUCUCACAAUAAUAAGGGAAAAUGAUAAGUUCUUUAAUAUUAUAUAAAAAGACUUGAUACAUAUUUUGGACUAAUAAAAUUAAAAAAUAAAUAAUUCAUCAAGAAAGUGAACUUUUGAGAUAAGAGGGAGAAAUAAUAAAUGAGUAUUUAUUAGAGAAAUGAUGAAAAGAGACUUUCAAGGUGUUGAUCAUGUAAAAUAAUUUGUGUUUUUUUCUAACUAGUGGCUUUUAUAUAGAGCAUGUAAUACGUUAUAGUAAUAUUUAAGGAUACACUAAAAACAAUUCUUUAAUACGUUAAGAAAAAUAAAACACAUGGAAUGCAUAAUUAUGGCAAUUAGAAACAGUAGGGAAGGAAACAAUGUGAUUGUCACUUUAAAUUGCAAUUGAAUGGUUGAAGGCAAUUUAGCCUUUCUAUUCUAAAUAGUAAAUGGGGUGGAUUGGAUUAUAUAGGGUCAAAAUAGUGCCGCCCAAAAUUUAAAGGAGAAAUUAAAAUCACAAUGGGAUAAUAUUUUCUUUUCCAUAUAGAAAGAAUGUUAGCUCUUGUGCACGCUUUUUAUUCCUACGUCAUGAAUAGACCAAGAUGAUAGAGUGCAGAGGUCAUCAACAGAUUUAGAAACAUUUUGUGUGACUUCACCAACAAUUGGCUUUUAAUUGCUUUUAACAGUGUAUCAUGCAUUAUGGUCAUCUGCACUCUCGGAUACGGAAGGUGACUUUGUGCUGAUUUCACAUUCACAAUUUUGCAAUGACAAAAGAAAAAGAGUAGUCAAUGGAACAAAGGCAACAUUGAUCAUUUGGCUUAGCAAAAUCAUAAAGGAAGUCUGGCUCCGGCUGAGAAAAGCUAACCCUUUUUAAGUUAAGGAGCAGAAUAGAAGCAAUUACAGUCUGCUUUUUUCUAGACUAGAAAUUGAGGAAGAGACUUCUCACCAAAAAAACAAAACGGACAAAAGGAUUAAAGGGGAUCCAUUUAUCCUUCCUUAGAGGUCAUGCCAAAUCGUCUGUUUAUGGAGCCAGACCACUGGCAUCAUCUUAUGUUAUUAUAAUUCUAUAUAUGUCUAGAAGGAAAAAGGCAUUAAGACAAGCGUCUAGGCUGGGAUCCCGUGAUUCGUGCAAUGAUUGAAUUGCAUAAUUUGAAUUAAAAUACAAAUCUGUGAUAACAAAAAUUAGAUACAAUUCUAACUGAUUUGUGAGCCUAUUCCCUCACUUUUUGUUUCUCAAAUUUAAGCGCAUGUAUGAGAAGCUUAAUUUUUACGUGAAACUAAUCGUCAGUAUCGAUAAAACAUUUUAAAUUUCCGUGUGUGCGUAUGUGAAGUGAGUCUCUAUACAAUCGCAUAAUAUUAUAUUUUAAACUUGGUGCCCACCUUAAAAAUGACAUUAGGAAAUGAUCACAUUUUGUGUGUGUGCAUGUGUGAAUAAUCUGCAGAAAUGGAGAAUAAAUCUAGACCGCAUUCAAUGGAGCUAGAGAAAGGUUCAAUGCCUUCGGUUCAUUAGAGACGUCAUCAUCGAUCCAUUAGCAAAAAGUAGUUGAUUUAACCAUAAAAUUUUGGGCUUGGCACUUAUAAGAAAGAAAAAUUUUGCUCAUAAAAAGAAGAAAAAAGAAAUAAAGCUCUUUGGUCGUUUCAUGGAUGUUUCUAUGAUCUUUCCAAAAGGCAUUCUAGGAGGGCCUGCAAUUGUUAAACCACAAAAUAAUGGAUCUCAACUGUGAAAACAAAGCUUUUCAAGUUUUUACAAAUUGCUAUAAUUUGCAUUAUGACAGGUAUCGAUCAAUCAACUAAUCAAAAAAUGGAAAUAGUUGCAUGGAUCGUGGUCUAUAGAACAAAUGUGAUCACAUCCAUUGAUGUUUGGGUGUUCCGUGUAUAAUAUAUGUCAUAAACAAUUUUGUGAUAAAUCCGUUUAUGUGGAUCCGAGUACUGUCAAGCUAACCCAAUAAAGCCAACAUGAGUUAGGAGAGAGAAAGAGCUUCCUUAAGAAACAAAGACGAACUUGAGUUCUCUUUGCUUAUAAUAUACGCAGGUCUAUCUUCAAGUUUUUGUCCGGCCCUCUUGUGAAAGCGAAAGCAAAAGCAACAGCACUGAGGUAUGUUUGUCUAGUCAAUUCAUUUGCACAUACCCAAAUUCCACGUCAAACAGACUCGUUUGUUCAUGUGGUCACGCGCGUGCGUUUUGCAAUUUCAGGACCAGGACCUAGAAAAUACCAAGAAACUCAGGUUGAUAUCAUCAAAAAGCAUAAAGACCCUUCUUCAAGAUUAAAAAUGUUUCGAAAAUCUCAACUUUGUUGAUCUCCUUGUGGAGGAGGAACUGUACUUUCUUCGCAAUUUCCACAAAAGAAUAAGCUAAAGUCUCCCUCUUAGGACCCUUUUAGCUCAACGAAAGGUACAUGUAAUUUGCAAAGCAAAACUCAAAUUGCGUAAAAGAUUGACAUUAGCAUGGACCUAAAAUUAAAGAAUAUAGAAAACUUUAAUCAAUAUCUUUCAAUUUUUUGAACCAUUAGGUGUAAUUGAAGUGCAUAGACUUCGAAGAAGGUCAGCCAAAUAAAAUUGCCCAAUCUAUUAUGUAGAGUUAAACUGAAGCUGAAAGAGUGGUUGCUCCUAUACCGGUCACGCCACACUUCUCUAUAGCUCUAUACUUAUGACGUGACAAAACACUUAGCAUUGUGUUGCCAUGUGGUCCAAUGACCUUACAAAUUAUUUAUAUGUCUUCUUGUAAUUCAUGUGUUAUUUUCUAGUGCUAUUUAUAGAAAACAUCAACAUUUAAUCAUCUUCAAAUACUAGAAAAACUGAUUAUAUCUAGAGGUAGGCUUAGGCAAAACAAUAGAUUUAAACUUAGCCGAAGUGAUUGAAUCAAACAAUGAAUAGAAUGGAUGUGUUUUAUAAGUAAUACAUACUCCAGUAAUUGUCAUCUUCCAUGGAGCAUCCACUUUUUUUGUGAUAAAAUUCCGAUCAUUGUGAUUUUAUGGUGUUGGAAAGCUUAUUAUUUAAUUUUAGAUGAAAUUAAUCGAUUGGAUAAAAUGGACAAUCGAACCCAUUUUCUCCCACGGACGCUGGUGACUUCAAUUUUGCUAAAAUGCAAUUCACCUCGGAUUGUGGCUUUUGGGUGGUUGGGUCAGAUAGAUGAACUUUGCAAAAAGUCAAGUACACUCGAUUAUACGUAGCCACCCUUCCAACUUGAAAGGGGGAGGUGGAGGGUUCGAAUUCUCACAUUCUCAAGGAAGGGUUGGGGUGGGGAUGAGUAAGUUUUACAAGUGGGUUUUGACUCCCCCACACCUGCAAGGAGGCAGGGCAAAAAUUUGAGAGAAUGAGUGUUAGAGUAAGAAUAAAGUAUGACCGACCGAAAAAAGAAAAGAAAAUUAUAACCUUUCACUAAACUUUUAAUUGAACUUUUAAUGAGGUUUGCCUCUCGGUCAACUUUGCUAUGGCAUUGGAGGGUCGCUCGUGUCUUUAGUGACCUUUCGCAUGUGUUCAAUGAUGCAAUGGAGGCUCUGUCCACCAGUGAUUAUCUAUCGAGCAAUCGAGCUUCGCCAUUUCUAUUCCUUAUUUGAUGGAGUUAGCCAACAACGAGCACGACCAUUUUAGGGUCCAUUCGUCAUAGCCGAAAUAAUAUAUUCUGGAGUUCUACUGUUCUUUUGGUCUUUACUAUAUUGGAUCCAAAUUGAAUGUGAAAGAGCUCUGACUUCUACUUCUAACAUAUUAUGAAAACUUUGGCCUUGAUGAAUUGUAUUAUGUCUGAGAAAUCUUGGCGACAGUGAGGACUUAGCUACAUAAUCCGUAUGGUACAUAUUUUCUUUGAUAUGAUGAGGAAUUGGCCACAGACAAAGAUGCCAACCUCAUCUAGCGGACUAUCCACAACCAUAUGGUACCUAAUAUGCACAAAUGAAAAAGCGCCUUUGAGCUCUCCGUGCACAUCAGCGGGGACAACAAAAGAUUAUUAAUUAGUCCUUAUUAAUUAAUCUCAUUCUUUCUCAACUACAUGGACUUUACCUUUUUUUAUAGUCGUGUCUUCCUCCUAUCUUAUCUCUCACUUGACAUAGAGCUAUGUAUCGUAAGCUCAUAACUAAGUAGGGCAUUAAAUUGGUCGAAUGUUCUUGAUCAGUCAGACCAGUGGAAUGAGCUACAUCCUCAACUAGCGUGCGCCCUUUCUCGGGUUCAAAGGGACUCCCCGUCGUCGAGAUCUAGCUAGGAACAAAGGUUCCCUGUCAUUUCGAUGCCGCAAAAACGCUUAUUUCGUUUCAUGAUUGUACAGCAAAAGCAAAGGUAAAGAGCCUACGUAUGUGACCCCAUUUCAGACACGUGGAAUACAAAGGCUGAAAUUAUUUGGGACCCACAAGCGUACCUAUCCCACGUCGGGACGUGAAAGUCCAAAAUUACCCCGCACGCAGGAAAUGGGAAAUAUUAAGAGCCUUUUUUAUAUAUGUAUGGAUGAAGAGAGAAGGGGGAAAAUAAGCAUUUUAGAAAUAUAAGUCCCAUGUCAACUGAUUAUAUUUGAACAUCUUGACAAAAUUGGUCUUGAUGGGUUAUCAACACUGUGAGCCUCCGUUACAUCCCACUCGAUGCAAAGGAGUAUAAGAAGAAGGCUUUGGUCAUGUGAAAGCAACGAUCCAAUUUCAAGAUUCAAAACAUCACAAUUUCAGCACAGGGUUGUCCGCCUGAGUAGCAAUUACAUCUAAACCCUUCUCGGUAUCAGGAAUAUAGCCAAUGAAUUAAUUACACAAUAAAAUCCAAAUGAAUUAUGAUGCUUAACAUGAUAUAAGAAGUUAUAACCCGUUAUAAUAUGAUAAUCUCUCUUUAGAUGGAUCUUGAAGUUAUCUAAUCAUGAAAAUUAUUUACUAGUUUUGAUGUUUCAAUUUGAAAGCAUUAAAGCGAAAAGGAUGGCUUUUUAAAGUCCUACCAAAUAAUUUCUUUUUAAUAAUUGAGAAUAGAAAUCAAUAGUCCGAGAAAUUUUCCUUAAUGAAACAAACCAUCGUUUUUUCAUGUUCUUCUCUCCUCUCUUGGCCCCUUCUCCUACUCCACUGAUGUCGCUUUAGUGCAAGCUUCGACAACCUUUGGCAGCUUUCUAGCUCAAGGAAGGCAGCCAGCACAUGAUUCAUGAAAUCUUUAAAAAGGGAAACAUUCAAUCAAAUUUCAAUUUGUUGAGUUUUUUAAACCCGUGGUCCGUAUGCUCGUAAAACCAGAGUCUUAUAAUUUAUCAUCUCUCGAAUUGUUGAUAUGAAUGCCAAGUACCAGAAUAUGACUCCACACUUUAUUCAAUAUCAUGACUAGGUAGAAGCCACAACAAAACUAUUUGGACAUUUGCCGGAAACCAUUAAAUGAGUAGAAUCGGUAGACCAAUUCUUGCCAAUGUUAUUGUGAACAAGUUGUCUUUACUUUCAUCGAACCAUCCCAACAUGAUGGUCUAUACUUGCAAAAACGAUUGUUAUCAAGUCUUGAUUUAAGAUUAACCAACUUGAUCAAAAAACACUUUGUAACAGAAGAGUCCUCAUUAUAUGAAGCACCAUUGCCCACAAGGACCAUGAGAAUGAUUCCUUGAAAGCAAGAUGAAUUUCAGCUCAAAACUUGAUAAAAUUUAAACUCAACUUGAACUUAACCUUCACGCGACUUCAUCGACCAAGCAUGAACUCCCAAAAGUUGCCGAGAGAUUGGGCAAAUAUCCUCAAGUCUCGCACCAAAGUUCUCGCGGAACAGCUAUGCACCACCCUUUUUUCCUCACUUUUUUGUCUCUAGUGGCCGGCCAAACCAAGAGUGAAGAUGAAUGGGUAGAAUCCACGUGGCAAACUUAGAGUUGUUAACUUUUCUUUUAUAAAGAAGGGUGGUCGGCCCCUUGAAAAAAUUGCAAUUUGGUCUGUCGGGGGAUCCAAUUUUUUGAGGGCUUUUUUAAUUUUUGUCCGGUCAACUUGAUCUCAGAUGCGUAGGCAAUCUUUUGUAUCUUUGGUUUGAUUUACUGGGCGAUGAGAAGAGUGAGCUGACGUAAAUCCCUCGGUGGCUUGUGCUAAUUCGAGCCAAAUUGACAUUUAGCCAACCUAGUUAAUCUUUUAAUGCCACGGUCUGCAUUAGAAAGUAUAAUACGUUCACAAUAAUUACGAUGAGCUAUGAUUGAAGUUGAUCAAUCAAGUGUGCGUUUGAUAAUAUUUUUGUUUAGGAGAAUAAUUUCUUUUUAUAUAUUUCUAUUUCCUGAAAUAUUUUUUUAGUAAAAGAAUACGUUUGGUGACUAUACAAAAUUUAUAUUCUCGAAAUAGAAAAAGAACAAAAAUGCGUUUGGUACAACUUACGAUUUUUUUUUGUAACGUAGAUCUUUUUUUUUUGCCCUCUCUUCUUCUUCUUGCUCCUCCUCUAGCCGGUAGUGGUGGCAUUCAAUAAGCGGCAGCAACUGGUGACCCGUGGCGGCGGCCACACGAUUGGCGGCAGUGGCUGGCGGACAACGAGGGGGUGGUGGGCUGUGAGGAAGAAGAAGAAAAGGAAAGAAAAGAAAAGAAAUAAAAUAACUUAUUUGUAAAAAUUGUUUCCUGAAAUAAGAAGUUAUUUUUUUUCUAUUUCUUAUUUCUAUUUCAAAUCUAUUUUCUAGCUAAUUUUCUAUUAUGAGAAAUAGAAAAAUUAGUUGAUGUACCAAAUAGAUUUCUGUUAUUAUUUUGUUCCGGAAAACAAAAGAAUAAAAGACUAGAGAAAUUGGCAAGUUACCAUACACAUCCCAAGGAACCAUAGAAGGGAAAUAGUUGCAUGGUUCAUGGUCUAUGGACCAUAUGCAAUCACAUCCGUUGAUUUUUGUAAUUUAUAUAACUAAUGAUUUUAAUAGACCCGAUUUAUGUGACCUAAGUAUUGGCAAGUCUAAUCUUACGAAGCCUAUUUGAGUUAGGAGAGAGAAUGAACUUCCUUGAGAAAUAGAAAUGAACCUGCCUUUUCUCUUUGCUUAUGAUGAUGCAAGUCAAUCUUCAAGUCUUUGUCCAACCCUCUUGUGAAGGCAAAGGAGAAAGCACCGAAGUAUGUCUUGUCUAGUCAAUUGACUCGUUAUGCAUUGGUCUGCACAUAGUCAAAUCGCACGUCAAAUAGGCUACUAAUUCGUGUGUUCACACAGGUACACACAAAGAUGCCAACACUUACAAGUUCCGUUUGGAAAUUGGCAACCCACUCGCAAGACCGGCAAAGCGCGAUUUGAAAUUUUGGCCCUGGAAAGUACCAGGAAACUCAGGUUGAUGUUAUAAAAAAAAUCAUAUAGGUCACACCUUUGAGAAUAUAAUAUUUAAAUAAUCUCAACUUUGUUAGAAUCAUCGCGAAGGAGGAAUCACAUUUUCUUUGUGAUUUCCAUUAAAAAACAACGUCAAAUUAAGUGGACUUGAACCCAAUCCCAAAUCAACCAGUAAACGAACAAUAGAGACGAAUCAGACAAAAUCAGCUUUUGAUUUGAAUAUUAGCAUCGGUGUACAAUUUCAAUUGGCGAGCAAUUUCAUUUUGUCAUCGUUCAAUCUAGCAUUGAAGGGCAAUCAUAACAUGCAAUCCUAGUCUAUUUUCAGCUUCAUGUAACUUUAUGGCAAUAGCAAAUAAUAUCGAGUAUGAAUGGCUUUAUGAAGGGAGGCUGCAGAGGUGGCUUCCAGGCAAAUGGCGCAUAGUACCAAAGUAAUAGCAAGCGGAACUCAUUUUAACUUGUCCAGAUACAUCCAACAUCUAACCGUUCACGUUCGGCAACACGCAACUUAUACUUCCGACGCCACCUCCUCCCCUUCGACGACUUUCAUCAACUUAGCCUGAAUGCUUUUGUUUGCUUAUGAAGGAAGGUCGCUGGUGCAUUACAGUGCCUGUUACUCUAGACACAACUCGCCCGGUCUCUACUCUUUGAACAACCAAUUAUACUUUCGAUUGGUAUUGCAGGUAUAAGGAAGGCAGCACGCGAUUGAUAAAGUUGGAUUAUGGGUGCGUUUAUUUUACGAAAAAAUGAAUAAUUUAAAAAAUAUUUUUUUUAAAAAAGAUUGUUUAUAUCGCUCAAUAUAAUUAGUCAAUGAAAAAUAUUUCCAUUAUUGACAAUAAUUUAUAUCUAAAUAUUUUCAUAAAAAAUGAAAAUAUUUUUCAUUCAUUAAUUUUUAUAAGUGAUAUAAGUGUUCAUUUUUUAGAAAAAAAAUAUUUUUCAUAUCAUCCAUUUUUCGCGAAACAAACGGAGCUUAAGUUAAAAGUCAAUGUUCUAAGACAGUUAAGUGGUUCAAUUCAUAAGAAAUUAACAUUGUGCAUUCUAAGUUGCAAUAUGUAAGUGGUUCAAUUCAUAAGUUCCUCUGUUUCUGUAAUGAGUUUUCAUGCAAUAAUUUUCCUUCUUGUAGAUUCUGAGUUGAUUUUUUUUUUUUUUUUUUUUGCCUGUGAUGUUUUUUCAGUUGAAGAAACAAUUAACUACAAAUAUUCAAGAGUCGCUGGCAUGUUCAUGGUUUUAAUGAUUACUGACACUCUUUUCUGUGGCAUUUCUUUUCACUCUACUAAAAGAUUUACCUACCAAUGUUCAAAUGUAUAAAUUACGGUAGUGCGAACCUCGAGCUCAACUCCUAUUAGACAUUAGAUGCUCGGAACUCCACUCGAGGCAUGGAGUAUUCAAUUUCCAGCUUGAGCUUGACCAGAAAAAAAUGGAGAUAUCAAGCUCAAGUAGACUCGACACAAUCACGUUAUAAAAUGAGUUCAAGCUCUAGCUCAAUAUGUUCAAAUAUUAUCCUUUUCAUUUAUGUAAUUAUAUAUGUAUAUCACAACUUUUAAAUAUCUUGCCCUUUAUUUUCCAUAGCUAUCAAAUAUUUAACUGAACAAAAGAAUAGAAAGUUGAUUAAUAUGGCGAGUCUCUCAAACAGAAUAUAAUGAGCUUGAUUUGUUUGUUUUUUUGGUCGUGAAUAAAAUUCUCGUUGAUAGAUUAAGAUUUGUUUAGCUUAACGAAAGCAAAAUGGAAGUUUGGCUCCAGCAAAGAAAAACUAAUCCUUUUUAAAAAAUAUAUAUAUAUAAUUAGCAGAACAAAGCAAUUGAAAUAUGCUUUUUCUAGCCUAGAAAUAAAUGAAAAAAUUCCUCAUUCCAGAAAACAAAACAGACAAAAAAGAAUAAAGGGGAUUUAUUAUGCUUCCUUUGCGGUCACACCAAAUUUGAGUGGACCUCACAAACCAAUUGAAAUCAUCUCUUUUAUAAAUCAUACUACAUAAAUCAUCUAAUGUUAUUACAAUUCAAUGUAUGUCUAAAUGAUAAAGUACUAAGAAAAGCAUCUUGAUUGGGAUCCAAUGAUUUACACCAUGAUCGAAUUGCCCAGUUCGAAUUAGAAACAAAUCCAGGGGCUUUUGUCUUUGCUUAGAACAUACGCAAGUUCACCGUCAAGUCUUUGUCCAACCUGCUUGUUAAGGCAAUGAAAAAGCACUAAAGUACGUUUAUCUAGUCAAUUCGCUUAGCAUGCCCUGGUAUGCACAUAUCCAAAUUUCACAUCAAAUAGACUUGGCAACUCACCCACAAGACCGGCAAAACGUGUUUGGCCCAGGGAAAAUACCAGGAAACGUGGGUCGAUAUUCAUUAAAAAAAGAAAGAAAAAGAAAAGCAUAAAAACCCUCAUUCGAGAAUAAAAUGUUUCAAAAAUCUCAACUUCGUUCGCAUCAUUGUCAAGGAGGAACCAUAUUAUCUUCGCACUUUCCAUCAAGAAUCAGCUAAAGUUCAAUGAGGACUCUUUUGCUCAUUGAAAGUGAUUUAUUUUGUAAACAUAGUUUGCAAAGCAAAACUCAAAUUGCAUGAAAGAUUAAAAUGAGCAUCGACUUGAAAUUAAAGAAUAUAGAAAAAUUUAACAAUGUCCUCUAAAUUUUUUAAUAAUUAAGUCCAUUUAAAGUGUGGAAACUUCUAAGUAGGUUGGCCAACUAAAAUCGCAAAGUAAAAAAUCUAGGAAGGGCAUGUUUUGGAAAUUUUUUUGGAGUUCGUUCACGGGGUCUGAAUAUUAAGUAUGAAUCAUAGUUAAUAUUUUGUGAUCUAUUUCAUGCUCUAGAUACUCAAAUACACCCCUUGCCUAUGGCAGUGAGGGCCGGGACCCUCAUUUGUGGUCGGGAUCUUAUGAUCUAUGUCUAAAUUGUAAAACUAUAAGAUAGCAAAGCAUAUUGGCUGGUCUCUUAAAAUAUGUUAUCCAAAGCAUGCCGCUCAACUACUUCUCCAGCAUGCUGCUUAGCUCAUGGGGUUGAGAAUAUAAUGUUCUUUAAUUGAUCGCCUUCCAUAAAAUCAAAUUAAAAAAAUCAAAAUCCUUGUCCCGAUAAUAAGAGUUGUCGGUUAAGACAAUUUUUCUCUUCAAGACUUAGUCGUAACCCGUGGAUUUUUUUGGAUGGUGUUUGAGAAAGCCAAUGUGAAAUGUAAGCACCACCUCACAUAGGGUUAUAUUUGUCCGCCUAGCAAUAGGUUAAACUCUCUCGGCGUCCACUCCAGUAGGAUCGUGACAAUGUGCAUAUUCAAGAUAUGCUUGAUUCAAAGGUAAUGCUUCGUUCAUAAUGUAAAGAUGUGCAAUCAUCAAAUUUCAUAUCACAAGUCAACAUUCAGAAAUUCAAUCAAUGACAUUCAAUGAAUGGAUGUCAAGUUAUUCAAACAAAAGAAUGGAGUCAGAAUUAUCUGAAAGUUGUUUCUUUGUAAUAUUUGAGAAUAAUUAUUCGAAAAUUAGCACAUAGACUCUCGGUUCACAGAUCAAUGACGUUCGAGGACUCUAUUCAGACCAUUUGCCUUACAGCCAUUUGGUGCGAUAUGGAUCUUUUUAACUUAUCAAGGAAUGCCGCAAGUAACUUCCAGACAAAUGGAACAAAAUAUCCAAGUAAUAGUCGGUGGAACAUAUAUCAAGUUGUCCAAUACGUCCAACAUUCAAAGAACAUGCAAUCAUAUAAAAUAAUUCCGAGACAACCUCCUCGUCUUCGAAGACUAACACCAAUUAUCUCCUCACACUUAGCCUCCUAUUUGGUGCUGAGUCUGAAUGGUGUUUUUUUUUCCUCUGAUGAAGGAAGGCCCAGGUAACUUCCACGCAAGUAGUACAUGAUAACAAAGUAAUGGCAAGCGGAAAAUAUAUUGAGUUGUCCAAUACGUCCAACAUCAAACUGAACAAAUUAAUAGAAUUUUUCUGGCCAAGAAAUUAUAAUAGAAACUUGAUUAAUAUGGUGAGUCUCUCAAACAGAUAUAAAUGAGCUCGAUUUUCUUUUUGUUCAUGAAUAAAAUUCUAAUUAAAAGAUUUGAGAUCAUGCUAACACCAAGCACAAACAACUGGUUUUUUUUACCAAUACAGCACACUAGUAGGUGGAAUAAUAGCAAGAAUCAAUUGAUCAUGCCGAAUAGCACGAAUCUAGAUUGAAAAUAAGAAGAUCUGCUUUGUUUGGCUUAGCAGAAUGGAAGUUUGGCUCAGCUUUGGCUCAGAUGAGAAAAGCUAAUCCUUUUUUAACAAACAUGAUUAAUUAUCCCCACACAGGCAUGAUCAAAUAUCGCCACACAGGCAUGUUCUACACCACACGAACGGAUUAAUUGUCGCCACACAAACAUCAUCAAAUAUCGCCACAUAGGCAUGAUCAAUUAUCACCACAUAAGCAUGAUCAAUGUGAUAUAUAUUCAACAAUUUACGUGCAUUCUCUAAGGCAUCCUAUAUGCCAAAGCGAUGUAAUAAUCGCCGAGCCACGUCACACGGCAUUUCUUCUCAUCUUUUAUCAUACCAGAUAAAAUAUAGUGCGUGGGCACACGGUUGGCCUUAGCCAAAAUAUAAUAUUUUCCUUUCCAUAACUCCUACACUUUCUAUAGUCCACUAAAAUAUUUUUAGCAUUAUUAACCGAUGCCCGGCUAUUUUUCAACUAAUAACCAACCUUAUUCAAUUUAGGAAUAAAUCCCAAAUUCAUAGAUAAUUCAAUUCAGCACCAAAUAAAACUCAAUUAAAUAAAUGGACUGCGUUAUGACAAUCAGCAUAAAAUUCCGAUCGUCGACUAUCCUUGCCUAAUUUUUGGAAAAUAAAUAAUUAAUUAAUUAAUUUCGAAAAUUAAUAAAUUGAUACUAAAAACCCAAUUUAGGCCCGUAAUGCCUAAUCAGACGCUAGAACGGAUCGGGAAAAAUCCCAAGAUGCAUUCAAUAAAUAUGAGUAUGUCUCUACUUGUUAAUUACACAAACUGAUCGCCUAAUAUGCAUCAUUAAGUCACUAAUUAAAUCACUCUAAACUAAUCUAACCACCUAAUUACACUUAAUUAAAUCUAAUCAACCCUUAAGCAUCAUUAACCGACUAAUAAGGGAUCAGUGAGCAAAACUCACUUGAUUAACACGCAGGUCGGAUCAAACUGACGGGAACGUCAUGGGGGACAUUUUUCUCCAAAGCGGGCCUAGGGUCCGGGGCUCACAAGCACCUCAAAACGGCUUCCAAAGCUUGCUAUAAACCCACUAUUUUUCUUGCUGUUCUUGGCUGGAAUUGAAGGGAAAUCAACUCUGUUUAGGCAGGAAUUGCUCGGGAAUGUAAGAAUAGGCCAAAUCGGGCCUAAAGGAGGAUUCACAAGGGUUAAAUGAGCUCGGGACAGCCCCUGGUGAGCUGCAACAAAACCAGGACAGCAGCUGGGAGGCGAGAGGGAUGCAGCCAAGGGACGGUGUGUGCAGGCGGCGGCGCGUGAACCUGCGACGGCGAGGCGGCGAUCCGGCGUGAGGCAGCUGCAGCUUCUUCUUUGCUGCUGGUUUUGUCCAAAAUGAAGAGAGAAUGGAGUGGAUGGCAAGAAGAAGGAGAGAAGGAAAGGAGUGUGGAGGAAGCUUGGCCUUGGUGGGUCCUUUGGCCAAUUUUUUCCCACCAAGUUGUCUCCCAAAUACUUGCCCAUCGAAUGGUCCAUUUUGCUAGGCUAUGGGGGUAGUUACGAAUUUGGCACAAAUCUUUCUCAAUUGGACACCAUUCCUCACUCAAUUCAAUUCAUUGCCGUUUAAAAUUCAAUGACAUCUCAAUGCCUCCACUGAUAAUUUCCUCACCCAAUAUCCAUCUGCAUCUCAAAUUGCAACUAAAAAUAAUCAUCGGCCUUGAUUGAACAAAAACGGUCAUAAACCGACUUUUUCCUAAAAAGUCUCGGUUGUCAGAAAAAUCUUCUGAGACUGAGUCAUGGGUCUUAGAAUUUAUUGUGACAUGACAUGAUUUUCAAUUUCUAAAAUUGGACUUGAAUUGGCGGUUAAUUUCCAUCCAACGCGUUUUUAGCGUAACUUAGGCUAUCGGGUAGUUUUCAAAACUUUUUAAGGCAAAUGACCCGUGGUUGAUUUUCUUCGAACCACUAUGAACCCACUCGACACAUUGACGACUCGUGGUUGUUGUGAAAAUCUCGAUGAUUCAAAUACGGACACAAGACACCAAAAUGACAAUAAAAUCAAAUUAGUGUCGAUCGAUGAGAAUUUCCCAAUUUAACGGUAUCACCCACGAUCGGCCACACAUCUUAGUCGAAUCGACCUAUCUCUGAUCUCAAAUUGAUUUUAUAUUAUGCCGUAAUGACUUCUAAAGAUGAGCACGAUCGAGAAGCCGAUUCUUGGUUGAAUUCUCCAGUCUAUUGCCUUAAAAUUUCUUAAUGACUUCCCCAGAUAGUCUAGUUAUCUCCUGAGUGGCCAUCUUAGAGAAAGCAUUAUAGGCGCAUCAAUGAAAUGUUCGAUUUAUUCAGUAGAAAACAGGACUGAAAAUCUAGGAUGUCACAACUCUCCCCCUCUUAUAAAAAUUUCAUCCUCGAAAUUUAAACAUUUACCAAUCCCUAAACAAAAAGGUGGGGGUAUCGUCGUCUCAUCUAGUCUCACUUUCCCCGGUUGCUUCUUUAGUCUGGUGGCAUUGUCAGACCACUUUGACCAAGGGGACUAUCUUGGUUCACCGAAUCUGUUUUGAACCACAAUAUGAACUGGGCUUUUCACGUACAACACUCUGUCUUCCACGUCUAAUUCUUCAAGAUUUAGCACGUGGGUCUAGUCAGGUUCAUACGUCCUCAACCUCAAAAUGUGAAAGGCGUCAUGCACUUGUGCCUACCUCGGCGACGACGCAAGAUAAUAUGUUCGGAUCCCGAUUCUUUUCAGAAUCUCAAAGGAACCUACUUACCUCGAUUUAAGUUUUCCCCCUCAUUGUCGAAGCGCAAGGUAUCCCUCAUUAGUGACACCUUCAGAAAGAUGUAAUCACCAAUUUGGAACUCUAAGGGCCUUCAAUACUCAACGAUACAACUUUUCUGGCAGCUCUGAACGGUCUUUAAUCUGUUUUUGAUCACGGCAACUGCAAUCACUAAUUGCUGAAUUGACUCUGGGCCUGUGAUAUUUCUUUUUCUGAUCUCAUCUCAACAAACUGGAGUUCUGUACACUCUGCUAUGUCCUGCCUCAAAAGGAACUAUCUAACUGUUCUGCUGAAACUGGGAACCUCGGUUCUAGAUCUAAUAUAAGUUCGUCACUAAUACUCCAUGCAAACGAACUGUCUGACACACACACACUUUUGUACGCCUAUUCCAAUCAAGAUCCUUUCAUACGGCGAUAAAGUGAGCCGACUUCAUCAGUCUGUCGAUCACUACCUCAAUUGGAGUGAUUAUUCCUCUGACUUCUUGGUAAACCUAUCACAACAUUCCAUCGUGAUAUACUUCCCUUCCCACUCGGGACUCUCGAGUGAUUGUAAAUGCCCUCUCGGUUUGCAUUAAGGAACUUUCACUUACUAGCACAUCUGACACUCACAACCUGUUCGACGGCAAUUAUCUUCAUAUCGAUCUACCAAUCGAGCUGACGUUGAUUCUGACCUACCUCACACUGUAUGUCAAAUACUGCAACUACUACCAUGAAUUCCUAAGUCUCUUCCUUGAGUGUUACAUCAUCAGGUACACCCAAUCACUCUCAGAACCUCAGUGUUCCAUCCUUAGAAAUCUCAAAGUCAGUCUCUUUCUUAUCAGUAUUCUUCUAUAGGAUUUUUUUGACAUCUGGGUCCACCAACUGAAACGUCUUGAUCCUGAAUUAAACAUUCGGUUCAAUUCUGAGGGUGGCCAUAAAAUUCAAAAGGUGGCCUACCUCAAAUUUGAAAACCAAAUUUCGAACCCUUUUCAAGUAAGGUCAAUUCCUUAACCAGCAUACGAGCAACUGAAGAUUCUUGACUCAACACAUUUGCGAACUUAUUUGCUGUUCCGGGGUGAUACCAGAUAUCACCAUCCUAAUCUUUUAAAAGUUCCGAUUCACGACAAUGUCUCAUACUCAACUCCUUCUAAGAUAAUAAAUACCGGAGACUUUAAUAGUCGAUGAAGAUCUGGAAUUUCUCUUCAUACCAAUGAUGUCUUAAAAUCAUUAGAGCGAAAAUUAUUGCUGCGAGUCCUAAGUCAUGCAUCGGGUAGUUCAACUCAUAAGGUCUCAACUAGCGGGACGCGUAUGUAACAAUCCUAUCAUGUUACAUCAGCAUGCAACUCAGUCUUCUGUAGUAAUCUGUCCAAUCCAUCCGGCUUUUGGUCUCUAAUACUGUUGUCGGUCUUGGUCAAUUAAUCAUGGCUUCAAUCUUGCUCGGGUUCACUGAAAUUCCUUCACCUGAGAUCACAUGCCCUAAGAAAGUAACACGAGUUAGCCAAAACUCGCACUUGCUAAACUUAGUGUACAACUGAUGAACUAUCAGCUUUUGCAGCACUAAUCUCAAAAGAUUCUCAUGCUCUCCAUCACUUCUCGAAUAUACCAGAAUAUCAUCAAUGAACACGAUCACAAACUGAUCUAGGUAUUCCUUGAAUACCCUGUUCAUCAAAUCCAUGAAGGCAGUUGAAGCAUUCGUCAACCCGAACGGCAUUACUGUGAACUCGUAAUGAUCAUACCAAGUACGAAAUGCUGACUUAGGAAUAUCCUCCUUCUUAAUUCUUAGUUGGUGAUAUCCUAUCCUCAAGUCGAUCUUUGAAAAUAUUGACUCCUUGUAACUGAUCAAACAAGUCAUCAAUCCUCUGCAGUAGAUACUUGUUGUUGAUUGUUACCUGAUUGAGUUGCCGAUAGUUGAUGCCUAAGAGCAACGAACCAUCUUUCUUCUUCAAAAACAAAACUGGUGCUCCCCAAGGUGAUGCACUAGGGCGGAUAAAUUUCUUAUCCAAUAACUCUUGCACCUGCACCUUCAGUUCUUUCAACUUAGAUAACGUCAUCCGGUAAGAAGCCUUAGAGAGUGACUCUGUCCCGAGUGCUAGUUCGUUCGCAAAUUCUAUCUCUUUCUCUAACGAUGGCCUGACAAUUCUUGUGACAACACAUCUAGAAAUUCUUGGACUACUGAGAUGUCCUCAACGUUCAGUUCUUCAAUUUGUCUUAUCUAUGACAACCGCCAAGUAUCCUUGGCAAUCUCCGUCUAAUUAAUAGGUUGCCUUCGGCCAACGAGAUUAAUGAAAUCGAAGAUUCUUUUCAACUCCUAAUAACCUCGAUGCUUUCACAUGCUAAUGGACUAAAUUGGAUUUCUCCAUGACCAUAAUUCAUUACCACAAGGUGCUUCAUGAGCCCACUCUACUCAUGUGGCGUCCAAAUUAUAUUUGAACAACUAGUCAAACACGACUAUAACUAGUGUUUCCCCUUUCUUCCACUUUAUUUCAACUAACUGAAAUUCUGCAAAUUCAGUCCAAGGUUUUGCUGUUCUACUCUGAUAAAAUCUCCCCAUGAACAUUCUUCUUCUAAUUGGUGUAGGGUUGAUUCCAUUCUUGUUCCUUUCGCCAUCCUAAUGGCGUCCUAUCUCUGGUAGUGGUAUCUGUGCUCCUUUGGAUUCUCACUGGUAGUCUUUCACCUAAUGGUCGUGCAGGUCAUAAUUACAACAUGUUCUAGUCAUUCUUGAACACUGGAUUUAUCCAUGUUUCCUUCUACAAAUCUGACACCUAUCUAGUGUGUCUUCUAUCUCCUAUUAGGUGACAGCAUGCACUCUUUUUGGUACCAAAGGUCUAAUCCAAAACUCCACUGUGCGUUCUAUGGCGCACUUCAUUUGAUCUGUCCCAUCGGCCUUCUAGGACUGUCUCCGGCCAGGUAACCCUGUUGGCUAUACUUGAAACAAAUUUUUGUCCUAAGAAAACAUAAGGCCAAUCUUUGCCGCCACGCACGGGAACAACAUGUUCCAUUUUGACUCAGUGCUGACCUAACUGUCCCACCCUUCCUAUUGGGUGGAAUAGAAUACUUUUCUCUUAACAUCAGUCUUUUCCCCGACCAAUUUCCAUCUCUGCUUGAACUGGAUCUAUACCUCGACUUGGAUGCAACGGCUCAUUCCCAGAUCAUAUCUUCACACUAGAGCUCAGCAUGUGUGGCAACAACGGCGGUUGCGGCACUGACGGCAGUAGUGAUAGCAACAAUAGCGGCAGCUCAGUCCUAAGCUUGUUGGCUCAAUCAAUUCCAAGGACACUAGCACCUGAACGAUCCCAUCAAACUUAGGAUCACUUGGUGCUGCUACACUAGUACCGGCCUACAACGGUACUCUUACACUCGCGUUGGCCUGAGCCAAUGCUCUGCCACAACUGCCUCGGGCACCGAUCCUUGUUGGUGUUCCACCCCGAGUCACAGAGGUUACAAGCCUCUUACUAGGAGUCCUCAGCUCCUGAUCACUCAUGCUACAUGAUCUUUAUAGAAAUAUGUUUUCUAAUUCUAAUACCAUAUUAGAAUUUGAGUGACCCACACAAACAAGCUACCAAUAAGCUAGCAUCAACAUGCACCAGCAUGAAUUUAAAUGCUUUUCCCACUACUAUCCCAUGGUCCAACGCACCUUAUCACUCAAAUCCCUAACGACCAUGCUCUGAUACCACAUAAUGGGGAUGUCAUGCCUCGAUCCUCGGGCAUGCACCCAUCCUUGACCUUGGUCAAUUAAUAGCAACGUCCUAGGAUGAAACAUUGACCCUUUCUUUUUAAUAUGCACAUGUGGAAGUAAUUAUAAAUCCCCAGACAAUAAAACAAUGGGAUAGGAAAGUAGGGCUAUAUUUUUCUCAAAUGAAAAACCAUAACCACACUUUUAUACCAGGCAAACCUCAUAGUAUAUAUUAUAAUACUAUUAACAAGAGUCUGAUCUAUCUCAUAACACUUCACACUCAGGGUUUGCAAAAUAGGGUGGGGUCUCAAUCCUCAUCCGGGUCAUAAUACUCCGGAUCAUCCUCGGAAUCCUCCUUGGACUUCUCCUCCGGUUCCUCAUCAGGGUCCUCUUCGGUUUCUUCUUCCUCAAGUUCCUCUUGAAAUGUUUUUCCACAACCGGGCUGAGACUAUGUCUCAGUAAGUUCUACCCCCUAAGACCCGAUUAGUAAGAAAAUACGCCUUAGGGGCUACCUAAGCACAACCACACAACUUGAACAUGCAAUUGUCGAUUCGCAUACAUCCUUACCUAGUAUGCCAUAGCCUGCACGUUAUAAUUCAGCAUGAUACACGCAAUGCACAUGGCCAUUAGAUGAUGCAAUCAUCAAUCACAUGAGUCACGUCACAAGUGACCUUACCUGGCUAUUGCCACACCCUGCACGUCAUUGAUUCACAAGUGCCAUAAACGAUGUGCUUAACUCAUGCCUUUAAAUUAAUUUCAGCCACACAGGCACAAUACCCAACACACAGAAAUACAGCCUAAUAGGCUCGACAUUACACCACACAAGCACGUUCCAAGCCACACAGGCCUGAUGUUACGCCACACAUGCAUGAUCUAUUUUCGCCGCACAGGAAUGUUCUACACCACAUGAACAUGAUUAAGUAUCGCCACACAUGCGUGAUCAAAUAUUGCCACAAAAGCAUGUUCUACACCACACGAACAUGAUAAAUUAUCGCCACACAGGCAUGAUUAAUUAUCCCCACACAGGCAUGAUCAAUGUGAUAUAUAUUCAACAAUUUACGUGCAUUCUCUAAGACAUCCUAUAUGCCAAAGCGAUGUAAUAAUCGCCGAGCCACGUCACACGGCAUUUCUUCUCAUCUUUUAUCAUACCCGAUAAAAUAUCAUGCGUGGGCACACAAUUGGUCUUAGCCAAAAUAUAAUAUUUUCCUUUCCAUAACUCUUACAUUUUCUAUAGUCCACUAAAAUAAUUAUGGCAUUAUUAACCGAUGCCCAGUUAUUUUUCAACUAAUAACCAACCUUAUUCAAUUUAGGAAUAAAUCUCAAAUUCACAGAUAAUUCAAUUCAGCACCAAAUAAAGCUCAAUUAAAUAAACAGAUUGCGCCAUGACAAUCAGCAUAAGAUUCUGGUCGUUGACUAUCCCUGCCUAAUUUUCGAAAAAAUAAAUAAAUAAAUAAAUAAUUUCAAAAAUUAAUAAAUAAAUACUAAAAAUCCAAUUUAGGCUUGUAAUGCCUAAUUGGACGCCAGAAUGGAUCAAGAAAAAUCCCGAGAUGCAUUCAAUAAAUACGAGUAUGUCUCUACUUGCUAAUUACACAAAUCAAUUGCCUAAUAUGCAUCAUUAAGUCACUAAUUAAAUUACUCUAAACUAAUUUAACCACCUAAUUGGACUUAAUUAAAUCUAAUCGACCCUUAAGAAUCAUUAACCGACUAAUAAGGGAUUAGUGAGCAAAACUCACUUGAUUAACGUGCGAGUCGGAUCAAACCGACGGGAACGUUGCAGGGGACGUUUUUCUCCAAAGCGGGCCUAAAGUCCGAGGCCCGCAAGCACCUCAAAAUGGCCUCCAAAGCUUGCUGGAAACCCACUAUUUUUCUUGCUGUUCUUGGCUGGAAUUGAAGGGAAAUCAACUCGGUUUAGGUGGGAAUUGCUCGAGAAUGUAAGAAUAGGCCAAAUUGGGCCUAGAGGAGGACUCACGGGGGUUCAACGAGCUUGGGACAGCCCCGGGUGAGCUUCAACAGAAUCGGGACAGCAGCUGGGAGGUGAGAGGGUGGCGGCCAAGGGGCGGUGUGUGUGGGUGCUACGCACGGGGCGGCGGCGCGCAAACUGGCGACGAUGAGGCGGCGAUCCGGCAUGAGGCGGCUGCAGCUUCUUCUUUGCUGUUGGUUUUGUCUAAAAUGAAGAGAGAAUGGAGUGGAUGGCAAGAAGAAGGAGAGAAGGAAAGUAGUGUGGAGGAAGCUUGGCCUUGGUGGGUCCUUUGGCCAAUUUUUUUCCACCAAGUUGUCUCCCAAAUACUUGCCCAUCAAGCCAAUAAUCCAUGGCUGUCAUUGAUCCACCAAAUGGUCCAUUUUGCUAGGCCAUGGGGGGAGUUAUGAAUUUGACACAAAUCUUUCUCAAUUGGACACCGUUCCUCACUCAAUUCAAUUUCAUUUGGCCUUUAAAAAUUCAAUUGACAUCUCAAUGCCUCUAUUAUAAUUUUCCUCACCCAAUAAUCCAUCUUGCAUCUCAAAUUUGCAACUAAAAAUAAUCCUCGGCCUUGAUUGAACAAAAAGGUCAUAAACCGACUUUUUCCCAAAAAGUCUCGGUUGUUAGAAAAAUCCUCUGAGACUAAGUCGUGGGUCAUAGAAUUUAUUGUGACAUGACAGAAUCUUCAAUUUCUGAAAUCGGACUUGAAUUAGCGGUUAAUUUCCAUUCGGCACAUUUUUAGCGUGACCUAGGCUACCGGGUAGUUUUCAGAAAUUUUUAGGGCAAAUGACCCGUGGUCGAUUUUCUUCAAACCACUAUGAACCUACUCGACACAUUGGCGACUCUCAGUUGUCGUGAAAAUCUCGAAGGUUCAAAUACGAACAUAGGGCACCAAAACGACAAUAAAAUCAAAUUAGUGUCGGUCGAUGAGAAUUUCUCAAUUUAGUGGCAUCACCCACGAUCGGCCACACAUCUCAGUCGAACGGACCUAUCUUUGAUCUCAAAUCGAUUUUAUACUGUGUCGUAAUGAUCUCUAAAGAUGAGCACGGUCGAGAAGCCGAUUCUUGGUCAAAUUCUCCAAUCUAUUGCCUUAAAAUUUCUUAAUGGCUUCCCCAUAUAGUUUAGUUAUCUCAUUAGUGGCCAUCUCAGAGAAAAGCACUAUAGGCACAUCAAUGAAAUGUACGGUUUAUUUAGUAGAAAAUAGGAUUGAAAAUUUGGGAUGUCACAUGUGUUGCUGGGCUUGUUGCCGUGGAGAGAAUGCUGGUUCGGUGGAGUCUUGCUGGAGUGUGUUGACCAGGCAAAAUGGCAGAUGUGGACUUCGUCGGGGAAGCUAUCUCGACGGGAAAAUUAAGAACAAGCUGUAGGACAAUUGGGGGCAAAAGAUGGUGGAGAUGGCAGAACAUGUGCAGGGAAAAUGAAGGUGAAAGAGAAGCUAUCCAGGGGGCUGGCGGAGCGGGUGUAGGCAAGAGAGAAAAGGUGAGGGGCAGCUGGCAACGUGCGAAUAAAAGAGAGGAGGGAGAGUGGGGCUUCGGCAAGGAGACCAGAGGAUAAGUAUGACUCAAAAAGUCAAAGAAGUGGGGAAAGAUGGUGGGACACGACAUAGGAGCUGUCAGUUUGGGGGGGAAAACGUGGGAGUGAGAGAGAGAGAAAAAGGAAGGGAGAGACGUGCGGUCGAAGGGGGGGGGGGGGUGGGAAAGAAGUAAAAAAAAAAGGAAAUUCCCAUAACCAUAAUUCUUGGUCACACUUGCUCUUAUUUAAUCCAAUCUAGUCCCAAAAAAUCUCCAUGCCAAAAUACUUAAUCCUCACUUACUUUGUUGCACCAAAUUUCCCCCAAAUAACAAGUCUUGGGCAACAAAAACGGCUAUUUCCCUCAAUUCCGAAUUCUAUGUCUUUUUUUUUCCUCGGAAUCCAUUUACUGAACAAACCUCUCAGAUUGAGGUCCAAUUUCGUUGAAGAAAAAGCCUACACAACUUCCUUUCACCAAGUAGUUCACACAGAGGCCAAAUCUCUUCAAUUUGGCCAAUCCGAAUUUCCGUUCGUUUUUCGAAUCGUUCCGAAUCGACUUUUCGUAAAAAUCCUAAACUCACCGAAAAUUCCUCGAAAAAUGAGUCGAUGUUCCUAAAAUGGCUUGUGUCACGACAGAACUUUCAAUUUCUGAAAUUGGAUUCAAAUUCGCGGUUAAUUUCAAUCCGACAUGAUUUUAGCGUGACCUAGGCUACCGGGUAAUUUUCAUAAAUUUUUAAUGCAAAUGACCCUUGAUCGAUUCUCUUUGAGCCACAACGAACCUCUUUGACACUUUGGCAACUCUCAAUUGUCGUGAAAAUCUUGAUAUUUCAAUUACGGACACAGGGUACCAAAACGAUAGAAAAAUUAGUCUAGUAUCGGUCGACGAGAAUUUUGUAGUUUAGUGAAAUCACCCACGCUUAGCCACAUAUCCUAGUCGAACUGACAUAUCUCUGAUCUUUAAGCGAUUUUUAACUGUGCUGUAAUGAUCUUUGCAAAUGAGCAUGGUCGAGUAAUCGAUUUCUAUCUAUUGCAUUAAAAUUCUUUUAUGACUUCCUCAGAUAGUCUAGUUAUCUCAGGAGUGAUCAGCUCUGAAAAUAACACUAUAGAUGCGUCGAUGAAAGGCCCGAUUAAUUUAAUUGAAAGCAGAACGGAAAAAUUCAAUAUGUCACAUUUUGGAAGUCUAAUUGAGGGGAGGCUUACACAACUAAAACUAGUUGUACAAAAAUUCAAUCCAAUAAAUUACUUUUUUUAUGUCAAACAACUUGAAUUAGUGUUCUGGACAAAGAAACAAAGUAAUGGCGAGAGUAGCACGUCGAGAGUAGCACGUGACUUUUCCUGCCAAGACUUUCAUUAAUUAUUUCUUCAACUAGUUGGUGCGAGUCUGAAAUUUUUUUUUUCCCUUUUAUUUUUAUUUUUUAUUUUUUUAUAUACAUGAAGGAAGGCCGCAGGUGACUUCCAGGCAAUAGAGCUUAGUAACAAUGUAAUAAUAAUAUAUAUUUCUGAGACCACGUCCGAGGACGACGACUUCCAUCAGUUCUUUCCUAUUUAGUGCGAUCCGUGUGGCCCUUCUUUUAAGCUUAUGAAGGAAGGCUGCAAGUGACUUCCAGGCAAAGGAUUAUUUCCUCAACUGAGCGAUCUCACUCUGUUUGCGUGGGGGCUUUUAGGCCAAGGAGCAAACGGGAAAAGGUAAGGAAAGUUCCAUUAGAUGUUUGCGUGGGGAAGAGCUUCAUUUUUUAGUUGGACUGUUGUUUCCAAGACCAAACAGACUUGCCUAUUUGUAGGCUCGUUUCGACUGUCGUUCUUCAGUUAAUUUCUCUGAACAUUGUCUCUGCUUGUUCUUUUCGCAUGCUGAAUAUUUUAUUAGCCAUUAUUUUUAACUAUCACAAAUUAAGCUAGAGAUCACCAACUACAACUACCAACUAGAGACUUGAAUCUUACAGAAGUCUAGCAGUUUCUAGAAAUUUGAUCAAGACGUCCGUAGCUUUAUCAAGUUGUUUCAAGGAUCAGACUCAAGACUUCCCGAGUCACCCCGCAGACUCGAUUCUGAGAUCAAUAACUCCAUUGUCCUCUUGGAAUGAACAGAAAUAGUGAGGCAGAAGAGACGGUGGCACCCGCGGCGACAGCGAUGGAGGUGGCGACAGCAGCUCCGGCAAGCAGCAGUCAUGAUGGUGGAUCGGAGAGGGGCCUGAUGGCGGUGGCAACGGCAGCUCUAACGAGCAAUAGCCAUGAUGGCAGAUUGGGGAGGACCCAUGAGGUAUUCCUGAGUUUUAGAGGACCUGACACCCGUUUAACCAUUGUGGAUUCCCUGUACAAAGCCAUUGAACAUGCAGCAAUCAGUGUUUUCAAAGAUGACGAAGAGCUCCGAGUCGGUAAAGAGAUUGGAGGUAAUCUUAUGCAAGCAAUCAAUGAAUCCAGAAUUUACAUCCCGAUUUUCUCCAAAAACUACGCUUCAAGUAAGUGGUGCCUCCGUGAGCUCGCACACAUAAUGAAGUUAUCGAGAGACGACAUUGAGAAAGUGAUACUCCCUAUAUUCUAUGAUGUGGAUGCGGAUGAUGUUAAGCUUAAGACUGAAUUAUAUAGGACAGCCCUCCAAAUUCACGAGAGUGACUCUGGGAAGGAUAUGGCAAAGCAGUGGGAGGAGGCUUUAAGAGAGGUUGCUGGAAUUAAAGGAUGGAAUCUAAAAGAUUACGGGUAUUGUUAGCUUCUUCCAUUAAGUUUAUUUUCAUUUCGUCAAUUUCGAAAUUAUAUUCUAUGAUACUUUUUCCAGAGUAAUAACUUUCAGUUUGCUGCUGUCGAAUCUUAUAUGAUGUAUGGUUGAUCGGCCGCAGUGAGGGAGGCAGAAAUUUUGCUCAGGGAGCAAGGUUUCUUGCAUAAAUUGACUUUUCACUUUUAAUCCCAAGUUUUGAUAACAAUAGUAUCAAGAUAUGUCAACUUAAUUAAUCAAUCAUUAAUGCAAAAAGAAUAUUUAUGAAAAUCUAAGAGUUGAUGAAAUAAUAAGACAACAUAUGUGUGAAAAAUAAAAAUUUAAAUCUCUUAACUUUGCAGCUCACUUUUCGGCUAGCAAAAUGCUUUUAAAAAAACUUCGGUCAUUUCUCUUGCUUUGACCUAUUCACGGCCCCUGAUUGUACUUAGGGCACCACAGGGUACGGAUUUCCUUUGCCUUGUGACCAUCCUAGUUUUAAAGUUGUCAACUUUUAUAUGAAAGUACUUAUCUUAAUUUGUGUCUUACCAACUUCUUUUCGAUUAACUAAUUUUAGGUUACCAGCGUUUAUUUAAGUCAUUUAUUAAGUUUAAUUGAUUGUUUGCCGAUUUACAAAUUUUAUAGAAUCUACCAUCUCUUAUUUGAAUUGUUUACUUCACAUUUCAAAGUUACCAAUACUUGAAACAAAUCAAUAACCCUAAUGUGAGUUUCAUACUAACGAAUCUCUAAUUAAGUUACUAGCUAAUUUAAGUUACCCAUUCCUAUGUGAACCACUUAUCAAUAUUUAUAUUUUGUUGAAAAUUCCACCUUUUGUAACAAACUUUUGUUAUCAACGGACCCACUUUUAUUAGCAUAGUUCACAAACAUUCUGAGGUUAGGAACUCAAUUAUCAAAUUACCAAGCAUGUAAUUUGAGUUACUUACCAACUUAUUCUGAUUAAAUUACCAACAAAUUUAAUGUGACUGAUGAAAUCACUAAGUUAAACCAGUUGGUAGCUUAUUCAGAAAAAUGAUUGUUGGCAACUCAAAUGAAGGCUGAUAAAUACUCUGAAAGUGUUCCUCAUAUUUUCGGUUACUACCCUAUUACUCGGGUACAUUAAGAAAAAUGCUUUUGAGCUUUUAUUCUUGUUUUUUAAAUUCCAGGUAACUGCCUAGUGAGAAAAUCUUUUUCUUUUAUGUCAAUCUUCAAACUCAUCUUUAGUGGCUGAAGAGAUAAAAAAGACCGGGUUCACCGAGGAAUUCUAGUCAAAGCCCAAUUAGACCUUCGUCAUGAAAUAACCUUUUUCCUACCAUUAACCAGACCAAAGAGUCCUGACGGGAGCUGCUUUUUUUUUUUUUUUUGGUGGCAAACGGCUCGCAGCAUGAAUGAUCACUCAUUUCAUGUUGGUUGCUUUCAAAGUCAAUUACUUUAAAAUUUGAUGAUAACCAUCUAGUGACACGUUAUGCAGGCAUAGAUUCCAUAUGUGAUUUUUUUUAAUCUGACAUGAUUGCAUGUUAUGUAUGUGGCAGCCUAUAUAAACUUACAAACCUCAUGGUGGAAGAGGUUUCAAAUUUGCUAUGGACAAGACGAAGAGACAUGUCUAAUCAUUUGGUGGGAAUUAAAGAUCGAAUGGAUCACAUUAUGAAGCUAUUAGAUGUAGGAGCUUUUGAUGUACGAUUUAUUGUGAUUCAUGGUAUGGGUGGCAUUGGAAAAACGACACUAGCCGAGGCCGUCUUCAAGCAAAUCUACCCUCAAUUUCGGGAUCAUUGCUGUUUUCUCAAAGAUGUUCGAACUCAUGAUAUAAUAGGUUUACAAAAGAAAUUGCUGUUUGACAUUCUCAAUCUUAGUUGCACAAACCCCUUCUUCAUUGAUGAAGUGAUCAAGACAAGGUUUCUUGGCAAGAAAGUCCUCGUUGUUCUUGAUGACAUUGACAACUGGGACCAAAUCAUGAGACUUGUAGGCGAGCCCAACUGGUUUGGUGGGGGUAGUAGAAUCAUCAUAACAACAAGGAAUAUUGAAUUCCUGGUAAAGGAAGGUGAGGAUGACAAUCUCCCAAUCUCUAAUAGCGGACAAUUUUCAUUCUACGAUAUGCCGGAGAUGAAUUCACAUGAUGCUCUUCAACUUUUCUAUGCGCGUGCCUUGGGACAUGCCAAGCCUCUGCCUAGUUGCAUGGAUAUCACAAAAAAGCUAAUCAAUGCACUAGGAGGACUUCCAUUGGCUCUCAAUGUCGUAGGUUCCACGCUCCGUGGAAAAUGCCGAAGAACAUGGGAAGACACUCUAUGUAAGUUAAAGAAGGUGAUGAAUGAGGAUGUCAAGAAGAAGUUGAUGAUAAGCUACGAAGCAUUGGGAACUAAUCAACGGCAAAUUUUUCUUGAUAUCGCAUGUUUCUGCUUCAACAAAGAGAAAACAACUGCAGUUAAAUAUUGGGAUGCAAUUUUUGGGUAUCCUACCGAAAUUGAGGUCAAUAGCCUUAAACGUAUGUCUCUGAUAAAAAUAUCGAACGAUAAUAAACUAUGGAUGCACGACCAACUUAGAGACCUUGGAAGGAGUAUCAUCCAUCCAGAAAGUGGCGAAAUCCAUAUGAAGGGUAGCAGAUUGUGGUCUCCCAAGGAUGCCUUCCGUGUAGUGCAGACAAAAACGGUAAUCUUUACCUCUAAAUGUUUUCCAGUGCAUCCAUUAGCAUCACCACCUUUUUUUUUUCAUCUAAUUUCAAUUCAAAGUGACAUGUACUCAUUGGUUGGUACUUUUGUUUUAUAGGGAACCAAAGACAUAGUGGCGCUCAAUCUUGGUACACCCGACUCCAAUAAGACAUAUAGAUUUAAGCACAAGCAAUUUGUGGGCUUGGUCAACCUUAGGUUCCUUCAAUUGGACCAUGGAAACUUUGAAGGAGACUUUAAGAAUGUUUUCUUUGAUUUGAGAUGGCUCUCUUGGAGCAAUUGCCCAUCAAAAUUCCGUGCUAGCAACUUUGGGUUGAAGAAUUUAACGAUUCUCAUGCUAUCUGGGAAUAACAUUACUGAAGAUUGGGGAGGGUGGUGUCAAAUCAUGGUAUGAUCUCACGACAUCCUUUUGCAUUAUAUUUACUCUUCCUCUUUUCUAAGUGUCUACUCAAUUACUUUAUAGGUAGCAAAACAAUUGAAAAUCCUACAGCUCGAGGAUUGUCCAUUCCUUAGAAAGACACCCAAGUUCUUUGCAAUCUCGCAAUUGGAGAAAUUGAUUCUUAGAUGCCUUCGACUAAGGAAGAUUGACAAGUCCAUCGGCAAUCUAAAACAUCUUGAUUACCUAGAGAUAAAGAGUGAAGCUAUUGAGUCACUACCGGAGUCCAUCGGCGGUCUAAAAUCUUUGACAGUGCUAAGAAUAGAUUGGACACUCUCAAUGAUGCCUCACUCGAUUGGUAAUUUAGCAAAGGUGAAGUCUCUAAUCUUGUCACGUAGGGAACUUCAAAAGCUUCCCAACUCUAUCGGACAAUUGGAGUCACUACAUGAGCUAGAUGUCCAAUUUUUAAAAAUUAGUGAAUUGCCUCAUUCUAUUGGAAAUCUUGAAAGGUUGAAAGUUUUACGCAUCUCACAUUGCCCGCUAGAAAAGCUACCAGACUCAAUUGGGAGGCUCCAAUCAUUGGUCAAGUUGGAUUUGAGCAAGUCAAGAAUCAGGAUCUUAUCUGAUUGUAUUGGAUAUUUAAAAAAGUUGAAGGUACUAAAUCUUAAUGAUAGCCACAUAAGUGAAUUUCCAAAAACCAUAGGAAUGUUGGAAAAUCUAGAAGAGUUAUGUGCCUGCUCUGAACAUUUGGUGGUGGAAAUUCCAAGUGAAAUCGGGGCACUAUCCUCAUUGAAAAUUCUAGACUUAUCCCGUGGCCGCUUUAGUGGAUUGCCAACAACCAUCAAUCAGCUUACAAAUCUCCAAGAACUUAAUUUAUGGGGCUGUGAUUCGAUCCAACAGCUACCGGAGCUUCCCAAGAGCCUAAAGUCUUUAGCCCUUUCAUCGGAUUCACUGACCAUGAUCCCCAACUGUUCAAACCUAACCAAUUUAGUUGACCUUGAGAUAAACGGAAAUUCAAUGCAAGAACCCAACACAGAGGGGAUCAUGAGACUACCUGCUCUAAGACGAAUGACCCUGUUCAUUGGAAAAAUGGCCUUGCCUCCAACCGAUUUCAGUUCCCUCUCUCAACUACAACACCUCAACAUAAGUUGUGCCGAGCCCCAAUCUCUUAUCGGGCUCCCAUCCAGCCUUCGAGAGUUGAGGUUAAAGGAUGUCCAAUCACCAAUAGAUUGGUCAGUCUUUUCCAACUUGGAGAAUUUGUCAGGCUUGUCUUUUGUAUAAUUUUUGUUUCCUGCAGUUCCAUAGAUUGAAUUGGGAUUGUCUGAUGCUGCACAAUCAAAGAUCACUGUCAACUUUGCUCCACAUCUGAUGCCAAUGGUUAUAGUUGCAAUUUUCAAGCAUUCCCAUUUUUAAAGUAGAAGUUCUGCUUCUCUAUCCAUAAUUAUUAACUUUUUUCAUCUAUUUAUGUAGAGUCCUGGAAUAUAGUCAAUUAUUCCUGUUGAAAUGUCUUUGGGUGUGACGGUGAGGAUCUAUACAAGCAACUUAAAGUUGUUUGCUAGCCAAACUUUAUAAGUCCUAUUCCGCUUAGGCAUUCAAUGGCUAAAUGUAUUGAGCAUUAACCUUAGCUUUUGUUUGUUGAAAUAUUUUUCAGUAUUCAUAAUUAGCUUAAUCAAAGGACAUAAUUUAUUUCAUAGAUCUUGGUAAGUCAAUCGAGUAGUGGACAUCUUGGGGGACUAAACCUUGAAAGAUUUGCAACUUCCUCUAGUAUUCUCGAGUGUACUUCCCACAUACUUCAUGUCACGCCCCAAACCUCGGGCACGCAACAACCCCUUCCUUGGUCGAUAGAAAGUCAUGUCCUAAGACUCAUCGCCGACCCUUUCAUUUUUAAUCUUUCAUUAUGCGCAAGCGGAAAACAAACCAUCUCCCCAUCAAAAGACAAUCAAGCAAUCAAACAGGGAUAGUGAGAUGAACAGUAGAAACAUAACAUCUACUCAUAUAUAUACAUUUUUACAUUGGAUUAACCUAUGGAGGAUCGCUUCCGAUCUAUAAGUCCAUUAGAGGGGUUGAUCCAACCUCUAAGCCAUACCAAAAAGAAACUAGGCUAGGCUAAUCCAUUAUACACAAAAAUACCCCUCGGGUUCGGCCCUACAAUCACUCGGAUCCAGCGGACUCAGACUCCGUCGAUUCAAAGCUGGAGCCAUACGUGUCUGUCACUAGUGAAGCGGGGCCAGGAUUCUCCACUGCAUCGUCAAGAGGGUCUAGCUCCAUGGGAUCCCAGUCAGCGUCCUCGAGGCCCCUACCCGGUGGCCCGUCAAAACCUCUCAGAGGACUUAUCAACAAAUCGCCGUCCCUAAUGAACCACGCCAGGAACCUAUGGGGUAUCCAUUGCCCUAGUCCCUCAUCUACUCAUACAGUAGAGAGAUACUUCUCGUACAGAUGUGCCCAACCCGGGAAGCGGUGGCGCGUUAUGACAGUAUCCCAGUAGGGAUACCGAACCUCAUUGGCGGAAGUGCCAUCCUAAGGACUUGAAAGUGGUUAUCCAAUAACCAGUGAGAUAAAAUCUCAGCGAGUCCUCCCCUAAGCCCCUGAUGAGAACACUAACUCAACUUAGGGUAUCUCUCCAGAACCACCCCACAAACUUACCACGACUAACAACCAACAACCAACAAAUCACAAUAGUGACGGUCAACCACAAUCACAUAGUAAGUUCGCAUGCAACCUUACCCGGUAUGCCAUACCCUACAUGUUGAAUCUCAGCACAAUACACGCAAUACACAUGGCCAUUAAACGAUGCAGUUCAUCAAUUACAUACGAGUCGCUUCACAAGCGAUCUCACCUAGCUAUUGCCACACCCUACACGUUAUCGAUUCAUGUGUGUAUGCUAUAAAUGAUGUGCUCAACUCAUGCAUAGUCAAAACCAAUGAUGCCAUGAUUCUCAUACACUCUUGCACAUUAGUGCACCACCUAUCAUGCAUCAAUCGAUCACAUGGGUCCCAAUUAUAAGGUAAAAUUAUUAUGACCUCAUAACAAGGUCCAAUUCUCUCAACACUCACUCGUGUCCCACUUAUUAAUGACCUCAACACUCAUGCGUGCUCCAGAUAUUAAUGACCUUCCGGUCAUGGCUAACUUUCCAGUAAUCAGUCAUCCAACUCCUGCCAGGCUACCGAUAAAAAUCGAGCUUUGUCUUGGCCUGUCGGGCACGGCUACAUCGAGAACUUCCAUGCAGACGGUAUCCCAAAGAGGGACAUCGGUCUAGAAUCUAUUGCGAUCGGCUUCCAACUCCCGUUAGGUAUCGCCCCCAAACUUCCAUUGGGUGACGGUUCAAACUUAGCGAUCGUGCAAACAUACCUCCUCAAAGCCUUCUCUCAUAAAGGCAAUCCAUAUCCAAUGCCCUUGGACAAUCCAUUAUUCCCUUCUUCUUUUUUUUAUGAAAAUCCCUCAAUUCAUGCGGAUGCCCAUGCAUUUAUACACUCAAAUCACCUCAUAAGAUCAAAACGCAUGAAAUUGGACAACUUUUCAUUCUCGGGUGAACAGUGCACGUGAAUAGUGUUUUUGUGAACAACGUAUCCUGAACAGUGCUUCGUGAACAGUGUUUUGUGAACAGUGUUGUGUGAAUAGUGAAUUUCCAGAAUUAAAUAACUAAUAAAUUAAAUCUAAAAGUCAUUAAAAACACUAAUUAAAGCAAGCAAUUAAUCAAUGAUUGAUUUGCAUAAUUUAAGUCAAUGCAAAUAUGUGCCAAAAAAAUUAAAUACAAUCCCAAUGGAUUCCUUUGCCUAUUUCUUCUCCCUUCUUGUUUCCCGAUUUGAGGCGCAUGUAUGAUAAGCCAAAUUUUUAAGUGAAGUUAAUCAUCAAUACUGAUAAAAAAAAUUCACUUAUGUCUGCUUUACAUCUAUACAAUCUAAUUAUAUUAGAUUCUCAAACUCAGUGCCCACUUUGAAUAUGACAUAAUAACAUGUUCAGGACAUGAUGACAUUAUUAAAAUGUUAAAUAUGGUGUCAACUACUCUAGGAAGAGAAUUAAGAUGUAAAAUUACCCCAUUAACUAUAGAGAAUCUCAUGUUAAAAAACUUUUAGAGAAUCUCAUUUCCGUAUCUAUUCCAUCAUAUUUUAUAUUUAUUUAUUCAAAUAAUAUUGACAAUCGAAUACACCUUUUUGAAUUGUCACGCCCCGAUCCUUGAGCGUGUGCCCAUCCCUCGGUGGUCGAUUAAAAUGUGACGUCCCAAGACGCGUCACCGACCCAUUCAUUUUAAUGCACAUGCGAAGCGAAUAAAUAAAUCCCCAUACAACACAAAGAUGGGAUAGAAAAGCAGGGCCACGAUUUUAAAAACCACAACACACCUUUAUACAUAGCAGACUAGGUCAUUUAUAAUACUAGUCUAUAUUCACAAGUAUAUAAAGGCAGAAGGGCUACAAGUUCUCUAAGCGUUCGAACCCUUAGCCGAAGACUCUGGUGUCUCAUGGGGACUGGGAGGGUCAGCUGUACCCUCGCCAAAAGCGAUCUCUAACACAGACAUAGGGAUCUCAAACUCCGAUAGGGGACCUUCUCUGGGUCCAUCUCACCCGCGGUGAUACCAUGAUUUGAAUUGAUGGGGUACCCUCCGGGGUAGACUUGCAUCAACCUAGACAAUGGAUCUCAUGAGUUCAUAGACCCAGGCUCCUUGGCCACCAGGAAGAGAAAUCAGAGAGACCUGUUUGGUGACCUUCUUGGGCUAGCCAAAAUGUUCAGGAGGAACCACCAUCUAAGGACCUAAAAAUGUCAGCGCGCGAUGGGGUGAGACGAUGUUUCAGCAAGUUCACCCCCUAAAUUUCGACUAGGAAGGAAAUACGCCUAAAGGCUGCCUAUGCACACUCACAAGAUAGAAGACUUACCUCGCCUCAAUUCCAUCCUACAAGUCAGUAUAGUUCAUGAUUUCAACCAAUCCAUUCAAUUCAAAUCAAACCAUCGAUCAAUCAGUCAAUUAGCUCAAUUCAAUACCAACAAUACUAUCUAUAAGUUCAACACCAUAUAUCAAUCCUUUUGAUACCACAACUACUCAUACAAGCUGCAAUAUAUGGUUAUAGCUCACUCAAGCUGAUAUAGAUAGAUAGUAGCUCGCUCAAGCUAAUAGGUAUAUAGAUUGUGUGUGUGUGUGUGUGUGUGUAUCGUGCUCCCACAAGCUGAUUAAACCGAUCUAACCACCUCACAUGCACAAAUGAAUAUUUAAAUUGCUAAUCCGUUCUAACUUACUAUUUAAACCAUACUUAGCAUAAAAUAAUCAACCUUUAAGCAUCAUUAACUCCCUAAGCAGAGUUUAGUGAGUAAACUCACCGGUUUAGCGAUUCGGUGAGUCCACGACGACGGCAACGCGGAGACGGGCGACAAACUCCGAAGCGGCGAUACCCUACGAGGCUCGGAUGUGUCCUAAAACAGGCCUUGAAGCCCACGAAGGCUUGCUGGCCUGCGGUUAUGCUCUUGGGCCAAGAGAGAUGGCAUAGGGCUCGGCUUGGGCUGGAAACAGCCAGGCGGGCUGCUAGGCGGGUGAGCGGAGUAGGCGGAGCUGAACGGCGGUGGAUGCUAGUUCAGACGGUGGCUUAGGGCUUUGACGGUGACCUGAGGAGGCUCGGGAGGAGCGGCACGGCGACGGAAUAGGCGGGAUGACGCGGCAGUGGCGCGGGCUCACGCGGGGGUGCGACACGUGCGAGCGGAGAGUGGCAGCUGUCUGGCAAGCGUGCAAAGGCAGGAGGUGGCUGGCUCGGUUUUUCUGAAACUUUAGGAGCCCAAAAAUGGCCUAUAAUGGAGAAAGCACUCUGCUGAAGACGAAGAAGAAGAAGACAGUUGCCCAAGUGGAGGGUCCCAAGGCCAAAGUAUCAUCUAGUUUGAUCAUUAGAUGGCCCCUCACCUUGUCUGCCCCAUCCUCAGCCAAAACAUAGCCAACAAGCUUCUCUAGGAAGCCAUUAAAGUGGUCCAAAAGUCCCUCCCCCCAUGGCCUACAAAUUUGUAACAUUUUCCCCCCAGAUUGGAUUCAAUUUCUCUCCAAAUGGACUUAAACCGGUCCCAAUAAAAUCCACCAAGGUAUCCUCGACCAAAUUGACAUUUUUCCUUGCCAAUAGAACCAACUUGCAUCCCAAAAAAGCGAUAAAAAACGUUCCCCUGAAUUUUCCGGAUAAAAACGGCCCUAUUUUGAAUUUUCACCAAAAAUCUCGAUUUGUAGAAAAAUCUUCAGAGGACAAGUCGAUGUUCCUAAAAUAAAUUGUGACAUGGCAGAACUUUUAAUUUUUGAAAUCAGAUUUAAAUUCGCGAUUAAUUUCAAUCUGGUGCAACUUUAACGUGACCUAACCUACUGAGUAGCUUUUAGGAAUUUUUUGUGCAAUUGAACUGUGGUCAAUUUAUUGCAAGCCACAAUGUACAUCUUUGACACAUUGGCAACUCUCAGUUGUCGUGAAAAUCUCAGGGUUUCAAGUACGGGCACAGGGUACCAAAAUGACAGAAAAAUCGGUUUAGUGCCGAUCAACGAGAAUUUUGCAAUCAGGUGGAAUCACCCACACUUGAUCACAUAUCUCAUUCGAACCAACCUAUCUUUGAUCUCUAAUCGAUUUUUAACUGUGUCGUAAUGACUCUUGCAUACAAGCAUGGUUGAGCAGUCAGUUUCUAGUUGAAUUCUCAAAUCUAUUACGUUAAAAUCCCUUAACGGCUUCACUUGAUAAUUUAGUUAUCUCGUGAGUGAUCAGCUCAGAGAAUAGAACUAUAAGCGCGUCGAUGAAAAGCUCGAUUCAUUCAAUUGAAAAAAAAAACUUGAAAUUCAGGAUGUCACAUUAAUGGUAUCAAAGAUUCAAAGCCAUCCAUUAGAGUCAUCAUUACCUGGAUUAAGGGACAAAGUACACCCCAAGUGUCAAAACUUGGUAUGGAGGGAUAUUUAAGUGCCAAAAGUUAAGAAAGUGACACUCAAGUGCCGAAAUCGGAGCAAAAUGAAUCAUUUAAGUGUCAAUCCGGCCAAAAUGCCAAUGUGGCGAUUUUUUGACGAAGCCAAUGAAAAAUGGCGUCAUUUUGCACGUUGACGUGGCUAGAUAAUAUAAAAAUGAUAUCGUUUUGGUGCUGACGUGGUAAAAAUAAUUAAUAUAAAAAUUAAUUAAAUUAAAUUUUAAACUAAAUUUAUUUAAAAACAUUUAAAAAUAAAAUAAAAAUAUUAAAAAACUAAAAAUUAAAAAAGAAAAAAGAAAAGAGAAAAGAGAGGAAACCGGCUGAGGGCUGAGCCCUCGCUGCCGCCACCUCCCUGCUGCCGCCAAAAGGGCCGGCGGUAGAGGGGGGAGGGUCGCGGCCCUCGCCCAGCUCCGACAGGUGUCGAUGGCCCUCGCCCAGCCAGGCCAAGGGCCGCCAGUCGCUGGGGCUGCCUGCCUCUCUCUCUGUUUUUUUAUUUAAUUUUUUGUUAAUUUUUAGUUUUUUAAUAUUUUUUAUUUUUAAAAUGUUUUGAAUAAAUUUAGUUUUAAAUUAAAUUUAAUUAAUUUUUAAUUAAUUUUUUUUUACCAUGUCAGCACCAAAAUGACUUUUUUUUUGUAUUGUCUAGCUAUGUUAGCGUACAAAACGACGUCGUUUUGCAUUGGCUUCGCCGGAAAAUCGCCACGUCAGCAUUUUGCCCGAAUUUUGUCUGAAUUGGCACUUAAGUGAUUCAUUUUGCUCCGAUUUUGGCAUUUAAGAGUACUUUCCUAACUUUUGGCACUUAAGUGUCUCUUCAUGCCAAGUUUUGGCACUUGGGGUGUACUUUGUCCCAGGAUUAAGUUCUUGAUUUUGGCAAAAAAUAGUCGGUUUAACCAUGAUUGACUAAAGCUUGGCUUGGCAUUAGAAAGAAAGAAAAAUAUGCUAACAAAGAAAAGAAAGUAUAUUAAAGGAAAAAAUUAGAAACUCUUUGGUCUUACAUGGAUGCUUCUUCAAUUAUCCGACAAAUCAUUAUAAGAGGGCCAGUAACCAUUUGAUCACAAAAUAAGGGAUCUCAAUUCUUCAUUCAAAUAUUUCAAGUUGUUACAAAUUAUGACAGUUUGCAUUAGAAAUUUUAAUAAAUUUCACAUACUUACAAUGCACUACGGAUUGAAUCAAUCGAUCAAUGAAUCAUAAAAGGGAAAUACUUGCAUGUAUUAUGUCAACCCACUCAAGUCACUCAAAUGCGAUUAGUAUUUUUUUGGUUCCUAAUUAUACCCAAUAACUCACAAUAUUUAGCCCUCACAAUCUCUUGUAAAAUAAUAUAUCAAUCUCACAAAAAAAUUCACACAAGGUUGUUGGGUUUAAAACAUUUUUUGAAUGGCCUCGGAAUGUAAUUAGUCGACGAUGACCCUCUGUACAUUCAUGCCACAAGAAGUGCCACUCCCUCAAACGGCCUUUGAAGACCGAAAGAAAGCCAACAUAGAUCUUUCUAUAUAUUCAUCAAGAAACCUUGUUUUUCCCCGACUCCGACACGAAGAUGAACUUCAGCGUUUUGCAUCCUAAUUUGACCCGAGCUGUCCAAGUUAACAACGAGUCCAAUUCGGAUUUUCCUCAUUGUUGCAACAUCCAGGUCUUCGAACAUUCCAGGACCUGCAUAAUAAUGACAGGAUCGAUGCAAAUGUAGUAUCUCACUCAUAAUGCAAGGACGUGCGAUCAUCAAUUUUCAUAUCUCAAAUCAACAUUAAAAAAUUCAAUAAAUGACAUUCGCUGCAUGAAUGCCAACUAUAUUUCAAAAAAACGAAGUUGGUUUCAUCGAAAAAUAAAUUAUCAUCAAACAAAUAUAACAUCAUUGGAUAGCUUCAACAAAGCCGUGAAUGAUGCACAUUUUGCUAGAUUGGAUUGGAAUCUCAAUUUAUAGACAAAGGAUUCCGAUGAUAUAAAUGAGGAGGGUAAUACUUCAAAUGAUAAUGUAAUAUUUGAUAUGACACAUUUACGUAAUCAAAUAACUAUGAAUUUAGGAAAAAGUUAAGAAUGUUUCUAAUUUUUAAGGAUAAUGAAUUUUUUUCCUCGAAGCAUAUAUUACUAUGUUUAUUGUAAUAAAAGUAUUCUCCUCAAAAUUGAGAAAGAGAGUAUGUGAAUUUUUUUCAUUUGAUAUUUUUUAGCAAAAGAAGAAAUUUUAAUUUUAAUAAAAUUGUUUAUACAACAUCUUUAACAUUGUUGUCAAAUAUAAAUUUAAAAGGUCACAAACAUUAUUUUUUUUUUAACUUUAAACAAAUAAAAAUUGAAAAGCUUAGAUUAAUCAUCAAAUGGGCUUUUCAAAUGCGGCUUAUACCAAAUAGAAUUUCUCUCAAAGUUACUUCUCAAAGUAGAAUUUACCAAACAGUCGUUUCAUUUCCCCCAAAGCCCUUUACACUAAACUAUUUUGUAUUUCCCCAAUGACCUUUCAAAAUGCUUAAUCAAACGCACCAUAAGACUUAUCUUUGGGUAUCAUUUACCAUAACCUUUCUAAGGCAUCCUCAUCCUCUUUUUUUUUUUUUUUUUCCGUUCACUAAUUAGGAAGAUAUUGGGUGGAUUCAAUUAAUUAUAUUAAUAUGAUUCCAUAUAAUUAGUCAGUAAAAGUGGCAACCAUUAGGCAACGUUGAAGUUUUGCUGAGUGUAUGCUUUAAUUCCCUUGUGCGGCUUCCUUUGGCCAGUGAUAUGUACUUAGAUGCUAUUGCUCAUAUGAUAGAAGGAUUCACUGGAGGGGAUCUUCAAGCUCUUCUUUUAGAUGCACAGCCUCAAGCUGUUCACGAUCUUAUCGACAGUAGUGAAGGCAAUCAGCAUGGGAAAAAACCAAUUAUAACCGACUCUCUUCUAAAGUCCGUUGCUUUAAAGGCAAGGCUGUCAGUCUCAAAUGCCGAGAAGAGAAGACUUCAUAGAAAUUCUUUUCAUUCGUCGAAUUCUAUCAUCUAUCCCCACAACAAGAAUUGUGCAUCUCCAAUCAGAAUUUCAACUGCAGAUUAUGAUAGUGGCUUAUUAUGCAUCUGUUGGAGUUAAUCCCGGCAAUAAUCUCAUUCUCGUAUAGGAACACGACAUCUAUGGAACAAUUCAUUAGGUGAAUUUGCAACUUCCAAUCACAAAUUUUGAGUAGUCGCGACAUUUUGGCAGGAGCUGCUAUUUUCACAACUUUUUUGGUUUAGAGCACCUUAUUCAAAGUGAUGAGACAAAUUGUGGGCUAAAGAUUUGGCUAUGAAGGACAAUGGAAAAUUAUGAGCCUGAGUAAUUCCGAUGAAAUCGUUAGCACUAUGUUGUGUAAGAGUUUUCUUUAUGUGGGCUACAUUAAUUGAAAUUGUAAUUACCGUUUUACAGCGUUAGUCUAAUAAGGUAAGGCAUAAGGUUUUUUUAAUGGUCGAAUAUGGGCCUAGCAUUGUGUGGGCUCAGUUGGGCCCUACCCGGCCCGUGAUGAGAGGGCCCAUCCAAAACUCUAUAAAUAGCGCUAAGGUCCCUCCUCUAGCCCUCACUCUUCCAAAAUUUUCUCUCAACUCACAUAAGGUAAUCAGUGAGUGGCGGUCUCAUCAAGCCAGGAACCAAGGGUCAUAGAGGAGAAGGUCUUAAGCAUUGAAGGCUCGGAUUGUUGUCAUUUUGCUCCAAGAAUGAUGAAUUCAAAAUUAGGUACACAAAUCCUCGUCUUCAACCUUAGGAUGUUCGAUUUUCUAGCUAUGUUGAUCUUGAAAGCCGUUUAGACGGCCUACAUUUGGUAUCAGAGCCUGCAUAAACUAGAAUUCGAACAUAGGGAGCUGUUUUGAAGAAUUUAUCCGCAUGAAACUGGAUUUUGAAUGUAUAAUUGGAUUAAUCUUGUCGAGCUGAGUGUUUUUGUGGGUAGCAUGUCUCCGACGGUUGCCAAAUUUGAUGUCCAUACCCAUUUUGGACUUCACUCAAGAUCGAAGUGUUUUUGCUUGUUUUUUGUGAUUUUGGUCCGAUGAAAGUGAAUUUUUAUUACACAUAUGAAUUCUCCUCAUCAAUAUGAGCAUUUUAGUGGGUAGAACGCCUCUAGACGAUGCCGGAAACGGCCGCACGCGCCUCCACGCACUGAGAUGGAGCUCGGAAGAGGUCCCACGCGCCGCCCCAUGCGCCCGUACGCGCACGCAGGCGUGCUAACACGUGGACUGACACGCGGCUUCGUGCGCGCGGACUGCCUCAAAGGUUUCCCACCACCAACACAUGUCAGUGAUGACGCCACAUAAGCCGCCUUACAUGCGACCGCCACGUGGCAUGUGACGUCACCGAUGAGUCACCACAGACCCGACCGGUUGUUGACCGGGUCAACUCGACCUGAGUUGACCGGGUCGACCCGACCCUGGUGGACCCGGUUGACCUGACUUGGUUGACCGUUGACUGGGUUGACCCGACCCGGUUGAUCGUUGACCGGGGUUGACCCAACCCUGUUGACCGUUGACCGGUUCGACCCGUUGAGCGAUUGGACUGGUUGACCGUUGACCGAUUGACCGGUUGACCGUUGACCGUUGACCGGUUGGAUUGGUAAACCGGCUUUCGGACCGGAUCGGUACGCCAACGCGUGCCGCACACUCUAGCGGCGCCUGAGGGCGCGUGUGACCUCCAUUGGGCGCGUGGUUGAUACCAGCAUGCUCGUAUGUGAAUUUCCUAUCUUGUGGUGUACUUAUUUGUAUUUUUUUUAAUGCCUUUAAGGAUAUGAAAAUGCAUGUGAAACCUGAAGGUACGUGAUUUUGGGGUAAUUUUGGCGUAUUUUCAUAUAUUUCUCUAUGGUUUUGGAAAUACAAAUACAUGUCUAUGAUUAUAUCAUCACUUGAGGAAUAUGUGUAGUGUUGAUUUAUUAGUAGUAUGUAUCGGUGGAUGGAGCAAUGCAAUUAGCAUGACUUGUGAUUUUAGUGACAAAUAGCCCCUGUCAUCAAGUCUAAAAUCACAUGUGAAAGGUAAAUGUGAGUCAUAAAGUUAUAUCCCAAAUAUGAGAGAAUUUCGAUAAUUCAGUUGGGUUGUGACCGCCAAAGUGGCACACUUGAUUGGAUUUGAGAAACAUCGGUCUCAUAUUGUAAAGGGAUGUCUCCUAUUCUGAUGCAUGUUUAUACUCCCAAAGGAGGUAAUUGUGCGUUAGUUUAUGGAGGAGAUACAUGUACAUCAUAUGGUUGAAAAGUGACUAACUCUAGUAAUUCAUACACCCAAAGGUGGUGAAUUCGCGAAAGGUUAUAAUACUUUUUCAUAGACCGCUAUCAUGUGAAGAGUAUACAACUGCAUGUCAUGUAUUCUGCCCAAAGGUGUUUGUAUGAUGAUGUAUGUAGCUCUUGAGAUGUAUGUUUGACACUCACAGGAUGCUAAUUAUAUGUAUUGCUUGUAUAAUCAGUCACCUUCUCUAUAAAUGGCAAUUCUAUUGCAAUUGAGGUUCUCUUUGGAUCAAAAUUUAAGAAAUGGAAAGAUGAUUUUCUGUUUGGGAUGGAGUUGGCAGAUGUUCAAAUUGCUCUUGCUAAGGAUAGGCCGGCAGACCUUACUGAUGCUAGUACAAAAGUCUAGAAAGUGCGUUUUGCUGCAUGAGAAAAAAGUAAUAGAAAAAGUAAAGAAUUUGCUUGCUUAUUAUGAAAUAGUCAAUUCAUGAACAUUUGAUGAGUGGCAUGCCAACUGACUAUACUGUUAAGGAAAUGAUGAAAGCUUUGGAGGCUAGGUAUCAUGUCUCUUCCAAUGGUGAGAUAGGUACACUUAUGCACUCUUUAAUAUGAAGUAUGAUGGUUCGACUGGAGUUAGAGAUUAUGUGCUUAGGAUGGUAGAUCUUCAGACAAAACUCCGAAUUCUUCAGGUUGAUAUCCCUGAAGCUUGUAUUGUGCAUCAAGCAUUAAAUACUCUUCCUCCUGACUUUGGAAUUAUCAAGAUGAACUAUAGUUCGCAAAAUGAGACUUGAUCAAUCAAUGACCUUAUAGUUAGAGUGCUGGCAGAGGAAGAGAAACUGAAGAAAGAAAGAGGGCAUCUUACCUUGUAUGCCUCUAGUUCUGCUAGCAGGAAGGGUAAAUGGAUUGCACAUCUGAGAGGAAAUCCUAAAGUCAUAGGGACUUCUAACUAUAUAGCUCCUAAGAGGGGAAAUCUUGAAGCUGCUGGCCCCUCCACCACUAUGGCUCCUAGAAAGGCACCUUUUAAGAGGGAGGGUGUCCUUUGCUACUUUUGUAGGAAGAGGGGACACAUAAAGAAAUACUAUGAUAACUAUAAAGCUUGGCUAUCUAAAAAUGAGCAUAAAGGGAUUCACAAACAUAAGGACGCCAAAUCAGGAUGAAUCAAAGCUCACUGUGGGAAAUAACGACAAGAUCGACGUUGAGUUCGUGGGAGAUGUCAUUUUGAUUUUAGAUACUAGUUUUAAUAUGAUAUUAAGAAACACUUUCUAUGUACCUUCCUUUAGACGAAACUUAGUUUUCGUAUCAUGUUUGGACAUGUGUGGUUACUCUUUUGAAAUAAAGAACAAUAUAAUAUCUAUGUUCUUUAGUUCAAAUAAGGUUGGAUGCUGCAACAUGUUCAAUGGAUUGUACAGAUUGUGUUUAUCUCCCAAUGAUAUAUACAUCGCUAAUACAGUUGAAAGUGUCGUUCCCAAAAGACCUCUACCUAAGGAACAGUCUUAUGCGUUAUGGCAUAAACGACUAGGUCAUAUAUCCAAAGAAAGAGUAGAAAGGCUGAUAAAGAAACACAUCCUACCUACUCUUAAAGGUGACCUAGAGACUUGCGUAGACUGUUGUAGAGAAAAGAUGACUAAGAUAAAUAAGAAAACUACAGUUCGAAGUUCUGACUUACUAGAAGUCAUUCACACCGAUAUCAAUGGACCCUAUACUGCAACUUUGUGUAUAAAUUUUUAUUUCAUCACAUUUAUCGAUGAUUAUUCUCGGUAUGGUUACCUAUUCCUGAUUAAGGAAAAAUCUAAAUCUCUUGACAAAUUCAAGAUUUUUCGGAUUGAAGUUGAGAAACAAUUAGGAAAUGUAAUAAAUGUGGUUAGAUCUGAUCGAGGUGGAGAAUAUUAUGGUAGACAUGGCAAUGUUGGGCAAAUUAAAUGGCUGUUUGCUAAAUACUUAGAGGAUUCUGGGAUAAUGGCUCAGUUCACAAUGCUUGGAAGUCCUGAACAGAAUGGUGUGGCUGAAAGACGCAAUCGUACUCUCAUGGAUAUGGUAAGGUGUAUGAUGAGUAGGACUAAUUUGCCUGACUUUUUAUGGGGUGAGGCUUUAAAAAUAGCCCUUUAUAUAUUGAAUCAUGUUCCUAUCAAACCUGUUAUAUCGACUCCUUUUGAGUUAUGGACUGGACGCAAACCAAGUUUGAAUCAUUUCAAGGUCUGGGGAUGUUCUGCAAAAGUAAGAUUGAAUAAUCCAACAUUAGGUAAGUUGGAGGCUUAAACCACUCGAUGCUACUUUGUAUCUUACUCAGAAUAUUCGAAGGGAUAUCGGUUUUAUAAUCCAAGUGGAGGAACAAGGAUUGUAGAAUCACAAACGGCCAAGUUUUUGGAAUUUGAUGUAGCCGAAAAGCAUGAUUGCUCACAAAUUAGUGAACAUGACAACAUGAUGAGACCUGUUAUGUCUUUCUCCUUACCUAUGCAGAUGAUUAUGGAGCCUAUUGUGCCAUAAACUGAACCUGUUAAUAUUGAGAAUCCUAUUGAUGAAAUGGCCAUAGAUGAAGUUCUUCAAGUUCCUCAGACUCAAAAUGAAGUUACAGUGGCUCCACUUAGGAGGCCUACUAGGGAAAGGCAUUCAGCUAUACCACCGGACUAUAUAGUCUAUUUAGGAGAACAUGAUUACGAUAUACGCUGCAUUAUAGAUCCAGUGACUUAUAUAGACGCCAUUUCUUGUCCUCAAUCAAGUUUGUGGUUGGAUGCAAUAAGAGAUGAGAUGCAGUCUAUGAAAUAUAAUGGCGUGUGGGAGCUUGUUGAAUUACCGGAAGGUUGUAAACCUAUAGGUUGCAAGUGGGUUUAUAAGACUAAAAGAGAUUCAAAAGGAAAGAUUGAGAAAUUUAAAGCUAGACUUGUGACCAAGGGCUUCACUCAAAGAGAAGUGAUAGACUAUGAAGCAACUUUUUCUCCAGUUUCUUCUAAAGACGUUUUUAGAGUGAUCAUGGCGUUAAUAGCUCAUUUUGACAUGGAAUUACAUCAGAUGGACGUUAAAACUGCUUUUCUAAAUGGAGACCUUGAUGAGGAGGUUUAUAUGGUGCAACCUGAAGGUUUUGCAGCAAAUGAUUCAUGUAAGUUUGUAUGUAAACUAAAGAAGGCUAUUUACGGUCUCAAACAAGCUUCCAAACAAUGGUACUUGAAGUUUCACAAUGUUAUUACUUCUUUUGGUUUUGUUGAGAACAAAGUAGAUCAGUGCAUAUACUACAAGGUCAAUGGGAGGAAAUUUAUUUUUCUUAUACUUUAUGUGGAUGAUAUUUUGCUUGCAAGUAGCGAUGUUGGAUUGCUGCAUGAAACAAAACAAAUGUUGUUAAAGAAUUUUGACAUUAAAGACCUAGGUGAGGCAUCCUUCGUUCUUGGUAUUGAAAUCCAUAGGGAUCGUUGUCAUCGUAUGUUAGGUUUAUCUCAAAAGGCAUAUUUUGAUUGUAUUUUGGAGAGAUUCAACAUGUAGGAUUGCAAACCAGGAACUGUUCCUGUCAUUAAGGGUGACAAGUUGAGUCUCUCACAAUGUCCUCAAUUAGAUUUUGAGAAAAACCAAAUGAAGGAUGUGCCUUAUGCUAAUGCACUUGGAAGUAUCGUGUAUGCUCAAGUUUGCACCAAACCAAACAUCGCUUUUGUAACAGGGCUUUUAGGUAGAUAUUAGUCAAAUCCAAGACACGAUCACUGGGUUGCUGCCAAAAAGGUCUUGAGAUACUUGAAAAGAACAAGAGAUUAUAUGUUGAUUUAUAGAUAUGUCCAUGAUUUGCAAUUGUUGGCAUAUUCAGAUGCAGAUUUUGUUGGUUGUGAGGAUGAUAGGAAAUCGACAACAAGAUAUAUAUUCAUGUUGGCAGGAGGCGCAAUAUCAUGGAAAAGUGAGAAAUAGAAAUCUAUAUCUUCCUCUACCAUGCAAGCGGAGUUUAUAGCAUGUUUUUCAACUUCUACUCAAGCAAUUUGGCUUUGGAACCUCAUUAAGGAAUUGGUCGUAUUUGGUUUUGUGGAUAGACCCAUACAGUUAUAUUGUGAUAACAAUUUUGCUGUGUUGUUUGUCAAUAACAACAGAAGUCUCAAAGGGUCUAAGCAUAUGGAGGUCAAGUUUUUUACCAUAAAGGAAAUGGUACAUAAUGGUGAUAUUAUAGUAGAGCAUGUUCUCACAGACGAUAUGUUGGCAGAUCCGCUGACUAAAGGCCUACGCCCUUGUGUAUUUGAGCGACAUAUCAUGAACAUGGGCUUGGGAGAAUUGGUGGAUACUAUCGUUUAAUGGGAACUAUUUCAGGUUUGCCCUAAUGAAGUUUACUUCUGUAUUUUGUUACUUUUUGUAACGUUUCGAUAUAUGUCAACUCCUUCUGUAUAAAUUGUUAUUGAGUUGUGUACAUAUAUCUAAGGAAAAUCUCAAGGUACUGUGUAAAUCUUGAGUAAAGGCUAGGGGCAUCCAAUUAUUAGCCUUAUACAUAUGUCUCAGUUAUACAUAAAGAAAGGUAAAUCAUAAAGAGAAGACAUACGUGGGUUCAUUAGAACCAUAAAGACAUUCUCUAGUGCCACAUCCGGUUUUCUAUGACACUUAAAGGUAAGAGAAUAGCGACCGACAAGGGAGAUAACACAUAAGGUAAAACUCUUUAUGAAGUGUUAUCCAUUUGCCACACAACCAUAUUGAAUCCAUAUCAGUAAAGUUGAAAGCAUUCGUGACCAUGGAAGGCUCUGUAUGAAUACAUGCAGUUACCGCAAUGAUUCGUUGUUUGAGACUUUAUGGGAUAGGAUUGACUAUUAAGAAUUGCCACUAGACCAACAUAAAGGUGGGCACAUAAAGUACAGUCUCAAUUAAUAUAGCCCAAGUGGGAGAAUAUAUGAGUUUUCUUUAUGUGGGCUACAUUAAUUGAGAUUAUAAUUACCGUUUUAUGGCGUUGGUCUAAUAAGGUAAGGCAUAAGGUUUUCUUCAUGGUCAAAUAUGGGCCUGGCAUUGUGUGGGCCGAGUUGGGCCCGGCCCGUGAUGAGAAGGCCCGUCCAAAACUCUAUAAAUAGCGCUAAUGUCCCUCCUCUAGCCCUCAUUCUUUCAAAAUUCUCUCUCAACACACAUAAGGUAAUCUGUGAGUGGCAAUCUCAUCGAGCUAGGAACCGAGGGUCAUAGAGGAGAAGAUCUUCAGCAUUAAAGGCUCAGAUUGUUGUCAUUUUGCUCCAAGAAUGAUGAAUUCAAAAUCAGGUACACAAAUCCUUGUCUUCAACCUUAGGAUGUUCGAUUUUCUAGCUAUGUUGAUAUUGGAAGCUGUUUAGACGGCCUACAUGUUGUUCACGAUAUUUGUUGUCAUUUUGUCAUUGUAUAAAAGGGUUUGAUGACGGCACAAUUCAUCAGUAUAGUCAUAGUGAUUCUUGUUUGUGAAUAUGUUUUUUUCUUUUGCUCUUGGCUUGAAAGAUUCUAUUUGGAACUAUUGUCUAAUCGGUGUAAUUCAAAUAAAUCAUGAAUACAUCAAGGCACGAGAUCGUAGGUGAUCGGCCUAAAAAUGAGGAAAUAUGGCAUGGAGAGACCACUCGCGAGCUCCCUUAUCACAAAUGAAUCUUUUUACCUCUAAGAAAUGGCAUUUACCAUGUAGAAGAUAUUUGUUCCAAUCAUAAGAUCUUUUUACUACAAGAAUGAGUAACCUAUGUAUCAAGUGAAAAAAUUAGACGGUUGAGAUUGCAUUUCUACGUUUCUUCAUGUAUGAUAGUGAGAGAUCUAAUCUCAUGGGGAGGUGAGUUCACUGGAAAAAGCUAUCUCAGAUGUGUCAUCUAAUGUUUCGAUUGUAGGAUAUAAUAAGAUAGGAAUGGAAUAGUUAUUCCAUAAAAUUGGAAGAGAGUAGGACUAGGAAUGGAAUAGCUAAUUUGUAGUUUGGUCUGUAGAGUGGAUUCAAAACUAUUCUCUUGUUUGUUUUACCAUGAUAGUAGGGAGAAUAGGUCAAGAAUAGUAGAGAAUACCCAUAAUACCCUUUGAUGAUAUAUAAUCAAAGUCUAAUUUCUUUUAUUAUCAUAUUUUGAUAGGACAUAAAUUAAAACCUACUAUAAUUUCUAAAUAAUUGCAAUAUUUGAACAAAAGCUAAUCUCCAAAACAAAGGUUGUUGCGACCUUCCCUUGAUAGGCGGUUAGUGGAUUACUAAGCUCGAAAACUUAAUGCUCACUCUCCAAGACUCUAUCUAGCGCAACUUUGGAGGUUAAUUAUUUUAAUAUGCAAAAUCUUAUUUAUUCAGGAGUCACCACUUAUCAGUUAUUAGUAGGCUGAUUAGAAAAGCUAAUGUUUUUUUAAUAUGAUGAGCAAAACAGAAGCAUUUAAUAAAUGAUAUUUUCAGCCUAAAGAUAAAGGAAGAGAUUUCUCACAAAAACAAAAAACAAAACAAAAAAAAAAAGAUAAAAGGGGAUCAUUAUGCUUUGGUCACGCCAGAUGUUGGGCAAUUUUCUACGAGAUAUUGCACUGAACCUUGAUCUAUAUAUAAAAGGACAUAGAGAAAUUGAAUGCUUUUCCUAGAACUAUACGUGGAGAUUCCGGAUACUUUGAAAAUAGAAUAAUUAGAUCAAAAUGCAUGAAAAAGUUUCAAAGCACCAACGGUAAAACUUUUUGUAUCAUGAAAUGGCCCAAAGAUACGACUGUCUAUGUCUUGACAUAAUUUUAGGAUGCGACUCUAAAUAAGAUUUUCACUGCAUAUGUACACAUCUCCUAAUUCUAGGAGGGUAACAUAUAUAUCAGAAAGCGAAAUGAACCUAGUAUAUUUUAAACUAAACAGAAUAUCACCUAAAAACACAACACAAGUGAAAAGACAAGGUCAAAGAGGAAAAGUUGCAUAUAAAUAUGGAUGGCCCUAAUUAGAUCUAUAGCACUGCUGAUGGUAAAUAUAGUCGAACCGAAAAUUUCAUAUAGGCUUAGCCUUUCAGUUUCUUUUAGCACGUUAACUCUUUCUUUCAUUUUUUUUCCUUCCCUUUACAAGAGGCAUGGAAUUUGAUUCAUAUCUUCCAAUCAGAGAUGAUUAUGCUAGUUAUUACAUGAGCCCCAUAAUGGAAUUGAUCCAUUUUAAGGAAUAGCUACCUCAUAAUUCAUACGGGUCGUCAUAAAAAUAGGAUCUACGUGCUUUGAUAUGAUUAUAUACUCAUUUUGUAACUCCUGAAAAGUUAAUCGCUUUGCAAAAUUAGUAUGAAAAUUGUGGAUUUUCGUAGUGCGCGCAUCUUCAAGGAGCAAAAAUAGGCCAAGUAAUUAGGAAGUUUGUCCCAUCUGUGCACGCUCACUGCAAAAGCCUACAUUUAUUUCCACGAAGGGUGGGAAACCCAAUUGAAAUCGAGUCUGCUUGGGCUUUUACCAUGGAAUUUCAUAUUUCUAAGUGGAAACGCACUAGAAAAGCAUCUCGUUUGGAUCCCUAGCUCCACCCAAUGAUUGAAUUUCGUAAUUUGGAUUAAAUACAACUCUCUAGUCAGAAAAGUUAAAAUGCAGAUGUUGUCCGAUCUAUACCUAUACAAUCCCAUAAUGUUGGAUUUCAAACACGGUGCCCACCUUAGCAAUGACAUUGCUCAUGACAAAUAACAUCAUAAAUUUUGUGUGUCAGUGAAGAUAAAAAUGUGUGUUGCACGAAUUUAGAGUGCAAGAUCAAAAUCUUGAGUAUAUCUAGUAAAUUUAGACAGUUUAUAAAAAGAAUUCAAAAAUUUUAAUGGAGCAUUUCAUUUAAAUAUAAUACCUCUCUCGAAUUUAAUUCUUCUUAUGUCUGAUCACAAAAAUGUCCACUUCUACCAUGUAAUGUGGUUUGGAGUCAAAAGCACAGCUCAUUAUCAAAUGAAGCCCAGUCCGCAAUCACACGGUAUUGUUUACUUAUUGACGGAAUUCUCAGUUCAAUUGGCUUGAGAAUCAAGAGACAAGAUAUGAACAGAUAUACAGUGGACAUGCUCUUUCUUCUUUCAGACAGGUCAUGACAACAUCUUGCCGCAUUAUUUUUGAAGCAUCAACUCUAAAAUUAAGCUUUCAUAAGUCGUGUUGAAUACCCAAAACUAGUAUCCUCAUAAUAGGCUCGUGAAACUCGCACCGAAAGAUGAGUGUGAUUUAUUGCAACAUCCUCUCACAAUCAUGUGAUAACUACAUGUAGGGGAUGUAAUUCAGCAUAAGAAUGAAAUAGUUACUAGUCUUCGCUAGUAUAGAAUGUUAUCUGCACAUGCAUGGCUAUGUAACAAUAUGCAACUCGAUCCCUUCGAGAUAGACUUUAAGUUAACGAUCCAAUAAAAUGUCAGUUGAAUGGCAAUCUGCAAUGGCCACAACUAAAAGGACUCGCCGAUGGAGAAGAAAUGAAAUGGAACAUCAAUUGCUCUAUCAUUCCACGGUUUUCUCAAGUAUACCCGAAAAUGAAUACUAUUCUAAGUUAGGAAUAAGAUGAAUUCGUGAUACUGGUUUUAUCAGGGUAUACCUAAUAUCUUGGACUAUUAAAAAGGAAAAUUUAUGUCAGAUCUCGACAAAAUGCCAGAAGACUCCAAGUAAAAGAAAAGAGGAGAUUAUACUUCUAGAAAUGCACUGAUUACAAGCAAACCCAGUCACAAAAAUUGGAGAGAAAAAAGUUGCAUCACGGCAUUUCAACUUGAGAUAAAAAGGUCACAAACCUGAGGAGGGUGGAUGAUAGGAGAUGGAAUCAUCAUUCAUUUGCCUUCUUUACAAGACUAUUGAUUUCUUUCUUGAUAUCAGUAAAAUUCAUCUUAUCAGCAUUUCGAAUUUACUGGAACAACCAGACCCCACGUGAAAGAAAACGAAUUAACUUAAACCACAGUCUCAUUAGAGUCUAUGUAACUGAUGAUCAAAAGACAAAUCCCUAUACCUGCGUCGCUUAGAGAGAAAUAUCAUGGCAAGGAGCGGAAAAUUCUGUAGCUAUUCAGUCAUUUUCUGGAGACGAAGGGCGGAAAUAGGGCAAUCACGCCCGUCGAUCGUCAAAUAUCUCGACCAGUAGUGUUUAUGUUUAAGGGGGGAAAAAGGACUGUUGAUGCUAGAAAAUCGCGACAUUAGCUCAUCACUUUUCACAUUUAAUGUCCUUGGAAUGAUGGAGGCAUCUAAAAUCAAAGAACGAGAAUCGUCGGUCUAAAUCCUUGGUCAUCAUCCUGGUGAUUUUCUAUAGCUUAGGAAGAACGCUGGCGGAAAUCAUAAUAUGUUUAAGAAACAUUGAUUAGAGUGUGUAAGACAGGUUUGAACCAGGUGCUUGUGCUCCAUAUUAGUCAGUGCUAAGCAAAUGAAAGGAACCUCUUCCAUCUUGGUGAGAGCAAGGGUGAAUCACUACUUGUCAAAGCAUGAAGAUCUACGUUCUUUAGCCCAUGUACAUAAGAAAGAAUAAAUAAAAGGGAAAAAUCUACAAAAAUCCCAAACUUCACCCGUGUGUUGCAUUUACCCAAACUUUUUGUGUAACUCCAAAAAUCUUAUUCUUAUAUUUAUGUGACAUAUUUACCCUAAUUUUUUUUUUUUUUUGUGAUACCAAAAUCCCCAAACUUUUUUCUGUGAUACCAAAUUUUAAGGAUGAAUGUGUCAUACAAAUACAAAUUUAUAAUUUUUUUUAUAUCGUAAGAAGAAGUUUGGGAUAUUUGUCUCACUAUAUAAAUUUGGGAUAAAUGUGUCACAUAUAUACAAUUUUGGGAUUCUUAGUGUUAAAAAAAAGUUUGGGAUAUAUGUGUCAUAAUGAACAUAAUUUAUGAUUUUUGGUGGUUUUUUUUUUAAUAUAAAAAAACUAGAACUUAAUAGUGGGCAACAUAUGCAAUGUGAUUGCAAGCAUGGAAUAGAGACUCGAUGCUAGAUGCUUUUUGGUCAUAAGGAUCAACCGUCCAAAAUUGACUUACUCUAAAGGGUUUUCCUUUCAAUCUUAGAUGUCACAUAGGAAUUUUUACUGACUUAUUCUAGAGGUUUUCCUUUCAAUCUUGGAUGUCACGUAGGAAUUUUUACACUAGGAAGAGGCUGAGAUGGUCUCAAGGUUUAACUCAACCAUCGAGGUUGAAUUAAAACAUCCUUUGAAGAUAUGGUACUGGAAAAAGAAAUCCGCAUAUUCUAAAAUGAAAAGUAGAAUCCAAUUUGUAUAGGAAGUAGCAAUAUUCAAAUUUAUUUUUCACAUUUUUAUCAUGCCUUCGUAAUUUUCAUGUUUGAUUUGACAAAUGGUUUUACUUGGUAAUUUUAUACCUAAUGGAUAACAAACGGAGUAUUAUAAACAAUCCCAAAUUAAUGACAUUAAUAAAUAUAAAAAUGAAAACAAACCUAAUUAAAGUACAUUUAUCAAUAUAUGUCCACGUAAAGCUUGGGCAAAAGUAGUUUGAGUGCGAUUUAGCUGACCGAUACUCCAAUUUUGAGAGAGUGAUUAAGAAAAGAUAAAAAUUAGAAAAAGAAGAAAUUGGGUAAAAGAUGGAAAUCGGUCAAAAAAGUCAACCAGUUUCCAUCUUAGAUGUGCGGUCCUUAACUAACUGUCACUCCGUCGUUGACAAAGUGACCUUAGCUUUUCCUUUUAGUUUUAAUUCUUUCUUAUCGCAAAGCACUUCAAACGCGCGACUCCGGUAAUCUCUUUUUUCCCCCACGGUGCGGUUAGCCGUCCUAAAUGACCAAACCCGCCCUCUCUUCUCGACGAAUUUCCCUCCCUCAAAAAAAAAAAAAAUACCCGGACUCUGAAAAAUCCGGUACUCUUCCCUCGGUCUCUCCCCUCCACCAAUCGGUCAACGCAAGCCUCUGCCACCCCGCCGCUGCGUCGCCAUCGCCGACGACGUCGUAUCAAGUUGUUACAAGGAUCAAACUCAAGACUUCCCAAGUCACUGGGCAGACUCAAUUCGGGAUCCAUCUCUGCGUCGUCCUUCCAGAAUGAAGAGAAAGAGGGAGGAAAAAGAGACGGCGACGGCAGCUGGGACAGGCAGCAGCCGUGAUGGCGGACUGCGUGGAUCCGGUGAUGGNNNNNNNNNNNNNNNNNNNNNNNNNNNNNNNNNNNNNNNNNNNNNNNNNNNNNNNNNNNNNNNNNNNNNNNNNNNNNNNNNNNNNNNNNNNNNNNNNNNNCUGAGUUUAGGGCUCUAGCUUCCGCUAGGCGCGUCCGGUUGUUUCGGUGAGUAGCAUUCUCCUAAAAAAGGAUGAGGAAUUGGCUUACUGUUGCAAUUAUUGUGAUCUAAUCUACGAUAAACAUUAAAACAAAUCCAGGUGGUUAGCACCUCUUUUACUUCUCACAAUGAAUUUCUCUUUACAUUGACUUGAUAGAUCCGAGUGCACUUGGUUCUUUGUUCCCGCUAUAACCAUUGGUGAACUGGGAACUUGAUCACUUUGUUAGUAUGUUAUUGUUACUUUGCCAGCAUGAUACUUUUCCAUUUGCUUUUUACUGGGUUGUUGAUUCAAUGUCUAUAUUGAACGCCAGGUAAAAAUUCCUGAUUUUGAGAAGUGUUUAGACAUAGUCGCCACUCUACAGGCCAAGAAGGGUUCUGGUGAGGUUUUUUUGUCUCGUGCAACUUGUACUUCUGACUAUGUGAACUAGAUAUUGCGGCAAUUUCCAUUUAUCUUCCACUAGUUGAAAGGGAGGCGGUGGUUAAUUGCUUUUUAACAACAAGCUGUGGAUUUCGGUAAUUUAGUUGAGGGGUACGCAAUUGAUUGACAACCUUGUGUUGAAAUUGCAAGGCUUUGAAUCUUGAAAUGAUUGCGGUUACUUACCUCUGAGCAAAUUAGGUCAAGAUGUUCACAUGUAAUUAGAAUGAGAAAGAGAUUUUCCUUCUAAAAUGCUCCCUUGGCCCAUUUAUGGAAAUGAAAAAUGUCGAUGCUCAUCACUAAAUAGUAAGCCUUGUUUAUGCUCUCCACGUUAGGAAUAUUUCUCAUUUAAAGGUACAGUUACAUGCUGAUUAGGUGUUGCAUCUUGCUUGUUAUACCUUGUGAAUCUUCCUAAUACUUUAUCCCAUCAAAUGGUUUGUCAUUGAAAAACGUGUGUAUCAUCUCCCAUGUUUAGCGGUCAUGCAUUAGAGGCUUUCAAUUGCUUAUCAUAAAGUGAGUAAGAAUUAUCUGCAUUUAGGUUCUAUUUAGAAAAGGAAAUCACUUCAGCGGAUCUUUCUUGUCCUUUGAGAAAGCGCAAGAGUAUAGGAAGAGAUAUUGUUUUGCUUGUUAUUCUAAUUCAGAGCCUGGUUAAUGUUAUUGCCGAAAUCUGAAAAAGAAAGGUGGAGAUGUAUCUAAUUCAGGAGUUCUUUUCUUUUUUCCUUUUUUAAAAAAAAAAAUGUUUCUCAUCAGUUAUUCAUUUUGUGGUUGAACUUUUGAGGGAGCGCAGAGCUGGUAUCAGUAUCUUGUGUAUAGAAUGAAAUAAACAAUUCAUUUGUUUUAUGUGUCCCUUCAUUUAAAUAGCAGAAUGCUUUCUUGCUGAUUGAAUAUUCUUCAGAAAGCAAUAGCUUUAUCGAGCAAACCUUUUGACAGACUUAUUUACAUGAGAGUGAAUCUAACAAACUUGGGGUAAGAAGUUAGUCUUAGAAAUUGUUAACCAUAUGUGAAGUCUACAGCCAUCCUUUUCCUUAAUGCAAGAUUUAAAGGCUCUCUUAUUUCUAUCUCUAGACUAACAAAAAGGUCAAGAUUUGGAUUGGGUAUGAUUUAAUUCCAUGGUCACCAUAUCUUAUCUGCGUCUUUUCCAGCAUAUUUAUGUUCCAAGGAGAUUUAGUCCGAGGGCAACAUUUCAGUGGGUGAUCUGAGGAUUCUCAUUAACUUUGCCAUUAGCUAAUAUCUGUUUGUAUGCACCCUUCUUCUUGUUUUUGGUUUCUUUUUGUAUGUUGGCUAUUUGCAAACACUCCCCAGGGAAUCACACUUGGAAAACCUGUGAUGCCGAAUAGUCCCAUACGGUUUUCAUCUAAGCAGCUAAUACCCCCUUGCCUUCUUUGGAUAGAGUCCUUCCCUGUUUCUUUAUUACCAGCUAUCUUGUGUAAGAGAACUAAAAAUUUGGCCAUCUCAUUCUCUUCUGGUUACCAGUCUUUCGUAAAUGGUAAAUCCUAAUGACACCUUCUGCCAUUAACAAAGUUCCCUGCUCAUCUGCUGUAAUUUCCAUAUCUCUGCAGUGGACAAGAAUCUGUGAGAUUUAUUCCGCCAAGGUCUCCAGGCAUCUCAGCCCCCCUGCCAAGGUCCAUCUCUCCUUCCCUCUCUCUCUCUCUCUCUCUCUCUCUCUACACACGCAAACACACGCAAACACAAGUACUACUGUGUCCUGCCUCCAUCUUUCUUUGCACUGAGGUUUACUCCAUUAAAUAGGCUAUGACCCUUGACCCUCUGACAGUACAUAAACAAAGGUGUGAUAUUUCUCUCAAUAUAAAAAUCCAGGAUUUGAAUUGAUCAAUCAUUUCAAAUGGGGGCACCUUGAUGCAACAAUUACUUCACCACUCCAUUCCACCAAAACGAUACACUCUUGUUUCCUCUCUCGUUUUUUGAUAUGUAAACCUGCAUAAUGACUGAAGCAAAUUGGCUUAUUUGCUAUAGCAAAAUGACCUGUGAUUGAGGAUGCCAUUAUAUGUGUGCACAAUCAUGUGUUUCUAUUACAGUAAGAUUGAAUCAUGGCCUCAGAACUGGAAUUUAAAGCUGAACGCUUUUCGGUGCGUGUAUUUUAACUGAGGAUACUUAAUGGGUAUCUGUCAGACUCAUGCUGUUGACUGUUGAGGCUUUUCACAAAGUAAACUUGUUAUCACGUAACCAGAUCAUAUUUUCUCAAUCUGGAGUUCUUUGUAUUGUCUUAAAAUUGACCAAUGUUUUCCUUUGCAGUUUCUGUUUUUCAUCUGGAAUCCUCGACUGUCUAUCAUUCAAUAUGUGUGUGUGUGUGUAUGUAAACUAAUUUUUUCUCAUAAACUUGUUAUCCUAAAAAAUAUUAUCUUAAAAAAAUCUUCUUGCUCCUUGAUGCUCUUUUAGCUGAUCAUAUCACCCCUUUCUAUCUUUACAAAGCAAAUGAAGGAUAGCCUAGUUUAAUUUUUGGAGAAAUGUCACAAAUGGUCCCUAUACUAUUACUUAAUGUGCAAUUUGGUCACUGAACUUUCAAUCAGCUCAAUUUGGUUCUUGAACUAUUGAUAAAUGUCUGAUUUGGUCCCUGAAUUUUCAAUCGGCUCUAUUUGGUCCCUGAACUAUUUGAUAAAUGUCUGAUUUGGUCCCUGAACUUUCGAUCGGCUCAAUUUGGUCCCUGAAUUAUUGAUAAAUGUUCGAUUUAGUCCUUAGUUACCGUUUUUCCUUUUUUUCUUUUUUUCUUUUUAAAAUUUUUUUACAUCUUCUCUCUUCCCUCCGUCGGCUCCNNNNNNNNNNNNNNNNNNNNNNNNNNNNNNNNNNNNNNNNNNNNNNNNNNNNNNNNNNNNNNNNNNNNNNNNNNNNNNNNNNNNNNNNNNNNNNNNNNNNGCAAAUUGCGAAAAGUAGUCUCAAUCGUGCCAGGUUGUCUCUAAUCCCUGACAUAUUCCCUCAAUCUGAGCCCAACUUCCCGGCGUUGAUCAAGGGUCCACGUCCCAUUAUAGAGAUUUGGGGCUCCCUCCCCCGACGCCGGGGAGGGGCUCCCUCGCAGAUCUGGCGAGCGAGCCCCUCCCCCGACCCCGAGUUGCGAGGGAGCCCCUGUUCGGCGUCGGGCGAGGAGCACCCCUUUGUUGAUCGAGGGGCCCCCUUUCCCAACGCCGGCGAGGGGCGAGGGAUCCCGCUUCCGGGGAGGGGUGCGGGAGCCCCUCGCUCGGCUCCGGCGAGGGCCGCCCUCGCCUGCGUCCGGCGAGGGCGACCCUCGCCGGAGCUGGCUUCCCUUCGCCGGAGCUAGCGGAGGGAAGAGAGAAGAAGCAAAAAAGAUUAAAAAAAUUUAAAAAUUAAUUUAAAAAAAAAAAAAAAAAAAAAAGGAAAAACAGUAACUAAGGACUAAAUCGAAUAUUUAUGAAUAGUUCAGGGACCAAAUUGAGCCAAUCGAAAGUUCGGGGACUAAAUCAGAUAUUUAUCAAAUAGUUCAGGGACCAAAUUGAGCCGAUUGAAAGUUCAGGGACCAAAUCGGACAUUUAUCAAUAGUUCAAUGACCAAAUUGAGCCGAUUGAAAGUUCAGGGACCAAAUUACACAUUAGGUAAUAGUAUAGGGACCAUUUGUGACAUUUUCCCUUAAUUCUUUCCGUACUAGGAACUAAUUUUGGUGCGGUUGACAUGGUGUAAAAUAUCCGAUCGUCUUUUCUUCUUUGCAAAUGCACUUCUGGAAGCAAUAUUUCUAAUAACCCAGGUUAGUGCUUUGAAGAGCCCAUGCUGAUAUCAAUAAUGGUUUUAGAUUUGAACACCUGGAUAUCACCAGUAAUAUUUAGUGAGUUGCUUUGAUGUCUGAAGGUCCGAUUAGAAACCGACAUGGGGUGGGAUUACUUUAUUUGGCUUUCAGACCUAAGACUAUCAAAACUUCUAUGGGGCAAAAGACAAUAGGCACCAAGCUGACUGGUUUUUAUGACUCUUUAUUUUGUAUGCAGGCACUCCUUGCUGAUUUUGAAGUCUCUAAAGGCAUUUAUUCACGAGCUCGCAUUGAAGAUACUGAUUCAGUAUGUUUAUGGCUGGGAGCAAAUGUUAUGUUGUUGGAGUAUUCAUGUGAAGAGGUUCUUCUCGAGUUUAAGGAAUGUCCCUCUCUCCAAUAAUGAUGUCAAGUAUCUUAUUUAUUGCAUAAAUUUAUGUUGUAGGUCACAACCCUUCUACAAAAGAACUUAGAAGAUGCUAAAGCAAGUUUAGAAGUUUUUGUUGCUGAUCUACAAUUCUUAAAGGGACCAAGUAACAAUCACGCAGGUAAGUCAGAAUGAUUUGGAACUUGGAGGUCCACGUUUGUUUCAAGCCGUUUACUGUGUCGGUUUUGGGUAGGUCUAUUAGGGUCGAACUAAUGUUGCUCUGAAUUUUGUUACUGUCGUGAGGAUACAAAUUGGGAAGACAUGUUCAUUGGUGAUAAACUGGAGUGUGGUAUGUUUGCACGAAUGUGAACUUGAAAAAAUUUAAAGCUUGUUGUAGGACCAUAUCCUUUAGUUUAUCAUGGCAAAGAUGUUGGUGGCCCUGGGAAAUUUUUCUUUUUUAGGGGUUUGAAACAGCCCUUGAGAGGUGAAUUUUUAUUUGGCAGGUUACAAUUGCUCGUGGGUAUAAUUGGGAUGUUCACCAAAAGAGAAUCCGUCAAGCUGGUGCUCCUGCCAAAGACUCUUAAAGGAAUCUUUUGAGCUCGCAUCAUGGUAGCAGAACGUGUACUCCUGGAUGAGAGUACGACUUUGAUCUCCCCAUUUUCAAUUAGGUGAAUUAUGCACUGCUCUGCGAUAGCAAUGGUUAUGACCCACCACGAGUGAUUUUGGUUAGGUUUACUUAGAUUUACUGCAUUACGCAAAGAAUGUCAUGUAAACGAUUUUGAUCGAGAACCUUUUGGGCUUGAGUUUUCACUUUGUGUUCGGUGCGCUAGUGAGGGCCAGCGAGGGCAAGGCCCCACCAAAUCUGGUGAGCUCGGCCCUCGCCAAAUCCGGCAAGGCCUCGCCUAGCCAAAGCGAGGGUCAACCUCGCCAGCCACUGGCGAGGCGACCUCGCUUGCCGUCCACAAUGCAGCAGCAAUCAGAAGCCACGAGCUCGCUCGCACUCCGAAGGCGCAAUCGCAAGGCACGGAUUGAGGUGGAGAGAGAGAACGGUUCCGAGCGAGCGGCGAGGCAACCUCCUCAACUGGAGAAUCUACGAGUGACUGUCCCUUUCUCUCUCUCGUUUGAAGUGACCGAGCGGUGGUGACGUAGCGGACGACGAUAGGGCAUGUGGCGCAGUUGCAGUAAGCACGGAGUACGCUUGGCCAAUUGUGACCGAGACAUGGCGGUCGAUAGGGUUUCGGGGGAAGACAACGAUGACGACACGUCAGGCGGCAGCUUGUCACCUAUUCGUAGUGAGGAUACAGCAUGGCGGCGUUGUUGGUUGGCAAGAUGGCGUCAGUUGUUGCGAUGGCAAUAGAUAGCAGGGAUUUUUCUUCGGGACAGCGUCAGGGCUACACUGAAGCAGAUGCUAGCGGGCGACAGUGACGCGGGGGAGAUCCAAUGUAGCAAUGGCAUCGGGGGGUUCGGGCAGCGUCGAUGGCGCCUCCUUCCUGCUCGGAUCUAGCCCCCUUCUCUAGUUUCUCUUCCUCUCUCCAGUCCAUCUUCGCAGAUCUGGAACUCCCUUGCCCAGAACUCGCUUGACCGUCAUCUCGCAACUUCACACGUGGCACACUAUAGCCGAAUAUAGACAGAGAAGACAAAUUAAAUCAUCGAUACGUUAUGGUUAUACAUAUAUUGCUUAUGUAUUGACUGUAGGUGAUGAGGUGGAGACAGAUGAGCCUUCGUAUUACUUUGAGGCGAUGGCUAGUUUGAAGUCAUCAUAAUGGCUAGGGGUUAUGAGUGAAAAUAUGGAAUCACUCUAUCAAAAUUAGACAUGAGAGCUGGUCAAAGUACCCAAGAGCCAAAAGAUUGUCGAAAGUAAAUUGGUCUUCAAACGGAAAGAGGGCAUUCUCGUUGUUGAGGCAAUGAGGUAUAAGGCGAGACUUGUGGCAAAAGGGUAUACACAGCGUGAGGGCAUUGACUAUAAUGAGGUGUUCUCUCCUGUGGUAAGACAUACUUCUAUUCGUGUUUUACUUGCCUUAGUUGCUUCGCAGGAUCUCGAGUUAGAGCAACUAGAUGUGAAAACGGUUUCUUCACGGUGAGUUGGAGGAGUAGAUUUACAUGAGGCAACCAAAGAGAUUUGCUAUUCCGAGUAAAGAAGAUCAUAUUUACUUGUUAAAGAAAUCUUUGUAUUGGCUGAAAUAGUCUCCUAGGCAGUGGUAUAAACGUCUUGAUGCUUUCAUGGCUAGUGAAAACUAUUCAAAAAGUCAGUUGGAUAGCUGUGUUUACUAUAGGAGAUUGGAGAAUGGUUAUUUGAUUUAUCUACUCUUAUUUGUUGAUGAUAUGUUGAUAGCAGUUAAGAAUAUGUCUGAUAUUGAUGUGCUAAAGAGGCGGUUAAAUGUUGAUUUUUUUAGAUGAAAGAUUUUGGUGCUGUAAAGAAAAUUUUGGGUAUGGAGAUUUUGUGUGACAAGACUGCAUGAGUUUUAUGUCUAUUUCAAAAGAAAUAUAUUGAGAAGAUCAUAACACGUUUUAAUAUGCAAAUCAGCAAAAUCUAUAAGUAAACCUUUAGCGAAGCACUUUAAAAUUUCAAAUAAAUUAUCACCGCAGACUGAGGAUGAUGAGGAGCAUAUGUCUCGUGUUCCUUAUUCUAGUAAUGUUGGUAGUAUUAUGUAUGCUAUGAUGUGCACUAGGUCUGAUAUUUCACGAGCUGUGAGCAUGAUUAGCCGCUAUAUGAAGCGUUUUGGUAAAGCUCAUUGGGAAGCUGUGAAGUGGAUCUUCAAAUAUUUAAAGGAGACAACAGAUGUGGGUAUAGUAUACCGGAGGGACAACAAUGGCAAUGAGACCACUGGUUUUGUGUAUUCGGAUCACGCUGGUGACUUGGAUGAUCGCAGAUCUUUAACAGGGUACGUGUUUACGCUAGCCAAUGGUGCAGUUAGUUGGAAAGCAUCCUUACAGGAUCACAUUGCCUUGUCUUUGACUGAGGUAGAGUACAUGGCACUAACCUUUGUAGCGAAGGAGGCGAUAUGAUUACAAAGUUUGCUCUCAGACUUUGGGUUAGAAUAAAAAAGUGUGGAUAUACACUGCGAUAACCAAGGUGCGAUAUAUUUGACGUAUAAUCCAAUUUAUCAUGAGUGAAUGAAGCAUAUCAACAUCAAGUACCACUUCAUCGAAGAUGUCUUAGCUAAAGGUAAUGUUACUAUUAAAAAGAUUGUUACAGCAGAUAAACCAACAGACAUGAUGACUAAGUUUGUUCUUUUGGCAAAGUUCAAGCUUUGCUUGAGUUCUAUUGGCAUAUGUGGAGAGUGAGCGUCCGUUGGGGCGUUGGGAGAGCAGCAUGGAUGAUGAGUACUAUAACUUGGCUUUAAACAUCGAGCCAAGGUGGAGAAUUGUUAAAUUAUUACUCGAGUUUUAAUGUUUAUAAAAUGCAAUUUGCUAGAAAAGAGGAAAUAUAAAAUAAAAUAAAAGGUGAGGAAAGUUUCCUCUUUGCCGCGGAAUCCUUUACGAAAUAGAAAAGGAAAGCCGCGUGAAGCCUCUACACGCCAAGAAUUGAAAGUGGUGGGCCCAAGGUCAAAAGUUUGACCUUGGGCACACACACUCCAUGCCAAGGGAGGAAGUCUGCCACGUGAAGCCAAAAUAUGCAGGUGGCGCCCAAUUGGACACACACCUAUAAAAGGCAAAUAGUUUUGCAGGUCUUCUACCUCUACGUUUUGAUGCUGCCGAAGUCCUUUACGUAGGAACACGAACACGCUGCCGAAGCCAUACGUAAGAAGUUGCACGUCCGCUAAAGAGAAGCUAGAGAUUUUUCUUUUUGGCGUGUGACUUGAACGCAUGGUAAUUUUGUGUUAUGAGUUUAUACUCAAGUGAGUUGUUUAUUUAUAAACACUUUUGAUUUGGGAUUAAAUCUAGGUGUGGGAAACACUUGAACGUUUGAGCGAUUGUAAAUUAUGAUUCUCCGAUUAUAGUGGAUUAUUUGCUGCUGGCUCUCCCCGUGGACGUAAGUACCGAUACUCAAACCAAACUACGUAAAUUUCCGGUGUCUUUAUUUUUCUUGUUUAUUUCUCUGGCGAUUUCGUGUUGACGUAAAUUAUAAGAUCCUAUCGUUUCCGCAUAUUAUAUCCCAACAAAAGUAAUGGCAAGUUGUCCAAUACAUCCAACACUUAACCGUGCAGUAAAAAAAUAUAUUUCCAGAUGACAACCUUUUGCUCUUUGAAGACUUUCGUCAAUUAUUUCCUCAACUUAGCCUUCUAUUUGGCGCGAGUCUGAAUGCUUAAUUUUUUAUUUAUUUUUUUAACUUGUGAAGGAAGGCCGCAAGUAAUUUCCAGGCAAACGUAGUGGAAGUGAAGUCAUCUCACUCUGUUUCUUUAUCAAGUUGUUAUAAGAUGAAGAUAUGACAAGUGAUAGCUUGACUAUAUAGAAUUGUGCCUUACACAGGACAACUUGUGUUUAUGCGUGUGAUAAUUACAUAUGAGCUAUCUGUUUCCAUAUGAUGAAUUACAUGCUUCCAUAUACUCUCAAUCAUGUUGCACUUCAGCUAAAAUAAAGAUCCCCGAGACAACCUCUUCCUCUUCGAAGUCUUUGAUCAAUUAUUGCCUCAACCUCCUAUUUUGUGCGAGUCUAAAUGGUCUUUUUUACAGGCGAACGUAGCGGAAGUAAGCGAGCGAUCUCACUCUGUUGCUUUUUGUCAGGUUGUUACAAGGAUCGGACUCAAUUCAGAGAUCAAUAGCCAUUGUCCUCACGGAAUGAAGAGAAAGAGGGAGAGAAAAGAAAUGGAAAUGGCAGCUCCAACAAGCAGCAGCCGUGAUGACAGGUCAAGGAGGGGCUAUGAGGUGUUCCUCAACUUCAGAGGGCCUGACACCCGCUUAACCAUCAUUGAUUCUCUCUACAAUGACAUGAUCCGCACGGGGAUUUGCACUUUCAAAGACAAUGAAGAGCUUCGAUUUGGUGAAGAUAUUGAAGGCAGCCUCUUGCAAGCGAUCAAUGAAUCCAGAAUUUACAUCCCAAUUUUUUCCAAAAACUACGCUUCAAGUAAGUGGUGUCUCCAUGAGCUGGCACACAUAGUGGAGUUAUCGAAAGAUAAUGAUGAGAAAGUGAUUCUCCCUAUCUUCUAUGAUGUGGAUGUGGAUGAUGUCAAGCUUAAGACUAAUUUAUAUCAGAAAGCCCUCCAAAAGUACAAGAGUGACUCAGAGAAGGAUUUAGUAAAGAAGUGGAAGAAGGCUUUGAGAGCAGUUGCCAGAAUUAAAGGAAGGAAUCUAAAAGAUCAUGGGUAUUGUUUGCUUCUCCAUAACUUUAUUUUCUUAUUGACAUUUUCGAUUUUUUUUCCUCUAAAGAAUAAUUAGAUUCAGGUUGCUGCUGUCCAACCUUAUGUAAUGUAUGGUUGGAUUUGACGCAAUGGGGAGCUAGAAAUUUUGCUCAGAUGGCGAGGUUUCUUGCACAAAUUGAAUUUUCACUUUUAAUACUAAGUUUUGAUAACAAUUAGUGUUAAGGUAUAUCAACUUAAUUAAUUAAUCUAUAAUGCCAAAAAACCAAGAUAUCCAUGAAGAUCUAAGAUUCGAAAAAAUAAUAAGAUCAUAUAAGUGUGAAAAAAAUAAAUUAAGUUUCUUAACUUCAAUUGCAUUCCAUACAUAAAGUUAAGGGAUAUGUGCAUUGAAAGUCCUAAAACUUAUCACAAAAGUACAAUCGAAUCUUAAAACUUGCAAAAAAUGCAAUCAAGUUCUAAAACCCGUUGAAUUGGUUCAAUUGAAUCCUUCAGUUAAUUCCAUCCAAUUAGCUAACGGAAAAUACUAACAUGUCUUAUUUUAUUUUUUUAUUAGACACGUGCCCAUGACAUGGUGCUCACCAAGUGCCACAUUAGAAAAAAUUUAAAAAUUACAAGCAAAAUUAGAUUAAAAUAUAAAAAGCUAUAAAUUUUUAAUAAAUAAAAAAAAACUCACCCCACGGCUUGGCCAAGCCCUUGCUAGUGGCCACUGCCACAACCACUGGGAGGGGUUGGUGGAGGUCACCUAGGCCUUUGCCGGCCUUGGGCGAGGCCUUGGCGUGCCCAGACGAGGGUCCCCAAGCUUUGAGAAGGCCUAGGGCUAGGCUUAGCCACAACUUGAUUUUUAAAAUAAAAAAAAAUGUAGCUUUUUUUUUUAAUUUAAUUUUGUUUGUAUUCUUUAAAUUUUAUUCCUGAUGUGGCACUUGGUGGGUGCAACAUCAUCGCCACAUGUCUUAAGAAAAUAAUAAAAUAAGACAUGCCAGCAUUUUCAGUUAGCUUAAUUGAACGGAGAUAACGGAAUGACUCAAUUGAACUAAUUUGAUAAGUUUUAAGGCUUGAUUACGCUUUUUGCAAGUUUUAGGACUCGAUUCCCUUUUCACGAUAAGUUUUAGGACUUCUAGUAAACUUACUUGCUAAAGUUAAGGACUUUUGAUGCAAUUUUCCCAACCCUAUGCCUGCAAUGUUUUCUUGUCCUUUUGUUAUGCUAAUGAAAGCUGAAGAAGAAUCGGCCCAAAAUAAGAGUGCUCGAUAACGAGCUUCUUUAUGUGUUCCGAGCCAUUAAUGGCCGGUGUUAGUUAAUAGUUGUUAGUAUUUGAUGUGCGUUAUUUAUUUAUUUAUUUAAUUUUGGUCCAAGUGUUUGAUGACGUAAAAAUGUGCGGGAAUAAAAAGAAAUUAUAGCAUAGACUAAGUCUUUGCAAUAUCCAAAAAUCCACGAGGCCAAGAGGAAGAAACCGAUCCUUGUGGAUUCCUUUUCGGCCUUAGGGAAUUCAUAUGCCUUGCUACUGUUUUGCUCGAGGUAACCGGCUAAUUAUGGUCACACCCCUGAGUUACACAAAAAUAACAGAGCUUCUUCAUAAUGAUAGUUUUACGUGCCCAUAAGAGGAAGCUAUAGGUCAUGGUUUUCCUAUUUGGUCUGAAUAUACAGGACCGAACACUAAAAAGAUCUUUGCAUGCCAUUAUCCAAAAGGGCAAAAAGAAAAAAUGAUUUCUGCAUGUGUUAGACGUUCAAUCUUCUAGUACACAUCUUAUCGCAUCUUAAUUAGUUUGUGAAGAACUGACUUAGAUUUAGUUGUAUUAUCAAUCUUGGGCUUUUACUUUCAUCAUAGUGGGGCAGGGGUCAUUGGCGUCUCUAGUGGCCAAUUGUGCAUAGACAAAAUCUACAGCCUUAAACUGAACAUUCUUCUACGAGUGAUCUAAAGUUUGCCAAUAUUGGACCCGUUUCUGUCUAGUAAAAAGUGAAAAAAAAAAAAUUGGUUAUUGCCCUUGCUUUAACCAUGGACCUAUUCAUGGCCCCAGGUCUUAAUUAACCAAAAAUUCAAUUAAGGGACUUCUAGGUAGUUCUAGUUACGGAUAGAGAAAUCUAGGAACCUCUAGAAAAUGGAUAAGAAAUUUAAUCAUUUUAAUUACCUUGAGAUAUGUAACUACUCUCUACCCUAGUUUGUGAUAGUUUUUCUAUAAACCCUAGUCGUUAUUCUAUGCUUACUUUCAUCUUUCUUCAUUAAACCGUAUUGUUUCCGUCAUUCAUCAAACAUAGUAAAGGUGCGGUUAGUUCGGCAUUUGGAAAGUUCAUUGGGAAAAUGCAAAGCCUUUUAGCCUAAAGGACUUUGAAGGAAAUGCAAAGACUGUUUGGUAAAUUCUGCUUUGAAAAGCAACUUUGAGAUAAAUGUUAUUUGGUAGAAAACACAUUUGCAAAGCCCCUUUGGUGAUUAAUCUAAAAUUUUUAAUUUUUUUUGGUGAAAUAAAUAGUUUAAUUUUUUUUGGUGAAAUAAAUAGUUUUAUUUUAAUUUGUUUAAAAAUUAAAAAAUAAUGUUUGCGACUUUUUUAAUUUAUAUUUGACAAAAAAUGUUAAAGAUGUUGUGUAAACAAUUUUAUUAAAAUUAAAAUUCUUUUUUUUUUUGGCUAAAAAACAUCAAAUGGGAAAAAUUUAUGUACUCUCUUUCUCAAUUACAAUAAGAAUACUUUCAUUAUAAUAAAAAAAAAAUGAUGACAUAUGCUUUGAGAAAAGAAGCUCAUUAUCCUUAAAAAUUACAAAUAUCCUUAAUUACUUCCUAAAAGAUCACGUAAACAUGCCAUAUCAGAUGCUAUAUCAUCAUUUGAAGCAUUACCCUCUCAAUUGACAUCAUUAGGAUCCGUUGUAUAUAAAUUGGGAUCCAAAUCCACUCUAGCAAAAUGUGCAUCAUUCAAGGCAUUUCUUCAUUUCUUUUAAAUCAAAUAACUUUAAACAUGAUGAUAAACUUCUAGUGCCAUGAAAUGCGUGCAAAUUUUCCAUAUAUGUGGUUUUUGAAUCUGAGAUGGUUGCAUAUUUUGUGGCAGCCUAGAUGAACUUAAGAAUCUCACGAUCAAGGAGGUUUCUAAUUUGUUAUGGACAAGACGGACAGACAUGCCUGAUCAUUCGGUGGGAAUUAAGGAUCGGAUGGAUGAAAUUAUGGAGCAGUUAGAUCUAGUAGCAUUUGAUGUGAGAUUCAUCGCAAUUCAUGGAAUGGGUGGUAUUGGGAAGACAACAUUGGUCAAGGCUGUCUUUAGGCGAAUCUCCCCUCAAUUUUCGGGCAUUGGUGCUUUCUUAAAGAUGUCCGGACUCAGAUAUACUAAAGUUACAAAAAAAUUGGUGGUUGAUGUCCUCAAACUCAGUUGUAUAAACCUCUCCUUCAUUGAUGAAGGGGCUCACCUGAUCAAGACGAGGUUCCAUGGGAAGAAAGUCCUCAUUGUUCUUGAUGACAUUGACAACCGAGACCAAAUCAUGAGACUUGUUGGUAAGCCAAAUUGGUAUGGUGAGGGUAGUAGAAUCAUCAUAACAACAAGGAAUAUUGAAUUCCUAGUAAAGGAAGGUGAAGAUCACAAUGCCCCAAUCUCAGAUACUACACAUUUUUCAUUCUACACUAUGCCGGAGAUGAAUUGGGAUGAUGCUCUUAAACUUUUUUGUGAGCGUGCCUUGGGAUGUGUCAAGCCUCCAGAUGUUUACAUUGAUAUUUCAGAAAAGGUAAUCAAUGCACUUGGAAGACUUCCAUUGGCUCUCGAUGUCGUAGGUUCCACACUCCGUGGAAAAUGCCAAAGUACAUGGAAAAAUGUUCUAUCUAAGUUAAAGAAGGUGAUGAACGAGGAUGUCAAGAAGAAGUUGAUGAUAAGCUAUGAAGCAUUGGACCCUAAUCAGCAACAGAUAUAUCUUGAUAUUGCAUGUUUCUUCAUUAAUCAAGAGAAAACAACUGCAAUUAAAUAUUGGGACGCAGUUUUUGGGUAUCCCACCGAAAUCGAAGUCAAUAUCCUCACACGUAUGUCUCUAAUAAAGAUCAUAGACUACGAUGAAUUAUGGAUGCAUGACCAACUUAGAGACCUCGGGCGAGAUAUUGUCCACCGGGAAAGUUGCAACAUAUGUUUAACGGGUAGUAGACUCUGGUUACCCAAGGACGCCUUCCAUUUGGUGCAAAGAAAAAAGGUAAGUUCUAACUCUAAAAGUUUUCCUCUCUUUCCAUUAGUAUCAUUACCUUUUAAAUCUAAUGUCAACUCAAAUUGACACAUGCAUUCAUUGGUUGCUACUUUUAUCUUCUAGGGAACCAAGAACAUAGUGGCACUUAAUCUUGGUACACCUAAACCGGAUGCAACAUAUAGAUUUAAACACAAGGAAUUUGCAAGGAUGGUCAAUCUUAGAUUCCUUCAAUUGGACCAUGGAAACUUCCAAGGAGACUUUAAGGAUCAUUUUUCCGAGUUAAGAUGGCUCUCUUGGCACAAUUGCCCAUCCAAAUUCCUUGCUACCAACUUUGGGUUGGAGAACCUAGCAGUUCUUGAGCUUUCUGGGAAUAAUAUUACUAAAGAUUGGGGAGGAUGGCGUCAAAUCAUGGUAUGAUUUCAUGACAUACUUUUGCAUUACCUUUACUCUUUUUCUUUUCUAAGUUUCAGCUUAAUUGCUUUAUAGGUAGCAAAGCAGUUGAAAGUCCUAAAACUCCUGGAUUGUCCAUUACUUAGAAAGACACCAAAGUUCUCUGCAAUCUCUAGAUUAGAGAGAUUAAUCCUUAGAUGCAAGCAACUUGGAAAGAUCGACAAGUCCAUCGGCGUUUUACAACAUCUUGAUUACUUAGAAAUAUUUUCUCAAGAACUUUCAGUGUUGCCUCACUCGAUUGGUAAUCUAGUGAGUGUGAAGCAUAUAAUCUUGUCAUGUUGGGAAUUGCAAAAGCUCCCUAAUUCUAUUGGACAAUUGGAGUCACUACUUGAGUUGAAUGUCAGACAUACAAGUGUGAGAGAAUUACCUUAUUCCAUUAGGAACUUAGGAAGGUUGGAAAUUUUUAUGAUCCCAAAUGGCUAUUUAAAAAAGCUACCAGACUCAUUUGGGAGGCUUCAAUCAUUGGUCAAGUUGGAUUUGAGUCUUUCACGCAUCAGGAGCUUACCUGAUUGUAUUGGAAAUCUCAAAAGGUUGAAGGCACUAAAUCUAGAUCAUAGCCGCAUAAUUGAACUUCCGAAAACUAUAGGAACAUUGGAAAAAUUGGAAGAGUUGAGUGCCUCAUGUGAACACCUGGAGGGGGAAAUUCCAAGUGAAAUUGGGGCACUAUCCUCAUUGAAAUUUCUAGAUUUAUCAGGUGGCUGUUUUAGUGGAUUGCCGACAACUAUCAAUCGGCUUACAAAUCUCCAAAAACUUAAUUUAUGGGACUGUAGGUCAAUUCAACAAUUGCCAGAGCUUCCUAAGAGUCUAAGGUCAUUAAGCUUUUCAUUGGACUCAUUGACUACAAUCCCUGACUUCUCCAACCUAACCAAUUUAGUUCAUCUUGAUAUAAUUGGAACAAAAGUACAAGAACCCAACAUAGAGGGGCUUUUGAGAGCAAGUGCUCUAAGAAAGUUGACCUUGUGGGUUGGAAAAAUGACCUUGCCUCCUACUGAUUUGAGUUCCCUCAUUCAGUUACAAGAACUCUUUGUAAGUUAUGCCAACCCCCGAUCUCUUAUCGGGCUUCCAUCCAGCCUUCAACAGUUGACUUUAGUCGAUGUCCAAUCACCAAUAGAUUGGUCGCUCUUUUCCAACUUGGAGAAUUUGUCAAGAUUGAUUAUUGAGAGAUAUUCGUUAGGCGAGAUUCAUUUCGAUGGGUUUGGAAAGCUACAAAAUUUCAAUGAAUUGAUGAUAUUCGACUGUCCAUUGCUUAAGACUCUGCCCAUUCUGCCUUGUAUGAAAAAGAUCCAGCAUUUGUACCUACGCCAAUUCCCUCACCUAAUUGAGAUUCAGGGUUUGGGAGAAUUGAAAUCAUUGCGGACACUAUGGAUUUGGAACUGUAAUUCCAUCAAAAGCUUAAAUGAAUAUGAUCUAUCUACUUUACAUAAUCUAAAAAGAUUGGAUUUCAAUCGGUGUGAAUCACUGGAGAGCAUGUUGGGUGUGCCAAAAUCUUGCGAACUCACUGUAAGUUACUGCCCAAGGUUCAACAAAGAUGAAUGAGGUAUGUAUCAUUUGUUUACUAAGACUUUGCUUAAUUAAAAGAUUUAGGUGACUCACCUGCUUUGCUCAAUUCAUGAAAAUUAUAAAUAUGGAAACUUCUCAUAGGUUAUCAUGGUGAGAAAAGGAAUGAAUAUAGUUAGUCCCUUUGAUCCAUCAAAGUAUAUAAGUAAUGUCAAGUAUACUAGACAAAAUUAGUGUUUUUUUUGUCAGCAUACAAAAUUAGGUUUUUUUUUUUUUUUGGUCAGAAACAGGAAAUUAUAUUGGAGAGGUAAAACCAUUACAACCGGCAGCUAAAGCAUCCAUGCAAAUGAGAUCUAUCAAAUAAAACGAGGGAAAAAUGGCCCAACAUUGGACAGAGGAAGAACGAUCAUGGGCCUUUGUAGCCCAGUCAGCAGCAACAUUGGCCUCCCUUCUGCAGUGCCCUAGCGAGAGAUUAGGGAAACUCGAGAGCAAGGAGGCAGCUUCGACGAAGAGAGGCCGAUCCUCCCAUGGCGGCUUGCGGCGACGAUUCAGGAUCUCAACCACCAGGAAGUUGUCUAAUUCAAGGAGAAGCGAAGCAUUGGAGAAGCCAUGGCAUUGCAGAUGCUGAAGAGAUAAAGACAGCUUGGAUCUCGGCUUGAAAGGCAGAAGAUGCAGCAAAAUGUUUCGAAAAUCCAUCGGUAAGUCUUCCGUGAUGAUCCCUGCAUACACACGCCAUUGUGCCUUCUCUCGAGCCGAGUUGAUAAGACCCACCUACAUUAAACUUCAAGGUACCUCGAUCUAGGGGCUUCCAAAGGGUUCCCCUACUCAGUAACGAACACCCCUUAUUCAUCAGCGAUGAAGCCAUCAGAUGAGUGACAUUAGAAUCAGUCAGUGCAACCUCAGCCACCCGAGAUGGUCGAAGGCCUUCUUGUCGAAAAAUAAAACCAUUUCGAGCACGCCAAAUCUGCCAAAGAAUUGAGACCAAAGUCUCCAAACCAGGUAAGAAAGAUCUAGACUGAACUAGUUGGACUAUCCAUUCAUCUAUUCUAUGAAGCUGCAUAGGUGAAAUCUGAAUGUUGAAGCUGGGGUGCGCCCAGACCCUUUUAGUCCACGAACAUAAUAAAAACAGAUGUUCAAGAGUUUCAGGGAGAUUCUAAUCACAAAGUAGACAACACGGGUUGUUAAUAAUAUGUCGCUGAAAUAAAUUAGCCCUUGUAGCAAGAGCAUUCUAACAAAGCGACCAUAGGAAGGCUCGAAUUUUUGGGGGGGGGGGGGGGGAAUGCAUUUUCCAGAUUCUUUUCCAUAACCAACUUGGAUUCUAAUAAGAUGAGGAAGUGGUACUUAUUGUCUGGUGUGUUGCUGUUGUUGUGAAUGAAAGAUAAGCAGAUUUAAUAGUGAAAUAACCAUCUUUGGUAGCAGUCCAGAUAAUCUGAUCUCUGGUAGAAAGUGGUCGCAGAGGGAUAGUGGUGAUCUGGUCUAUAACCUGAUUGUCAAAGAAUUUGUGUAACAAGCUGGCAUUCCCAGUAUUGGUGGAUUGAUCAAUAAGAUCAGCUACCAAAAUAGGUUCUUCACGGAUUGAAGGGCCACUUAAGAUUCCAAUAGGGAGCCAAGGAUCACCAUGUAUUCUGAUUGAUUUACCAUCACCUACAGACCAACGUAUGUUGGGUAGGAUGGCAUCCCGACCAAGCAGAAGACUCUGCUAGCCCCAAGAUGGGCGAGAGCCUUUGUCAGCAUUUAGAAAAGACUUGGAAUGAAAAUACAAUCCUUUGAAAAAUUUGCUCCAAAGAGAUAAAGGCUGAUAAAGUAAACGCCAAGCCUGCUUAGCCAGCAUUGCUCUAUUAAAAUGUAGAAGAUCUCUAAAGCCUAAACCUCCAUCUGCUUUACUUUUUUUCAAAACAUCCCAACUCCACCAAUGUAUUCCUGAUUUAUUUCGAUCAUUCUGCCACCAAAAUCUGGCUACGCUUUUCUCGAUAGAUCUACAAAUAGACACAAGCAACUUGAAGGUAGACAUUGCAUAAUGAGGAAUAGCCUGGAUAACAGUUUUGAGUAGGAUCUCUUUCCCACCCUUUGAAAUCAGAUUAGCUUUCCAACUCUCCAAUUUAGAUUGAACUCGGCUCAAUAUCCAUGAAAACAUGUCUUUUUUCAAACGUCCCCAAUCAGAAGGUAUCCCUAAGUAUUUUCCACAUUUGUUCAGAAUAGGAACCCGGAGCUCCGAAGCCAAAUUCUGCUGCAAACUAACUGGGCAAUCUUUUCCAAAGUAGAUACCAAAUUUAUUACGAUUAAUUUCCUACCCUGUUGCUAGACAAUACUGCUCUAAUAUAUUCGAUAGAUUCUAGCAUUCAUUAACAGUACCAUCAAGAAAGAAUAUGGCAUCAUCCGCAAAAAAACAAAUGAGUUAAAGAAGGGCACCACCUGUUAAGUUCAAUACAUUUAAGAUGUUCCAAGUUGACAACUUUCUUAAUAAGUGUAGAAAGGAUAUUAGCCAACAUAAUAAACAGAUAAGGGGAGAGAGAAUCACCUUGUCUAAGACCUCUAGAAGGGUAGAAAUAGCUAAGAUGUUCUCCAUUCGGUUUAACACAGGAUGUUUGAGUCGAAAUACAUUGCAUAGUCCACUUCACCCAAGUAGGAUGAAAACCCAGUUUAAGGAGAUAAUCUUGGAGAAAAUCCCAUUCAACCCCGUCAUACGUUUUCCUCAUAUCCACUUUCAGAAAUGCUUGAUAAGUACAACUUCCUUUCUUGAUUCAAAGCUGGUGUAGAACUUCCUAGACAAGUAAAACAUUAUCCUGAAUUUGUCUACCCCCCACAAAAGCAGAUCGUUCCUCUGAGAUAAGGUCUGGUAAGAUGGGUUUUAGAUGAUUUGCAAUGAUUUUAGAUAUGACUUUAUAAGCAUAAUUGCACAGACUGAUAGAACGAUACUGAUCAAGGCUUUCUGGGUGAGGAAUCUUAGGAAUCAAAGCUAUUAAAGUUCUGUUUAAAGAAGAGGGCAUAACACCAGUAGUAAAGAACACAUUAACAACUUCAAAGAGAUCAUAUUUAAUAAUGUCCCAGUUCGUCUAAUAAAAUAAAUCAUUAAGACCAUCAGGGCCCGGAGCUUUGGCUGCUCCUAAUUGAAAGGUUGCCUGCUAUACCUCUUCCAGGGUAACAACAACAGUUAAACUAGUAUUCAUCUCCUGUGUUACCAAAGGAGUGCACUGAUCUAAGAUAGGAGCAUAAUUGCGACAUCCUAUUAAGGUAUAUAAGCGUGAGAAGAAAUCUGUCACCAUCUCCUUUAUUCUUGUAGGAUCCCGCACCCAAAAGUUAUCGUCAUUCUUAAGCAUAGUAAUACGAUUACGCUGACGACACUAAACAGUUGUUGCAUGAAAAAAACUAGCGUUCUUGUCUCCCCAUUUCAGCCAAUUAAGUCUGGAACGGAUAGCCCAAUAUUGUUCUUCACGACUCCACACCCUCUGCAGUUCUUCCUUCAAAGUUUUAACCUCAGUGUGAUCAUAAAAGACAUUCUGUUGAUUAGUAAGGUGCUGCAGUUGGAGCUGCAAAUCAUUAGCCCUAAGUCUUAUGAUUGAAAGAUGCAUUCAUGCUGCGAACAGAAUUCCAUGAAGUAUUAAUAAUAUCCCGACACUCCACAUCCUAAUUCCAAUAAGAUUCAUACUUAAAGUAGUGCUGUCUAGAACCAACCACUGGUGAAGUGUUAAGGAUAAGAGGACUAUGGUCAAAACCAAUAGCAGGUAAAGCAUAAACCUCAGCCUAAGGAAAAAGUAAUCUCCAAUCCAGUGAGCACAGGGCUCGAUCUAGACACUCCUUUAUUAACUCAUCCCCCUGAUGAUUGUUUAUCCACGUAAAUGCACAACCCUUAGCUUCAAUAGGCAUUAAAGAACAGUCAUUGAGAACAUAUUGAAAAGAAGCCAACCGAUUAAAAUCAACUGGUCUACCUUCGUGCUUUUUCCAGUGAAAAAGAAUCUCAUUGAAAUCACCGAUGUAGGCCCAAGGAAGAGUAUUUGCAAGGCUGAUGUUAAUGAGAUCCUGCCAAACCUCAAGUCUCAAACGAGCAACAGCAGGGGCAUGAAGACACGUGAGGCGCCAGGUAAUGCUUUCUACUUCAUCUAUACACAUCAUAUCGAAGUAAUCCAGAGUUGAACACACAAAAGAAAGAGAAACAGAAUCAUUCCAUAAAACUGCUAAACCCCUGCCAAACCAACUAGGUUGUAAACACACAGAAGCAAAAAAUGCAACCGAAUUUGCAACUGACUAAGGACAGCUUCGCAAUUUUUAGUUUCCAUAAAAAAUAAGAGAUCAGGUUUUUCCUUAACUACCAGGGCCUUUAGUGCUUGAACUGUCAGGGUAUUGCCCAAACCCUGAGAGUUCCAACUGAUCAUUUUCAUUUGUGACAAGGGGGCUAUUGAGGGCUAGCCACCCAUGCCCAACUUCCAUCUCUAGGAGCUUGCUCAAUGGGAGUGUCCAACAGUAAAGAUUCAUCCAGAUCAUCUAGUGUUGCACUGCGCAUAUCAUAUGCGUUAUACCUCUUAUGUUUCUUAACAGGGCCAACUUUUGUUAUAUGGCGAGAGCUCUUCAGCCUUUUGUCCUGAGUGACACUGCUUGUAUUAAACUGAACACCCUUCUGCUUUGCUGAUGCAGGAAUCAAAGCAAUGUGAGAAUCGCUGCCCCGAUGCGAGGACACCAGCACUAGAGGAGCUAGAGGAUGUGAUGCAGGAGGAAUAUCAAUCACUAAAGGCUGCAACAAGGGAGAGGCUUCAGAGGUAGGAAUUGGCGGCAAUAAAGGAAGGGGUUGAGCAACUGUAGGGGGAGUUUUAGGUACCACUUCUUCCACUAUGUCCUCCAUCUCUGUCGUUUCAUAAUAAAGUUUACAGUACGGACUAUGUUCCAUAAGCUUAGCGCGCAGCCAUUGUCCAUACGACAACUUGUCCUCUCCAGUUAAUACAUCAACAUCAACAGGUUUAUCGAUACAUGAGGUGGCAUAAUGCCUUAACUUCCCACAUAGAUAACGGUAAUGGGCAAGACGUUCAUACCUAAAAUCCAACCAAAUGGUCUUAUUAUUAAUGCUAAUCGAACGACCUGUCUGCAAAGGAUGCUGAAAGUCAAUUUCAACAUGCGCACGCCCUAAUCUCAUGGUAAACGUGUCUUGACCAUCGGCCCUUACUUCCAAAACUUUCCCAACUGUCAUAACUGCUUUUCUAAUAAGCUGUCAUGUGCACAAUUCCAGGGGAAGGCCAAACACUUGCACCCAAAAAGCGCAAGUUGAGAAAUCAUAGAAUGCAGCGGUGUGUUGGGAAUCCAAGCCUUAAAGACCACCAAUCGACUAGAAAAGACCCAAGGUCCCCCCACUAAAAUCCUCUAUUUAUUAGUAUAUAAUUUAAAUUUCGCCGCAUAGAGACCAUCCUCUCUCUAAGAGAUGUCCACCUGUUCUGUACGCCAAACCCUUUUCAUAGUACUCUGGGAAGCCUGGAAGUUUAUAGGAGAAUCAAUGAAUACCUUACCAAUCAGAGUUAAACGGCACUCAUUCAAUUUCGCAGGAGUAGGCACAUCGUUCUAGACCUCCAAAUCGUGAGGUGAGCACAAUCUUCCCAAGCGCUUACACAGGGUAGCCAAAUGAGGGGAAUUGGCUUCAUCUGCAUGUGCCAUAUCUACUCUGGAUAGAGUAAGGAGCAAAACCAAACAAUCGAAGAGAAAAUCAGCAACUAGGAAAGCUUGGGUAUGUGAGAAAGGCCAAAUAGAACAGUCGAUAGACCCAAAGGAGGAUUAGAAUCACACAUGCAAGCAACCUAAUGGGAGUCCGAAGAGAGAGAGAAGCAUAGUGAAGCAGAGGCGAAAGGUAGAGAAUGAGAGGCGAAGGAGCAGAGAGUUGGAGGCGGAAAGAUUACAAAGUACAGACAGGCAUCGAGAAUAACAGCUGAUAGAAAAGAGAAUCCAUCGAGGAAAACCAGAUGAAACAAGAAGAUUAGGGUUUAAGAUGCCAUUGAACCGAAGAAGGAAGCUCUGCAUGCGCAAGAGAAAAAGCUAUCCUUGACGGAUAGAGAGAAAAUUCAGUCCUCAAAUUUUUAGUUUUACAAAAUUAGGUUUGAGAAGAGGUAUUUUGAACAAUCAAUUAACUCAAUUUUCCUCUACAUCAAUUCUCUUUGAUUUUCAUCUCCAAAAGAGAGUAAAACUACAAUUUUCUUCUCUAUUUGUUUGCUAUUGGUUCAUUCUUGCUCAUCUUAAAUUACAAUCAGGGAAGAUGUUUCAAUUUGCCUGAUAAGUCAUUUACUUUCUUGAAUUCUUAUUUGUUAUGCGGAUGACAGGUCAUUUCUUUUUCCUUUGCUAUUUUAAGCUCGGUUUGGGAAUUUGAUGACUCGACUUUUUAAUGAAUUAAUUAAGGCAAAUGCAAUAACCUAGGUUUCUCCUUUUUUGUAUCACCUUUGUUUCUUGUAGUUUCGAAGAUUGAGCAAGGACACUGCCAGUUUUACUUCACUUUUGAUGUCAAUGGUUAUAAUUGCAAUUUCAAGCAUUCCCAUUAUUAAAGUUGAAAUUCUACUUCUCCAGCAAUAAUUAUUACCUUUGUUCAUCUAUUUAUGCAGAGUUCCGGAAUGCAAUCAACUAUUCAUGUUGAAUGUCUUCAAGUGUAAUGGUUGGGGAUCUAUAUGAGCAACAAUUAUUACCAGUCGAACUAUUUCUGGCUAAGAGUUGUGUCAUGCUUAGGCAUUCAAUGGCAUAAUGUACUAACCUUACCAUUUGUUUGCAGAAGUACUAUUUUCACUCAUAAUUAGCUUAAUCAAAGUACCUUAUAUAUAUAUUUUUUUUUCAUAGAUCUUGGUCAAUUAGUCAAGUUCAGGGGACCGAAAUUUGAAAGAUCCAUGACUUCCUCUCAUAUUCUUGCGUGUGCUUCUAUUGGCAUCCAAAAUUUGCUUGUUGGGCUUCGAAAAUAGAAGAGAGUAAAGUAUGCCCGACACACAAGAAUUCAUGGGUAGUGAGCCAAAACGCCAAUAGGCGACAACAAAGAUUUCGAACAAUUUGACAUUAGAACUUGCCGAGGCAAGCGAGACAACAAAGGAAGAAGUUACGAGAAUUGGUACCAGCGAAAAUAUCAACAAGGCAAAGUAGUUAUCGAUAAGGAGCCAAAGCUUCCGAAACAUCUUGAAUAUCGAAAUGAUAACCGCUAAAGAGCAUUUACCCAUAAAUUGCCACUAUAAAUGUCACGUCUCAAUCCUCAGACCACGUGCCCAUUCCUCUUGGUCGAUAUAAUUGCGACAUCCUAGGACGCAUGACUGACCCAUUCGUUUUAAUGCACAUGCGGAAACGAUUAAUAAAUCCCCAGACAACAACAAGAUGGGAUAGAAAAGUAGGGCCCAUUUUUCACAAAAUACAUUUUUAUAAAAAUACAGGUUUAUACACAGCAGCCUACAAAAAGGAAUUGAUUUUCAUCAAAAGAGAAUUGUCCUAUGACUAACUAGUCAGACAAGAUCACCGAUUCUUCGGGCUUCACCUUCUAAACUCUGGGCUUCGGGUCCUCCACCGCUAUCAACUAAGGACCUGAAAAUAUUAUCCCACAAUGGGGUGAGAUGACGUCUCAGCAGGUUCAACCUCCUAAAACCCGACUAGGAAGAAAAUAUGCCGAAAGGGCUACCUAAGCACAAUCAUGAGUCAGAGGACUUAUCUUGGCCUCUCUUCCUUGCAAGUCAAUAUAAUUCAAACAACCAUCCAAUCAUCAAUUCCCAAAUCACUUUACCCAACCAGAUCGAAUCAUCGAUUAAUCGACUCAAUUGAUUACAUGUCAUUGAGAUCAUUCCCCAAUCAUCUUAAUCAAUACUAUCUAUAAAGUCCGAUCAUAAUCUAGGACUACUUACUUUAAGCCAAUAAUAGAUAAUAUAUUAUACUGAGAUAAUAUAUUAUACAUAUGCUCGCCAGAAGCUGCCUCAAAUACUGAUAUAGUAUAUUAUAUAUUCUCGCUAGAAGUUGUCAGAUAUAUUUUCAUAGUAUACUGAUAAUAAUAAUGCUUACCAGAAGCUGCUAGAUAUACUCUCAUAGUGUGCUGAAAAUAAUCAUGCUCACCAAAAGCUGCUAGACAUACUCUCAUAGUAUGCUGAAAAUAAUCAUUUAAUCAAACCACAAUUUUUAUCCUUCCCGAUAAAAAUAUUCGUGUGUGGAUACACGGUCGGCUUUAGCCAAAAAUAUAAUAUUUUCAUCUUUGAAAAUUCCACUAAUUUUAAUGGUCCACAAACUCAUUUUUAGCGCUAUAAACCGACGCUCUGUGAUUUUCCAAUUAAUUACUGAAAUUAAAUAAUUUUAUGAAUAAAUUCCCAAAAGCACAAUUCACACACAAUCGGCACAAAAUAACAGUCGAAUAAAUAAACAAAUUACACCAUUACAGUUAGCAUAAAAUUUCGGUCACCGGUUAUUCCGAUCUAAUUUUCGAAAAAUAAUUAAUUAAUUAAUCAAUUACGGAAAAUAAUUAAUAAAUGCAAUAAAUAGUAACUUAGGCCCGUAAACCCUAAUUGGAAGCCGAGACGAGCUCGGAAAAUUUCCGAACCACUCUAGAUACCAGAGCUUGUCUAGGCCCUAAUUGCACUAAAUUAUCCACCUAAUAUGCAUUGAUAAUUAAAUAAUUUACUAAACAGUUCUAAUUAUGCACUAAAUCAAGCUUAAUCUAAACUAAUCAACCCUUAAACGUCAUUAACUUAAUAAGUGACGAUUAGUGAGUUAAACUUACCUAAUUAACGAUUCGCUUGGAUCAAAACGAUGGGGACGUGGCGAGGAACGAAAAGCUCCAAAGCGGUGACGUCAACGGGGCAUGGAUCGGGCCUGAAAAUUGGCCUGAGGAAGCCCAUGACACUACUGGACUUGGCUGAGCUUCAUGAGGGCUUACAGCUUCAAGCGGGCUGAUUUCGAUGGAAGAAAGGGCAGCAAGGAGUCAAUGCCGAAAGUUGCUACAGCUGACUUCGGUUGAACACUUGCUGGGGACGUCUCGACUGCUGGCGUGGACUGGAGAAGAAAACCAAAAUUGCAGAAGCCGGAGUGGUGAGGAGAUGGGCGGCUGGCCGAAGGAAAGAGAGGGGUCGAGGGGGGUGUGUCGGCCAAAAGAAAAGAGAGGAUAAAUAUGACCAAAAGUCAAAGAAAUGGGAAACGUGAGUGGAAAAGAUGGCAGAGGGCUGUCGGCGGUUUUGGGGGGGGGAAUUCGUGCGAGAGAGAGAGAGAGAGAGAGAAAGGAAAAAGGAAGGGGGCAUGCGGCCAAGGGGGAGAAGGAAAAAUAAAAAUUAAAUUAAAUUCCUAAAAUCAAAAUUUCUUGGUCCCACUUGCUCUUGUUUAAUUCAAUUUGGUCCCCAAAAAUCCCCAUGCUAAAGUACAUGAUCCUCACUUGCUUUCUUGUAUCAAAUUUCCUUCAAACUGAGAGUUCUAGUAUGAACACCUAGUGGGGGUGAAUAGGUGUUUAAAAUAAAUCUUGGCAAAUAUAUGCGGAAUAAAAUAAACUUCAAACAAAUGAGUUAGGGAAGAGAAUAAGAACACAGAAAUUAUAGUGGUUCGGCUUAAUCCAAGCCUACGUCCACUCUCCCACGCUAACAGCCUUCUUGGCUGGAUUCCACUAUGCAAUCAACAAGAGAUUACAAUUUCGAGUGCAAACACUUAGUAGUAGAUCACACUAUCUCACUAAGUCACUCCUUUGGUAUUUGUCUCACGAUCACAAACGUUUAAGCUCUCUAAAGACAAGUGCAUGAUCGAAGGUCGCUCAGACUUUGGAAUUAUAAAUUCUACGCUCUAUCUCUUACUUGUUCAUCGGUCCAUGAUCUCCUUAAAUACUCCUCCACUUCCAAACUACCCGUUGGACAGUAUCCCAGAGAAUCGUCUUCCAAUAUACCCAUUGGACAGCUCUGUAUCUUGAAGAUUUGGUAGCCGUUGAGUGACAAAGGUAGAAUCCCAAAUUGAUUCCGAUCGCCCAUACAAACGAAAUCUUGGUUUCCAUAAGUAAAGCCUCUUCGUAUAGAAAGUUCUUGUCUUUAAGAUCCAAUCGUCAAUCAAAUAGAUUGAGUCAAUCAAAUCAAUCUUGAUGUGGAAUCCAAACCAGAUCACUAGCCGUUAUAUGAUUGGGCUUGAAUUACGUUCUGUUGAAUCUGGAUGUAAAGUCUGAUAGCAAUAGACUUUAUAAUCUGAGUCUGAGUGCAAUAGACUUUACAAUCUGGGUCUGAACAUAUUCUACUUCUGAACAGUUUUAGCUUUAAGGUCUGAAUACCCAAUUCAGCUUCAGUAUAGAGUCUGUCUUCUGGUUCAGCUUCAACAUAGAGUCUAUCUUUUGGUUCUUCAUUCACGUUCAGUCUGGAAUUUGUCAGAAUGAGCAGACUUCUGAUGUAGAACAGACUUUGACACUAAAGUCUAGCAGUCUUCAAACUUUGACACAGAAGUCUGGAAAUCUUCAUAAUAUACUUUGGACAUAUGUUACGUUCAGUCUUCUGGCUAUCUUCUGACUUUGAUAAUAUCCUUUACAUGUUCUAUUAUCUGCAUGGUCUAUUACUUAACCAUUAAACAUGUUAGUAGCCUUUGAUUUAUUUUGUCAUCUUCAAAACAUCAUAAAAGGCCCGAAUUAUUCAAUUGAAAAUGAGAUUCAAAAUCCAAGAUGUCACAAUAAAUAGCCGAAGAGGUAUCAAUAGAAAGGACCUUUUCCCAAAUCAACAAUCGAUCAUCUACUUUCAAUUGCUUUGUUUCUUUUAUUGAACUUUUAAUUUGAAUUGUAGUUUUACUUUUCUCCUUUUUUUCCUGCAUUUAUGUUUGCUUGUAAUUUAGAUCAGUUGCUUCCUUUCCGGCAUGACACAGAACCCAUAUUAAAUAAUAAAGUCGAAACUUUGCCCCUUUGGUGAAAGAUUUUGUCGAGGGAAGUUUCCUUGACAAACAUCUUUUUGGCAUGCCUAGUGGGACCAUUGUGUUCCGUUCAUAGGAAGGGUUAAUGGCAAAAACAAGAAAUUAGGAGAGUCACUCCUCGACCAUCAAGGGUAAUUUGUCACCGCAGCACGUUGGAGAGAGAACCACCUGUUCCAAGAUUUCUGGUUAAAAUGUAGACUAUAUUAAUGGUGUCAACAUGGGCAAUCAUUCUAGAGACAUUUCAUGAGAAUUAUCUGAAGAUCAGAGAAGAGAGUUGGCCCUUAAUUCAACGGUAAUGGUCACCAUGAGAAGGAUGUUCGAAGAGCAACAAAAUGAUAUAGCCAAUCAUAUAGCAAAAUGUCUUUGGUGAUGGAGACAUAUUUAUAAUAUAUGUAAGAUAAUUAGGUCGUGGUACUUUCAAUCGUGAUUUAAAUUGUUUUUCCCUGGACAUUUCUAUUUUCUUCUUCAUUCAUUGUCUUGUUUACCAAACUUCACGAUGAUCAUUAUUACUAUUUUAUCUUCGUCGAAAUUUUAGUGGACACAAAUUUCUCAGUAAAGUUUGAUAGACAACCUAUCCGAAGUAUGGGUAAAUGCAUUAGUUAUACAGAACAAAAAAUCGAAAGUGAAUUACCCAAACAAAGCACACAAUUAAGAUAGACCAAAAGACGCCACCGUUGCAUGCACAAUAGACGACAGAGAGGAUGUCUCUUCUAUAAAUAUAUUUGGAGAUUCAAAAUCACCAAUUGUCUAGCACGAUGUAGGACGUGAUGAAAUCGCUUAAAAGAUGUGCAUUGAGGAAAAUGUUAAAGCUAGAAACAUGCGAGUCUCUUGAAGACAAAGCCAGCGAUCGAACUGUAGUAACAGGAGAUCCGGUCCGGGACUUGAAGGCCAAGCCGGCGAGUAUGCCGUUCGUGGAUUGGUGGGUCAUAUCUUGAAGUAUGGUUGUGAGGAUUCAUUCUUCUUAUGUUUCUCAAUUUCACUCUUCAAGUUUCACAUAUUAUCGGUGAACACAAAAUAUAUAGCAAAUAAAAAUAUUAUAUUUAGCCGGGUGAGUAUUGGAGUGUCUAAAUUUUAAAUAUCUUUUUUUUUUCCUUAUUGAAUUUUGAGAUGUCAUUAAUGAUGAAUUAGUUCUCAGAGAUUAACCACUUUUGGUAUAGGUUUUUUUUUUGGCUCUGUAGGCUUAAGAGGAAAAAAUAAAGGGAAGAAAUAAGAUGAUUAAUUACACGGAAAUAACUAUCACAUCUUGCUAGGUGAGUAUAAGGGUGUCUACAUAUCAAAUCAUCUUUUUGUAUCUAUAGAAUUUUGACAAGUUGUCGAUGAUAGAUGAGAUGAUUAAGUAAUUUACCUAGUUUGGCAGUUGGAAGGGUUAAAACCCCUUCUUGAAACUAGCAUACUAGAUGUGUAAGCUCUUUAAUGACUCUUCUUCAAUGAGUGGUCUCAUUGCAUUGAGCUCAACUUGAUCACUGUCUUACUCUUGAAGUUUCGCCUUAGUGUCCCAGACACCCCUAUCCAGGCUUGGGCAUGAUAUUUUUUGCUUUGGUCACAACUCACCCACGCUUACUUUAAGUGCUACAGGUCGUAUUUAGGCAAAAUGGGAUUAGAGACAUACAUAAAAGCCAACAUUCCCACUCUUAAAGUCAUGCAAGAUUUACCUACAAGCACAAUAGCCCAUAUGGAGGUAAGUGGGAACAAUUAAAUAUCGGAAACCUAACAUCGCCACCUUGGCCUAAUACACCACUAUAGGUAGCCUCAUUGGAGGGUAAACAUGAUAUUAUUUGCUCUGGUCGUUGCUAUUGAUAUUCAAAUUUUUAUCAACGUUUUAGGUAUCCAUUUAUAUUACAAAAAUCUGAAAAUUUAUAAAAAAUAAUAAUAACAAAAAAAUAAAAAAGAUAUUAAAAAAAGCGAAAUGAAGUCGUGUGGGCCGGCCCCUUAGCAAAGUUUUCAGCCUUCUAAGCCCCCUCCCCUCCCUCCAUUAGUCCAACCCAUUUCUUUUAAUUCUUUGGGCCCAUCUCUUCAUUUCCUUUUUAGCCCAUCUCCUUUUGUCUUUCCUUGGCCCAUCAUAUAACCAAACACAAAGGAAGCCCAGCCCCAUCCUCCCUCUUCCCUCACGCGCGCUUCCCCCUCAACUUCCCCAGCGAGCACAGCGUCUGUGACGCAAGGAAGAAAGACAGGCCAAGCGUGCGUGCGUCUGUGAGCGAAGGAGGCGCGACAAGCCGUGACGAGAGCUGAGCCAGCACCUUCUAGAGCCGUGCUAGCUGGCGUGCGAGAGAAAUAACACAAAGAUUCGAUCGGUGAGGCGAGGGGAGCGUGCUGAUCCGAGAGAAAAUGAUGCUCGCCUCAAGAGGAUCCUGUUCGCAUAACAGGAGGAGAAGAGACGCCGCCGGAUUUCGGAGAGGGCGGCCGUCGAAGAGGCAAGUUGCAGAGAGAUAAGCUGAAGAGAGAUUCACGGGGGAGAAAGAGAGUCAGCCGAGAGCGAGAAGGAGAGGAUGGCUGGACGCUCGCUUGAAAAAGGAUUUGGCCAUCGAAGAGCUCGGCCGAAGGGAACCAAGGAGGAUAGGAAUCGGCACUACCCCUGCCAGGUCGUUUCUAUUCCGAUCGACCGUUAGAGUCGAUUACGUGUUCAGAAUCUCCUCAUCGCUCUGCUCCAUUGUUCGGGAUCUGUGUCCGUCCACCUUCGAACCGAGAUAUAGGAGAGCGAAGCUGUCUGAAGCAGGUUCGCGAGUUUCGUUUCAGUCGAAGGGAGAAUCCUCGGGAUUUUAUUGAUCUCGAUUAGUUGAAAUUAAAAAAUUAGUCUUGCCGAGAGUCCUUCAUGACCUGUUUGAUGUUUUGUGUAGAUGUCUUCAACGUUGAUUUGUUCCUGUUACUGGUCAAUCCGUGAGCAUUUUAGUAUGAGUCUCGGAAAAGUUAUUCCAUAAAAUUGGAAGAGAGUAGGAGUAGGAAUGGAAUAGCUAAUUUGUAGUUUGGUUUGUAUAAUGGAUUCAAAAAAUUCUCUGGUUUGUUUUGCCAUGAUAUUAGGGAGAAUAUGUUUGGAAUAGUGUAUACCCAAAAUACCCUUUGAUGAUAUAUAUCAAACUCUAAUUUCUUUUAUUAUCAUAUUUACAUAGGACAUAAACGAAAGCCUACUAUAAUUUCUAAAUAAUUGCAAUAUUUGAAUUUCUAAUGAAAGUAACCCUUAUUUUAUUAAUUGAUAUAAUUAAACCAUAAUAUAAUUACUAAAAAAAUAAAUGAACUAAUUAUUAAACAAUAGUAUAAUUACUAAAUAGAUAACUAUUAUUUUUAUAACUACCUUUCGAGUCAAGCCAAUACAAUAAGGCCAAGCUCAAGCUCAACUCCUAUUAGAUAUCCGAUGCUCGGAGUUCUGCUUGAGCUUUGCAACUCAAAUUUUUAAAGAAAAAAGUACCAAAAUAUUAUUAAUAAUAAACAAAGUAAUUGCAGAAAAAUAAUAAAACACGGAUCGACUGUCCAAUGAUAUAUUUCUGAAGCACCAAAAGUCCUCAAGGCUGGGGCCAACCAGUCCAUCAAAUGUUUGUCGGGCCACAGUCGGCCAAUUAGGCCCAUGGGCUUGAUUGGACCUACGCUCACAAUGGGGUUGGGCAACACGGCCAACAAGGCCCUAAAGUAAUUAUAACUUGAGUGUUUAAUCUAGCGUUAAUCAACAUAAAAUGCUACAAUGUACAUUUUCUCCAUCAAAGUAAAUUAGUGUGACAUGUAUCCAUAUCGUACUAAUAAAAAAGUCUAAGUUUAAGUUGUUUCUUUCCUUUCAUAUUCGGAAAUUGCUUUCCUUAAUUAUUAAAAGUCAAUAUCUAAGGGCCACAGUUCUAGAAUUUCAAACUUUACGUUCAUUAUUCAUUCCCUUUGAAUUAGACCACGCUUUUAUUUGACUUUCCGUGAUGGUGGCCAAAGAUAUCUCCUCGUCUUCUAAUUUAAUGUAGUUGGAGCACGCUCAUGACAACAACAUCACACCACAUUCCUGGAAAGUUAAAAUUCAAUGUAACAAUAAUGUCACUCGAAAUCGUCUAAUUAACCCCGUGUUCUAAGGAUGUUCGGAUCUUGAUUUGGCUAAUUAAUUGCAAUCUUAAGUAAUUUAAUAAGGAUUCCACCUAAUUUUGAUCCGAGUAAUGCGGGGAAUUGACCAUAAAUGAUGGGACAUUUGAACAAACAUAUGAAUAUGAUCCAAUCCAGAAAAAUAUCAGCUUUUUCCCGACGUCCAUCCCUAUCAGGAAAAUUUACUUAUGGUGGACAUAGAAAUGGUUCCUCGUAUUUUAUUUACGAAUUAAAGUUUUUGGAUGGUGGAUAUAAAGUAAGUAAUUUAGGCUAGAUUUCGUGUUGUGUACAGGCAAGAUAUUGACUUUCUACAGAAUACCCACCGCACAUUUGGAUGGAAUAUAGAUAUUAGAGCAUGCUUAUAUUUGACUUUGCGUGAUGGUGGCCAAAUAUAUCCUCAUCAAUCUAAUUUAAUAUAAUUGGAGCGCGUUCAUGACAACAUUACACUACAUUACUGGGAAAAUUAAAAUUCACUGUAAAACAAUAAUGUCACUUGAAAAUGUCAAAUUGACCCCAUGCUAUAAGGAUAUUCGGAUCUUAAUUUGGCUAGCAACUUGCAAUCUUAAGGAAUUUAAUAACGAUUCCACCUGAUUUUGAUCCGUGUAAUGCGGUGAAUUGAUGAUAGAUGAUGGGACAUUGGAACAAAAUAUGAAUAUGAUCCGAUCAACAAAAAGAUCAACUCCUUCCCAUUCCAUUGCAUUUGCCUUCUUUACAAGACUGUUGAUUUCUUUCUCAAUAUCAGCAAACUUCAUCUCAUCAGCAUUUCGAAUUUACUGGAACAACCAGACCCCACGUGAAAGAAAACGAAUUAAUUUAAACCACAAUCUCAUUAGAGUCUACGUACCUGAUAAUCAAAAGACAAAUCCCUAUACCUGCCUUGCUUAGAGAAAAAUAUCAUGGCAAGGAUCGCAAAUUUCUAUAGCUAUUCAGUCAUUUUCUGGAGACAAAGGAUGGAAAUAGUUUCUUACCUUUACCAAAAAAAAAAAAGAGAGAGAUGGAAAUAGCAUAAUCUCGCCCCUCGAUCAUCAAAUAUCUCGAUCAGUAGUGUUUUAGGGGGGAAAAGGGUUGUUGAUGCUAGAAAAUCGCGACAUUAGCUUAUCACUUCUCACAUUUAAUGUCCUUGGAAUGAUGGAGGCAUCCAAAAUCAAAGAAUGAGAAUCGUCGCUCUAAAUCCUUGGUCUCCAUCUUGGUGAUUUUCUACAGCUUAGGAAGACCGCUGGUGGAAAUCAUAAUAUGUUUAAGAAACAUUGAUGAGAGUGUAAGACAAGUUUAAACCAGGAGCUUGUGCUCCAUAUUAGUCGUUGCUAAGCAAAUGAAAGGAAACCUCUUCGUCAUGGUGAGAGCAAGGGUGAAUCACUACUUGUCAAAGCAUGAAGAUCUACGUUCUUUAGCCCAUAUAGAGAAGAAAGAAUAAAUAAAAGGGAAAAAUCCUCAAAAAUCCCAAACUUCACCCAUGUGAUAUAUUUAUCCAAUUCUUUUUUUUUUUUGGUGACUCCAAAAAUCUUAAACUUAUAUUUCUAUGACAUAUUUACCUCAAACCUUUUUUUUUGUGAUACCAAAAUCCCCAAACUUUUUUUUUGUGACACCAAAUUUUAAGGAUAAAUGUGGCAUAUGAAUACAAAAUUAUGAUUUUUUAUAUCAUAAGAAGAAGUUUGGGAUAGAUAUGUCCCACUAUAUAAAUUUGGGGAUAAAUAUGUUACAUAAAUACAAAUUUGGGAUUCUUAUUGUAAAAAAAAAAGUUUGGUGUUAAUAUGUCACAGUGAACAUAAUUUAAGAUUUUUGGUGAUUUUUUUUUUCUUUUAAUAAAACAAGCACUUAAUAGUGGGCAACAUACGCAAUGUGAUUGCAAGCAUGGGAUAGAGACUCGAUGCUGGAUGUUUUUUGGUCAUACGGAUCAACCGUCCAAAAUCGACUUAUUAUUCUAAAGGGUUUUCCUUCAUCUUGGACGUCACAUAGGAAUUUUUACACUAGGAAGAAGCUGAGAUGGUCUAAAGGUUUAAUUCAACCAUUGAGGUUUAAUUAAACCAUCCUUUGAAGAUAUGAUACUGGAAAAAAAAAAUCCGCAUAUCAUAAAAUGAAAAGUACCCGGACUCUAUAAAAAAAACACCCGGACUCUCAAAAAACCAGUACUCUUCCCUCAGUCUCUCGCCCUCGCCAAUCGGUCACCCCAAGCCUCCGCCACCUCGCCGCUACAUCACAGUCGACAUCGUAUCCCCUUCCCGUGCCGUCACCCCUCGCCGUCAACGUCGUAUCCCUUCUCGUGCCAUCACCUGUCGCCGUCGAGCCCCCCGGCCAUCGCCUGCGCCGAUCGUUUCGCAUCCCGUCUCGGCCAAGCCACCAUCUCUGUCCCCGACUCUCUCUCCUCGAGGCAGCCUCGCUCGCGCGGCCGUGGGCAACACCAGAUUUGAAGGUGAAAAGUGAUGCACAGCUCUCUCUCUCUCUCUCUCUCUCUCUCUCUCUCUCUCUCUCUGUCUCUCUCUCUCUCUCUCUCCUUCCGUGUUUCCUCUUCGAAGCAAUUAUUUUGUCGAUCUGAGAAGGAAGGCUGCAGGUAACUUCCAGGCGAACGCAGCGAAAGUGAGAGAUCUCUCUCCGUUGCGUCAUCAAGUUGCUACGUGGAUCAGACUCGGACUUCUCAAGUCACCGGGCAGACCCAAUUCGGAGAUCCAUUUCUGCAUCGUCCUCACAGAAUGAAGAGAAAGAGGGAGGAAAAAGAGACGGCAACAGCAGCUUCAACAAGCAGUAGCCGUGAUGAUGGAUCGGGGAGUGGCUACGAGGUGUUCCUGAAUUUCAGAGGUCCCGACACCCGUUUAACCAUGGCUGAUUGUCUCUACAAUGGCCUGAUUGGUGCAGGGAUCCGUGCUUUCAAAGACAAUGAAGAGCUCCGAUUUGGCGAAGAGAUCGAAGGUGGCCUCUUACAAGCGAUCAAUGACUCUAGAAUUUACAUCCCGAUAUUCUCCAAGGACUACGCUUCAAGUAAGUGGUGCCUUCGUGAAGUGGCACGCAUAGUGGAGCUAGUGAGAGCUAACAAUGAGAAAGUGAUCCUCCCUAUAUUUUACGACGUGGAUGUGGAUGAUGUCAAGCUUAAGACUAAGUUAUAUCGGAAAGCCCUUCGGAAACACAAGAGCAACUACGGGAAGGAUUUAGUAAAGAAGUGGAAGAAGGCGUUAAGAGAGGUUGCUAGUCAUAGAGGAAGGAAGCUAAAAGAUCACGGGUAUUAUUUGCUUCUCCAUUGACUUUAUUUUCUUUGUUGAAAUUUUCGAUUUCUCGUUCCUUUAAAGAAUAGUUCGUCGAUUGCUACUGUCCAACCUUGUGCAACAUAUGUUUCCAUUUGACGCAAUGAGGGAGCUAGAAAUUUUGCUCAGAGGGCGAGGCUUCUUGCACAAAUUGACUUUUCACUUUUUUAAUAUCAAAUUUUUAUAACAAUUAAAGUUAAGGCAUAGAAACUUAAUUAAUUAAUAUAUAAUGCAAAAAAAAACCAAGAUAUCCGUGAAGAUCUAAGAUGUGAUAAAAUAGUAAGACCAUAUAUUUGUGAAAAAUAAAAAAUCUAAGUUUCUUAACUUCAAUUGCAUUGCGUAUAUGAAUUUAAGGACUUUUGGUGUAAAUUCCUUGACCUAUGCCUAUAAUGUUUUCCUGAAAAAUUAGAUUGAGUUUGAUGUUAGAUCUUUUUGUUUUUGUUACAUUAAGUAAGCAUAGAGAAAUUAUAGCAUAGACUUAGUCUAUCGCAGUCCAUACGAUAUCCAAAAACUUACGGCCAAGAGGAAAAAACUGAUCCUUGUGGUUUUGGUUUCAGCCCUAGGGAAUUCAUAUGCUUUGCUGUUGUUUUCCUUGAAAUAACCGGCUAAUUACGGUCGCACCACCGAGUCACACAAAAAUAAUGGAGAUUUUUAUGAUGAUAGUUUCAUAACCCCAUAAGAGGAUACUAUAGGUCAUGGUUUUCUUAUUUGGUUUGAGUAUACAAGACCGAACAUUGCAAAGAUCUUUGUAUGCCAUUAUCCAAAAGAACCCAAAAAAAAAGGAUCUCUGUAAGUGUUAGAGGUUCAAUCUUCCUGUAUUUCUUAUUAGAGUAAUUCUUGAUUAAUUUGCAAAGGAUUCACUUAGGUUCAGGUGUGUUAUCAAUCUUGGGCUUUUGUUUUCAUUGUGGUGGGGCAGGUAUCAUAGGCUCCUCUAGUGGCCAGUUGUACAUAGACAAGAUCUGCAACCUUAAACUGAAUAUUCUUCUAUAGUGAUUUAUAGUAGAAUGCUAAAACAUAAAAAUUGGUUCUUGCUGUUGCUUUAAACAUGGACCUAUUCAUGGCCUCAUGUCUUGAUUAACCAAAAAUUCACCUAAGGGACUUCCAAGUAGUUGUAGUUAUGGUUGGAGAAAUCUAAAAGCCUCUAGAAAAUGGAUAAGUACUUAAACAAUUGUAAGUUACCUUGAGAUAUGGAGCUACCCUCUAUCCUAGUUUGCAAUAGUUUUUCUAUAAACCCUAGCCGUUACUCUCUGCUUACUUACAUCCUUCUUCAUUAAACCUUACCGAUUCUAUCUUUCAUUAAACGCAUUAAUAGUUUCAAUCCUCAAGAACGGGAAGGGCUAUCCUAUUACUGCCAUGCCCAACAGGCUAUCCUAUUACUGCCCAUGCCCAACUUAUGUCGUGCAACAUUCUCAAGGAAGCAAUUGUUUUGAGAAAAAUUUUCCUAAAAAAAAUUGCCUCAUCCAAGGUAGGCCACUGUAGGGCGCAGAUUUCCCAUGUUCCAUGCCCAUCCAUAAUUUUAAAGUUAUCGGUUUUUAUAUGAAAUUAUCAACUUUAAUUCGUGUCUAAACAACUUCUUUUUCCAUUGUUUUACAAACAAGUUUUAGCUUACCGGCUUUUAUGUGAAUCAUUUACUAAGUUUAUUAGAUUGUUUGCCAAUUUACAACUUCUGUAAAACUCACCAUAUUGUUUACUCCACAUUUCAAAAUUACCAAAUUUUGUACCGAAUUACUAACUCUAAUAUGAUUGUCAUAUUAACUAAUCUCUAAUUAAGUUAAUAACUAGUUUAAUUCUACCCAUUCUUAUUUGAGCUACUUAUCAGUAGUUAUUAUUUGUUUCAAAACUACCAACCUUCAUAAAACUUUCGUUAAUAACGCACAACCUUUUAUUUGCACUGGUUAUGAACAUCAUUAGGGAACGAAAUCUGUUUUUGAAUUACCAAUCCUAAGUUGAGUUACUCACCAGUUUAUUCUGAUUAAAGUACCAACUAGUUUGCCCUUACCAAAAUUAUUCGGAGAAAUGUUUGUUGGUAACUCGAAUCAAGGUUGAUAUAUAUUCCAGAAAAUCUUCCUCAUUUUCGGUUAGUAUUCUACUCUAUCGGUACAUUAAGAAAAAUGCUUUUGAGAUAGUAUUCUUGUUUCUGAUUUUCAAGGCAACUGCGAGUGAGAUUUUUUCUUUUCCGUUAACCUUCAAACUCAUCCCUAUUGCUUGAAGAGAUUAACAAGACCGAGUUUACCGAGGACUUGAUAUUUAGCCAAACUUCUAGAGGUCUCGUUAUUAGCUGUGUGUGACAAGAAGAAACCAACCGGUGUGAAAAAGUAUAAAAUGAAGUGGAGGCAUCACUAUCAAAUUAGUCCUAAAUUUAUUAUGCAUGACAUUUGAGUACUAGACAUUUUAAUUUUGUCAAUGUGGUCAUAGGUAUUUGCAUGAAAUUUUAAUGUUAUCUUUCUAUCCAAUUGCCAUGAGAAAUUACUAACAUGACGUCCAUUCAUUGCCGUUGUCCUAUGUGGCAAGCUGACAUGGACAAUUUUACUUGAAAUGACAUCUUGUAGAUUGCCACUUUAGCAAUUUUCGAUGGACAUUGACUGGAAGGACUACAUUGAAAUUUUGUAUAAAGGUUUAAGACAAAAUUAUUGAAAUUGAAAAGUUUAUGACUGAAUUAACAUUUGUACAAUAAAUUUAAGACUCAUUUCAUAAUUUUCCCAUAAAAUGGAACAAAGGUCCACAACCAAUUCCAACACAAUGACUCACGGCACUAGUUAGUCACAAUUUGCCAAAGUAACUUCUAAUUGAAGCCCAAUUAGACCCUUGUCACGAAAUAACCUUUUCACAUCAUUGACUAAACCAAAGAACCUUGAUAGCAUUAGCUUCAACCACGAAUAAAGUCCCUCCUCCUCCUCCUCUCUUGAAAACAUCUAUUUUUUUUUUCAAAUGGCUCACAGCUUGAGAGAUCGCUUUUUUGUGUCUUCUGUUUAAGCAAUUAUUUUGAACUUGAUGAUAACCUUCUAGUGCCACGUAAUGUGUGCACAAUUUCCAUAUAUAUGGUUUUUCAAUCUGAGAUGAUUGCAUGUUAUGCAUGUGGCAGCCUAUAUGAACUAAUGAAUCUCACAGUCAAAGAGGUUUCUAGUUUGUUAUGGACAAGAAGGACAGGUGUGCCUGAUCAUUUGGUGGGAAUUAAAGAUCGAGCGGAAGAAAUCUUGAAGCGGUUAGAUCUAGAAGCUUUUGAUGUACGGUUUAUCGUGAUUUAUGGUAUGGGUGGCAUUGGAAAAACGACACUAGCUGAGGCUGUCUUCAGACAAAUCUCCCCUCAGUUUCAGAGACAUUGUGUCUUUCUUAAGGAUGUUUGGACUCAUGAUAUAAUAAACUUACAAAAGAAAUUGUUGUCCGACAUUUUCCAUUUGAGUUGCACAAACUUAUCCUUCAUUGAUGAAGGCGCUGACAUGAUCAAGACGAGAUUUCAUGACAAGAAAGUUCUCAUUGUUCUUGAUGACAUAGACAAUCGAGACCAAAUCAUGAGACUUGCCGGUGAGCCUAACUGGUUUGGUGGGGGUAGUAGAAUCAUCAUAACAACAAGAAAUAUUGAAUUCCUGGUAAAGGAAGGUGAGGAUGACAAUCUCCCAAUCUCUAAUAGCAGACAAUUUUCAUUCUAUGAUAUGCCGGAGAUGAAUUCACAUGAUGCUCUUCAACUUUUCUGUGAGCGUGCCCUGGGACGUGCCAAGCCUCCGCCUAGUUACAUGGAUAUCACAAAAAAGCUAGUCAAUGCAUUAGGAGGACUUCCAUUGGCUCUCAAUGUCAUAGGUUCCACACUCCAGGGAAAAUGCCAAAGAACAUGGGAAGACACCUUAUGUAAGUUAAAGAAGGUGAUGAAUGCGCAUGUCAAGAAGAAGUUGAUGAUAAGCUACGAAGCAUUGGAAAUUAAUCAACGGCAAAUUUUUCUUGAUAUCGCAUGUUUCUGCUUCAACAAAGAGAAAACAACCGCAGUUAAAUAUUGGGACGCAAUUUUUGGGUAUCCGACUGAAAUCGAGGUUAAUAUCCUCAAACAUAUGUCUCUAAUAAAAAUAUCCUAUGAUAAUAAACUAUGGAUGCACGACCAACUUAGAGACCUUGGAAGGAGUAUCGUCCAUCCAGAAAGUGGCGAAAUCCAUAUGAAGGGUAGCAGAUUGUGGUCUCCCAACGAUGCCUUUCAUGUAGUGCAGACAGAAACGGUAAUCUUGACCUCUAAAUGUUUUCCAGUAAAUGCAUUAGCAUCACCACCUUUUUAUCUAAUUUCAAGUCAAGGUGACAUAUGUACUCAUUGGUUGCUACUUUUUUUUUCCAGGGAACCAAAGACACAGUGGCCCUCAAUCUCGGUACACCAAGCCCAAAUAAGACGUACAGAUUUAAGCGUGAGCAAUUUAUGGGCUUGGUCAACCUUAGGUUCCUUCAAUUGGACCAUGGAAAUUUUGAAGGAGACUUUAAGAAUGUUUUCUUUAAUCUGAGAUGGCUCUCUUGGAGCAAUUGCCCUUCAAAAUUCCGAGCUAGCAACUUUGGGUUGAAGAACUUAACGAUUCUCACGUUAUCUGGGAAUAACGUUACUGAAGAUUGGGGAGGAUGGUGUCAAAUCAUGGUAUGAUCUCACAACAUCCUUUUGCAUUAUAUUCACUCUUCCUAUUUUAUGAGUGUCUACUCAAUUACUUUAUAGGUAGCAGAACAAUUGAAAAUCCUACAGCUCGAGGACUGUCCAUUCCUUAGAAAGAUGCCCAAGUUCUCCACAAUCUCAAAGCUGGAGAGAUUGAUUCUUAGAUGCGUUCGACUAAGAAAGAUUGACAAGUCCAUCAGCAAUCUACAAAAUCUUGAUUACCUAGAGAUAAAGAGUGAAGCUAUUGAGUCGCCACCAGAGUCCAUCGGCGGUCUAAAAUCUUUGACGGUGCUAAGAAUAGAGCAGACACCCUCAAGGAAGCCUCACUCGAUUGGCAAUUUAGCAAAGGUGAAGUCUCUAAUCUUGCCACACCAAGAACAUCAAAAGCUUCCCGACUCUAUCGGACAAUUGGAGUCACUACUUGAGCUAAAUGUCCAAUAUUUAAAAAUUAGUGAAUUACCUCAUUCUAUUGGAAAUCUUGAAAGGUCAAAAGUUUUACGCAUCUGGAAUUCCUAUCUAGAAAAGCUACCAAACUCGAUUAGGAGGCUCCAAUCAUUGGUCAAGUUGGAUUUGAGAGAUUCAAGAAUCGAGAGCUUACCUGAUUGUAUUGGAAAUCUCAAAAAGUUGAAGGUACUAAAUCUCCAUGAUAGUUGCAUAAGUGAACUUCCAAAAACCAUAGGAAUGUUGGAAAAUCUAGAAGAGUUAGAUGCCUCCUCUGAACACCUGGUGGGGGAAAUUCCAAAUGAAAUCGGGGCACUAUCCUCAUUGAAAUAUCUAGACUUAUGCAACGGUCGCUUUAGUGGAUUGCCCACAACGAUCAAUCAGCUUACAAAUCUCCAACGACUUAAUUUAUGGCACUGUAAUUCAAUCCAACAGCUGCCGGAGCUUCCCAAGAGUCUAAAGUUUUUAACCCUUACAUCGAAUUCGCUGACCACGAUCCCCGACUGCUUAAACCUAACCAAUUUAGUUGACCUUAUGAUAAUUGGAUAUUCAAUUGAAGAACCCAACAUAGAGGGGAUCGUGAGACUACCUGCUCUGGAAAAAAUGGUCCUCCGCGUUGGAAAAAUGGCCUUGCCUCCAAUUGAUUUUAGUUCCCUCUCUCAACUACAAUGCCUCACCAUAAAUUAUGAUGAGCCCCAAUCUCUUAUUGGGCUCCCAUCCGGCCUUCAAUAUUUGUGGUUAUGCGAUGUCGAGUCACCGAUAGAUUGGUCAAUCUUUUCCAACUUGGAGAAUUUGUCGAACUUGUAUAUUGUUCGAUAUUCGCUGAGAGAGAUUCGAUUCGAGGUGCUUGGAGAGCUACGGAAAUUCAAACAAUUGCAGAUGCUUGAUUGUCCAUUGCUCAAGACGCUGCCCGUUCUUCCUUGUUUGAAGGAGAUCCAGUUUUUUUCCCUGUGCCAAUUGCCUCAACUAAUUGAGAUUCAGGGUUUGGGAGAAUUGAAAUCUUUACAGGAUUUGUCUAUCUGGUUUUGCAAUUCAAUCAAAAGGUUAAACGAAUCUGAUCUUUCUAAUCUACAAAAUCUGAAAUAUUUGUGGUUCUGGGGAUGUGAAUCAUUGGAGAGGGUGCUGGGUGUGCCAAAAUCUUGUCAACUCAUUGUCGAUGAUUGCCCGAGGUUCAAUGGAGAUGGAUAAGAUAUGUAUCAUUUGAUUGGCAAAGAUAGUCGAUGAUGGUAAGUCCAUAAAACUAGCGUUUGUUUUUUGUUGUGUCCUAUUUUGUGAGUUUUCCUUCAACUAAACUUUCAUCUUGGUUUUGGAAACACCUCUUGCAUUCGUUCAUCCUGUUGUCUCUCAAGGAAAAUCCUCUUCCAUGUAUCAUGAACGUGUGAUACUUUGACUUGCCUCGACUUGAUGAUGGUGAUACUUAGCUGGUUUACGUUGUGCACUAGUAGAACGUCGGAAUUGACAUGCUUUGCGGCACCUAUUUUGCUUAGAAAAAAAUGGAUAAAGUGGAAGGGAACUUUUAGAUAGUAAGCACACUAAAGAUGCUGAUGAAUGCUAGGUUUUGUUGUAAGGCUGAGGUGGUUGAGACUUGAGAGUACUGGUCUCACCUUAUGGAGUGUUUUUAAUAUAAGUAAAGAACAAUCAUGAUUUGUGAGGACUAAAAUAAAGGAAUUAAUGCUUGGUUAGUGGAAGAGUGAAUCGUUGAUACCUAUUAUGCAAUAUGAGUGAUUUAGUUAUUUCCUUCAUGAAGAAUUGGAGGUGUUUUUCUGGUUACUUAUGAACUGAAGUGGAGAAGCUUCAAGUCUUGAGUCAUGGUGUGAUUUGUGAACUAUCUUUCUUCAUUCUAGUAUUUAGCCAUUUAUGCGUGAAAUUCGUGCUGUGAGACAAUUGAUAUUGGAGUAAACUUGUCGAUAUGGUCAAACCACCAUUUCUUUGAAGACUAGGUUUAGUUGCAUCGAGUUGUGCAUUAUGCAAUUUCUGGUGUUAGGAAAGAGCACAUUUGUGUUGUUGAAGACUAGGGUUUGUUUAUUCUUUAAGUUGACUUAUUGCACCUUUCCUCAUCUCUCUCUCCCUCUUUUUAUGCUUAUAAUGUGGUUACUGUUAACUUGUUAAAUAAACUUGUUUGUUCUUUGUGUCUAUCAUUUUUACAUUUACUGAUAAAACAUUUUUGCACAAGCUCCUCCAAGACUAUGGUGAAAUGUUCUUUUACAUGGAUGUCUAGGCUUUGGCAAGACAUAUUGUCGAUGCUACAGCAACGACUUGUUCUCUUCAAUCCAUAUCAGAAAAAGGGCGAGCUGUGGCUAAGUACACUAGUACAUUUUAGCUAUCUGUAAGAGGCUUCUUUUCAACUACAUUGAUGUUUAUUAAGUUCCCUUAUGCAAUCUUCUAUUGAACUCUGUUAUUUCCAUACAUUUCACAAUUUUGUGCUUUCUUCUUUUGCUUUGGAUGCAUUUAAUAGAGGUCCCUUCAUCUAUGCCAAUAGUCGAUAUAUGAAACUAGCAGCAGCAAUGAGGAUCCUACCACCGCAGCCAAGAUGUUCUAAUUAUAUUAUUUUAAACAAUAGCAAUGAGGAUUCUCCCAUAAUGAAGAGGCCAAGUUAAAAUGGUUCUUGAGUUUUCUCAUGCAUGAAUGAGAGAAUCCUCUAUGAAGAUGAAAAGAAAGAUUAAGAUGUAAGACAUUUGAAGUUUUUCUCUACUAGAAAUUUGAAAUUUGUGAUCAAAUGUCUAUUGGAUCAUCUGUUAUGUAAAUUGACAGCAUUGAUUUUGUGAGCAAACUAGAGGAAUUUUGAAUAUUUGAGAGUAAUGGCAAAUUUAAAAUUACAGGUUUGGAUAUAUUCGCGAAGGUAACGGCUGUAGCACCUUGCCUUCACUUUUUUCAUGAAUUUGAUUACAUUGUACUGAAGAGGGAGCAUGAUAGUACGGGGGUCACUGACCAUGUCAUCAAUCAGUUAGUUUCUUGCGUUCAAUGGCACUUAUAAAGUGGUCAUGUGAAAUAUAGUUGAUGGUAUGACUCACUAAUGAUAUGUUAUUCAUUGGUGCAAUUUUUUACUGAAUCAAAUGGUGUUGAAGUUUUAAGCGGUGUGUUUGUGUCGAUAGGGACAAGGUAAUAAUUUCUUCUUACAUGGUAACAAAAAGUACUCUCUUCCAUAGCACACUAACCGUAAAUUGUUGUUGGAAAUUGCAUGGUCAUUAUGAAUGCUUUGCCAAAAAAUUUCUAUGAAGCAUUUAAUAUGGAGACUAUGUAAUAACCUUCAAGAAAGACUAUAAAAUGAUAGACAUGACUUUUCCUUGAUUUAGAGUUGUUUAACUUUGGAUACACAAUAUUUGAUAAACUACAUAUGUACCAAAGAAGGUGACAAAUGGCUAGAUUAAUUGAAUUACUUUUCAGUUGCUAAAGUAGCUUACAAGAAGUGUAUUAAACUGGUCUUGAACCUCUUCAACAGCUUCAACAGAUGUCGAUCAUUUCAGUUUUGAGUGUGCCAAAAUCUUGUGAACUCAUCAUCAUUGACUGCCCAAAGCUCAAUAGAGAUGGAUAAGGUAUGUAUCAUUUGAUUGACAAAGAUAGUUGAUGAUGGUAAGUGUCACGCCCCGAUCCUUUUGGGCACGCACACAUCCUUCUACUUGGUCGAUUUUUAUAAUGCGAUAUCCCAGGACUAAUUAUCGCCGACCCUUUCGUUUAUUAAGCACAUGCGGAAGCCAUUUUAAAUCCCCAGACAAUAAAACAAUGGGAUAGAAAAGUAAGGCAAUAUUUCUCAUAUUGAAAUCCUUGACCAAACCUUUAUACAUGGCAUAACUCAAAGUCUAUUCACUAAACAUGAUUAAGAAAAGAGGAUAGGAUCUUAGUUCUCAUCCAGGUCGUACUCGGACCAUCAUCGAGGUUCUCCUCCAGACACUCCUCUUCGGUUUCUUUCUCCUCAGGCUCCUCAUCAGGGUCCUGAAAUGUUGUCCCACAACCGGGAUGAGACUAUGUCUCAGCAAGUUCUACCCCACUAAGACUCGAUUAGGAAACCAAUAUGCUAACCGGGCUGCCUAUACACGCACGGGUCAGAGGACUUACCUUGGCCUCAUAUUCCACCUGCAUAUUAGCACAAUUCAAUAGGCACCAAAGCAAUUACAUCACAGAUCAAUAUCUCGAUCCAUCGACCUAGUCGAUUUCAUGUCAAUUCGACUAUUCCCCAGUCGUUUCCCUUAUUCAGUCUCAAAUCAUACCCAUGACUUCACGAGCAUAGUCUACCAAAUUUCUUGGCAACAAAUUACAGUCCCAAAGAACACGACCUAUCUUUAGGUAGCAUAUUACGGCCUUAUCAGGCGCGACCUUUAAUGGUGGCAAAUUAUGGCCUUAUCAGGCGCGACCUUUAAUGGUGGCAGAUUACGGCCUUAUCAGGCGCGACCCAUAUCGGGUGGCAGAUUACGGCCUUAUCAGGCGCGACCCAUAUUAGGUGGCAGAUUACGGCCCAACGGGCGCGACCCAUAUUAGGUGGCAAUUUACGGCCCAACGGGUGCGACCGAUUCCAAAUUCAGUGGCAGAACUCGGCCAUACUCACAACCUUUCACAGUCAAAUUCUAAUUGAAUACCGACACUGAUCGAUUUUGGGAUAAUUCCUCAAAUUGCACAAUUAAUUCAAUUUAGCACAAUGUAGAGCUCAAAUAAAUAAACGGACUGCACCAUGACAAUCAGCACCAAAUUUCGAUCGUCGGCUAUCAUCGCCUAAUUUCCGAAAAAUAAAUAAUUAAAUAAUUAAUUUCGAAAUUAAUAAUUAAAUACUAAAUAUCCAAUUUAGGCCCGUAAUGCCUAACUGAAGCCCAAUAAGGGUCGGGAAAAAUCCCGAGAUGCAUUCAAUAAAUAAUAGUACGUCUCUACUUGCUAAUGACUAAGUCUAACCACCUAACAUGCAUCACUAAGUCACUAAUUUAUUUUUUCUAAACUAAUCUAACCACCUAAUUGCACUUAAUUAAAUCUAAUCAACCCUUAAGCAUCAUUAAUUUACUAAGCGAGGAUUAGUGAGAUUACUCACUUGAUUAAAAGCGGAGACCGGGACACCGCGACGGUUACGCGACGGCGGCCGAAAUCGGACUUUCGACAACACCGGCGGGCUUGGACCGGGCCUUAAACUUGGCCCAACAAAUCUCAGCCCAACUAAGAUUUGUUCUCGUACUGGACUGGGCUCGCUCUUGGACUUGGGCUUGGCUGCGAUUGGGCCUGAUCUGGGCUUCAAGAUGGGCUGGCUUUGCGGGCUUCAAAACCACGCUGGACUCCUUGGGGCUGAAAUAAAACUGAACUGGGCCUGUCUUUGCUGGGCCCAAAAGAAAUUCACUGAGCUUGGAGACUGCUGGACUUGCAUUGGGCCAUUGAUGCGGCUGAUCGAGGCCUAGGAUUGAUGGGCUUCGAAGACUAAAUCCCUAUGGGCUCAAAAUGCGAACUGCGAGGGAAAUGGACGCAGGCUUCUUCGGUCCUCGUGGCAGCUCGACGGAUGAUGCUUCGUUUGCUUGAUUCGCUGACUCGGUGAAUUCCACACGGUUAGAUGAAGGCCGCGAGCUGGGUAGACCGAAGCUGAGAAAGACGCAUGGAUGCUUGGACGGCAGAGCUGGCGUGCGGUCAACGACGAAGGAGUUCGCUGGUGUCAAGCUGCGGGCUCUGCUGCUGCUUCGGUUGACUGCUUGGACGCGUGGGCGAGGGCAUCAAGCGGUCAACCAAGAGCUUCAAUUGAAGCUGUUGUUGACCGAACCAGGCGUACACACUGCCAAGUGGCAGCAAGCUCGGCAGAAGAUGGAGCUGGUGUCGUUGCUUGCGGAGAAGACCGUUCGGUGGAUGGGCAGAUGUUGAUGGAGAUGAUGAUGCUGUGCGACUUCGGUGAGUGGGGGGCUUCGUGGAGUCAACACCUGGGGCAGCUUGACGAAUUUUAUUGAAGAUUGACCAAGGAAAAUUUAUGGAGCAGCAGGUGGUGGAAGAAACCAGCGAAAAUGGAGUGGCAGGUUCGGUCUUCGGCAGAGACGGAAGGAGCUGACUGCUAAGGAAAUAAAAGAACGGCCGCAGGGAAAUUUGUAAGUGCUGAUUUCGUCCAGAGAAGAGGAGACCGACGUGCGAAUGAAGAUGGGAUCCGUUUAGCGUAUGGAAGAAGCCGAAGAAAAGGGGAUUGAAAGUCAAACAAUAAAUAUCUAUUUCAUGAUUACUAAACCACAAAAGUCCUCAGCCCAACCAAUGGAGAAUUAGCUCCCAAUUAAUCUACUUCAAGUUAUUUUGGUGUGGAUAAUUAUGUCCAUCUUCAGAGAACAUUUACAAUGGGUCACCCAAGAGCCCAAUUUUUCACAAUUCCACACCAAAUGAAGCCAAAUUGAGGGCCAAACUGUAACACCCCGUCACCCCUACGAAUUUAUACCACCUCUUCACCAUUCCCUUCAAUUUGGUAACCAAUUUUCCUUUAAUAAUGCCCGUCCGAAUUUGCAACUCUUUUCCGAAUUAUCCGUAACGAUUUUUAGUAAAAAUCUCGGAAUCUCCGAAAAAUCUUCUGAUUCCUAAAAUAGCUCGUGACACCACAGAACUUUCAAUUUCUGAAAUCGGGUUCGAAUUCACGGUUAAUUUCCAUUCGACGCGUUUUUAGCGUGACCUAGACUGCCGGGUAGUCUUCAGAACUUUUUAGUGCAAAUGACCCGUGGUCGAUUUUCUUCGAGCCACAAUGAACCCACUUGACACAUUGGCAACUCUCGAUUGUCAUAGAAAUCUCGAGAAUUCAAAUACGGACACAAGGUACCAAAACGAUAGAGAAUUCAGUCUAGUGUCGGCCGACGAGAAUUUUCCAAUUUAGUGGCGUCACUCAUGAUUAGGCACACAUCUCUGUCGAACCGACCUAUAUCUGAUCUCUGAUCAAUUUACGUCUGUGCUGUAAUGAUCUCAGCAGAUGAACACGGUCGAGCAGCCGAUUCAUGGUCGAAUUCUCAAGUCUAUUUGCCUUAAAAUUCUUAAUAGUUUCCCCAGAUAGUCUAGUUAUCUCUAGAAUGAUCAGUUCUGAGAACAGCCCUAUAGACGCGUCAAUGAAAUGCCCGAUUUAUUCAAUAGAAAACAAAACUGAAAAUCUAGGAUGUCAUAGUAAGUCCAUAGAACUAGAGUUCAUUUUUUGCUACAUCCUGUUUUGUGAGUUUUCUUUAAACUAAGCUUUCAUCUUAGUUCAGGAACCAUCGCUUGUAUUCGUUCAUCCUGUUAUCUUUGAGCAAAAUUCCAUUUCCGCAUGUCAUGAACAUGUGGUACUUUCACUUGCCUCCACGAUGGUGAUGCUUAGCUGGUUUAUGUUGCACAUUAGCAUAAUGUUGGGGUUGACAUGCUUCGCAGCACGUAACUUGGCUAAAUAGUAAUCACACUAAAGAUGCUAACAAAUGCUAGGUUUUGUUGAAAGGUAGAGGUGGUUGAGAGUAUUGGGCAUACCUUAUGUAGUGUUUUUUCAAUUUUACUACAAAACAAUCAUGAUUUGUGAGAAAUGAAAUAAAGGAAUUAACACCUAGUUAGCAAAAGAGUGAAUUGUUGAUGCCUUUUAUGCUGUAUGAGUGACUUAGUUACUUCUUUCAUGAAGAAUUGAAGGUGCUUUUCUAGUUACUUUUGAACUUACAUUUUGUUUGUCUGUUUGUUUGCUAUUUGUUCAUUCCCUCCCAUCUUAAAUUACCAAACACAGUUGGGGAAGAUGUUGCAAUUCCCCUGAUAAGGCAUUUAGGUUCUUGAACUAUCAUUUUUUGUGCAAAUGACAUUUCUUUUUCUAAAUCCUUUGCUGUUUUGAGCUGGGUCUGGAAAUUUGAUAACUCUGACUCAUUAAGGAAUUAAAUAAGGCAAAUGCAAUAACCUCAGUUGCUCCCUUUUGCAUGAUUUUUGUUUCCAGCAGUUCUAGAGAUUGAACUGGGAUUAUUUGAUUGUGCACAAUCAAAGAUCACUGUUAGCUUUACUCCACAUCUAAUGCUGAUGGUUAUAGUUGCAAUUUUCAAGUACUCCCAUUCUUAAAGUAGAAGUUCUGCUUCUCUAGCCAUAAUUAUUAGCUUUUUUUCAUCCUAUUUAUGCAGAGUCUUGGAAUGUAGUCAACUAUUCCUAUUGAAAUGUCUUCAGAUGUAAUAGUGGGGAUCUACAUGAGCAACUUAAAGUUGUUUGCCGACCAAACUUUGUAUGGUUAAUAGUUUUAUUCUGCUUAGGCAUUCAAUGGCUUAAUGCAAUGACCAUUAACCUUAGCUUUUGUUUGCUGAAGUACUGAUUUUUCAAUACUCAUAUUUACCUUAAUCAAAGUACAUAAUUUAUUUCAUAGACCUUGGUAAGUCAAUCAAGUAGUGGGCAUGUUGGGGGACUAAAACUUGAAAGAUCUACGACUUCCUUUCAUAUUCUCAAGUGUGCUUCCCACAUACUUCACGUUGUUUGAUCGUUUAAUUCACUUUUUCUUGGUGGAUGAGGAAUUCAUUAUUUUAUUGGAAAAAGGAGUAGCUCCUUGUACUCAACACGUGCGAGGAUCCUACUAUUGUUUUAUGAGUGUCUUCCCUGAUUGAGUAUCUAGACGAGCAAUACUAAUAUUUGUCAUAUAUUUCUAAGUGUCUGUUUCCCAUUGAGUGCUUUACUUUUCGUGUAACACCAAAGUCAUCUUAUGGUGGUUAGUUGUCUAAUCCUCUUUUUGCUGAUCAACAAUGUAGUGAAGGGAGCUUAUGGUUAGACUCUGCAGAAUUUCAAUGAGAAGAUGGGAUUACCUGAGAUUGUGGGGUUUAACUACCUAACAUUGUUUCCCUAAUGCACUCUCUCUCUCUCUAUGCUAAUAAUGUGGUUAAUGUUAACUUCUUAAAUAAAAUUAUUUGAUCUUCAUAUCUAUCAUUCUUACAUUUGCUGAUGAAGUGUUUUUGCGCAAGCUCCUCUAAGGCCAUGGUCAAAUGUUCUUUUACAUGGAUGUAUGGCAUUUGGCAAGACAUGCAUUGUUGGUGCAACAAUAGCAGCUUGUUCUCUUCAAUCCAUAUCAGUGAAAGGGCUGAGCUAUUGGAUAAGUAACAUUUGAACUUCUGAGCAAGUUGUAAGAGGCUUCUUUUCAACUACGGCGAUGUUGAUUGAAUUCCAUUGUGCAAUCUCACAUCUAAAGUUGUUAUUAACUCCAUGUCUAUAUCAAAUGCCAGGCAACAAUAACUGAUUUUGAGAAGUGGUUAGACAUAGUCGUUACUCUGUAGGCCAAGAAGAUUUCUGAUGAGGUUUGUUGUCGCGCGCAACUCUUUCUUCUGACUGUGCAAACUAGUCAAGAUUUGGAUUGGGUAUUGUUCAAUUCCAUGGUCACCAUCUUAUUUGUGGCUCUUUGACAGAUCCAUGUCCUGAGGAGAUUUAGUCCAAUGGCAACAUAAUAGAUGGUUCUCAUUGACUUUGCUAUAGCUAGUAUUGAUUAGUCUGCAUCCUUCCUCUUUUUUUUUCUUUUCUUUUUUUUUUUUUUUUGUAUAUCAGCUAUUUUAAAUCACUCCUAAGGCAAUCACUAGCGGUGCCAUAUGGUUCCAUGUGGUUUUCAUCUUGUAAGCAGCUAAUAUCCCUUGCCUUCUUUGGAUAGAGUCCUUCCCCGUCUCUUUCAUACCAGCUAACUAGCGUGCAAGAACUAUAGUUUGAAAAUCUUGUUCUUAUCUGGUCACCAGUCUCUGUGCAAGUGGUGAAUUGUACAUCCCAAUACUUUCUGCCAUCAACAAAGUUUCUUGCUCGUGUGCUGUUAUUUGCAUAUCUCUAUAGUGAACAAGAAUCUGCUAGAUUUAUCCCGCACCAGUCCUUCAAAAAACCAACUACGAGGUAACCAGGCAUCUCAGCCUCUCUGUCAAAACACAGAGCGUGCAAGUAGUACUAUGUCCUGCCUCCAUCUGUCUCUCCAUUGAGGUUUUCUCCCUCAAAUUGGCUACAACCUUUAUCCCCCCCCCCUAGGCGAUGUUGCAUAAAUAAGGUGUGCUAUCUCUCUCAAUGCAAAAAUCCAGGAUUUAAAUUGAUCGAUCAUUUCAAAUUGGGGCACCUUGAUGCAACAAUUACUUAACCUCACCCCUCCAGUUGACCACAAAGAUAUCCUCUUUUUUAGGCUCUAGCUUAUUUGAUACUGAACUAGGAACCUGCAUAAUGACUAAAGCAAAUUGGCUGAUUCGAAAGCUCCCAUUUUUCAACAUUCACCUUUCCAACCUGCAAGUUUGCACUUGGAUAGCUCAAUUGCUGGAUCCCAAUUUUUUUUUUUACCCAAGAGGAAUGUUUAGAUGUGCUAUAGCAAAGUGACCUCUGAUCGAGCAUGCCAUUAUAUGUGUGCAACGAGCAUGUGUCUAUAUUACUGAAAGAUUGAACCGUAGCCUCAGAACUGGAAUUUAAGAUUGAAAUUCAAGUUGAAUGCUUCUCGGUGCAUGUAUUGUAACUGAUUAUACUUAUACUCAUGCUGUUGACUGUUGAGGCUUUUUACGAAGUAAACUUGUUACUCAUAAACAUAUCAUAUUUAUCCAAUAGAGUUCUUUCUCAUUUUAUCGCCUGAAGUUCUUUAUGCUGUCGUUAAACCACCAAUUUUUCACUUGACAGUUUCACUUUUUUAAUCUGGAAUCCUUGAGAUAUGUGAUGUGAACUAAAAUAUUCUCAUAUCUUGUGCUAGAAAAUUUGCAUGUUCAAAUAUCUUCUUGCUCCUCAAUGAUCUUUUAGCUGAUCAUCCUUUUUAUCUUAACAAAGUAGGUUGAGGAUACGGUAGUCUUAUUCUUGCCAUACUAGGAACUACUUUUGGUGCACUUGACUAAAUAUGGAAUAUUUGAUUGUCUUUUUUCCCUCACAAAUGCACUUCUGGAAGCAAUGUUCCUAAGAAUCUCGAUUAGUGCUUUGAAGAAUCCAUGUUAAUCUCAAUAAUUGUGCGGUGGUUUUAGAUUUGGACACCUGAAUAUCACCAGUAAUAUUAUGCUUUCAUGUCUGAAGGUCCUAUUAGAAAGCCAAAUGGGGUGGGAUUACUGUAUUGGGCUUUAAAACCUAAGACCAUCAAAACUUCUAAGACGCAAAAUAUAAUAAUAGGUGCCAAACUAACUGGUUUUUAUGGCUCUUUAUCAUGGAUGCAGGCAGAACUUCCUGAUUUUGAAGUCUCUGAAGGCAUAUAUUCUUGAGCUCGCAUCGAACAUGCUGAUUCAGGAUGUUUAUGGCGGGGAGCAAAUGUUAUGUUGGAGUAUUCAUGCGAAGAGGUACUCAAGUUGAAGCAAUGUCCCUUUAUCUCCAAUAAUGAUGUCGAGUAUCUUAUUUAUUGCAUCCAUUCAUGUUGCAGGCCACAACUCUUCUACAAAAGAACCUAGAAAACGCUAAAGCAAGUUUAGAAGUUCUUGUUGCUGAUCUACAAUUCUUACUAGACCAAGUAACAAUCACGCAGGUAAGUCAGAAUUUUUUGGAACUUGGAGGUCCAUUUUAGUUUCAAGCUAUUUAUUAUGUCAGUUUUGGGUAUGUUUGUUGUUGUUGAAUUACUGAAGUCAUGAUUUUUGUAACUGGUGUGAGGCUAUAAAUUGCAAAGACAUGCUGAUUUGUGACAACCUGGAGUGUGGUGAUAUUGCACUUAAGUGAAAUUGAAAAAUUUCGAAACUUGUUGUAGGACCAUACUCUUUAGUUUAUAUCACGGCAAUUAUGUUGGUGGUCCCUGGAAAUUUUCUUUUCUUUUUGGGGGUGAAACAGCCCUUGAGAGGUGAAUCUUUAUUUGGCAGGUUACGAUCGCUCGUGUGUAUAAUUGGGAUGUUCACCAAAAGAGAAUCCGUCAAGCCGGUGCUCCAGCUAAAUACUCUUAAAGAGAUCUUUUCAAGUCGAAUCAUGGUAGCAGAAUGUGUACUCCUGGAUGAGAGUACGACUUUGAUCUCCCCAUUUUCAAUCAGGUGAAUGAAUUAUGUAUCGCUCUGUUAUCGCAGUGGUUAAGACACUGACAACGAGUGAUUUUGGUUAGGUUUAUUGUAUUACACAGAGCUUGUCAUGUAAACGGUUUUGAUUGAGAACCUCUUGGGCUUGAUUAUUCAAUUUCUGUGUGCGGUGCGCUAGUGUUGAAUUAAUGUUGGGUCCAUCCAUUUUAUGUCGUUUUCACCUUGGAUUAUGUAUGUUUAGUAAGAACCAAUUUAAAUUUGAAUUCAGGGAAAAACAUGGCUUGCUUGAGGUUUACUGUGGAAUACAUGUCGGUGUUUUUGGGUCAAGUGUAGUGUUGUAAUUUGGUGGGUCUCUUGUUGUCAGAUCUUGGAGAUUUCUAUUAUGUUAGAGCAAUGCAGGUAUAGUUUGGUUAUAAAGUCCGUGGCACAGUAUGUAUAAUUAUUUCCAAAAUUAACUUUUUUCAAGAAUUUAAUGUAAGUACAUUAUUAAGUCAAAUUUUCUUUAAAAUUAAAUUAUUAUCAAAGGAUAUAGAUAAUUACACUUUCCUCUUUCUUUUGUUAAAUUUCCCUUCUUUGUACAUAGCAUUAUGUCAUCAACACAAUCGAAAGGUAUUCUAUGAAAUUGCAUCCAUGAUUCUUUUUUAAAGAUUUUCAUUGAAUUUAAUUGAAUUAUCUAAAUGUUUUAUUAUAAGGCAUAGAUGUAGAAUAUGAUGAACAUGAGUUAACCGACACAUAUGGAAAAAAUGGUUCUUCACUUAUUUCUCUAUCCUCUGAUGAGUCAGUGAAACACAAACCUUAACACAAGUGGUCUUUUAAACUUGGCUAUAGGUGCUGUCACACCCCGAUUCUCAAGUAUGCACACAUCCCUUACCUUGGUCGAUUUUAGAAUACGAUAUCCCAGGAUUAUGUAUCACCGACCUUUUCAUUUUCGAUAGCACGUGCGGAAGCAGUUGUAAAUCCCCAGACAAUAAAACAAUGGGAUAGAAAAGUAGGGCUAUAUUUUUCAUACUGAAAAUUCACAACCACACUUUUAUACAAGCACCUCAUAGUAUUUAAUACACUACUAUUCAUAGAGGUCUGAUUUAACACUUAUCCACAAAAAACCAGGUCUGACAAGACAGGAUGGGAUCUCAGUCCUCAUUCGAGUUGUACUCGGGAUCAUCCUGAUCCUCCUCUAAUUCUUCUUCACUAAGUUCGUUUCCUUCAAGCUCUUCAUCUUUUUCUGGCUCAUCGUCCUCUUUUGGUUCCUCCUCCUUAGGCUCAUCUACAAGCCUGAAAUGGUUAUACAAUAACCAUUAAGAUCACGUCUCAGUAAGUUCUACCCCCCUAAGACUCGAUUUGUAAACCAAUACGCUAACUAGGCUGCCUAUACACGCACGGGUCAAAAGACUUACCUUGGCCUUAGAUUCUACUUGCAUAUUAGCACAGUUCAAUAGGCACCCAAGCAAUAAUAUCAUAGAUCGAUAUCUUGAUCAAUCGACCUAGUUGAUUACAUGUCAAUUGGACCAUUCAUCGGUCAUUUCAAUUCAAUUAAUCAAUUCACGACAUCAGAUCAAAGCAAUGAUUAAUCGACCUAGUCGAUUACAUGUCAUCUCGAACCUUUCUUGGUCGACUCAUAUCAUAUUAUCUAUAAGUCCGUUCAUAUCAGAACUGCUCACUACUAAGCUGAUAAAUAGAUAGCAUAGCUCGCUUCUGAAAUGAUUGGGUAUAUUGUUCUCUGCUAAGCUGCAAUAUUGCCCUUAGGUUGAUAUAGAUGUAUAUCGACAGUGCUCAAUCUAAGCUGAUAAGGUAUACUGCUCUUUGCUAAGCUGCCAUAUCGCCUGUAAGCUGAUAUAGUAUACCGAUAUAUUCCAUCAAAACUAAUAAAGUAUACUACUCUCUACUAAGCUGACAUAUCGCUCGUAGGCUAAUAUAGUAUAGUAGUAUACUGCUCUCUGCUAAGCUGACAUAUCGCCCGUAGAAAGAUAUAGUAUACCAUCCCAAUCAUACAAUCAAUUCCAUCUUUUUAUCAUUCUCGAUAAAGUAGCCGUGUAUGGGGACACGGUCAGCCUUAGCCAAAAUAUAAUAUUUUCCUUUUCAUAAUUCUCACAUUUUCUAUAGUCCACUAAAAUAUUUUUGGCAUUAUCAACCGAUACCCAGUUAUUUUUGAAUUAAUAACCAACGAUUAUCCAAUUAAAUAAUAAUUCUCACUUUCACAAAAAAUUCAAUUCAGUACGAAAUAAAUCUUAAUUAAAUAAACGGACUGUGCCACGACAAUCAAUAUAAACUUCCGGUCAUUGGCCAUCCCAGUUGAAUUUUCGGCAAUCCCAGUUGAAUUUUAGGAAAAUAAAUAAAUAAAUAAUUAAUUAAUUUCGAAAAUUAAUAAUUAAAUACUAAAAAUUCAAUUUAGGCCCGUAUUGCCUGAUUGGACGGUAGAAUAGAUCAGGAAAAAUCCUAAGAUACAUUCAAUAAAUAUUAGAAGCUCUCUACUUGCUAAUAACUAAGUUUAACCACCUAACAUGCAUCAUUAAGUCACUAAUUUAAUUGUUCUAAACUAAUAUAACCACCUAAUUGCACUUAAUUAAAUCUAAUCAACCCUUAAGCAUAAUUAGCAAAACUAAGAAAGCAUUUGUGAGCAAAACUCACUUGUGCAAAGCGAAGACUGGAACACCGCAACGGCAGCACGACGGCGGCCGAAAUCCGAAUUUUCGGUGGUGUUGGCAGACUUGGACUGGGCCUGAAGUGGGCUGACCUCGCGGGCUUGGCUCGGAAUUGGGCUUCUAAUGGGCUGGGGUUCAUGGGCUGCAGCAGCUGAAGAGAACACACGGACUGAAUUUGCUGGGCUGGACUUUGGCUUCAAAUGGCGUGGGCUGAUGCUGAAGUUUUGGGCCGGUCAAAGAAGCAGCAAAGGCCGCUGGGCUGGGCUGGGCUGCUAAUUCAGUGGGAUGGGCUGCACGAAAUUGGAAGCAAGCUGGCGGAGAAGUCGGACUGCAGGCGGUGGAAUUGGCUGAGCUAAUUCGGUGGGGGUGUGGGCUUGCGGAUGAAGGAGAGAGGCCACGUGAAGCUGCAGGAAUUUCACUCGGUCUCCGUUGUUAAUGGUUGACCGGCAGAGGAGAUGGACGAACAAAGCUGCAGUUGCUUCGGUCGAAUUGAUGCUGGACGAGGGAGCAACAAAGGAGAGGAGCUCGGUGGACGCGUGGAUGAGGCAGGCGUUGAAGACGCUGAAACUGAGCGUUGACUGGGUUUUGCUUCGGUCGGUUGAUGCUGAACACAGAAGCAGUGAAGACGGCUGAACUGGAGAAGUAGCUGCGGGUGAGCUGCUGCACGGAAGGAAAUCUCGUUCGGUGGAGGCUUGGGGUCAACUAAGUCUACUGGAGUUGACUGGCGUCGGAGGAAGACACGGACAGCUGCUGGGUGAAGAAAUCGGGGAAGAUGUGGACGCUGGAUUGGUCGAUCGAAGGCUGACGGUGGGGAUUUCUUCGGUGGAGGAGCACACGGUCGGGGCGUUGAAGACGCGUGGACACGGAGUCAACAAACCAAUUUUUGUUGGACUCUUUCGUUGACUGCGCUUGGGGAUUCGGCCAUCGGUGGGCAGAGAACGUGGGCCGAAGGUGGUGAUGGCUUGCGGCGGAACAGAAGGCGAAGAAGGGGAGGGCACGCGGCAGUUAAAUCAUGAGGUGUUUCGGUGAGGUCUUCGAAGGGAGAAGAACGAAAGAAAAGCAGAUGCAGUCCGGUUUCGAUGGAAGAUUCACACGAAGGAGAAGACAACCAAGAGGGAAGCAGCUGGCCAAUCUCGCAAGAGAAGCCAAGGAUGGGGCAUAAAGUCAAGCAACAUUAGCCAAUGCAUUAAACACUUGUCCCCUCAUACUUUCCAAUCAAAUUUCCACCAAUUAAACCAAAUUUUAAUGCAAAAAUUGCACCCCUCAUCAUAUAUUCCGAAUUUCAUCCAUUUGAGCUUUGAUUUCUCCAGCAAAUUCCCAAUUCUACGUCCAAAUUUCGCCAAGGAAAAUGCCCACAACAUUUCUACAAGUCCCCACCAUUAAAUAGCUCAGCUUGGAAGUCCAAAUUUCCUUCAAUUGAGCCCAUCCGAAUUUCUGCUAAUUUUCUGCGACGCUUGAAACGAUUUUCCGUAAAAAUUUCGGAAUUUCUGAAAAAUCUUCUAAGACUGAGUCGACGUUCCUAGAAUUUAUUGUGACAUGACAGAAUUUUCAAUUUCCGAAAUUGAACUGAAAUUCACGGUUAAUUUUCAUUCGACGUAUUUUUAGCGUGACCUAGGCUACUGGGUAACUUUCAUAAGCUUUUAGUGCAAAUAACCGUGGUUGAUUUUCUUCGAGCCACAAUGAACCUAGUCGACCCAUUAGUGACUCUCGGUUGUCAUGAAAAUCUUGAUGAUUCAAAUAUGGACACAGGGUACAAAACAAUAAAAAAAUCAAUCUAAUGUCGGCCGACGAGAAUUUUCCAAUUUAGUAGUGUCACCCACGGUUAGCCAUACAUCUCAGUCGAAUUGACUUAUCUUUGAUCUUGAAUCGAUUUAUAUCUAUGUCUUAAUGACCUCGGCAGAUGAGCACGGUCGAAUAGUCGAUUCCUAGUCGAAUUCUCAAGUCUAUUUGCCUUAAAAUUCUUAAUGGCUUUUCAAGAUAGUCUAGUUAUCUCGAGAGUGAUCAGCUCUAAGAAUAGCCCUAUAGACACGUCAAUGAAAUGCCCGAUUUAUUCAAUAGAAAAUAUGGUCGAAAGUUUGGGAUGUCACAGGCGCGGGUGCUUAUUUUGCUCUCACAAAGAGGAUGGAAUUGAUAAUUUUACGCUGAAAGAUUGAGCUCAUCGGUGAUCUUUUCCAAUGUCAUGUAAUGGGGAGAAUUUGUGCAGUUGUCAAUAUUAAAAAAUAUGAUCUUACUGCGCAAAAUGUCUUUGGUGAUUGAGACAUAUUUAUAAUAUAUGUAAGAUAAUUAGGUCGUGGUACUUUCAAUCGUGAUUUAAAUUGUUUUUCCCUGGACAUUUCUAUUUUCUUCUUCAUUCAUUGUCUUGUUUACCAAACUUCACGAUGAUCAUUAUUACUAUUUUAUCUUCGUCGAAAUUUUAGUGGACACAAAUUUCUCAGUAAAGUUUGAUAGACUACCCAUGCGAAGUAUGGGUAAAUGAUUUAGUUAUACAGAACAAAAAAUCGAAAGUGAAUUACCCAAACAAAGAACACAAUUAAGAUAGACCAAAAGACGCCGCCUUUGCAUGCACAAUAGACGACGGAGAGGAUGUCUCUUCUAUAAAUAUCUUCAGAGAUUCAAAAUCACCAAUUGUCUAGCACGAUGUAGGAUGUGAUGAAAUUGCUUAAAAGAUGUGCAUUGAGGAAAAUGUUAGAGCUAGAAACAUGCGAAUCUCUUGAAGACAAAGCUGGCGAUCGAAUUGUAGUAACAGGAGAUCCAGUCCGGGACUUGAAGGCCAAGCCAGCGGGUAUGUCGUGCGCGGAUUGGUGGGUCAUAUCUUGAAGUAUGGUUGUGAGGAUUCAUUCUUCUUAUGUUUCUCAAUUUCACUCUUCAAGUUUCACAUAUUAUCGGUGAAUGUAAAAUAUGUAGCAAAUGAAAAUAUUAUAUUUAGUCGGGUGAGUAUUGGAGUGUCUAAAUUUCAAAUAUCUUUUUUUUUCCUUAUUGAAUUUUGAGAUGUCAUUAAUGAUGAAUCAAUUCUAAGAGAUUAACCACUUUUGGAAUUAGCUUGUUUGGCUCUGUAAGCUUAAGAGGAAAAAAUCAAGGGAAGAAAUAAGAUGAUUAAUUACACGGAAAUAACUAUCACAUCUUGCUAGGUGAGUAUAAGGGUGUCUACAUAUCAAAUCAUCUUUUUGUAUCUAUAGAAUUUUGACAAGCUGUCGACGAUGGAUGAGAUGAUUAAGUAGUUUACCAAGUUCGGCAGUUGGAAGGGUUAAAACCCCUCCUUGAAACUAGCAUACUAGACAUGUAAGCUCUCUGAUGACUCUUUUUCAAUGAGCAGUCUCAUUGCAUUGAGCUCAACUUGACCCCUGUCUUACUCUUGAAGUUUUGCCUUAGUGUCGCAGACAUCCCUAUCCAAGCUUGAGCACAGUAUCGUAUGCUUUGGUCAUAGCUCACCCACGCUUACUUUAAGUGCUAAUAUUUAAGAAAUAUGGGAUCAGAGACAUAAAUAAAAGCCAACAUUCCCACUCUUAAAGUCAUGCAAGAUCAACAGCCCAUAUAUAGGCAAGUCAGAACAGUUAAAUAUUUGAAACCCAAUAUUGCUACCUUGGCCUCUGACACCACUAUAGAUAGCCUCCACGAUAUUAUUAGCUUUGGUCGUUGCUAUUGAUGCUCAAAUUUUUAUCAACAUUUUAGGUAUCCAUUUAUUUUACAAAAAUCUGAAAAUUUAUUAAAAAAUAUAAUAAGAAAAAAAUGAUAUUUAAAAAAAGAAAAAAGAAGAAGCGAAAUGAAGUCGUGUGGGCCGGCCCUUAGCAAAGUUUUCAGCCUUCUAAGCCCCCUCCCCUCCAUUAGUCCAGCCCAUUCCUUUUAAUUCUUUGGGCCCAUCUCUUUAUUUCCUUUUUAGCCCAUCUCCUUUUGUCUUUCCUUGGCCCAUCAUAGAACCAAACAAAAAGAAAGCCCAGCCCCAGCCUCUCUCUUUCCUCACACGCGCUUCCCCCUCAACUCCCCCGGCGAGCACAGCGUCCGUGACGCAAGGAAGAAAGACAGGCCAAGCGCGCGCGCGUCUGUGAGCGAAGGAGGCGCGACAAGCCGUGACGAGAGCUGAGCCAGCACCUUCUAGAGCCGUGCUAGCUGGCGUGCGAGAGAAAUAACAGAAAGAUUCGAUCGGUGAGGCGAGGGGAGCGUGCUGAUCCGAGAGGAAAAGAUGAGAUAGGAGCUGCUCGCCGAGGAACAUCUUCGCCGGAAAGGAUGCUCGCCUCAAGAGGAUCCUGUUCGCAUAACAGGAGGAGGAGAGACGCCGCCGGUUUUCGGAGAGGCCGGCCGUCGAAGAGGCAAGCUGCAGAGAGAUAGGCUGAAGAGAGAUUCACGGGGGAGAAAGAGUCAGCCGAGAGCGAGAAAGAGAGGAUGCUGGACGCUCGCUUGAAAAAGGAUUUGGCCAUUGAAGAGCUCGGCUGAAGGGAACGAAGGAGGAUAGGAAUCGGCACUACCCCUGCCAGGUCGUUUCUAUUCCGAUCAACCUUUAGAGUCGAUUAGGUGUUCAGAAUCUCUCCUCAUCGCUCUGCUCCAUUGUUCGGGAUCUGUGUCCAUCCACCUUCGAACCCAGAUAUAGGAGAGCGAAGCUGUCUGAAGCGGGUUCGUGAGUUUCGUUUCAGUCGAAGGGAGAAUCGUCAGGAUUUUAUUGAUCUGGAUUAGUUGAAGUUAAAAAAAUCAGUCUCGCCGAGAGUCCUUCGUGACCUGUUUGAUGUUUUGUGUAGAUGUCUUCAACGUUGAUUUGUUCCUGUUACUGGUCAAUCCGUGAGCAUUUUAGUAUGAGUCUCGGAAAAGUUAUUCCAUAAAAUUGGAAGGGAGUAGGACUAGGAAUGGAAUAGCUAAUUUGUAGUUUGGUUUGUAUAAUGGAUUCAAAAAAUUCUCUGGUUUGUUUUUCCAUGAUAGUAGGGAGAAUAUGUUUGGAAUAGUGUAUAAUACCCAAAAUACCCUUUGAUGAUAUAUAUCAAACUCUAAUUUCUUUUAUUAUCAUAUUUACAUAGGACAUAAACGAAAGCCUACUAUAAUUUCUAAAUAAUUGCAAUAUUUGAAUUUCUAAUGAAAGUAACCAUUAUUUUAUUAAUUGAUAUAAUUAAACCAUAAUAUAAUUACUAAAAAAAUAAAUGAACUAAUUAUUAAACAAUAGUAUAAUUACUAAAUAGAUACUAUAUUUUAUAACUACCUUUCGAGUCAAGCCAAUACAAUAAGGCCAAGCUCAAGCUCAACUCCUAUUAGAUAUCCGAUGCUUGGAAUUCUGCUUGAGCUAUGCAACUCAAAUUUUAAAGAAAAAAGUACAAAAAUAUUAUUAAUAAUAAACAAAGUAAUUGCAGAAAAAUAAUAAAACACCGAUCGACUGUCCAAUGAUAUAUUUCUGAAGCACCAAAAGUCCUCAAGGCUGGGGCCAACCAGUCCAUCAAAUGUUUGUCGGGCCACAGUCGGCCAAUUAGGCCCAUGGGCUUGAUUGGACCUACGCUCACAAUGGGGUUGGGCAACACGGCCAACAAGGCCCUAAAGUAAUUAUAACUUGAGUGUUUAAUCUAGCGUUAAUCGACAUAAAAUGCUACAAUGUACAUUUUCUCCAUCAAAGUAAAUUAGUGUGACAUGUAUCCAUAUCGUACUAAUAAAAAAAGUCUAAGUUUAAGUUGUUUCUUUCCUUUCAUAUUCGGAAAUUGCUUUCCUUAAUUAUUAAAAGUCAAUAUCUAAGGGCCACAGUUCUAGAAUUUCAAACUUUACGUUCAUUAUUCAUUCCCUUUGAAUUAGACCACGCUUUUAUUUGACUUUCCGUGAUGGUGGCCAAAGAUAUCUCCUCGUCUUCUAAUUUAAUGUAGUUGGAGCACGCUCAUGACAACAACAUCACACCACAUUCCUGGAAAGGUAAAAUUCAAUGUAACAAUAAUGUCACUCGAAAUCGUCUAAUUAACCCCGUGUUCUAAGGAUGUUCGGAUCUUGAUUUGGCUAAUUAAUUGCAAUCUUAAGUAAUUUAAUAAGGAUUCCACCUAAUUUUGAUCCGAGUAAUGCGGGGAAUUGACCAUAAAUGAUGGGACAUUUGAACAAACAUAUGAAUAUGAUCCAAUCCAGAAAAAUAUCAGCUUUUUCCCGACGUCCAUCCCUAUCAGGAAAAUUUACUUAUGGUGGACAUAGAAAAGGUUCCUCGUAUUUUAUUUACGAAUUAAAGUUUUUGGAUGGUGGAUAUAAAGUAAGUAAUUUAGGCUAGAUUUCGUGUUGUGUACAGGCAAGAUAUUGACUUUCUACAGAAUACCCACCGCACAUUUGGAUGGAAUAUAGAUAUUAGAGCAUGCUUAUAUUUGACUUUGCGUGAUGGUGGCCAAAUAUAUCCUCAUCAAUCUAAUUUAAUAUAAUUGGAGCGCGUUCAUGACAACAUUACACUACAUUACUGGGAAAAUUAAAAUUCAAUGUAAAACAAUAAUGUCACUUGAAAAUGUCUAAUUGACACCGUGCUAUAAGGAUUUUGGAUCUUAAUUUGGCUAGCAAAUUGCAAUCUUAAGGAACUUAAUAACAAUUCCACCUCAUUUUGAUCCGUGUAAUGUGGUGAAUUGACGAUAGAUGAUGGGACAUUGGAACAAAAUAUGAAUAUGAUCCGAUCAACAAAAAGAUCAGCUCCUUCCCAUUCCAUUGCAUUUGCCUUCUUUACAAGACUAUUGAUUUAUUUCUCAAUACCAGCAAAAUUCAUCUUAUCAGCAUUUCAAAUUUACUGGAACAACCAGACCCCACGCGAAAGAAAACGAAUUAAUUCAAACCACAAUCUCAUUAGAGUCUAUGUACCUGAUAAUCAAAAGACAAAUCCCUAUACCUGCCUUGCUUAGAGAAAAAUAUCAUGGCAAGGAUCGCAAAUUUCUAUAGCUAUUCAGUCAUUUUCUGGAGACAAAGGAUGGAAAUAGUUUCUUACCUUUACCAAAAGAAGAAGAAGAAGAUGGAAAUAGCGUAAUCUCGCCCCUCGAUCAUCAAAUAUCUCGAUCGGUAGUGUUUUAGGGGGGAAAAGGGUUGUUGAUGCUAGAAAAUCGCGACAUUAGCUUAUCACUUCUCACAUUUAAUGUCCUUGGAAUGGAGGCAUCCAAAAUCAAAGAACGAGAAUCAUCGCUCUAAAUCCUGGGUCUCCAUCCUGGUGAUUUUCAACAGCUUAGGAAGACCGCUGGCGGAAAUCAUAAUAUUUUUAAGAAACAUUGAUUAGAGUGUGUAAGACAAGUUUGAACCAGGAGCUUGUGCUCCAUAUUAGUCGUUGCUAAGCAAAUGAAAGGAAACCUCUUCGUCAUGGUGAGAGCAAGGGUGAAUCACUACUUGUCAAAGCAUGAAGAUCUACGUUCUUUAGCCCAUAUAGAGAAGAAAUAAUAAAUAAAGGGGAAAUAUCCACAAAAACCCCAAACUUCACCCAUGUGAUAUAUUUAUCCAAUUCUUUUUUUUUUUUGGUGACUCCAAAAAUCUUAAACUUAUAUUUCUAUGACAUAUAUACCUCAAACCUUUUUUUUUUUUUUUUUGUGAUACCAAAAUCCCCAAACUUUUUUUUGUGACACCAAAUUUUAAAAAUAAAUGUGUCAUACGAAUACAAAUUAAUGAUUUUUUAUAUCAUAAGAAAAAGUUUAGGAUAGAUAUGUCCCACUAUAAAUUUUGGGGUAAAUAUGUCACAUAAAUACAAAUUUGGGAUUCUUAGUGUAAAAUAAAAGUUUUGUGUCAAUGUGUCACAAUGAACAUAAUUUAGGAUUUUUGGUGACACUUUUUUUUUUUUUUUUUUAAUAAAACAAGCACUUAAUAAGUGGGGCAACAAAAUGCAAUGUGAUUGCAAGCAUGGGAUAGCGACUUGACGCUGGAUGCUUUUUNNNNNNNNNNNNNNNNNNNNNNNNNNNNNNNNNNNNNNNNNNNNNNNNNNNNNNNNNNNNNNNNNNNNNNNNNNNNNNNNNNNNNNNNNNNNNNNNNNNNCAGUCUGCCUCCUCGGCCCCGCCAGUUGCAGGCAAGGGUCACGGCGUCGUGAGUGGAGCUCGAACUCAUGUGGCCAUGAGCUUGAAACUCAAGUGUCCAUGGCCACGAGCUCUAUAUCUCGUGUCCAUGUCUGCAAGAGCCUUGAGCUCUCAUGGCCGCUGCCGCGAACUCGAGCAGACGAGGGUUGUGGCGUCAUGAGUACUCGAGCUCAAGCAGCCAUGGCUAGGAGCUCAACAUCCAGCAGUCAAAUGGCUCAGUGAGCUGGAAGCUCUAGUGUCCAUGGCCACGAGCUCCAAAUCUCGUGUCCAUGGCCGCAAGCCUUGAGCUCGAGGCUGCGUGAGAGAGAGAGAGAGUUACGGGGCGAGUUUUCUGGCUGAGUGCAAUGUUGAUGAAGGUGGCAGCAAGGUGGACAAGGGGAGGCCAGCCCCAAUAGAUCGAAAACCUUCAAGAACGUCCCCCAAAAAAGAACAGGAAAAAAUUAAUCCUCGAACAAAUCCCAUUAAACGUUUUAAGAAAAUCGUGGGAAAAGAGAGAGAGAGAGAGACAUUGGAAUGUUUCUCAUGGAUGCAUGAGGCGGUCGUGGUUGCGGUCGAAGAAGGCGACGUGCUUCUGCAGAACGUACUUCUCCACACUAUCACCUGAAAUAACAAUGUCCAAACCCAUUCCCAGAUUCACCGAAAGGUCAAAACACAAACGCUCGUGCUGCUUAACAGGGGAAGCGGGCCGCGCUCACAAUCACACAGACUCACCACGCUGUGAGGGGCUUUGCCCGCGGCCGGCGAUGGCCAAGAAUGGGCAAAUAUUAAAAUAAUAUUAUAAUUGUUGCUGGAAUCUUUCAAGAGCAGGAAGGAACGUGAAACUUGCAAAACUUGAACGUGAAGGAAAACAAGACAGCCCACAAUUGUUGACUCUUAGCCAAGAAGAAAAGUUCAACUUCAGCUCUUGCAUGUUGAAGUCAAUGGCGGUAGAAUUCAGGCGGUGAAGUCCUGGCGGGGGAAGAUGUCUAUAAAUAGGGCUUGGGAGUGCAAAAGGCAGGCAAGGCCACACGAGAUAAAGAGAGAUUAAGAAAGAGAGAGAGAGUCUCUUCAGAUAGAAAUCAAGGUGUGAGCCUCAGGAGACACUGCAGCCUCAGUAGCUCUGUGUGAGCGAGUUAUCCCUCCGUGAUCGAGAAGGGAAUAAAAUAGAAAGCUGAGUGUAUGCAUGUAUCAGCUAGUGUGCUUGAGUGUGUGUAUGUAUCAAUUAGUUUGAUUUUAGUAUUUUAACACUUCCGCAUAUUUUGUAAGCUGCACACUCUACGAUUAAUAUCAGAGCAAAGGGUUGCAUACCCUACAAGAAUGCCCCAUUUAGAGUGACCGUCAGCCAAGCUUUUCGCUUUUAGUUUUAAUCCUUUCUUAUCGCAAAGCGCUUCAAACGCGCGACUCCGCAGUCUCUUUUCCCCCUUGGUGCGAUUACCCCUCCUAAAUGACCAAACUGCCCUCUCUUCUUGACGAAUUUCCAUAAAAUAAUAUCCGGACUCUGAAAAAUCCCCUNNNNNNNNNNNNNNNNNNNNNNNNNNNNNNNNNNNNNNNNNNNNNNNNNNNNNNNNNNNNNNNNNNNNNNNNNNNNNNNNNNNNNNNNNNNNNNNNNNNNGUAUCCCCUUCCCGUGCCGUCAGCCCUGUCGUCGAGGAAACACGGAAGGGAGAGAGAGAGAGAGAGAGAGAGAGAGAGAGCUGUGCAUCACCUUUCACCCUUCAAGCAACGAGUGGGGAGUGGAGGAAGGCUGCAGGUAACUUCCAGGCGAACGCAGCGAAAGUGAGAGAUCUCUCUCCGUUGCGUCAUCAAGUUGUUACAAGGAUCAAACUCAAGACUUCCCAAGUCACUGGGCAGACUCAAUUCGGGGAUCCAUCACUCCGUCUUGCUACUAGGAUGAAGAGAAAGAGGGAGGGAGAAGGGAGGGCGACGGUAACUGGGACGGGCAGUAGCCAUGAUGGCGGAUCGGAGAGGGGUUACGAAGUGUUCUUAAGUUUCAGAGGGCCCGACACCCGCUUAACCAUGGCUGAUUGUCUCUACAAUGACCUGAUCUGUGCGGGGAUCCGCGUUUUCAAAGACAAUGAAGAGCUCCGAUUUGGGGAAGAGAUUGAAGGUGGCCUCUUGCAAGCGAUCAAUGACUCCAGAAUUUACAUCCUGAUUUUCUCCAAGGACUACGCCUCAAGUAAGUGGUGCCUUCGUGAACUGGCACGCAUAGUGGAGCUAAAGAGAGCUAAUGCUGAGAAAGUGAUCCUCCCUGUAUUUUAUGAUGUGGACGUGGAUGAUGUCAAGCUUAAGACUAAGUUAUAUCGGAAAGCCCUUCGGAAGCACAAGAGCGACUACGGGAAGGAUUUAGUAAAGAAGUGGAAGAAGACUUUAAGAAAGGUUGCUAGAAUUAGAGGAAGGAAGCUAAAAGAUCACGGGUAUUAUUUGCUUCUCCAUUGACUUUAUUUUCUUUGUUGAGAUUUUCAAUUUCUCGUUCCUUUAAAAAAUAACUAUUCGGUUUGCUGCUGUCCAACCUUAUGUAACGUAUGGUUGGAUUUGACGCUAUGAGGAGCCAAAAAUAUUGCUCAGAGGGCGAGGUUUCUUGCACAAAUUGACUUUUCCCUUUUAAUAUCAAGUUUUUAUAACAAUUAAAGUUAAGGUAUAGCAACUUAAUUAAUUAAUUAAUCUAUAAUGCCAAAAAACCAAGAUAUCCAUUAAGAUCUAAGAUAUGUUAAAAUAGUAAGACCAUAUAUAUGUGAAAAAUAAAAAAAUUAAGUUUAUUAACUUCAAUUGCAUUCCGUACAUGAAAUUAAGGACUUUUGGUGUAAUUUUCCUUAACCCUAUGCCUAUAAUGUUUUCCUGAAAAAUUAGAUUGAGUUUGAUGUUAGAUCUUUCUGUUUUUGUUACAUUAAGGAAACAUAGAGAAAUUAUGGCAUAGACUUAGUCUAUCGCAGUCUAUGCGAUAUCCAAAAACUUACGGCCAAGAGUAAGAAACCGAUCCUUGUGGUUUUGGUUUCAGCCCUAGAGAAUUCAUAUGCUUUGCUGCUGUUUCCCUUGAAAUAACCGGCUAAUUACGGUCGCACCACCGAGUUACACAAAAAUAACGGAGAUUUUUAUGAUGAUAGUUUUUUAACCCCAUAAGAGGAAACUAUAGGUUAUGGUUUUUCUAUUUGGUUUGAGUAUACAAGACCGAACAUUGCAAAGAUCUUUGUGCCAUUACGCAAAAGAACCAAAAAAAAAAAAAAAAGGAUCUCUGUAACUGUUAAAGGUCUUCCAGUAUAUUUUUAUUAGAGUAAUUCUUGAUUAGUUUGCGACGGACUGACUUAGGUCCAGGUGUAUUAUCAAUCUUGGGCUUUUGUUUUCACUGUGGUGGGGCAAGGGUCAAAGGCUCCUCUAGUGGCCAAUUGUGCGUAGACAAGAUGUGCAACCUUAAACUGAAUAUUAUUCUAUAGUGAUUUAUAGUAGAAUGUUAAAACAUAAAAAUUGGUUCUUGCUGUUGCUUUAAACAUGGACCUAUUCAUGGCCCCAUAUCUUGAUUAACCAAAAAUUCACCUAAGGGACUUCCAAGUAGUUGUAGCUAUGGUUGGAGAAAUUUAAAAGCCUCUAGAAAAUGGAUAAGUACUUUAACAAUUGUAAAUUACCUUGAGAUAUGUAGCUACCCUUAUCCUGGUUUGUGAUAGUUUUACUAUAAACCCUAGCCGUCACUCUCUGCUUACUCACAUCCUUCUUCAUUAAACCUUACUGUUUCUAUCUUUCGUUAAACGCAUUAAUAGUUUCAACCCUCGAGAACGGGAAGGACUAGCCUAUUACUAUCCAUGCCCAACUUGUGUCGUGCAACAUUCCCAGGGAGGCAAUUGUUUUGAGAAAAAAUUUCCUCAAAAAAUUUGCCACAUCCAAGGCAGGCCACCGCGGGGCGCGGAUUUCCCAUGCUCUAUGCCCAUCCCUAAUUUUUAAAUUAUCGGUUUUUAUAUGAAUUUAUUGACUUUAAUUUGUGUCUUACCAACUUUUUUUUUCCAUUGUUUUACAAACUAGUUUUAGCUUACCGGCUUUUAUGUAAAUCAUUUACUAAGUUUAUUAGAUUGUUUGCCGAUUUACAACUUCUGCACAACUUACCAUAUUGUUUACUCCGCAUCUCAAAAUUACCAAAUCCUGUACCGAAUUACUAACUCUAAAUUAACUAAUUUCUAAUUAAGUUAAUAACUAGUUUAAGCUACACAUUCUUAUUUGAGCUACUUAUCAAUAUUUAUUAUUUGUUUCAAAACAACCAACCUUCAUAAACUUUCGUUAAUAACGCACCAACUUUUAUUUGCACAGGUUUCGAACAUUAUUAGGCAACGAAAUCUAUUGUUAAAUUACCAAUCCUAAGUUGAGUUACUCACCAAUUUAUUCCGAUUAAAGUUCCAACUAGUUUGCAGUUACCAAUAUUAUAAAAAGAAUGGGUAACCUAAAAUUAUUUCUAACUUAUUUGGAGAAAUGUUUGUUGGCAACUCGAAUCAAGGUUGAUAUAGAUUCCAGAAAAUCUUCCUCAUUUUCGGUUAGUAUUCUAUUCCAUGGGUACAUUAAGAAAAAUGCUUUUGAGAGAUUAUUCUUGUUUCCUAUAUUCAAGGCAAUUGCGAGUGAGAUUUUUUAUUUUCCGUUAACCUUCAAACUCAUCCCUAUCGCUUGAAGAGAUUAUCAAGACCGAGUUUACCGAGGACUUGAUAUUUAACCAAAUUUCUAGAGGUCUCGCUCUUAGCUGUGUGCGACAAGAAGAAACCAAUCGGUGUGAAAAAGUAUAAAAUGAAGUGGAGGCAUAAUUAUCAAAUUAGUUCUAAAUUUAUUGUGCAUGACAUUUGAGCACAAGACAUUUUAAUUUUGUUAAUGUGGUCAUAAGUAUUUGCGUGAAAUUUUAAUGUAAUCUUUUUGCUCAAUUGCCACAAGAAAUUACUAACAUGACGUCCAUUCAUCACUGUUGUCCUAUGUGGCAAGUUGACGUGGACAAUUUUACUUGAAAUGACAUCCUGCAUAGAUUGCCACUUUAGCAAUUUUCGGUGGAUAUUGACUGCAAGGGCUACAUUGAAAUUUUGUGUAAAAGUUUUGGACAAUAUUAUUAAAAUUGAAAAGUUUAUAAUUGAAUUGAUAUUCACACAAUAAAUUUAACACUGAUUUCAUAAUUUUCCAAUAAAAUGGAACAAAAUGCCACAACCUAUUCCAAUACAACGAAUCACAACACUAGUUAGUCACAAUUUGCCGGAAUGACUUCUAGUCCAAGCCCCAUCAGACCCUUGUCACAAAAUAAUCUUUUCCCAUCAUUGACUAAACCAAAGAACCUUGAUAACAUUAGCUUUCAACCUUGAAUAAAGUUCCUCCUCUCUCUCUCUCUCUCUCUCUCUCUCUCUCUCUCUCUCUCUCUCUCUCUCUCUCUCUCUCUCUGUUGAUUUCUUUUAAAGCAAAUUAUUUUGAACUUGAAGAUAACCUUCCAGUGCCACGUAAUGUGUGCAUAGUUUCCGUAUAUAUGGUUUUUCAAUCUGAGAUGAUUGCAUGUCACGCAUGUGGUAGCUUAGAGGAACUGAAGAAUCUCACAGUCAAAGAGGUUUCAAGUUUGUUAUGGACAAGAAGGACAGAUUUGCCUGAUCAUUUGGUGGGAAUUAAGGAUCGAACGGAUGAGAUUAUGAAGCAAUUAGAUCUAGAAGCUUUUGAUGUAAGGUUUAUCGUGAUUCAUGGUAUGGGUGGCAUCGGAAAGACGACACUGGCUAAGACUGUCUUCAGACAAAUCUCCUCUCAAUUUCAGAGAUAUUGUUGCUUUCUUAAGGAUGUUCGGACUCAUGAUAUAAUAAACUUACAAAAGAAAUUGUUGUCCGACAUUCUCCAUUUGAGUUGCAUAGACCUAUGCUUCAUUGAUGAAGGGGUUGACAUGAUCAAGACGAGAUUUCAUGACAAGAAAGUUCUCAUUAUUCUUGAUGACAUUGACAGUCGAGACCAAAUCAUGAGACUUGCCGGCGAGCCCAAUUGGUUUGGUGGGGGCAGUAGAAUCAUCAUAACAACUAGGAAUAUUGAAUUCCUUGUAAACGAAGGUGAGGAUGACAAUGUCCCAGCCUCUAAUAACGGACAAUUUUCAUUCUACAAUAUGUCGGAGAUGAAUUCACAUGAUGCUCUUCAACUUUUUUGUAAGCGUGCCUUGGGAUGUGCCAAGCCUCCAUCUAAUUAUGUGGAUAUUGCAAAUAAGCUAAUCAAUACACUUGGAGGACUUCCAUUGGCUCUCGAUGUUGUAGGUUCCACACUUUGUGGAAAAUCCCAAAAGACAUGGGAAGACGUCCUACAUAAGUUAAAUACUGUGAUGAAUGAGGAUGUGAAGAAGAAGUUGAUGAUAAGCUACGAAGCAUUGGAUGCUAAGCAACAACAUAUUUAUCUUGAUAUUGCAUGUUUCUUCAUUGACAAAAAUAAAACAAUUGCAAUGAAAUAUUGGGACGCGGUCUUUGGGUAUCCUACUGAAAUCGAAGUCAAGACCCUCACACAUAUGUCUCUAAUACAGAUCAUGGACAACGAUAUUUUAUGGAUGCACGAUCAACUUAGAGACCUCGGAAGGGAUAUCGUCCACUCGGAAAGCUGCAACAUACAUCUAAGGAGUAGCAGAUUGUGGUCACCUAGGGAUGCCUUCCAUGUAGUGCAUAGAAAAACGGUAAUUUUUACCUUUAAAUAUUUUCCUUAUCCUUCCAUUAGGAUCAUUAGUCAUAUUGACACAUGUACUCAUUAGUUGCUACUUUUAUCUUCUAGGGAACUGAGAACAUAGUAGGCCUCAAUCUUGGCACACCUAAACCUGACGCAGCAUACAAAUUUAAACGUAAAGAAUUUAAGAGUUUGGUUAACCUUAGGUUCCUUCAAUUGGACCAUGGAAACUUUAAAGGAGACUUUAAAGAUCUUUUCUCAGAGUUAAGAUGGCUCUCUUGGAGCAACUGCCCUUUCGAAUUCCAAGCAACCAACUUUGGGUUGAAGAACCUAGUGGUUGUCAUGCUUUCGGGGAAUAACAUUAACGAAGACUGGGAAGGAUGGUGUCAAAUCAUGGUAUGAUCUCAUGACAUACUUUUGUAUUACAUUUACUCUUCUUCUUUUCUAAGAUUCAACUCAAUUGCUUUAUAGGUAGCAAAACAAUUGAAAGUCCUACAACUCGAGGAUUGUCCAUCCCUUAGAAAGACGUGCAAGUUCUACGCAAUCUCGCAAUUGGAGAGAUUGAUUCUUAUAUGUUCUCAACUAAGAAAGAUUGACAAGUCCAUCGGCAAUUUGCAGCAUCUUGAUUACCUAAAAAUGAUGUCUGAAGCUAUUAAGUCACUACCAAAGUCCAUUGGCCGUCUAAAAUCUUUGACAGAGCUAAGAAUAGAAGCUCAAAGAAUCUCAGUUUUGCCUCACUCAAUUGGCAAUUUAGUGAAGCUGAAGCAUCUAAUCUUGAAUUGUCAGGAACUUCAAAAGCUUCCCGACUCUAUUGGAAAAUUGGAGUCACUACUUAAGCUAAGUGUCAAAUGUUCAAAAAUCCGGGAAUUACCUUAUUCUAUUGGAAAUUUAGAAAGGUUAAGAGUUUUACGCAUCUCAGUUUGCGAGCUAGAAAAGCUACCAUACUCAAUUGGGAGGCUCCAAUCAUUGGUCAAGUUGGAUUUGAGCUUUUCAAGAAUUAGGAGCUUACCUGAUUGCAUUGGAAAUCUCAAAAAGUUGAAGAUACUAGAUUUGAAUUCUAGCCACAUAAGUGAACUUCCGAAAACCAUAGGAAUGUUGGAAAAUCUAGAAGAGUUACAUGCUCAAUUUGUACAUCUAAUGGGGGAAAUUCCAAGUGAAAUCGGGGCACUAUCCUCAUUGAAAAUUCUAGAAUUAUCCUAUGGCUGCUUUAGUGGAUUGCCGACAACCAUCAAUCAGCUUACAAAUCUGCAAGAACUUAAUUUAGAGGGCUGUAAUUCAAUCCAACAGCUGCAGGAGCUUCCCAAGAGUCUCACGUGUUUAGCCUUUUCAGCAAAUUCGUUGACCACGAUCCCCGACUGCUCAAACCUAACCAAUUUAGUUGACCUUGAGAUAAUCGGAACAUCAAUCCAAGAACCUAACAUAGAGGGCAUUGUGAGACUACCUACUCUGUGGCAUUUGACCCUGUGCAUCGGAAAAAUGGCCUUGCCCGAUUUUAGUUCCCUCUCUCAUUUACGAAGUCUCUCCAUAAGUUGUGCUGAGCCCCAAUCUCUUAUCGGACUCCCAUCUAGCCUUCAAGUGUUAAAUUUAUACAAUGUGCAAUCACCAAUAGAUUGGUCAGUCUUUUCCAACUUGGAGAAUUUGUCGAAGCUGUUUGUUUAUGGAUAUUCACUAGGAGAGAUUCGAUUCAAGGUGCUUGGAGAGCUACGGAAAUUCAAUGAAUUGUUGAUGGAAGACUGUCCAUUGUUGAAGACGUUACCCAUUCUAACUAGCCUGAAGAAGAUCCAGAGUUUGUCCCUGCGCCAAUUGCCUCUUCUAACUGAGAUUCAGGGUUUAGGAGAAUUGAAAUCAUUGCGGGCUUUGUUUAUCUCAGGCUGCAAUUCUGUCAAAAGCUUAAGCGAAUCUGAUCGUUAUAAUCUACAGAAUCUGAAAAGUUUGAUGUUCUAUGGAUGUGAAUCAUUGGAGAGUGUGUUGGGUGUGCCAAAAUCUUGUCAACUCAUGGUUGGUGCUUGCCCGAGGUUCAAUAGAGAUGGAUAAGAUACGUAUCAUUUGAUUGGCAAAGAUUGUCGAUGAUGGUAAGUCCAUAGAACUAGAGUUCAUUUUUUGUUGUGUCCUGUUUUGUGAGUUUUCCUUCAGCUAACCUUUCAUCUUGGUUCUAGAACCACCUCUUGCAUUUGUUCACCUUGUUGUCUCUAAGGGAAAAUCCUCUUUCGUGUAUAAUGAACGUGUGAUACUUUGACUUACCUGUUUGAUUUUUGUGCUAAGGUUACUGUUAAGUUGUUAAAUAAACCUGUUUGAUUUUUGUGUCUAUCAUUUUUACAUUUAUUGAUAAAAUGUUUUUGCACAAGCUCCUCCAAGACCAUGGUGAAAUGUUCUUUUACAUGGAUGUCUAGGCUUUGGCAAGUCAUACUGUUGGUGCUACACCAACGACUUGUUCUCUUCAAUCCAUAUCAGUAAAAGGCAGAGUUGUCGCUAAGUACAUUGGUACAUUUUAGCUAGCUAUAAGAGGCUUCUUUUGAACUACAUGAAUGUUUAUUGAGUUCCAUUAUGUAAUUUUUUAUUGAACUUUGUUAUUUGCAUACAUUUCACAAUUUUGUGCUUUCUUCUUUUGCUUUUGUAUGCAUUUAAUAGAGGUCCCUUCAUCUAUGCCAGUAGUCGAUAUAUGAUAACUAGCAGCAGCAAUGAGGAUCCUACCACUGCAGUUAAUGAAGAGGCCAAGUUAACCAAUGAAGAUUCUCCUAUAACCAAUCAAGAGGCCAAGUUAAAAUGGUUCUUGAGUUUUCUCAUGCAUGAAUGAGAGAAUCCUUUAUGAAGAUUAAGAGAAAGAUUAAGAUGUAAGAUAUUUGAAGUUUUUCUCUACUAGAAAUUUGAAAUUUGUGAUCAAAUGUCUACUGGAUUAUCUAUUAUGCACAUUGACGGCAUUGAUUUUGUGAGCAAACUAGAGAAAUUUUGAAUAUUUGAGAGUAAUGGCAAUUUUAAAAUUACAGGUUUGGAUAUAUUCUUGAAGGCAGUGGCUGUAGCACCUUGCCUUCUCUUUUUUCAUGAAUUUGAUUCCAUUGUGCUGAAGAGGGGGCAUGAUAGUACGGGGGUCACCAACCAUGUCAUCAAUCAGUUAGUUUCUUGCAUUCAAUGGCACUUAUAAAGUGAUCAUGUGAAAUAUAGUUGAUGGUAUGACUAAAAAAUGACAUGUUAUUCAUUGGUGCAGUUUUUUACCGAAUCAGAUGGUGUUGAAGUUUUAAGCGGUGUGUUUGUGUUGGCUGGAACAAGGUAAUAAUUUCGUCUUAAAUGGUAACAAAAAGUACUCUCUUUCCAUAGCACACUAACUGUAAAUUGCUAUUGGAAAUUGCACUUAUAUGAAGCAUUUAAUAUGGAGACUACGUAAUAACCUUCAAAGUGGACUAUUAAAUGCUAGACAUGACUUUUCCUUGAUUUAGAGUUGUUUAACUUCGGAUACACAGUAUUGGAUAAACUACAUAUGUAUCAAAGAAGGUAAUUAACGGCAGGAUUACUUGAAUUACUUUUAAGUUGCUAAAGUAGCUUACAAGAAGUGUAGUAAACUGGUCUUGAGCCUCUUGAACAACAUCAAUGGAUGUCGAUCAUUUCAGUUUUGAGUGUGCCAAAAUAUUGUCAACUCAUCCUCAUUGACUGCCCAAAGCUCAAUAGAGAUGGAUAAGGUAUGUAUCAUUUGAUUGGCAAAGAUAAUCGAUGAUGGUAAGUCCAUAGAACUAGAGUUCAUUUUUUGCUGCAUCCUGUUUGUGAGUUUUCUUUUAGCUAAUCUUUCAUCUUAGUUUUGGAACCACUACUUGUAUUCAUUCAUCCUGUUAUCUCUGAGCAAAAUUCCUUGUUUGCAUGUCAUGAACAUGCAGUACUUUCACUUGCCUCCACGGUGGUGAUACUUAGUUUGGUUUAUGUUGCGCAUCAGCAUAAUGUUGGGGUUGACAUGCUUCGUAGCACAUAACUUGGCUAAAUAGCAAUCACACUGAAGAUGCUAACAAAUGCUAUGUUUUGUUGAAAGGCAGAGGUGGUUGAGAGUACUGGUCAUACCUUAUGUAGUGUUUUUUCAAUUUCACUACAGAACAAUCAUGAUUUGUGAGGAAUGAAUUAAAGGAAUUAAUGCUUGGUCAGGGAAAGAGUGAAUUGCCGAUACCUUUUAUGCUAUAUGAGUGACUUAGUUAUUUCCUUCAUGAAGAAUUGAAGGUGCUUUUCUAGUUACUUCUGAACUUCAUUUUGUUUGUUUGUUUUUUUGCUAUUUGUUCAUUCUCUCCCAUCUUAAAUUACCAAACAUAGUUGGGGAAGAUGUUGCAAUUCACCUGAUAAGGCAUUUACGUUCUUGAACUAUCAUUUGUUGUGCAAAUGACAUGUCUUUUUUUUUGGAAUCCUUUGUUGUUUUGAGCUGGGUCUGGGAAUUUGAUGACUCUUAACUCAUUCACGAAUUAAAUAAGGCAAAUGCAAUAACCUCAGUUGCUCCCUUUUACAUGAAUUUUGUUUCCUGCAAUUCUAGAGAUUGAAUUGGGAUUAUCUGAUUUUGCACAAUCAAAGAUCACUGUCAGCUUUACUCUACAUCUGAUGCUGAUGGUUAUAGUUGCAAUUUUCAAAUACUCCCAUUCUUAAAGUAGAAGUUUUGCUUCUCUGGCCAUAAUUAUUAGUUUUUUUUUUCAUCCUAUUUAUGCAGAGUCUUGGAAUGCAGUCAACUAUUCCUAUUGAAAUGUCUUCAGAUGUAACGGUGGGGAUCUACAUGAGCAACUUAAAGUUGUUUGCCGGCCAAAGUUUGUGUGGUUAAUAGUCUUAUUCUGCUUAGGCAUUCAAUGGGUUAAUGUAUUGAGCAUUGACCUUAGCUUUUGUUUGCUGAAGUACUUAUUUUUCAAUACUCAUAUUUAGCUUAAUCAAAGUUGAUAAUUUGUUUCAUAGACCUUGGUAAAUCAAUCAAGUAGUGGACAUGUUGGGGGACUAAAACUUGAAAGAUCUGCGACUUCCUUUCAUAUUCUCGAGUGUGCUUCCCACAUACUUCACAUUGUUUGAUCGCUUAAUUCACUUUUUCUUGGUGGAUGAGGAAUUCAUUAUUUUGUUGGAAAAAGGAGUAGCUCCUUGUACUCAACACGUGCGAGGAUCCUAUUAUUGUUUUAUGAGCGUCUUCCCCGAUUGAGUAUCUAGACGAGCAAUACUAAUCUCUGUCAUAGGUUCCUAAGUGUCUGUUUCCCAUUGGGUGCCUUACUUUUCGUGUAACAUCAAAGUCAUUAUAUGGUGGUGAGUUGUCUAAUCCUCUUUUUGCUACUCGACAAUGUAGUGAAGGGAGCUUGUGGUUAGACUCUGCAAAAUUUCAAUGAGAUGAUGGGAUUGCUUGAGAUUUUGGGGUUUAACUACCUAACAUUGUUUCCCUGAUGCAUUCUUGUAAGUGAGCUAAAUUAUGCAUGGAUUUUAUUCAAGGAAGCUUGUAUAACUGCAUUGAUUGUGUCUGAUCUCUCUCUGUCUCUCUGUCUCUUUGUCUCUGUCUCUGUCUCUGUCUGUCUCUCUCUCUCUCUCUCUCUCUCUCUCUCUGCUAAUAAUGUGGUUAAUAUUAACUUGUUAAAUAAAAUUAUUUGAUCUUCAUAUCUAUCAUUCUUACCUUUGCUGAUGAAGUGUUUUUGUGCAAGCUCCUCAAAGGCCAUGGUCAAAUGUUCUUUUACAUGGACGUACGGCCUUUGGCAAGACAUGCAUUGUUAGUGCAGCAAUAGCAGCUUGUUCUCUUCAAUCCAUAUCAGUGAAAGGGCUGAACUGUUGGAUAAGUACAUUGGAACUUCUGAGCAAGCUGUAAGAGGCUUCUUUUCAACUACAGCGAUGAUGAUUGAAUUCCAUUGUGCAAUCUUACAUCUAAAUUUGUUAUUAACUCCAUGUCUAUAUCAAAUGCCAAGCAAAAAUAACUGAUUUUGAGAAGUGGUUAGACAUAGUCGCUACUCUGCAGGCCAAGAAGAGUUGAUAAGGUUUGUUGUCUCGCACAACUCUUUCUUCUGACUGUGUAAACUAGUCAAGAUUUGGAUUGGGUAUUGUUCAAUUCCAUGGUCACCAUCUUAUUUGCGGCUCUUUGACAGAUCCAUGUCCUGAGGAGAUUUAGUCCAACAACAACAUAAUAAGUGGGUGACCUGAGGAUUCUUAUUGACUUUGCUAUAUCUAGUAUUGAUUUGUCUGCAUCCUUCUUUUUUCUUUUUGUAUAUUGGCUAUUUUAAAUCACUCCCAAGGCAAUCGCUAGUGGUGCCAUAUGGUUCCAUGUGGUUUUCAUCUUAUAAGCGGCUAAUAUCCCUUGCCUUCUUUAGAUAGAGUCCUUCCCCGUCUCUUUCAUACCAACUAACUAGCAUGCAAGAACUGUAGUUUGACAAUCUUGUUCUCGUCUGUUCACUAGUCUCUGUGCAAGUGGUGAAUUGUACAUCCCAAUACUUUCUGCCAUCAACAAAGUUUCCUGCUCGUGUGCUGUCAUUUGCAUAUCUCUAUAGUGAACAAGAAUCUGCUAGAAUUAUCCUGCACUAGUCCUUCAUAAAACCAACUACGAGGUAGCCAGGCAUCUCAGCCUCUCUGCCAAAACACAGAGCGUGCAAGUAGUACUAUGUCCUCCCUUCAUCUCUCCUACCUCGAUCUGUCUCUACACUGAGGUUUUCUCCCUCAAAUAGGCUACAACCUUUAAACCCCCCUUGGCAAUGUUGCAUAAAUAAGGUGUGCUAUCUCUCUCAAUGCAAAAAUCUAGGAUUUGAAUUGAUCAAUCAUUUCAAAUUGGGGCACCUUGAUGCAACAAUUACUUAACCUCACCACUCCAUUCGACCACAGAGAUAUCCUCUUUUUUAGGCUCUAGAUUAUUUGAUACUGAACUAGGAACCUACAUAAUGACUGAAGUAAACUGGCUGAUUGGAAAGCUCCCAUUUUUUUACACUCACCUUUCCAACCUGCAAGUUUGUACUUGGGUAGCUCAAUUGUUGGAUCCCCAAAUUUUUUUUGACCCAAGAGGAAUGUUUAGAUGUGCUAUAGCAAAGUGACCUCUUAUCGAGCAUGCCAUUAUAUGUGUGCAACGAGCAUGCCACUAUAUGUGUGCAACGAGCAUGUGUCCAUAUUACUGAAAGAUUGAACCGUAGCCUUAGAACUGGAAUUUAAGAUUGAAAUUCAAGCUGAAUGCUUCUCGGUGCAUGUAUUGUAACUGAGUAUACUUAUUGGAUAUCUAUCGAACUCAUGCUGUUGACUGUUGAGGCUUUUUACAAAGUAAACUUGUUACUCAUAAACAUAUCAUAUUUAUCCAAUAUAGAGUCCUUUCUCAUUUUAUCGCCUGAAGUUCUUCAUGCUGUCAUUAAACCACCAAUUUUUCACUUGACAGUUUCACUUUUUAAUCUGGAAUCCUUGACAUAUGUAAUGUGAACUAAAAUAUUCUCAUAUCUUAUGCUAGAAAAUUUGCAUGUUCGAAUAUCUUCUUGCUCCUCGAUGAUCUCUUAGCUGAUCAUCCUUUUUAUCUUAACAAUGUAGGUUGAGGAUACGGUAGUCUUAUUCUUCCCAUACUAGGAACUACUUUUGGUGCACUUGACUAAAUAUGGAAUAUUCGAUUAUCUUUUUUCCUUCGCAAAUGCACUUUUGGAAGCAAUGUUCCUAAGAAUCUCGAUUAGUGCUUUGAAGAACCCAUGUUAAUCUCAAUAAUUGUGCAGUGGUUUUAGAUUUGGACACCUGAAUAACGACGGUAAUAUUAUGCUUUCAUGUCUAAAGGUCCUAUUAGAAAGCAAAAUAUGGUGGGAUUACUGUAUUGGGCUUUAAAAUCUAAGACCAUCAAAACUUCUAAGACGCAAAAUAUAAUAAUUGGUGCCAAACUGACUGGUAUUUACGGCUCUUUAUCGUGGAUGCAGGCACAGCUUGCUGAUUUUGAAGUCUCUGAAGGCAUAUGUUCUCGAGCUCGCAUUGAACAUGCUGAUUCAGUAUGUUUAUGGCGGGAGCAAAUGUUCUGUUGGAGUAUUCAUGCGAAGAGGUACUCGAGUUGAAGCAAUGUCCCUUUAUCUCCAAUAAUGAUGUCGAGUAUCUUAUUUAUUGUAUCCAUUCGUGUUGCAGGCCACAACUCUUCUACAAAAGAACCUAGAAAACGCUAAAGCAAGUUUAGAAGUUCUUGUUGCUAAUCUACAGUUCUUACUGGACCAAGUAACAAUCACGCAGGUAAGUCAGAAUAUUUUGGAACUUGGAGGUCCAUUUUAGUUUCAAGCCGUUUAUUAUGUCAGUUUUGGGUAAGGUUUGUUGUUGUUGAAUUACUGCUGCCGUGAUUUUUGUAACUGGUGUGAGCCUUGAGGCUAUAAAUUGCAAAGACAUGCUGAUUUGUGACAACCUGGAGUGUGGUCAUAUUGCACUUCAGUGAAAUUGAAAAAAUUCUAAACUUGUUGGAGGACCAAACUCUUUCGUUUAUAUCAUGGCAAUUAUGUUGGUGGCCCCUGGAAAUUUUCUUUUCUUUUUUGGGGUGAAACAGCCCUUGAGAGUUCAAUCUUUAUUUGGCAGGUUACGAUGGCUCGUGUGUAUAAUUGGGAUGUUCACCAAAAGAGAAUCCGUCAAGCCGGUGCUCCUGCCAAAUACGCUUAAAGGGAUCUUUUCAAGUCGAAUCAUGGUAGCAGAAUGUGUACUCUUGGAUGAGAGUAUGACUUUGAUCUCUCCAUUUUCAAUCCGGUGAAUGAAUUAUGUAUCGCUCUGUUAUUGCAAUGGAUAAGACUGACAACGAGUGAUUUUGGUUAGAUUUAGUUAGAUUUAUUGCAUUACACGGAGCUUGUCAUGUAAACGUUUUGAUUGAGAACCUCUUGGGCUUGAUUAUUCACUUUCUGUGUGUGGUGUGCUAGUUUUGAAUUAAUGUUGGGGUCCAUCUAUUUUAUGUCGUUUUCACCUUGACUACGUAUGUUUAGUAAAAACCAAUUUAAAUUUGAAUUCGGGGAAAAACAUGGGCCUGCUUGAGGUCUACUGUGAAUACAUGUCGGCAAGAGUGUUUUUGGGAUCAAGUGACUUAUUAGUGCUGUAAUUUAGUGGGGUCUCUUGUUGUCAGGUCUUGGGAGGAUUUCUAUUAUAUAGAGCAAUGCAGCUAUAGUUUGGUCANNNNNNNNNNNNNNNNNNNNNNNNNNNNNNNNNNNNNNNNNNNNNNNNNNNNNNNNNNNNNNNNNNNNNNNNNNNNNNNNNNNNNNNNNNNNNNNNNNNNNNNNNNNNNNNNNNNNNNNNNNNNNNNNNNNNNNNNNNNNNNNNNNNNNNNNNNNNNNNNNNNNNNNNNNNNNNNNNNNNNNNNNNNNNNNNNNNNNNNNNNNNNNNNNNNNNNNNNNNNNNNNNNNNNNNNNNNNNNNNNNNNUUGAUGUAAUUGAAUUAUCCGAAUGUGUUAUUAUAAGGCAUAAAUGUAGGAUAUGAUGAACCCGAGUUAACCGGCACAUAUAGAAAAAAUGGUUCUCCACUUAUUCCUCUAUCCUCUGAUGAGUCAGCGAAACACAAACCUUAACGAAAGUGGUCUUUUAACCUUGGCCAUUGGCGCGGGUGCUUCUCUUGCUCUCGCAAAGAGGAUGGAAUUUAUAAUUUUACACAGAAAGAUUGAGCUCAUCAGUGAUCUUUUCCAAUGUCAUGUAAUGGGGAGGAUUUGUGGAGAUGUCAAUAUUAAUAAAUAUGAUCUUACUACGCAAAAUGCCUUUGGUGAUUGAGACAUAUUUAUAAUAUAUGUAAGAUAAUUAGGUCGUGGUACUUUCAAUCGUGAUUUAAAUUGUUUUUCCCUGGACAUUUCUAUUUUUUUCUUCAUUCAUUGUCUUGUUUACCAAACUUCACGAUGAUCAUUCUUACUAUUUUAUCUUCGUCGAAAUUUUAGUGGACACAAAUUUCUCAGUAAAGUUUGAUAGACAACCUAUAUGAAGUAUGGGUAAAUGCAUUAGUUAUACAGAACAAAAAAUCGAAAGUGAAUUACCCAAACAAAGCACACAAUUAAGAUAGACCAAAAGACGCCACCGUUGCAUGCACAAUAGACGACAGAGAGGAUGUCUCUUCUAUAAAUAUAUUUGGAGAUUCAAAAUCACCAAUUGUCUAGCACGAUGUAGGACGUGAUGAAAUCGCUUAAAAGAUGUGCAUUGAAGAAAAUGUUAAAGCUAGAAACAUGCGAGUCUCUUGAAGACAAAGCCAGCGAUCGAACUGUAGUAACAAAAGAUCCGGUCCGGGACUUGAAGGCCAAGCCGGCGAGUAUGCCGUUCGUGGAUUGGUGGGUCAUAUCUUGAAGUAUGGUUGUGAGGAUUCAUUCUUCUUAUGUUUCUCAAUUUCACUCUUCAAGUUUCACAUAUUAUCGGUGAAUACAAAAUAUAUAGCAAAUAAAAAUAUUAUAUUUAGCCGGGUGAGUAUUGGAGUGUCUAAAUUUUAAAUAUCUUUUUUUUUUCCUUAUUGAAUUUUGAGAUGUCAUUAAUGAUGAAUUAGUUCUAAGAGAUUAACCACUUUUGGUAUAGGUUUUUUUUUGGCUCUGUAGGCUUAAGAGGAAAAAAUAAAGGGAAGAAAUAAGAUAAUUAAUUACACGGAAAUAACUAUCACAUCUUGCUAGGUGAGUAUAAGGGUGUCUACAUAUCAAAUCAUCUUUUUGUAUCUAUAGAAUUUUGACAAGUUGUCGAUGAUAGAUGAGAUGAUUAAGUAAUUUACCUAGUUUGGCGGUUGGAAGGGUUAAAACCCCUUCUUGAAACUAGCAUACUAGAUGUGUAAGCUCUUUAAUGACUCUUCUUCAAUGAGUGGUCUCAUUGCAUUGAGCUCAACUUGAUCACUGUCUUACUCUUGAAGUUUCACCUUAGUGUCCCAGACACCCCUAUCCAGGCUUGGGCAUGAUAUUUUUUGCUUUGGUCACAACUCACCCACGCUUACUUUAAGUGCUACAGGUCGUGCUACAGGUCGUAUUUAGGCAAUAUGGGAUUAGAAACAUACAUAAAAGCCAACAUUCCCACUCUUAAAGUCAUGCAAGAUUUACCUACAAGCACAAUAGCCCAUAUGGAGGUAAGUGGGAACAAUUAAAUAUCGAAAACCUAACAUCGCCACCUUGGCCUAAUACACCACUAUAGGUAGCCUCAUUGGAGGGUAAACAUGAUAUUAUCUGCUCUAGUCAUUGCUAUUGAUAUUCAAAUUUUUAUCAACGUUUUAGGUAUCCAUUUAUAUUACAAAAAUCUGAAAAUUUAUAAAAAAUAAUAAUAACAAAAAAAUAAAAAAGAUAUUAAAAAAAGCUAAAUGAAGUCGUGUGGGCCGGCCCCUUAGCAAAGUUUUCAGCCUUCUAAGCCCCCUCCCCUCCCUCCAUUAGUCCAACCCAUUUCUUUUAAUUCUUUGGGCCCAUCUCUUUAUUUCCUUUUUAGCCCAUCUCCUUUUGUCUUUCCUUGGCCCAUCAUAGAACCAAACAAAAAGAAAGCCCAGCCCCAGCCUCUCUCUUUCCUCACACGCGCUUCCCCCUCAACUCCCCCGGCGAGCACAGCGUCCUUUUAUCUUUUCAUUUUGAACUGCCACAUUUCUCUUUUUCCAGGGACCAGUAUUUGCAUCCCACAUUUAUCGCUCGCACCCCACCUGGCAUCACGAGGAACCUCCAGCACAAACCUCCGGGCAUUCAGCACACACCCGCUGGGCAUCUCGUACCCCAACUAGCAUCACAAGGUAUCCCUCGGCACAAACCUCCGGGCUUCUGGCUCCCCACGCUCCGGGCAUCUCGAAACUCCCGAGGACCCUCCGGCAUUCAGCCAUUUAAGGCCACCAGGCAUCCGGCAUUUACACUCCCUAGCCAGGCAUCCCGACACUCCCGGGGCAUCGUCAGCUUACACCCCCAACGGCCUUCUCACUUAUCUUAGUUCACAUUUUCAAUUAUAGCUCAAUCUCAACAUGGCAUAUGAUGUGAUGGCAAACAAGAUCAUUUUCAUCUUUUGAUUCUUAUAUGCAUUUUCAAUCAUCAUCGUACAUGCAGCAAGAUACAACCACUUAUGAAAUACAAUCCAUGGGGUCCAUACAACUUAGAAUAAUCCAUAUAUCAUGUCUUUUUUUUUUUAAAUUUACCAAAUUCCAGCUUACACAAUUUCGGAAAACAUAUAAAUUAAAUAUCCAUAUGAUCUUCAAAAAUCAUACAAUCAGAGCAUGUAAUAGACAAGGCAUAAAGGUAGCAAUUUCAUGAAAGAAACAUGCCCAAAAGAGUUUCACACAAGAAGAUAUAGCUCGCACAAUACAUCAUGCAAAAUUCGGAUAAAAUCAGAUUGCGCAGUUCUUGAAAUAUUUCGAUUAAAAUACCCGAAUGACCUCCAAAAAUUAUGAAAUUUUACCAAGUUAUAUUCAAGACCCUAAGGUAGAUUUUUCAUACAGACAUCUAGGCCAUAUUCUCUCUAGAUAAUUAACUAUAGACGGUCGAAUCUCCUGUUCCUAGUACCGAACAGUCCAGUUUAGCUGUUUCCAAAAAAUCGAGGUUUCGCCUACUUAUCUUUCUUAAUUUCCUUUGAAAUUUUGAUAUUUUUUGCCUCAAGAGGUCCCCUACAACUUUCAUUAAGGGAUCUCGGUGAGAUUCUCAAAGGAUAGUCACCAUAUAGUCCACGAAGUCUUGGGAGUCCAGUACCGUACUUCCAGAUCUACCGUCUUCAAAAGAAAAUCGUUUCACUAUGCUACACUUGCUCGUUUUACCUCAAAUUUGAUUAUGUUAAUCGUCAGGAUGUUCUCUACAACGUUUUUGAAGAAAUAAAAGUGAUAUUCGCGGUAAAAAGUGACAUGCAACACACAAAACCACCAAGAGGUCAACAAAACAGUUUCAGAUCUAGCGUUUUCGUAGAGGAAGGGUUUCACCCCUUAAAACGCAGCCAUUUUGUCUCAAAUUUUAUUAUGUUAUACUUUGAGAUGUUGUCUACAACUUUAGUGAAGAAGUCGAAGCCAAAAUCGGACUCAAACCACGUAUGCAAGCCUUUACAACGUUUGGGGUCAGGCGGCACACUCGAAAACAGCAUGCUAUUUCAAAAACAACACACCCUAGCUUCGGUUUCUCAUACCCUAAACAUCCGAGAUUUACCACCACUCAAACACACAUGCAAGAGACAACAUGCGAGAGCAGAAUAUGGAUCCCAACUUGCCUUCAAAUCGAGUAAACAACGGCACACGGACGGCGACGGACGAGCGGAUGGACGGGCAACAAACGAGCGGACCUCCCCUUCGCGCGGCUUCUCCCUUUCUCUCUCGGUUCCUCACUCUCUCAUAAUCCUCUCUCUCUCUCUCUCUCUCUCUCUCUCUCUCUCUCUCUCUCUCUCUCUCUCUCUCACUUGGCUUAGGCGACAGCCCCCUGAACCGGCCACUCUCUCCCUUUUAUUCCCCCUUAAUCACAAUCAUUAGUCAUCAUGAGAUGCCUCCCACAAUGGCCAAUGGAUGGAGUCCCCUUUUUGCCACUUGGCAAGACCCAUGCAUAAUGGGCUUGGAAGUGGGCCGGCCACUCCCCCUCUCCUUGGUCGACGGCAGCCCUCUCCAUGGGCUUCAUGGGCCGGCCUUUUGGCCCAAGACCUUUUGGCCCAUCAAAGGUCUACACUCUUGGGCCUAAGGCCCAAGCCUAAUUAAAUCAAAUUUCAACCCCUUUUUAAAUACUAAUUAAAUCCUUAUUGAACCAAAGUACUAUAGUGUAUAAAUUAAAUAACUAUACACUUGAAAUCACAAAUCCAUAGAUUCUAACCCACAAUACAUAUGGCCAAAGAUAGAUCAUUCUUUUCCAAAAUUUAUCCAUUAAAUUUGGCCAUAGUCCUUAAUACAAGACAUUAAUUUGAGCACCCCUAAUGACCGGUAAGGAAUUCUAGGAUGCCACAAUAUAAUACGUUCAAAAGAUUCUAUGUGUGCUUCAAAGAAUUGAAAGAGGGUUUUCUAGCAGGUUGUAGACGAGUAAUUGGAUUGGAUGGAUGCUUUACGAAGACUUUAGUUAGGGGGAUGUUACUUUGUGCUAUUGGUAGAGAUGGAAACAACCAAAUGUUUCCAAUUGCAUGGGCUAUUAUUGAAGCUGAGACUAAAGAAUCUUGGACUUGGUUCCUCGAGCUACUAGUGAAAGACUUGAAUGUGGGACAAGGUCUUGGCUGGACCUUCAUGAGCGAUCAACAGAAGGUAAAAUUGCACACAAGCUUUGCUAAUAAAAGUAUUUGUUGUUUGUAAACUAACUUAUUUGCAUGUCAAAUAACGUGUUACAGGGCCUACUCAAUGCAAUUUCUAAACUCUCUCCACGAGCAAAGCAUAGGAAUUGUGCUUGGCACAUUUAUGCCAACUAGAAAAAAUUAUACAAGGGAGAAACAUUUAGGAAUUGCUUUUGGAGAGCUGCAUAUUCUACAUACAAGGCCGAUUUCAAUAUGGCAGUAAAAGAAAUGAAGAAAGAGUCUGUUCAUGCAUAUGAAGACUUCAGGAGACAGGGUCCAUAACACUUUUGCAGCGCAUUCAUCAAGUGUGGACAAAAUUGCAAUGCUAUCGAGAACAGUUUGAGCGAGACGUUCAACACACACACACACCUAUCUAUAUAUAUAUAUAUAUAUAUAUAUAUAUAUAUAUAUAUAUAUAUAUGCAGAGAAAGGGAAUUUCUCAUUGUUGAUAUGUAGGGCAUAAGAAAAUUACUUAUGGUAAGAAUGUAUGAGAAAAGCCAAUUGAUGGUUGGUUUAAGAGAUGAGAUUUGUCCAAGAAUCAUAUUGAAGAUUGAGGAGGAAAAGAUGAAGUCUAGGUUUUGCAUUCCAGAGCCAUCUACAAUUUCCAGAUUUGAAGUUAAAGUGAAUAAUGAUACUUUUAUGGUUGAUCUUAAUAAGAAGACAUAUACUUGCAGACAGUGGGAUAUAUAGGGGAUACCAUGCAACCAUGCUAUCUCGUGCAUCAACUUCAUGAAGUGUAACUUAAAUGAUUAUGUAGCUGAUUGUUUCAAGAAAGUUGUGUACGAGCGUUGCUAUCGAUUUGCAUUACCCACCUUGAAUGGAAAGAAAAUGUGGCCAGCGACUAGUGACGAGCCUUUAUUGCCUCCGCCAUUUAGAAAGCUUCUAGGGAGGCCCAAGAAAGAUAGGAAGAGACCCAAUGGUGAGAAGAAAAAGGAUGAGAAAAGCAAAAGAGUGAGGAAGCCAAGGGUCACCAACACUAAUCCUACUAAAAUAUCAAAAUCUGGUAUUACCAUGGAAUGCUCCAAUAGUCAUGGUACUAGACACAACAAGACAACAUGCCCCCAACCUCCAGUACCUAUCCAGAUUAAACUACCUGUAAGGAAAUUUAAACAUAAAUGUGAAACAUUUUCCCUUAGAAUACCUUAUAUAUGUCUAUUAUACAGGGCAAAAGAGGUAGGCCAAGGAAGCAUCCAAGCAACUAACCAUUGAAGGAGGGGCAUUGAACAAACAAAGUGAAAGUACCUCAGCUAAAUCUAUAACAGGAGAAUCAAAUAUUGUCAAUUCUAAGAAGAGAAUGGUGAGGAGUCUACAAGUAGAUUUCAUAUGGUUUUUGAUAAUACCAAAGUAAAAUGUUAAUAUGGUUUGUCUUCUUAUAGGUUUUACAAGGAUAUGGAUUUUACAUAUUUGAAGCCACUAGAAACUCAUAUUUGAGCGUGAAGAUUUUAUUUCGUUAAGCAUUUUUUAAUCCACUAUGAUUAGCAUAAUAAGAUUAUGUUUUCCCCUCAAUUUUCAGAUGCUUGGGAGUAGCAUAGUUCAAGAAAUUCGUCAAGGUGGUGCAAAUCAUACGAUGGAUCUUUCAAGCCAAGUUUCUGGACCUCCUCAAAUUGAACAAUCUCAAAGUGAAGUAGGGCAAUGAACCUGUAGGAGAGUUGGAUUUUGGGUGUAAACUUUGUCAUGUAAAGCUUGUUUUGUAAAGCUUGCCCUGUAAAGCUUGAUUUGUAAAGCUUUGUUUUUUUUUUUUUUUUUUUUGAUAGUAUUUGAUAUAGAACAUGCUUUUGGACAUCUAUCGUCUGGUGUGGAUUUGCCUUUUUGGCUAGUUGGUUGGUUGGUGUUUGGGGUAAAGGCUACUUUGUAAAGCUUGUUCAAGUCUAGUGUGAAGGCUAUUUUAUAAAGCUAUUUCAAAGAUAUAUUGAUAUGUGGCUUUAGUUUCGUUCUCUCCAUUUUGUGUAGUUGAUGUUAUUUGCAUUUUGAUGAUGAAUUUGGUUGAUUGCAUAUGGCUUGUAUGCUGGAAGGCUCUCUCUCUCUCUCUCUCUCUCUCUCUCUAUGCCUAUUCUGAUGAAAAGUAUAUUGCUUCUAGCUCAUUAUGAAUAGCACUUCUUUUGUAUAUGUGCACAAGCAAUCUAUCCAUCUUUUAGUUAAUGGGCAUCCUCUCGGCACAAGAAUGAAGUGCACAUUUGGUAGUCUUUGAAUGGUUUUAUAAUAAUGAUUCCAAUAAAAAGAAAAAAAAUCAAGUAUUAAUGAUAUGGAGGCAAUGUUAGAGUAAUCCAGAAAAUAAAAUUGAUUGGACAUCACAACUCGGUCAAAUUUGAGAAAAUUGAAAGAGGGUAAAUGUGCCGUACGUGUACCAAUUUUGGUUUUCUAUGAUCGAAAAAAUUAAUUUAGAGUAAAUUUAUCAUAAAUAUACCAAUUUGCGGUAAAAUUGUCAUAAAUAUACUAGUUUAUGGUUUUUAAUGGUAUUAAACUUAUGAAUUUCCACAUGGCUUGCCACGUUAGCAAAGUUAACAACAAAAUCGAACGGAAGCUAACGGAGGGUAGAUUUGUCACAUGUAUAUCAAUUUGAGGUUUUUGUGGUCAAAAAAAUAGUUUGGAGUAAAUUUGUCACAGGUAUACCAGUUUGGGGUUUUUUAGGGUAUUAACCCUUUAAAUAAAGAAUAUGCUAAUUUAAUUUUUUUGAACAAUUUUUAUUAUACAAGUAUAUAAAAGGAUUGGUAGAAGAUUUUUGUUUUUCAGAGCAUUUCUUUUAUGAUUGAGCUAACACGAAAUUAAAAAAAAUAAAAAUUGCAGAAAGCAACUAUAGAAACAAUAACAAUUUAUGAACUAUAUCAUCAAUACAUUACAUUGCAAAUUUUAGUUAAAUUGUUAUAUUUGUUUCCCCUCGGCUCGUCGCGAGCAUGGCUGACCUCUUAUGAUGUUUUUAUGCUUUGGAUUUACUUAAUUCCAUAUUCUACAUAUCCAAGAGAGUCAUAAGAAAGGGAAAGAUUAAGUUAAACAGAAAAUUCAACUGUUUAAAAAAUAUAUGAAAGCACCUUGAACAAGACUACGGACGAGAUCAAAUGGAUGUUGUAUAAACGUCUAAAGCAUAGCAAGUUUGAAUUUUGACAAUUUCAGGAACACUUUUAGCAUAACUUAGAUGCACGCAAAUUCAAUGCAAAAAAGAUGCUAGCUACCUUUCUUAGUGUUAGGAAUUUUAAUUGUAACUACCUAAAUUUAAGAUAAUUAUGGACAAGUAUCUCGAGAUAUACCAUCCCGUGGCUAUUAAAAAAGGCAAGGUCGCCCUAUCUUUCCUCGAUGUCCAUUUUUUAAUGUUGAUUUGUACAUUCAAUUUGUCUAAUAUGCAUCAAUAGUUGCACGCUCCGGUGACUAUGUCAUAAGUAUCUCAAUAUAUUAGCUCACCCUGGGCUCGUGCCAUGCAUUGGACCUAGUGGAGUGGGUGGCCUAAGCCUAGUUCUUUUGAAUGAAGUUGGCAUUUGCUUGGGCUUAGUGGGCUUUUGGGCCACACGUGGCCCAUCUAUUUCUCAAAAGGGUUCGUUGGUCAGUGAUUGAUCUAUCAAAAUAGGUCUUCAACUAAUUUCUUAACCCAUACUUGAUGGACAAAGUUAUUAUAUGUGUUAGUUAUAUUUAUGUUUAGUAAAUGGGUUUAGACCUAACUCUAUGGAUCAUAAAUGGGUUUAAUGUGGGUGUUAAAUGGGUUCUCAACUUAUUUAGACUAAACUUACUCCUACGACUCUCUUUUCACUCUCUCUUACCUUCACUUGAUCUCACGUUCAUUUAUUCUAUGCUUUCACUUUAGUUAGGGUAUGAAUUUUCCCAAUUUGAGUUAAAUAUAUAAGUUUAACAUUAUGGGUUGUGUAUGGAUCACUAUAUUUGUGUUGUAUGAAAAUGAGCUAAAAAGGUUAAUUGAUCAAUUUAAGUAGGACCAUUUUUUACUCAGCUUGAACCAAAUCCGACUCGAUCUAACCUAAUCCACCCAUUUGACAAAUUUAGUUAGUGAUUGCUUUCUGCCCAAAAGUGGGCCUCCAUUGGGAAAAAAAACUUCACAAAUUCUCUAUAAACUAGAGCCCCCUUCUCUCAUUUUCAGCAUUCAUCACUCUCUCCCAAAUUCUCAUUCUUUUACAAAUUUGUAAUUUCUCGCAAAUUUGCACUUUCUAUAUAUGAAUUACUUCAUUCAAUCUUGUAAUGGAUCCCAACCGCUUCUCAAAUGGCGAUUAAGGAUCUCCGAGCUUGAGGUGGCACUUCGAUUCCUACACUAAUCCCGAGAUGCAACGCACUCCCUAUGUGCCUGGUUCACCCAAGAAACAGCAACAAAUGCAGGACACUGACGGCAUGAUAGAAAAACUGGAUGAUUCAAAAUUCAUGUUGCGCAAACCCCUACCUCAACCUCAAAGAUCAACAAACUACAAUCAAUGUCGCGCAACCUUCGAGGUGAAGAUCAUCCAUUCUUUGGUGGACAUUAAAAAUCGAUAGGGUAAUGAUAAGUGUUGGGAAAACUUCCUAUGAUAUUUUGAUGAUUUCGAAACUAUCAUUGGUUUAAUAUCUACCGCAUGAUUGUAGAUGUUCAUCAUGAUCAAUUGAUGACAAUUUUAGGACGAACUGAUCAUAUCAAUGGUGUCUGUAAAGCUUAGUGAUGGACAUGCACAGAGAUGUAGGCCUUGACAAAAGGAGAACAAGUUAGAUAUGACGAGCGGUUGAUAAGGACUUGGAGGGACCAAGAUAAGGUGAUCAUCACCCUAAAGCCUUUGGAUACUGGUAUGCUCAGGAAGACCAUUGGAUGAUGAAUUGCAAGUUGGUCCGCGAAGAAUACAAUCGAUAUCAUCAACAGAAUAUUAACAAGGGCAUGUGCUAAUAACAAGUGAUCACGAGCAAUUGAUGGUGCAAAUAUCAAUUCCUAGAAGGCGUUGUUCAAUAAUCAAUCCUAGGUUGACUGUUGAACUGGAAGAAAAUAGUUGUUAACAAGUUGGGAAUCCGUGGCUAGAGGACUAAAAACAAGUGAGGACAUCUUUGGCACUUUUGGUCAGUGUGUUAGACUAUAUAUUUGAUCGAACAGUAUAACAAACUUCAUUUCAGGAAACCUUUCUUUUGCCAGCAGGAACGAACUGUAUGGGCAGCCUGAACGCUGACAUUUGCUACAACCAACUCCCAACGCCUCUUUAACUCUUCAGAAGCAUCUUCAAUGGUUGGAUUGGAGGGGGAACGCCUAUGUAAAGAGGAUCAAAACAGCUAGAAGUGGUGACUACCGUACCUUGAAUGCCGGUGAAGAAUGCCUAAGGAUGGAGGGAGCCACCGGUUGGACACCGAGAGGAGAGGACACCGCUGGGCAAGGCCAAGAAGAGCCUAGAGAGGUUCACAAUUUGAGAGCUCCUGAAUGAGUUGUGUCUCCAUUAUGGCUGGCCAUAGGAGGUUUAUGAAGCCUCUACAGGUCCUAAUUGGGUUAGCAUUAGGACUGGACGGGAUGGAGCUUACAAUCGGUUAAACAACGAGACUAAAAUGACUUCAAAAUGGACGACGUAGAUGGGGUGAGGAGAGAUGAAGAGGGGUGGUUGGCAGUUGGAUUAAGCGGUAAGCAUUUGAUGCGACAACAGCUAUUGAAACUAAAUGCUACGUUAUCCACUUGAUCUAAAUUUGGAUGAUUUCUCACUGUUUGGACCCUAAAAUUUCAACAAUCUUGGAGAGGAUGUUCCAUGGCUCAUUGAACUAAACUUGACCUUGCGGCCAUUAGCAAUUUGAUUCUAGGCCCACAUUGCCUCUCAAACUCGGGUUUGAGCACUAAAAAGGUUGGAAAUUUACGUUCUAGCUUAAUUCUAUGCUUGAGCUCCAAAAAUCUUGCCAACGUCAAUUUAAGCACAUUUCUUCACCAUGAUUGCCCAUUUAAGCUCACUUCUCUCAUGGCAAGUUGGAUUUUGAAGUUCUAUCUCAUGCCAAGUCACUUCCGAGGUCGCCUCUAGUUCCCUGUAUGAAGUGUAAUAAAAAUGCAAAUAUAAUGCUAAUGCAAAUUAUGCAACAUUGAUAUAUUUGUUUAAAGUCCGAUUUGAUCCCUAAUUUCUCAUUUAAUUCAUUAGCCAAAAUUAGGUGUCGAUGAUCAGGAAUGGAUCGGAUGCCCAUUGUUCAGACCGUGGGCAUCCAGCCCACUUUUGGUCUAUUUGAGACUCUCCAGGUCGGUCCUCGAUGGUCCCUUUGCUCUGUGAUCACUCUAGGAUUGUCGAGGCAUGCUUUGGGUCCCCUUUUUAAGCUCGGGGAUAGGCCGAAUGUGUCUUUUUCGUAGACAGAUGAAAAUGGAGAUGUCGAAUAGGUAUCAGUCUCGCCAAUGCCAUCUUCCGACUCAGAGUUUAGAUGACGUCUCUUUCUUAUUUUAGUCCAGCAUUUAAAUUUAGUUUUAUAUUUCUUUCUCAUAUAUAGAUAAUCUCUUCGUAUUAAUAUACACACAUAUAUAAAGUAUAAAAGAAGCAUUUUUAAUGCGUGUCGGCUUUUUCGGAGUACAAUAUAGGAUGAGAUUAAUUUUGACUAUUGUUAGUUGCAUCAUAAUGCAUUUAUGAUUAAUUUCUCAUUACAAAGAUUAAAAAAAUUUCAUUUAUUAAACUAGUGCAUGUCUCUUCUUAUGAAUAGCUCACAGGUCCUGUUUUAGGAGUUUAUAACACAUCGUCGUAUUAAUUUUGUUUUAUAUGGCUGAAAUUGCUUUUAUUCUGUUCCGUCUUUAUAUUUAUCAUUGAUUGUUCAAAUUUAUUGUAUGAGUAUCUAUGCAUGAUAAUAUAGAUUCACAUGUUUAAGAAAUAAAAAAUGAAAAUAUAUUGGAAGAAAUAAUUUUUAUUAAAAGAAAAAAGUUACCAAUGAUAGGUGCUAGGCAAAACUAGCUUAACCAAGUUCUUGCAUCCAAAACCUCUGGUUCACCGAUAUGCCUUACUUGGCUCACAAUUGGCCUAUAAUAGGUUAGCGGCAACUCUAAUUAAAAUUCGACCAAUUAAUAAAAGAGAAAUCAAGUUGUGGUUGGCGGGGUUUGGAAGAAUUGUACAUUGCGUAAGCACCACGUUGUAAGAGAGUUAUAUGUCUCCGCCUAACGAUUCAUUAAAUUCUUUCAAAGUUCAUCUUGGCAAGAUCGUAGUUCAAAUGUAAUAUUUCAUUCAUAAUGCAUAGACAUGUAAUUAUAAAAUUUCAUAUUGCAGAUACACGGAUCUUAAGUUCAUGAACUAACGACAUUUGGGGACUCUACUUAUCCGCCAUUACCCUUAGCUGCCCAAUUGGUGCGAAUCUCAAUUAGUUUUUUGAAUUUAUGAAGGAAGGCCGCAGGUGACUUCCACGCAAAUGGAACAUAACAACAGAGUAAUGGCAAGUGGAACAUACUUGUCCAAUACGUCCAACAUAUAUCUAACUAACAUGUAAUAUAAUAUAUUAAGUUCUCCAAUAAGUCCAACAUCUAACUAACGUACAAUAAUAUAAUGCAAUGGUCCAAAAUGUCCAACAACUGACCAACAUGCAGUAAUAAAAUAUUUCCGAGACGACCUCCUGCUCUUCGAAGACUUUUAUCAAUUAUUUCCUCAAUUUAGCCUCCUAUUUGGUGCGAGUCUGAAUGUUUUUUUUUUUUAACUUAUGAAGGAAGGCCGCAGGCUACUUCCAGGCAAAUGGAACAUGAUUAAAAAGUAAUGGAAAGUGGAACAGAUGUUAGGUGAUCCAAUACGUUCAACAUCUAAACAACAUGCAAUCAUAUGAUAUAUUUCCGAAACGACCUCCUCGUCUUCGAAGACUUUCGCCAUUUAUUUCCUCAACGUAGCCUCCUCUUUGGUGCUCAGUCUGAUUUAUAUUUUUUUUUUCCCGAUGAAGUAAGGCCCCCGGGUAACUUCCAGGCAAGUGGAAGACAAUAAGAAAGUAAUGGCCGGUGGAAAAUAUAUUAAGUUGUCGAAUACGUCCAACAUCUAACUAACAUGCAAUAAUCUAAUAUAUCUUCGAGACGACCUCGUGAUCUUCGAAAACUUUCGCCAAUUAUUCAACUUAUCCUCCUCUUUGGCGCUUAGUCUGAAUGGUAUUUAUUUAUUGAUGAAAAAGGCCCCUGGCAACUUCUAGGCAAGACCAUGAUAACAAAAUAAUGGCAAGUGGAAAAUAUAUUAAGUUGUCCAAUACGUCUAACAUCUAACUGAACAAAAUAAUAAAAAUUUGAUUAAUACAGUGAGUCUCUCAAGCAGAGUAUUGAUGAGCUUGAUUUUGAUUUUUCUUUUUUUUCUUUUUUUGGUUAUGAAUAAAAUUCUAAUUGAAAGACUUUAGAUUAUGCUAACACCAAGCACAAACAAUUGGCUUUUUACUGUUACGUCAUGCGUGGUAAGUGGAAUAAAGGCAAGACUCAACUGAUCAUGCUGAUUUGCUCGAAUCAAGAUUGAAACUAAGAAGAUUCGCUUUGUUUGGCUUAGCAAAAUGGAAGUUUGGCUCCCCUGAGAAAAGCUAAUCCUUAUUUAAUUUAAUUAGCAGAAUGAAAGCAAAUCUUCUUUUUCUAGCCUAGAAAUAAAGGAAGAGAUUUCUCAUUUCAAAAACAAAAUAGACAAAAAGAUCAAAAGGGAUCAUCCAUUAUGCUUCUUUUGUGAUCACGCCAAAUUUGAGUGGACCUACCGCACCAAUUGAAAUGAUCCCUUUUAAGAAUCAUGCUACGUAAUUCAUUUUAUAUUAUUAUAAUCUUAUGAAUGUCUAACUGGAAAUGCACUAAGAAAAAGUGUCUUAAUUAGCAUAGCAUCCCAUGAUUCACGCCACCAUUGAAUUGAAUAGUUUCAAUUAAAAAUAAAUCUGUGGCCUUUCUUCUUUGCUUAGAACACACGCAAGUCCAUCAUCAAGUCUUUGUCCGACUCUCUUGUGAAGGCAAAGAAAAAGCACUAAAGUAUGUUUGUCUAGUCAAUCCGUUUGGUAUGUGUUGAUCUGCAUAUACUGUUCUAAGUUAGGAAUAAGAAUGAAUUCGUGAUACUGGUUUUCUUAUGGUAUACCUAAUAUCUUGGGCUGUUGAAAAGGAAAAUUUAUGUCAGAUUUCAACAAAAUGCUAGAAGACUCCAUGUAAAAGAAAAGAGGAAAUUAUACUUCUUGACAUGCACCGAUUACAAAGCAAACCCAGUCACAGAAAUUGGAGAGAAAAAGUUGCAUCAUGACAUUUCAACUUGAGUAUGGUAAGGUCACAAACCUAAGGAGGGUGGAUGAUAGGAGAUGGGACCAUCAUUCAUUUGCCUUCUUUACAAGACUGUUGAAUUUUUAUUUUUUUUCGUUAUCAGCGUUUCCAAUUUACUAGAACCACUAGACCCCACAUGAAAGAAAACGAAUUAACUUAAACCACAAUCUCAUUAGAGUCUAUGUACCAGAUCAUCAAAAGAUAAAAUCCCUAUACCUGCCUCGCUUAGAGAGAAAAAUUAGGUUCGAACCAGCAGCUUGUGUUCCAUAUUAGUCGUUGCUAAGCAAAUGAAAGGGAACCUCUUCGUCAUGGUGAGAGCAAGGGUGAAUCACUACUUGUCAAAAGCAUGAAGAUCUACGUUCUUUAGCCCAUAUAGAGAAGAAAGAAUAAAUAAAAGUGAAAAAUCCACAAAAAUCCCAAACUUCACUCAUAUGAUGUAUUUACCUAAACUUUUUUUGUGACUCUAAAAAUCUUAAACUUAUAUUUUUAUAACAUAUUUAUCCCAAUUUUUUUUUUGUGACACCAAAUUUUAAGGGUGAAUGUGUUAUACGAAUACAAAUUUAUGAUUUUUUUUAUAUCUUAAGAAAAAGUCCCAUUGUAUAAAUUUGGGGAUAAAUAUGUCACAUAAAUACAAUUUUGGGAUUUUUAGUGUAAAAAAAUAAAAGAAGUUUGGUGUCAAUGUGUAACAGUGAACAUAAUUUAGGAUUUUUGGUGACUUUUUUUUUUUUUUAUAAUAAAACUAGGACUUANNNNNNNNNNNNNNNNNNNNNNNNNNNNNNNNNNNNNNNNNNNNNNNNNNNNNNNNNNNNNNNNNNNNNNNNNNNNNNNNNNNNNNNNNNNNNNNNNNNNUCGCAAGCACUUCAAACGCGCGACUCCGGCAGUCUCUUUUCCCCCAUGGUGCCGUUACUCCUCCUAAAUGACCAAACUGCCCUCACUUCUUGACGAAUUUCUAUAAAAAAAACACCCGGACUCUAAAAAAUCCAGUAACUCUUCCCUCAGUCUCUCGCCUCCACCAAUCGGUCACCGCAAGCCUCCGCCACCUCGCCGCUGCGUCGCCGUUGACGUCGUAUCCUCUUCCCGUGCCGUCACCCCUCGUCGUCGAGACCCCCGGCCAUCGCCUGCGCCGAUCGUUUCGCGUCCCGUCUCGGCCAAGCCACCAUCUCUGUCCCCGACUCUCUCUCCCGAGGCAGCCUCGCUCCGUCUAUUCGCGGCUGUGGGCAACACCAGAUCUGAGGUCGCCCGAAGCCGACGAGGCCGGAUCUGGGCUUGGCGAGAUUGGAAGCCAUGGUCCUCCACUCCCCACUCAUUGCUUGAAGGUGAAAACUGAUGCACAGCUCUCUCUCUCUCUCUCUCCGUGUUUCCUCUUCGAAGCAAUUAUUUUGUCGAUCUGAAUGGUUUUUUCACUUGCGAAGGAAGGUCGCAGGUAACUUCCAGGCGAACGCAGCGAAUGUGAGAGAUCUCUCUCCGUUGCGUCAUCAAGUUGUUACAAGGAUCAAACCCAAGACUUCCCCAGUCACUGGGCAGACUCAAUUUGGGGAUCCAUCACUCCGUCUUGCUACUAGAAUGAAGAGAAAGAGGGAGGGAGAAGGGACGGCGACGGUAGCUGGGACAGGCAGUAGCUGUGAUGGCGGAUUGGGGAGGGGUUACGAGGUGUUCCUGAAUUUCAGAGGGCCCGACACCCGCUUAACCAUGGCUGAUUGUCUCUACAAUGAACUGAUCCGUGUGGGGAUCCGCAUUUUCAAAGACAACGAAGAGCUCCGAUUUGGCGAAAAGAUCGAAGGUGGCCUCUUGCAAGCAAUCAAUGACUCCAGAAUUUACAUCCCGAUUUUCUCAAAGAAUUACGUUUCAAGUAAGUGGUGCCUUUGUGAGCUGGCACGCAUAGUAGAGCUAUCCAGAGGUAACGAUGAGAAAGUGAUCCUCCCUAUAUUUUAUGACGUGGACGCGGAUGAUGUCAAGCUUAAGACUAAGUUAUAUCGGAAAGCUCUUCGGAAGCACAAGAGCGAAUAUGGGAAAGAUUUAGCAAAGAAGUGAAGAAGGCUUAAGAGAGGUUGCCAGAAUUAGAGGAAGGAAUCUAAAAGAUCACGGGUAUUAUUUGCUUAUCCAUUGACUUUAUUUUCUUUGUUGAAAUUUUCGAUUUCUCGUCCCUUUAAAGAAUAAUUCUUCAAUUUGCUGCUGUCCAACCUUAUGCAACAUAUGGUUGGAUUUGAUGCAAUGAGGGAGCUAGAAAUUUUGCUCAGAGGGCGAGGCUUCUUGCACAAAUUGACUUUUCACUUUUAAUAUCAAAUUUUAACAACAAUUAAAGUUAAGGCAUAGAAACUUAAUUAAUUAAUCUAUCAUGCCAAAAAACCAAGAUAUCCGUGAAGAUCUAAGAUGUGAUAAAAUAGUAAGACCAUAUAUUUGUGAAAAAUAAAAAUCUAAGUUUCUUAACUUCAAUUGCAUUGCAUAUAUGAAUUUAAGGACUUUUGGUGUAAUUUUCCUUGACCUAUGCUGUGACAUCCAGAUUUUCGGGUUUUAAUUCGACUGGAUAAAUAGAGCCAUUUUCGUUCAGUUGAAGCCAGGGAUUGUGAAGUUGGAAUGCAAGUGGGUUAUAUUGGUAAGGAAAAAUACCAAUUGGAAUGAUGAGGUGUUGCAUAAAUUAAUGGGGGUCAAUUUGAUUUAAUUCAAGAGAAAUUAAGGCCCAAUUGGAAAGAAAACCUAGCAAAUUCGUAUGCCACACAUACCCCACAUUUUGGCCUAUCUAAAGGCUUCUAGAAGGGGUAGAAUUGACAAGAAAUUGUGAGUGGAAGGUGACAUCACAUGAUGUCAUGGUGGGCCAAGUGUGUGAUGACCUAAGAGAGAGAGUGUGUGAGAGGAAGAGGGGAAAUUGAAAUUUUCUUCCUCCCCUCUCUCCUCCGUCGACGGAUCCAUCCCUAUCUUCUUCUUCCUUUUCUCCAAACCUCCAUGGGAGCGGAAGACCAGAGAAGCAGAAGCAGCUGCCGUCGUCGCCCACCGAAGCCGGAGCCGCCGCCGCUGCUCCGCGAUUGGCCGCACCUCACCGCACGCCCUCUCUUCCGCCUCUCUCUCCCUCCUCUUACUGGUGCGAACCAGAGGACAGCAGAAAGUAAAGCAGCGUCCAGCGUCGCCGGAAGGAACCGCGACCAGCUGCCUGGACGCCGCCGCACCGGAGCUGCCGCACCGCCGCCCGCGCGACGCCGCGCGCUCCGCCGCCUCACGAUCGCACCUGCCGUCCUCGCUGUGCGACCCAACCCCUGUUCCGCCUCUGUUCAGCUUCGUUUUGGCCAUCUACGGUCCACGGUUCGGCCACCUCCGGCCACCGUGCGCCGCCACUUCGACCCGUCGGAGUCCCCUCGCCCUCCACCGGCCUUGGCUAGCUCGAAUCAGCCCCGGAUCCGCCCCUUCCAGCAGCGAUCAGAGAAGUCAGAAAAUGGGUUUCCAGCACUGUUCAAGGUCGUUUUGGGUCGUUUCCCGGCCCCGAACUCGAGGCCCGCUUUGGGAACAAUCGUUCCUCGCGUCGCCGCCGUCGGAUUGAUCCGAUUUGCGCGCGAUUUGGUGAGUAAUCUCACUAAUCCUGGAUUAGUUGGCUAAUUAUGCUUUAGGUUGGUUUAGUUUUAAUUAAUUAUGUUUAGGUUGUUAGAUUAGAUGUAAUUAGCAAUUAUUAGUCAAUUGUGAUGCGAUUUAGAUAAAUUGAUUGUGCAAUUAACAAGUAGACGUGGUCUACUAUUUAUUGGGAGUGUCUCGGGAAUUUUCGAACCCCUAAUUGAGCUUCAAUUUGAUGAUUCGGGCCUAAGUGGGAUUUUUGGCAUUUAAAUAUUAAUUUUCGGAAUUAAAUUAAAUAAUUAUUUAUUUUCCGAAAAUUCAAGGGAGAUGGUCUGGAACCGGAAUAUUAUGCUGAUGAUUGUGGCGAAGUCCGUUUAUUUGAUCGGACUUUAUUUUUUUAAGCUAAAUUGAAUUUUUAAGAUUAAUCAAUUUUCGAAAUUAAUUAAAUAAUUAUUUAAUUCCUGAAAAUUCAACUGGGAUGGCCCGUGACCGGAAAAUUAUGCUGAUGACCGUGGUGAAGUCCGUUUACUUAAUUGGACCUUAUUUUGAGCUAAACAGAAUUUUUAAUAUUAAAUAAUUAAUUUUCGAAAUUAAUUAAUUAAUUAUUUAUUUUUCGGAAAUUAGGUUUGAGAUGGCCGAUGACCGGAAUUUCAUGCUGAUUGUCAUGGUGUGGUUCGUUUAUUUAUUUGAGGCUUAAUUUGUGAGAAAUUGAUUUAUUAGUGAUUUUAGGAUUUAUUCCUAAAUUGCACAAUUUUUGGUUAUUACUUGAAGAAUAACCGGGCAUCGGUUGAUAAUGCCAAUAUAUUGAAAAAGUUGCCGAGUGGGGCCGUGAUACCACUACAUAUAGCAUUGCCGAGUGGGGCCGUGAUGCCACUACAUGCCGAGUGGGGCCGUGAUGCCACUACAUGCCGAGUGGGGCCGUGAUGCCACUACAUAUAGCCUUGCCGAGUGGGGCCGUGAUGCCACUACAUAUAGCAUUGCCGAGUGGGGCCGUGAUGCCACUACAUAUGAUAUUGCCGAGUGGGGCCGUGAUGCCACUAAAUAUGAUAUUGCCGAGUGGGGCCGUGAUGCCACUAAAUCUAAGAAAGUUGCUUGGUGGGGCCAUGAUUACCACCUAUAAUUAAGUUGUGUCCUAAGGACCGUGAUUCAUAAUUGGGAUUUGAAUUGGAAUAGUUGAAAUGACCGGAAGUGGUCUUGUUGAUAUGUAAUCGACUAGGUCGAUUGAUCAUUGCUUGAUCUGAUGUUGUGAAUGGGCAGAUUGAUUGGAAAUGACCAUGAGAUGGUAUGAUUGACUUGUAAUCGACUAGGUCGAUUGAUCGAUUAUUCGAUCUGAGUGUGACUUGAUGUGAUUCAUUGCCUUGGUUGGAUGUUGUGAAUUGAAUGAUUGAAUGGAGAUGAUCAUGAAUGGUCUUCCUGGCAUAUAAUCGACUAGGUCGAUUUGAUCGAUGCUUCGAUAAGUGAUCUGAUUGCUUGGGUGCCUAUUAUGAAUUGUACUAACUCGCAGGUGGGAUAUGAGGCCAAGGUACGUCUUCUGCCCUAUGCGUGUAUAGGCAGCCUAUAGUAUAAUAGUUUACUAAUUGGGCUUAGUGGGGUAGAACUCGCUGAGACGUAGUCUCAUCCCAGUUUGGGGAAAAACAUUUCAGGACCCCGUUGAGGAGCUGAGGAGGAAUCUGAGAAGGAGAACUCGGAAAUGAAACCUGAGUAGAAGAAUUUUUGAAAGAAGAAGAUAAUCUCGAGAGGGGCCUUGAGUACGGCCCGGAUGGCUGAGAGUUUAUCUUAUUUUGAGAUUUCCUUUUUGAUGUGAAUAGUUAUGAAGUUCUCUAGUUGAUGUCAUGUACAAAAGUUUGGUUAUAAAUUUCAAUAUGAAAAAUAUGGCCCUGCUUUUCUAUCCCAUCGUUUUAUUGUCUGGGGAUUUUAAUUGCUUCCGCAUGUGCUUAUAAAUUAAAAGGGUCGGCGAUACAUUGUCCUGGGAUAUCGCAUUAUAAAAUCAACAUGAGAAGAGAAGGAUGUGUGCGUGCCUGAGGAUCGGGGCGUGACAUAUGCCUAUUAUGUUUUCCUGAAAAAUUAGAUUGAGUUUGAUGUUAGAUCUUUCUGUUUUUGUUACAUUAAGGAAACAUAGAGAAAUUAUAGCAUAGACUUAGUCUAUCGCAGUCUAUACGACAUCCCAAAACUUACGGCCAAGAGAAAUAAACCGAUCCUUGUGGUUUUGGUUUCAGCCCUAGGGAAUUCAUAUGCUUUGCUGCUGUUUUCCUUGAAAUAACCGGCUAAUUACGGUCACACCACCGAGUUACACAAAAAUAAUGGAGAUUUUUAUGAUGAUAGUUUUAUAACCCCAUAAGAGGAUACUAUAGGUCAUGGUCUUUCUAUUUGGUUUGAGUAUACAAGACCGAACAUUGCAAAGAUCUUUGUAUGCCAUUAUCCAAAAGAACCAAAAAAAAAAAGAAAAAAAGAAAAGGAUCUCUGUAAGUGUUAGAGGUUCAAUCUUCCAGUAUAUUUCUGAUUAGAGUAAUUCUUGAUUAGUUUGCAAAGGACUGAUUUAGGUUCAGGUGUGUUAUCAAUCUCGGGCUUUUGUUUUCAUUGUGGUGGGGCAGGGGUCAUAGGCUCCUCUAGUGGCCAGUUGUGCAUAGACAAGAUCUGCAACCUUAAACUGAAUAUUCUUCUAUAGUGAUUUACAGUAGAAUGUUAAAACAUAAAAAUUGGUUCUUGCUGUUGCUUUAAACAUGGACCUAUUCAUGGCCUCAUAUCUUGGUUAACCAAAAAUUCACCUAAGGGACUUCCAAGUAGUUGUAGUUAUGGUUGGAGAAAUCUAAAAGCCUCUAGAAAAUGGAUAAGUACUUUAACAAUUGUAAAUUACCUUGAGAUAUGGAGCUGCCCUGUAUCCUAGUUUGUGAUAGUUUUCUAUAAACCCUAGCCGUUACUCUCUGCUUACUUACAUCCUUCUUCAUUAAACCUUACGGUUUCUAUCUUUCGUUAAAUGCAUUAAUAGUUUCAAUCCUCGAGAACGGGAAGGGCUAGCCUAUUCCUGCCCAUGCCCAACUUGUGUCGUGCAACAUUCCCAGCGAGGCAAUUGUUUUGAGAAAAAAUUUCCUCAAAAAAAUUGCCUGAACCAAGGCAGGCCACUGCAGGGCGCAGAUUUCCCAUGCCCCAUGCCCAUCCAUAAUUUUAAAGUUAUCGGUUUUUUUUUUUAUGAAAUUAUCAACUUUAAUUUGAGUCUUACUAACUUCUUUUUCCAUUGUUUUACAAACUAGUUUUAGCUUACCGGCUUUUACGUGAAUCAUUUACUAAGUUUAUUAGAUUGCCGAUUUACAACUCCUGUACAACUUAGCAUAUUGUUUACUCCAUAUUUCAAAGUUACCAAAUCUUGUACCGAAUUACUAACUCUAAUAUGAUUUUCAUAUUAACGAAUCUCUAAUUAAGUUAAUAACUAGUUUAAGCUACCCAUUCUUAUUUGAGCUACUUAUUAGUAUUUAUUAUUUGUUUCAAAACUACCAACCUUCAUGAAAACUUUCGUUAAUAACGCAUAAACUUUUAUGUGCACUAGUUACGAACAUUAUUAGGCAACGAAAUCUGUUGUUAAAUUACCAAUCCUAAGUUGAGUUACUCACAAUUUUUUUCCAAUUAAAGUACCGACUAGUUUGCCAUUACCAAUAUUAUAAAAAGAAUGGGUAACCUAAAAUUAUUUCUAACCUAUUUGGAGAAAUGUUUGUUGGUAACUCGAAUCAGGGUUGAUAUAUAUUCCAGAAAAUGUUCCUCAUUUUCGGUUAGUAUUCUACUCCAUGUGAACGUUAAGAAAAAUGCUUUUGAGAUAGUAUUCUUGUUUCCUAUAUUCAAGGCAACUGUGAGUGAGAUCUUUUCGUUUCCGUUAACCUUCAAACUCAUCCCUAUUGCUUGAAGAGAUUAUCAAGACCAAGUUUACCGAGGACUUAAUAUUUAGCCAAACUUCUAGAGUUCUCGUUAUUAGCUGUGUGUGACAAGAAGAAACCAACCGGUGUGAAAAGUAUAAAGUGAAGUGGAGGCAUAACUAUCAAAUUAGUUCUAAAUUUAUUGUGCAUGACAUUUGAGUACUAGACAUUUUAAUUUUGUCAAUGUGGUCAUAAGUAUUUGCGUGAAAUUUUAAUAUAAUCUUUCCGCCCAAUUGCCAUAAGAAAUUACAACAUGACAUCCAUUCAUCACUGUAGUCCUAUGUGGCAUCUUGUGGACAAUUUUACUUGAAAUGACAUCUUGUAGAUUGCCAUUUCAACAAUUUUCAAUGGACAUUGACUGGAAGGAUUAUAUUGAAAUUUUGUAUAAAGGUUUAAGACUAUUAUUGAAAUUGAAAAUUUUAUGACUGAAUUGACAUUUGUACAAUAAAUUUAAGAUUGAUUUCAUAAUUUUCCCAUAAAAUGGAACAAAGGCCCACAACCUAUUCCAACACAAUGGCUAACGGCACUAGUUAGCCACAAUUUGCUGGAGUGACUUCUAGUUGAAGCCCAAUUAGACCCUUGUCACGAAAUAACAUUUUCCCAUCAUUGACUAAACCACAUAACCUUGAUAGCAUUAGCUUUCAACCAUGAAUAAAGUCCCUCCUCAUCCUCCUCUCUUGAAAACAUAUGUUUAUUUAUUUAUUUAUUUAUUUUUGGUUUUUUUGUUUUCAAAUGGCUCACAGAUUGAAAGAUCACUUUUUUGUGUUGGUUUCUUUUAAAGGAAAUUAUUUUAAACUUGAUGAUGACCUUCUACUACCAUGUAAUGUGUGCAAAUUUUAUAUAUAUAUAUUGUUUUUCAAUCUGAGAUGAUUGCAUGUUAUGCAUGUGCCAGCCUAUAUGAACUUAUGAAUCUCAUAGUCAAAGAGGUUUCAAGUCUGUUAUGGACAAGAAGGACAGAUGUGCCUGAUCAUUUGGUGGGAAUUAAAGAUCGAACGGAUGAGAUUAUGAAGCGGUUAGAUCUAGAAGCUUUUGAUGUACGGUUUAUCGUGAUUUAUGGUAUGGGGGGCAUCGGAAAGACGACACUAGCUGAGGCUGUCUUUAGACAAAUCUCCCCUCAGUUUCAGAGAUAUUGCUGCUUUCUUAAGGAUGUUCGGACUCAUGAUAUAAUAAACUUACAAAAGAAAUUGUUGUCCGACAUGUUCCAUUUGAGUUGCACAAACCUAUCCUUCAUUGAUGAAGGGGCUGACAUGAUCAAGAUGAGAUUUCAUGACAAGAAAGUUCUCAUUGUUCUUGAUGACAUAGACAAUCGAGACCAAAUCAUGAGACUUGCCGGUGAGCCCAACUGGUUUGGCGGGGGUAGUAGAAUCAUCAUAACAACUAGGAAUAUUGAAUUCCUAGUAAAGGAAGAUGAGGAUGCCAAUGUCCUAGCCUCUAUUAGCGGACAAUCUUCAUUCUACAAUAUGCCAGAGAUGAAUUCGCAUGAUGCUUUUCAACUUUUUUGUGAGCGUGCCUUGGGAUGUGCCGAGCCUCCAACUGAUUACAUGGAUAUUGCAAAUAAGCUAAUCAAUACACUUGGAGGACUUCCGUUGGCUCUCGACGUUGUAGGUUCCACACUUCGCGGAAAAUGCCGAAGAACAUGGGAAGAUGCCCUAUGUAAGUUAAAGAAGGUGAUGAAUGAGGAUGUCAAGAAGAAGCUAAUGAUAAGCUAUGAAGCAUUGGAGCUUAAUCAACAACAAAUUUAUCUUGAUAUCGCAUGUUUCUGCUUCAACACAGAGAAAACAACUGCAGUUAAAUAUUGGGAUGCGAUUUUUGGGUAUCCGACUGAAAGUGAGGUCAAUAUCCUCCAACGUAUGUCUCUAAUAAAAAUAUCGAUUGAUAACAAACUAUGGAUGCACGAACAACUUAGAGACCUUGGAAGGAGUAUCGUCCAUCCAGAAAGUGGUGAAAUCCAUAUGAAGGGUAGCAGAUUGUGGUCUCCCGAGGAUGCCUUCAGUGUAAUGCAGACAGAAACGGUAAUCUUGACCUCUAAAUGUUUUCCAGUGCAUCCAUUAGUGUCACCACAUUUUUUUCUAAUUUCAAGUCAAAGUGUCAUGUGUACUCAUUGGUCGCUACUUUUGUUUUCCAGGGAACCAAAGACAUAGUGGCACUCAAUCUUGGUACACCUAGCCUGAAUAAGACGUACAGAUUUAAGCACAAGCAAUUUAUGGGCUUGGUAAACCUUAGGUUCCUUCAAUUGGACCAUGGAAAUUUUGAAGGAGAUUUUAAGAAUGUUUUCUUUAAUCUGAGAUGGCUCUCUUGGAGCAAUUGCCCUUCAAAAUUCCGAGCUAGCAACUUUGGGUUGAUGAACUUAACGAUUCUCAUGUUAUCUGGGAAUAACGUUACUGAAGAUUGGGGAGGAUGGUGUCAAAUCAUGGUAUGGUCUCAUGACAUCCUUUUGCAUUAUAUUUACUCUUCCUCUUUUCCAAGUGUUUACUCAAUUGCUUUAUAGGUAGCAAAACAAUUGAAAAUCCUAUAGCUCGAGGACUGUCCAUUCCUUAGAAAGAUGCCCAAAUUUACCACAAUCUCACAGCUGGAGAAAUUGAUUCUUAGAUGCGUUCGACUAAGAAAAAUUGACAAGUCCAUCGGCAAUCUACAACAUCUUGAUUACCUAGAGAUAAAGAGUAAAGCUAUUGAGUCACCACCGGAGUCCAUCCGCGGUCUAAAAUCUUUGACAGUGCUAAGAAUAGAUCGGACACCCUCAAUGAAGCCUCACUCGAUUGGCAAUUUAGCAAAGGUGAAGUCUCUAAUCUUGCCAUACAAGGAACUUCAAAAGCUUCCUGACUCUAUCGGACAAUUGGACUCAUUACUUGAGCUAGAUGUUCGAUAUCUAAAAAUCAGUGAACUACCUCAUUCUAUUGGAAAUCUUCAAAGGUUGAAAGUUUUAUGCAUUCGGAAUUCCUAUCUAGAAAAGCUACCAGACUCGAUUGGGAGGUUGCAAUCAUUGGUCGAGUUGGAUCUGAGCCAUUCAAGAAUCGAGAGCCUACCUGAUUGUAUUGGAAAUCUAAAAAAGUUGAAGGUACUAAAUCUCAAUCAUAGUUGCAUAAGUGAACUUCCAAAAACCAUAGGAAUGUUGGAAAAUCUGGAAAAUUUAUCUGCUUGCUCUGAACAUCUGGUGGGGGAAAUUCCAAGUGAAAUCGGGGCAUUAUCCUCAUUGAAAUAUAUAUACUUAUCCAAAGGUUGCUUUAGUGGAUUGCCCACAACGAUCAAUCAGCUUACGAAUCUCCAAACACUUUUGUUAAUGUCCUGUGAUUCAAUCCAACAAUUGCCAGAGCUUCCCAAGAGUCUAAUUUCUUUACGUGUUAUAUCGAAUUCGCUGACCACGAUCCCUGACUGCUCAAACCUAACCAAUUUAGUUAUCCUUUAUAUAACUGGAUAUUCAAUUGAAGAACCUAACAUAGAGUGGAUCGUGAGACUACGUGCUUUGAAAGAAAUGGCCCUCUGCAUUGGAAAAGUGGCCUUGCCUCCAACCGAUUUCAGUUCCCUCUCUCAGCUACAAAGGCUCAAGAUAAGUUGUGUCAAGCCGCAAUCUCUUAUCAGGCUCCCAUCCAGCCUUCGAUUUUUGUCGUUAGACGAUGUCCAGUCACCGAUAGAUUGGUCAGUCUUUUCCAACUUGGAGAAUUUGUCGUCGUUGGACUUUCGUGGAUAUUCACUGAAAGAGAUUCAAUUCGAGGUGCUUGGAGAGCUACGGAAAUUAAAUACAUUGGGUAUGUCCUAUUGUCCCUUGCUAAUUGAGAUUCAGGGCUUGGGAGAAUUGAAAUCAUUGCAGAACUUGUCUAUUGCGUGUUGUAAUUCAAUCAAAAGGUUAAACGGAUCUGAUCUUUCUAAUUUAGAGAAUCUGAAACGUUUGACUUUUUGGGGAUGUGAAUCAUUGGAGAGGGUGCUGGAUGUGCCAAAAUCUUGUCAACUCGAGGUUAGAGAUUCCCGAGGUUCAAUAGAGAUGGAUAAGAUGUGUAUCAUUUGAUUGGCAAAGAUAGUCGAUGAUGGUAAGUCCAUAGAACUAGAGUUCGUUUUUUGUUGUGUUCUGUUUUGUGAGUUUUCCUUCAGCUAACCUUUCAUCUUGGUUCUGUAACCACCUCUUGCAUUCAUUCAUCCUAUUGUCUCUGAGGGAAAAUCCUCUUUCAUGUAUCAUAAACAUGUGAUACUUUGACUUGCCUACUUGACGAUGGUGAUACCUAGCUGGUUUAUGUUGUGCACUAGCAUAACAUUGGGAUUGACAUGCUUCGUGGCACCUGUUUUGCUUAGAAAAAAUGGAUAAAGUGGGAGGGAACUUUUAGAUAGUAAGCACACUAAAGAUGGUGACAAAUGCUAGGUUUGUUGUAAGGCUGAGUUGGUUGAGACUUGAGAGUACUGGUCUCACCUUGGAGUGCUUUUAAUAUCAGUAGAGAACAAUCAUGAUUUGUGAGGACUGAAAUAAAGGAAUUAAUGCUUGGGUAGUGGAAGAGUGAAUCGUUGAUACCUAUUAUGCAAUAUGAGUGAUUUAGUUAUUUCCUUCAUGAAGAAUUGGAGGUGUUUUUCUGGUUACUUUUGAACCGAAGUACAGAAGCUUCAAGUGUUGAGUCACGGUGUGAUUUGUGAACUAUCUUUCUUCAUUCUAGUAUUUAGCCAUUCAUGCGUGAAAUUCGUGCUGGGAGAUAAUUGAUAUUGGAGUAAACUCGUCGAUAUGGUCAAGUCAUCAUUUCAUUGAAGAGUAGGUUUAGCUGCAUCAAAUUGUGCAUUAUGCAAUUUCUGGUGUUAGGAAAGAGCACCUUUGUGUUGUUGAAGACUAGGUUUUGUUUAUUCUUUCAGCUGACUUAUUGCACCUUUCCUCAUGUCUCUCUCCCUCUUUCUGUGCUAAUAAUGUGGUUUGUUAACUUGUUAAAUAAACCUGUUUGAUCUUUGUGUCGAUCAUUUUUACAUUUACUGAUAAAACGUUUUUGCACAAGCUCCUCAAGACCAUGGUGAAAUGUUCUUUACAUGGACGUCUAGGCUUUGGCAAGACAUAUUGUUGGUGCUACAACAACGACUUGUUCUCUUCAAUCCAUAUCAGAGAAAGGGUGAGCUGUGGCCAAGUACAUUGGUACUUUUUAGCUAGUUGUAAAAGGCUUCUUAUCAACUACACGGAUGUUUAUUGAGUUCCAUUAUGCAAUCUUCUAUUGAACUUUGUUAUUUCCAUACAUUUCACAAUUUUGUGCUUUCUUCUUUUGGUUUUGCAUGCAUUUAAUAGAGGUCCCUUUGUCUCGGCCAAGCCACCAUCUCUCUCUCUCUCUCUCUCCGUGUUUCCUCUUCGAAGCAAUUAUUUUGUCAAUCUGAAUGGCUUUUUCACUAAUGAAGGAAGGCUGUAUGUAACUUAUAGGCAAACGCAGCGAAAGUGAGAGAUCUCUCUCCGUUGCUUUAUCAAGUUGCUACGAGGAUCAGACUCAGACUUCCCAAGUCAGCAGCUGUGAUGGCGAUCCGUCUCUCCAUCGUCCUUCCAGAAUGAAGAGAAAGAGGGAGGAAAAAGAGACAGCGACAGCAACUGGGACAGGCAGCAGCCGUGAUGGCGGAUCGGGGAGAGGUUCUGUAGGGCUUUUGCUUCCGCUAGGCGCGUCUGGUUGUUUCAGUGAGUAGCAUUGCGUUGGAUUGACUUUUUCGAUGCUCUGUGGAAAUUGUCCUGAAUGAGCAGGCUGAAGGUGCUGGUGAAGGAGAUGUUUGUUGAAAUUUUGGAUUUUUUUUUCUUUUUGGGGGCCUUAAGAGUGCUUGUGGUGAUUGGCGGGAUGAUGCUUGCAGGCUGCAGCAAUACAAGCUGGUCGAGAUGAAACUCCUAGCUCAAUAGAGGGAUCUUCAGGUGUGAUGUUGUAUUCUGCUCUGUCAGUUUGGCGUAAUCGCUGGCUUUCUCUAAUUCGUAUUUUUGCUGGCAAAGGUUUCCUGACUUCAUCGUUGUGUAUAAUUUCUCAUCGACUGAUUCUUUUGUAUCGUUAUAUCUGCUAUUGAAUUCGCUGUUGAGUUACAUUUUGUUGUUCAUUUUCUUCAUGUGAUCACAAACAAAGACCCAUAUUCAAAUGUACUGUUGAAUACCAUAGACACUAUCCCUCCUGUCGGCCCUUGUGCUAGCACUAGACCUUGUUUUUCUUCUUUUUCUUUGGCCUUUUCAAUAUAGCGUAACCAACGCUGUGUUGAAAUGUUAUGCAAUGGUUAACAUGGAGGUGGUUGUACGUGCGUGUGUGGGUAGAACUUUUCUCAUGAACUUUGAAGCAUUUGAGUGGGCAACUUUUUUCUUGAUUCUUGGGAGGUAAAGACACGAUUAGGGAUAUUGAUACCAAAGCUUUAAUCACAAUGAAUAUUUAGUUUCAGGAAAAAGAAAUGUACUAGGUUGGGACGUACAAGUAACACAAGAAGCUUGUCGGUUCUGAGUUCUGUCUUUCGUAGUGUGUUGUUUAUUCGGUAACUUACAUUUUUUGUUAAUGGAAUAGGCAUAUCCUCAAUUGAAGGUUGCUACACUAGCUCGUAGUUUUCUUUUUCCUUAUUUCCUUUUUCUAGUUUCUGUUUCUAGUUCAACAAUCUCUCAUCCUUUUCCCCUGAAAAAGGAUGAGAGAUUGGCUUACUGUUGCAAUUAUUGUUGAUCUAAUCUAGAAUAGAAAGUUAAAACAAAUCCAGAUGGUCAGCACCUCUUUGAUGUCUCACAAUGAAUUUUUCUUUACAUUGACUUGAAAGAUCCAAUUGCACUUGGUUCUUUGUUCCCAUUAUAACCAUUGGUGAACUGGGAACCUGAGCACUUUGUAAGUAUGUUAAUUAGUUUACUUUGUCAGCGAGAUACUUUUUCAUUUGCUUUUUAAUGGGUCGUUAAUUCAAUGUCUAUGUUAAAUACCAGGCAAAAAUUCCUGAUAUUGAGAAGUGUUUAGACAUAGUCGCCACUCUACAGGCCAUGAAGGGUUCUGGUAAGGUUCGUUGUCUCAUGCAACUCAUACUUCUGACUACGUGAACAAGAUUUUGGGUGAAUUUCCAUUUAUUUCCACAAGUUGAUAGGGAAGUGGUGAUUAUUUGCAUUUUAACAAGAAGCUGUGGAUUUCGGUAAUUUAAUUGAUCGGUGCCCAAUUGAUUGACGACCUUGUGUUGAAAUUGCGAGGCUUUGAAUCUUGAAAUGAUUGCAGUUACUUACCUCUGAGCAAAUUGGAUCAAGAUGGUCACAUGUAAUUAGAAUGAGAAAGAGACUCUCCUUCUAAAAUGCUUGCUUGGCCCAUUUAUCGAAAUGAAGAAUGUCGAUGCACAUCACUAAAUAGUAAGCCUUGUUUAUGCUCUCCGCGUUAGGAAAUUUUCUCAUUUAAAGGUACUGGGAACGUGCUGAUUAGGUGUUGCAUCUUGCAUGUUAUACCUUACAAAUCUUCCCUCUACUUUAUCACAUAAAAUGGUUUGUCAUUAAAAAAAAGUUUGUAUUAUUUCUCAUGUCGUGCAUUAGAGGCUUUCAAUUGCUUAUCUUAAAAUGAGUAGGAAUUAUCUGCAUUUAGGUUCUAUUUAAAAAGGAAUCACUUCAGCGGAUCUUUCUUGUCCUUUGAGAAAGCGCAAUAAUAUAGGAAGAGAUAUUGUUUUGCAUGUUAUUCCAAUUCAGAGCCUGGUUAAUGGUAUUGCGAAAAAUGACAAAAGAUAGGUGGAGAUGUAUCUAAUUCUGGAGUUCUUUUCUUUUUCUUUUUUAAACUGUUUCACAUCGGUUGUUAUUCUUUUUUUGCUGAACCCUUAAUGAAGCUCAGAGCUGGUAUUAGGGUCUUAUGUAUAGAACAAAAUAAACAAUUCAUUUUUUUCAUCUGUCCCUUGAUUUAUAUAGGAGAAUGCUUUCUUGCUGAUUGAAUAUUCUUCAGAAAGCAAUAGUUAUCGAGCAAACCUCUUAGUAGAGUUAUUUGCAUGAGAGUGAAUCUAACAAACUUGGGGUAAGAAGUUAGUCUUAGAAAUUGUUAACCUCAUGUGAAGUUUAAAGCCAUCCUUUUCCUCCUUAAUGCGAAAUUUAAAGGGUCUCUUAUUUCUAUCUCUUGACUAAGAAAAAGGCUAAGAUUUGGAUUGGGUAUGAUUCAAUUCCAUGGUCGCUACAUCUUAUCUGCAUCUUUUAUGGCAUAUCCAUGUCCAAAGGAGAUCUAGUCUGAGGGCAACAUAUUGGUGGGUGAUCUGAGGAUUCUCAUUGACUUUGCCAUAGCUAGUAUUUGUUUUUAUGCACCCUUCUUCUUGUUUUUGGUUUCUUUUUGCAUGUUGGCUAUUUGGAAACCCUCCCAAGGCAAUCACACGUAAAAAACCUCUGAUGCCGAAUAGUUCCAUAAGGUUUUCAUCUAAGCAGCUAAUGCCCCCUCACCUUCUUUGGACAAAGUCCUUCCCUGUCUCUUUGUUACCAGCUAUCUCGUGUAAGAGAACUUAAAAUUUGGCCACCUCAUUCUCUACUGGUUACCAGUCUCUGCAUAAAUGGUGAAUCCUACCAAUACCUUCUGCCGUCAACAAGGUUUCCUGCUCAUGUGCUAUAACUGCCAUAUCUCUGCAGUGGACAAGAAUCUGUGAGAUUUAUCUUGCACGAUCAGUCCUUCCAAAGCAUCGACUGUGAAGUUGCCAGGAAUGUCAGCCUCUCUGCCAAGACCCAUCUCUCUCUCUCUCUCCCUCUCUCUCUCGCGUGCACGCGUGCAAUCACACAAACACAAGGACUACUAUGUGCUGUCUCCAUCUUUCUUUGCGCUGAGGUUUACUCCAUUAAAUAGGCUGACUGUUAACCUUCUGACAGUACCUAAACAAAGGUGUGUGAUAUUUCUCUCAAUAUGAAAAUCCAGGAUUUAAAAUUAUCAAUCCAGGGUAGGUCUAUCGUUGUUGAACUAUUGUUACUGUGGUUUUUGUAACGGGCUUGAGGCUAUAUAUUGGGGAGGCAUGUUAACUUGUGACAACCUAGAGGGUAGUAAUAUCGCACUUAUGUGAACUUGAAAAAAUUUGAAGGUUGUUGAAAAGGCUAGUACGAUCACUUAGAGGGGGAUGAAUAGCUGUUAAAUAAAUUUUUCAAGACUUAGUAAAAGAAAUUUGCUUCUAGACGAUACUAGACUAAGAACAUAAACAGCUUUAAACAAUUAUAUGAAGCUACGAACUAAGUAAGGAGUUUAGGAAAAGAGAAUAUAGACACAGAGUUUAUAGUGGUUCGGCUUAAAUUAAGUCUACGUCCACUCUUCCGCACUAACAGCUCACUGGCUGGAUUUCACUAUGAAUCAAAAGAGAUUUUAUAGUCUCACGUCAUUGACUUUACAGUGUAAAAACUCUACUACACUCUUCCAAAGUCUCAUAGGUGUUUGCUUCUCUCUUUUGAGUACAAAUAAAAGCUCGAUGAUUGAAAUAGCAAAGAACUGGGAAACUUCAGACUUUGAAAUUUUUCUCACACACACUCGAACAACAACUUAAGAGUUCACCUUAUAUACUUCUUCACACCUUCAUAACCGUUCGCACUUACCAAAUGAAUUCUUUCAAUGUACCCAUUGGACAUAAUCAAUCAAGGGGAUCUUUGAGUCAUUAGAUGAUUGUGAUGAAAGCCCGUUAUUCAUGUUCGCCCAUACAAUCAAGAUCUUUGUUUCCAUAAAUAGAACCUUCCAAGUUCACUCGCCUUUCAAAUGAUCUUCAUAUCGAAGUAAGUUCCAAUAAGAACAACCAAUCAAAUAAAUGCUAUAUCCAGCCAUAAGGUAUUCUCAAAAUCAUACAAAUCAAAUCCUUGAACAUAAUCUCGCAUCUGGAUAAAUCUUUAUUCUUUGGUCUAGAAACUAUCACUGAGGGAGACUUUUUAGCUAAAAUUUCGUGAUCUUCAGACUUUUAACAAAAGAGUCUGGAGUUCUUUAGAUUAUAACGUUUGAGUUUGCAAAUCUUCAGAAUAGUUUUUUGGAAAGGUUUUGUCAGCUUCAAAACAAUAAAGGAGUUUUCUCUAAUAGUUGUAGGACCGUAUUCUUUAGUUUUGCAACUUGAAUCAAGGUAGCACAAUGUGUACUUUUGGAGACUUUGUUCUCCCCAUUUCGACUAGGUGAAUGAAUUAUGUGUUGCUCUGUGAUUGCAAGUGUUAGAUGGCAAGUGAUUUCAGUUAGGUUUAGUGAGAUUUGCUGUAUCACAACAAGCUUGCCAUGUAAAACGAUUUUGAUUGAGAACCUCUUGGGCUUGAGUUUUCACUUUUUAUGUUGUGCGCUAUUUUUGAGUUGAUAUAUAUGGUCUAUCUAUUUUGUCUCGUUUCACCGUGGUCAUGCGUGCUAGAAAGAACCAAUCUAAAUUUGAAUUCGGGGAAAAACAUGGAGAGAUGUAUUUUUUGCCCAAUAAGGCAUUUGCAUUCUUGAAUUUUCAUUUCUUGUGCUGAUGAUAUGUAUUUUUCUUUUUUCUUUGCUAUUUUUAGCUGGGUCUAGGAAUUUGAUGAUUCUAACUCCUAGAUGAAUUAAAUUAGGCAAAUGCAACAACUUGGGUUGCUCCCUUUUGUAUAAUCUUUGUUUCCUAUAGUUCUAGAGAUUGAACUAGGAUUAUUAGAUGCUACACAACCAAAGAUCACUAUCAACUUUACUCCACAUCUGAUGAGAAUGGUUGUAGUUGCAAUUUUCAAGUAUUCCCAUUGUGAAAGUUGAAGUUUUGGUUCUCCAGCAACAAUUAUUAGCUUUCUUCAUCUAUUUAUGAAGAUUCCUAGAAUGAAGUCAACUAUUCAUGCUGAAAUGUCUUCAGGUGUAAUGGUGGGGAUCUAUAUGAGCAACUUAAAAGAAGUUUGCUGGGAAACUUUUUCAGGCUAACAGUCCUACUCCGCUUAGGCAUUCAAUGGCUUGAUCUACUGAGUAUUAACCAUAGUUUUUGUUUGCCGAAGUACUUAUUCCCAAUAUUCAUAAUUAGGUUAAUUAAAGUAGAUAAUUUAUUUCGUAGAUCUUGGUAAGUCAAUCAAGUGGUAGGAUAUUUGAGGGACUGAAACUUAAAAGAUUCGUGACUUCCUCUAUAUUUUGGGACUAAAACUGAAAAACUCCGUGACUUCCUCUAUAUUCUUGAGUGUGCUUCCCACAUACUUCAUGCUAUUUGAUCACUUAAUAAUAAGUGCCAAACCGACCAGUUUUCAUGGCUCUUUAUUGUGGAUGCAGGCACUGCUUGCUGAUUUUGAAGUCUCUGAAGGCAUAUAUUUAAGAGCUCACAUUGAACAUAUUGAUUUGAUUUGUUUAUGGCUGGGAGCAAAUGUUAUGUUGGAGUAUUCAUGCGAAGAGGUACUCGAGUUGAAGCAAUGUCCCUUUAUCUCCAAUAAUGAGGUCAAGUAUCUUAUUUAUUGCAUUAAUUCAUGUUUCAGGCCACAACUCUUCUACAAAAGAACCUAGAAAAUGCUAAAGCAAGUUUAGAAGUUCUUGUUGCUGAUCUACAAUUCUUAAGGGACCAAGUAACGAUCACGCAGGUAAGUCGGAAUUUUUUGGGAACUUGGAGGUCCCUGUUUGUUUCAAGCUGUUUACCAUGUCAGGUUAGGGUAGGUCUAUUGUUGUUGAACUAUUGUUGUUGUGGUUUUUGUAAUGGGCUUGAGGCUAUAUAUUGGGGAGGCAUGUUAACUUUUGGCAACCUGAAGGGUAGUAAUAUCGCACUUAUGUGAUCUUGAAAAAAUUUGAAGGUUGUUGUAGGACUGUAUUCUUUAGUUUUGCAGCUUGAAUCAAGGUAGCACAAUGUGUACUUCUGGAGACUUUGUUCUCCCCGAUUCGACUAGAUGAAUGAAUUAUGUGUUGCUCUGUGAUCGCAAGCGUUAGAUGACAAGUGAUUUCAGUUAGGUUAAGUGAGAUUGACUGCUUACAACAAGAUUGCCAUGUAAAACGAUUUUGAUUGGGAACCUAUUGGGCUUGAGUUUUCACUUUUUAUUUUGUGCGCUAGUUUUGAGUUGAUAUACGGUCUAUCUGUUUUGUCUUGUUUAGCUUGGUCAUACGUGUUAGAAAGAACUAAUCUAAAUUUGAAUUCGGGAAAAAACAUGGAGAGAUGUAUUUUCUGCUAGAUGAGGCAUUUACAUUCUUGAAUUCUUAUUUUUUGUGCUGAUGAUAUGUAUUUUUAUUUUUCCGUUGCCGAUUUUAGUUGGGUUUGGGAAUUUGAUGAUUUUGACUCCUAGAUGAAUUAAAUUAGGCAAAUGCAACAACUUGAGUUGCUCCCUUUUGUAUAAUCUUUGUUUCCUGUAGUUCCAGAGAUAUAAAUGGGAUUAUCUGAUGCUACACAAUCAAAGAUCACUAUCAACUUUACUCCACAUCUGAUGUGAAUGGUUGUAGUUGCAAUUUUCAAGUAUUCCCAUACUCCCAUACUUGAAGUUCUGGUUCUCUAGCAAUAAUUAUUAGCUUUCUUCAUCUAUUUAUGAAGAUUCUUGGAAUGCAGUCAACUAUUCAUGCUAAAAUGUCUUCAGGUGUAAAGGUGGGGAUCUAUAUGAGCAACUUAAAGUCGUUUGCUGGGCAAACUUUUUCAGGCUAACAGUCCUAUUCCGCUUAGGCAUCCAGGCUCUACAGAAUCUUCACUGAGAUGUUGGGAUUACCUGAGAUUGUGGGUCUUAACUACCUACCAUUGUUUCCUUGAUGCAUUCUUGUGAGUGAGCUAAAUUAUGCAUGGAUUUUGUUCAAGAAAGCUUAUAUAUAUAUAUAUAAUUCUUAUAUUUGCUGAUAAAAUGUUUUUGGGCAAGCUCCUCUAAGGCCAUGGUCAAAUUUUCUUUUAAAUGGACAUCUGGGCUUUGGCAAGUCACAUUGUUGGUGCUGCAGCAGCAGCUUGUUCUCUUCAAUCCAUAUCAGUGAAAGGCUGAGCUGUUGAAUAAAUACAUUGGUACUGCUGAGCAAGUUAUAAGAGGCUUCUUUUCAACUACACUGAUGCUGAUUGAAUUCCAUUGUGCAAUCUUGCAUUAUACUUUGUUAUUUUCGGACAUUUCACAUUUUGUGCUUUCUUCUGUUGCUUUUGCAUGCAUUUAAUAGUCUCUUUGGGUAUGCUAGCAGUCGAAAUAGGAUAACCAGCAACAGCAAUGAGGAUCCUCCCAUAGCCACUAAAGAGGCCGAGUUUAAACGGUUGAUGAGUUUCUAAUGCAUGAAUGAGAGGACCGUCUAUGGCCAUUUGAUUAAGAGAAAGAUUAAAGAAGUAAAAUAUUUGAAGAUUUUCUCUACUAAAAAUUUGGAAUUGGUGAUUAAAUGUCUACUGGAUUUCCUAUUUUGCACAUUUAUGGCAUUGAUUUUGUCACCAAAAGAGAGAAAUUUUGAAUAUUUGAGAGUAACGGCAGUUAGAAAAUACAGGUUCUGGAUAUAUUCUCAAAGGCAGCAGCUUCAGUUCCUUGCCUUCUCUUUUUCGAUGAAAUUAAUUCCAUUGCUCCAAAGAGGGAUAAUAAGGGGUUCACUGACCAUGUCAUCAAUCAAGUCAGUUUCUUGCAUUCAUAGCACUUAUAAGGUGGUCAAGUGAAAUAUAUUCGAUGGUAUGACUCACUAAUGGUUUGUUAUUCAUUGGUGCAGUUUUUUACUAUAUUAGAUGGUGUUGAAGUUUUAACUGGUCCAUUGCUGUUUGCGCAAACAAGAUAAUGAUUUCAUCUUACAUGGCAACAAAAAGUACACUUUUCCAAUAGCACACUAACUGUAAACUACUAUUUGAGGUUGCACAGCCAUUAUGAAUGCUUUGACAAACAUUUUCUACCAAGCAUUUAGUAUGGAGACUAUGUUAUUAACCUUUAAGGCAGACUAUAAAAUGCUAGACUUGACUUUUACUUGAUUUAGAACUGUUUAACUUUGGAUAUCCAAGAAGGUGACAACAGAUGGGAUUGCAUAAAUUUUCAGUUGCUGAAGUAGCAUGCAAGAAGUGUAUUAAGCUAGAUUGUGCCUCUACAACAGCAUCAAUAUUCUGAUAGUCUUGUGACAUUGAGCAUAGGGCGAUUUCUCAUAUUUGUCAUUACAUCUUUGUGGCAUGAGGUGGUCUUUUAUUUUCCUUUAGGAGUCAUGAGUUCAUCUAUCUCUUAAUAACUCCAAUUCACUUUCCUUUCUUGAGAUCCUGUUUUUUUAUUUUAUAGUUGUCCAAUUAUGUGCUUUUAGUUCUAAUCUAGUGUUACUAAGUCCCUAUAUCUAAAGUCUCUGGUUCGUAGGAGUAAAAUAAUUUUCCCAUUAUUUUACUCAGGUAUCUAAUCGACCUAUCAUAAACUAAUUAGUGGCGACGCUUAGAUAAAAUCUAUUUGCAUGAUAAAAAUUUGAACCUAAGUCACAAAUUAGUAUGGGCUUGGCAGAGCUUGAACUAAGUUUAAAACUUAGCAAUCCAUUAGCCUAAACCUUAGGUGGUGCACUCGAAAUUUAGGUCGCGACAACUUGGUAAUUUCACUAAGAACUCGUGUUAAAACAUUUAGUGGACUUAGGCUGAUUUUUCUUUUAAAAAUGUUUUUGUUUGGUAGGGAGAAUACCGGGUACGCCCCCUAAUAUCAAGUGUUAAAUGUUCUUGUAAAUGGGAGGUAUAAGGGGAGUAGUCUUUGCUAACCUUUAUCUUGUAGGUUGGAGUUAGGGAUGGAUGUUUUGAAUUCAAACUAUUGAAGUGUUGUUUGAAUUAAAUUGUUGUGCAUGUUUUAUUGCUUUUAGCACACACUAUUGCACACACAACUUGCCGUCGAACUGGGCUGUGAUAAGGCAAGAAUGUUCUUGAAUUCUUAUUUGUUGUGUCGAUGACACAUCUUUUUCUGAAUCCUUUGCCGUUUUGAGCUGGGUUUGGGAAUUUGAUGACUCCUACUCAUCGAUGAAUUCAAUGAGGCAAAUGCAAUAACCUGGGUUGCUCACUUUUUAAUCAUCUUUGUUACCUGUAGUUCCAGAGAUUGAGCAAUGAUUAUCUGAUGUUGCACAAUCAAAGAUUAUUGUAAGCUUUACUCCACAUUUGAUGCCCAUGAUUAUAGUUACAAUUUUCUAGUAUUCCCAUUCUUAAAGUUAAAAUUAUUGCUUCCCUAGCAAUAGCUAUAAGCUUUCUUCAUCUAAUUCUGCAGAGUCCAAAAAAUGCAAUAAACUAUUCAUGCUAAAAUGUCUUCAGGUGUAAUGGCUGGGGAUCUAUAUGAAGUUGCUAACUGGGAAAAAAAUUUCUAACUAAUGGUCCUAUUUUGCUUAGGCAUUCAAUGGCUUAAUCUACUAAGUAUUAACCUUAGCUUUCAUUUAUUGAAGUACUUAUUUUUUGUACUCAUGAUUAGCUUAAUCAAAGUACAUUUAUUUCAUAGAUCUUGAUUAAGUCAAUCAAGUAGUAAACGUGUUUGGAAACUAAAACUUGAAAGAUUCGCAACUUCGUUUCAUAUUCUUGAGUGUGCUUCCCAAGUACUUCAUGCUGUCUGAUCACUUAAUUCACUUUAUCUUGCUAGAUAAGGGAUUUGUUAUGUUGUUAAAAAAUGGAGUUGUUCCUCAUACUCAAAAUGUGCAAGAAUCCUAUUAUUAUUUUAUGAGUGUCUUUCUUGAUCGAGUAUCUAGACAAGCAAUACUUAUCUAUGUAGUAGAUUCCCAAGUGUCUAUUCUCCAUUAAGUGUUUUACUUUUCAUGUAACAUCAAAGGCAUCUUUUGAUGAUAAGUUGUCUAAACCUUCUUUUGUAGAUGUAUCAAGUGAAGGGAGCUAGUCGUCAUGUUUUGCAAAAUCUUCAAUGAGAUGAUGGGUUUACCUGAGAUUGUGGGGCUUGUCACGACCUCUUUUUUCCGUCCGGGGAAAAGGAAGAGAGGUUUAGGGGUAUUUGCCUAAAGAAGCGGACCAAUGGCCUUAAAUUAGGCGCGGGCUCUCCCAAGCCUAUACCUCGCGUGACGUUGGAUUUCAUAUUUCAAUUAUUAAUAAACUAAAUAUUUCUAGGAGUCGCCACUAGCCUAUUGGGGUCGGCUAGAAACCAAUCGAGACACGGGAGUGGUGUCUCGAUUCCUACGCAACUAGAGAUUUCUAGGAACGGGGACUUGUUUACGCCAAUGUUUCUAUUAGCGCCCUUGCGGUACCACUAACUUGGAAAGUUAUUUAUCUAAAUGGCCACACAUUCUUGAUUACUAAUUAUAAUCUUUAUGAAACCACUAAGUGUCCAUGCAAAUGUUUUUGCAGUUUUUUUUUUUUUUAAUGUCUAGACUAAUCCUAACAUAAUUUAGAAGAGAAAUUUACACUCAAAUUAAUGAAAAGCGGCGCGAAAGUAAACAUUUAAGAAAUUGAAAUAACUUGAAAAUAAACGCGGAAAAGAUAAACCCGAUACAAGUCGAGCAAAUAAUAUUACAUGGCCUUGUUAUCACGCCCCGGGACAGGACCCCCAUGAGCAAAAUGAGAAUUCAAAUAUGCAUGAAAUUACUUUAAAUAGUUUUAAUCUACGCAAAAUGGAUUAUUUACAAAAAUGGUUAUAAAAUACCAAAAUAGCAUUAAAUUAGGAAAAUGACCUUUUAAAAUUAGGAAAAUUUCAUAUAUGUCAUUUAUAUCCUAAUUUGAUGAUAUCUAACAUUUUUUGAUAUUUUUGAAAUUUUCAUAUUUUUCUCUUUUUUCAUUAUUUUAAAAAAUAAUAAUAAUAAUAAUUCCUUAAACCGAUCUAUGCUAACAUGGAGUAACACAGCACAUGAAUAUCACAAUAAUCAAGCUCAAAUCGACCGUUUCAAGAUCGAAGCUUAGUUUGGGCAUUUUGUCGAACACUUGGUGUGCAUUAAACUAGCCCCAAUAGCCUCCUCGGGCCAUGUUUGCAGCCUUCAAUAUCCACUCAUAAGCAAUCUCAUGUGGAGAUAAAGUAUUAAGAUCAUACUACCACAUGCAAAGAACAAGAUUAGAUAGAAAUCAUAGCUAAAAACACACUAGAACCAAGCUAAAAUCAUCUUCAAAUACUCGGGUUUGAACUGAUUUUGCAAAUCUGGGUUUGAACCCAAGUCAAACAAACAGGUUACAUGCCCAUAUUCAAGCCCCGACACUCAUCGCAUACGAGAUCUAAAGGAAACAUUACUUGAUCCGAGUGAAAGUAGGUAAUAUGAGCUUUCAAAUGCAAUAAACAUUACAGAGAAUGACCCACCAAACAACAUCAAAACAACUUCUCCAAGAAGCACACAUGCAACACUCUUGAAGAGAUUUCAAACACUUGGAAAAAUUUCAACCUCAGAAAUCAGUUUUCCGGGCUGGUUUCCCUCUUGAUUUUCAUGAUAAAAAAAUGCUCAAAAUCGAAAAUACGUACAUCUAGGAUGCUUACCUUACUUCCUAGUUUCCUUUUCAAGUGGUUCUUGGCCAAGGAAACCGAGAAAUUGUCCUCUGGAAGUACGUGGAAGUUGGCUUCUUCAACUGGAAAUGAGAUCUGCAGAAAAGAAGAACUAACAACGAAGGUUUUCUUUGACCUCUAAAAUUAGACUUUGAGACGUUUUUUGUUAGAAAAAUUGACACCCAAACAAACUAUAUGUAUUUUAGUUUGGGGUAAAAGUCAAUAUUUUCCUCAUUUGUUUCUCAAAGUUCUCAAAAAAACUUCCUUUUCUCCACUCGUGACCAACUGGGCUCAACACUUAGAAAGAAUUUCAGUGUUUCCUGGCCCGCCUGGAGGGUGUUUUUCGGGGGGCUUUAGGAGGCCUUCCCGAUCUCCAUUUUGGACGUGCGACCUAUGGAUGAAAAUAUAUUUGAGUGAAGUUUCACUCUCUAGUUGAAGGUUUUGGCAAAUUUUGGCCGAAGGGUUGUGCAAAUCUCACUUUUCUCUCAGAAGGUUGAUCUGGAAUUUCUGGGUUUGCUUUUCUGGAGUUGCUUCUGAGGGCCUCUUUGGGUGACGAUUCCGAGCUCUCCCCUCUCCCUCUUGUCUCCUCUCUCUCCUCCCUCGAAAGACCUUGCUUCCGUGAUCUUAUCCCCUGAAUUAGAGGAUUUUUGGUCAGCCUUUUGUCCAAUUUUUUUCAAUUCUGCAGCUGUUGAGUGUGCAGGUUUUGCUGCGAUUUUCCGGUGUUUUCAGCAGCUUAUCCCUGGCGAAUUUUUGUCCAAUUUCAGUACCAAUGAUGGUCUUCCAUCACGUGCAGAGAUCGGGCUGGUUGGGCAGGUGAGGAGGAUAUGGUGGGGCCACUAAUAUGCCUACUUAGCAGCUCCGAAUUAAGACCUAAUUGUGGGCUGGGUUUUGGUAACUAGUUUGAGUGUUUUAAUCCAUCAAUUUGGCUGCGGUUUUUUAUCAAUUAGCAAGUAAAUGUAUAGUAGUUUAAGAUCUCAACCAAAUUUUGCAAUUGUGCCCACCCAAUUUUGCAAGAAAGUCCCUCAAACUUAGCCAUUUUCUUAUCCGAAAAUACCCAAUUCAAGGCAAAUUUGGUCUUUUUGGCUCGAUUUGAUUGAUUCAAGUUGGUCCAAAUUCAAUUUCAACUUAAUUGGUGACCAAGAUGAUGAUUUACAGGCUCGGGCGCAAAUUUUGCAAAAUUUGCGAAUUGGUCCCUCAACUUUUUUGGAAAUUGCAUUUUGGCCCCAACUUGCCAUUUGAAUUCCAAUCUGACCUUCUGGGCUUGGCUAGUCACAUUUAGAUCAUUGGCCCCAACUUUUUUUCUUUUUUUUUUUAUAUUUUCAAUUUUCUUUUAAAGUAAAAACAUAUUCCAUUUAAAACACUAUAUUAAAUGCCUAAAUAAUCUUAUGCAAGAAUUUAACAUGAAAUAUUUUUGGGCAAAAAUUUAGGUGUCAACAGGGCUUAACUACCUAUUAUUGUUUCCCUUAUGCAUCCUGUAUUCUUGUGAGUGAGGUAGAUUAUGCGUGGAUUUUGUUCAAGAAAGCUUGUAUAAUUGCAUUGCUUGUGUCUGAGCUAGAGCUAUUGUUUAUUCUUUAUGGUGACUCAUAACACCUUUCCUCAUCUUGCUCUCCUUUUAUUUCUCUCUAAAAUGUGGUUAUUGUUAACUUGUUAAAUAAACCUAUUUCUUCUUCAUGUCUUAUCAUUUUUACAUUUGUUGAUGUAAAAUGUUUUUGUGCCAAGCUCCUAUAAGGAAUGGUUAAAUGUUCAUUUACAUGGAUGUCUAGGCUUUGGCAAGACACACAUUGUUGGUUCUGCAGUAGUAGCUUGUUCUCUUCAAUCCAUAUAAGUGAAAGUGCUGAGACGUUCAAUAAGUACACCGGUACUUUUGAGCAAGUUGUAAGAGGCUUCUUUUCAACUUCACCAAUGUUGAUUGAAUUCCAUUGUGCAAUCUUGUAUUAAACUUUGAUAUUCCAAACAUUUCACAAUUUUGUGCUUUCUUUUGUUGCUUUUGUAUGCAUUUAAUAGAGGUCCCUUGAUAUAUGCUAGCAGUCGAAAUCGGAUAACUAGCAGUAGCAAUAAGGAUGUUCCCACUGCAGCCAAGGUGUUCUAACUAAAUUAGUCAACAACAACUCCCAUAACCAUUGAAGUGGACAAAUUAAAAUGGUUGAUGAGUUUCCUCAUGCAUGAAUGAGAGGAUCCUCCAUGACCAUUUGGUUAAGAGAGAGAUUAUGAUAUAAAAUAUUUGAAGCUUCUCUCUAUUUGAAAUUGGUGACUAAGGGCGCAAAUGAUAACCAUUCUGGCAAAAAAUUGAUUUCUGUAAUAGAAAUAGAUUUUUCUAUUUCUAUUUCUAGAUGAGUUUCUAAGCAAAAAUACUUGUUUGAUAACACACACAAUUUCUACUCUAAAAAUAAAAAUUCAUUUAAUAACGAUACAAAGUUUCUUCCUUUCAGAAGAUGGCAAACUGGCGACUAGCGACCAAUGAUGAUGGAUGGUGUCGGCGGUGACGGCCGGUGAUCAACGACCAGCGAAUGAUGGUUGGUAGCGAAUGGUGGUCAACGAUGACGGAUAGAGGACCAGUUCACGAAUGAUGAAAAGAAUUUUUGUUUCUUAUUUAUGUUCUAGAAAUAAAGAAGUAAAAAAAUUUUGCUUCUGAUUUUUAUUCCAGACAUAUUUCUGAAACAAAAAUCUAUUUUAGAAAUAGAAAAAUCGAAUAAUUUUAUCAAACAGAUUUCUAUCACAGAAAUAAGUCUGGAAUUAAAAAAAAAAAUGUUUUAGGAACAUAAAUCAGAGGUUGUCAUGCACCCCCUAAGUGUCUACUAGAUUUUCUAUUAUGUACAGACAUUGAUUUUGUUAGCAAAUGGAAAAAUUAUGAAUAUUUGAGAGUAAUAGCAAUUACAAAAAUACAAUUUGGAUAUAUUCUCAAAGGCAGCAGCUUGCCUUCUCUUUUUUGAUGAAUUUGAUUCCAUUGUUACAAAGAGGGGGCAUGAUAAUAUGGGGUCAGUAACCAUGUCAUCAGUCAAGUUAGUUUAUUACAUUCUAUAGCACUUAGAAGGUGGUCAUAUGAAAUCUAUUCAAUUGUGUGACUCACUACUGAUAUGUUAUUGAUUGGUGCAGUUUGUUAUUGAAUUAGAUGGUGUUGCAAUUAAAACCAGUUUGUUUGUGUUUGCCAAAACAAGGCAAGAAGUUCGUAUUAAAUGAUAACAAAAAAGUACUCUCUUCCAAUAGCACACUAAUUGUCAACUGUUAUUGGAAAUUGCACGGCUACUGUGAAUGGUUCAAUGAACAUUUUCUAUGAAGCAUUUAGUAUGGAUACCAUGUAAUAACCUUCAAGACAGACCAUAAAAUGCUAGACACGACUUUGCCUUGAUUUAGAAUUAUUUUUUGUGAUAUUAAAAUUUCCAAACUUUUUUUUUUGACAUCAAAUUUUAAGGGUGAAUACGUCGCAUGAAUACAAAUUUAGGAUUUUUGGUUUCACAAAAAAAAGUUUAAGAUAAAUAUGUUCCAUUAGAAAAAUUUGAAAUAAAUGUGUCACGUAAAUAUAAGUUUGGGAUUUCUAGUGUCAUAAAAAAAGUUUGGAGUAAAUAUGUUAUAAUAGAUAUAAUUUAGAACUUUUGGUAACUUUUAUCCUUUUUUUUUAUAAUAACAAAAACAAGCACUUAAUGGCGGGCUUAAGAUGCAACGUGAUUGCAAGUAUGGGAUAGAGACCCGAUGUUGGAUGCUUUUUAGUCUGGAGGAUCAACUUUCCAAGAUUGACUUAUUCUAACGGGUUUUCCUUUCAAUCUUGGAUGUCACAUAGGAAUUUUUAUACAAGGAACAAGCCGAGGUUGUCUCGAGAUUUAACUCAACCAUUGAGAUUGAAUUAAAACAUCCUUUGGAGAUAUGGUACUAAAAAAAGAAAUUCCCAUAUUUUGAAAUGAAAAUAGAAUCCAAUUUGUAUAGAAAGUAGCAAUAUCCAAAAUUUUAAAUUUUUAUUAUGCCUUUAUUAAAUAUUAAAUUUGACUUUAAACUUUCAGGUCGCAUUUUUUAUGUUUGAUUUGACAAAUGGUUUUACUCAAUAAUUUUAUACCUAAUGAAUAACAAACAGAGUGUUAUGAACAACCCAAAUUGUUGAAAUUAAUAAAAAUAAAAAUGAAAAUAAACAUAUCUAAGCUACAUUUAUCAAUAUAUGUCCGCGUAAAACUUGGGCAAAGUACCUAUUUUCAGUUUUACUCCUUUCUUAUCGCAAAGCACUUCAAACGCGUGGCUCCGGUAAACUGUUCUCCUGCCGUGCGGACAUGGUGUGGUUACCCCUUCUAAAUGACCAAACUGCCCUCACUUCUUGACGAAUUUCCAUAAAAAAAGUACCCGGGCUCUGAAAAAUCCACUACUCUUCCCUCAGUCUCUCCCCUCCACCAAUCGGUCACCGCAAGCCUCCUCCACCUCGCCGUCGCCGUCGACGUCGUAUCUCCUUCCCGUGCCAUCACCCCUCGUCGUCGAGCCGCCCCCGGCCAUCGCCUGCGCCGAUCGUUUCGCGUCCCGUCUCGGCCAAGCCACCAUCUCUCUCUCUCUUCCCCGUGUUUCCUCUUCGAAGCAAUUAUUUUGUCAAUCUGAAUGGCUUUUUCACUUAUGAAGGAAAGCCGCGGGUAACUUCUAGGCAAACGCAGCGAAAGUGAGAGAGAUCUCUCUCCGUUGCUUUAUCAUGUUGCUACGAGGAUCAAACUCGGACUUCCCAAGUCACCGGGCUGACCCAAUUCGGAGAUCCAUCUCUGCAUCGUCCUUCCAGAAUGAAGAGAAAGAGGGAGGAAAAAGAGACGGCGACGGCAGCUGGCACAGGCAGCAGCCGUGACGGCGGAUCGGGGAGGGGUUACGAGGUGUUCCUGAGUUUGGGGCUUUUGCUUCCGCUAGGCUGAAGGUGCUGGUGAAGGAGAUGUUUGUUGAAAUUUUGGAUUUUUUUUUUUAUUCUUUUGGGGGUCUUAAGAGAACUUGUGGUGAUUGGUGGGAUGAUGCUUGCAGGCUGCGGCAAUACAAGCUGGUCGAGAUGAAACUCCUAUCUCAACAGAGGGAUCUUCAGGUGUGAUGUUGUAUUCUGCUCUGUCAGUUUGGCGUAAUUGCUGGCUUUCUCUAAUUCGUAUUUUUGCUGGCAAAGGUUUCCUGACUUUAUCGAUGCUAGUUUGGGAUUUGUUAUUAUCGACACCCUUUUAGAUGUUUGUGUAUAAUUUCUCAUCGACUGAUUCUUUUGUAUCGUUAUAUCUGCUAUUGAAUUCGGCGUUGAGUUACAUUUCGUUGUUCAUUUUCUUCGUGUGAUCACAAACAAAGACCCGGAUUCAAAUGUUCUGCUGAAUACCAUAGACAUUAUCCCUCCUGUUGGCCCUUGUGCUAGCACCGGACCUUGUUUAUUUCUCUUCUUUUUCUUUGGUUUUUUCGGUAUAGUAUAACCAAUGCAGUGUUGAAAUGUUGCGCAAUGGUUAACAUGGAGGUGGGCGUACAUGCACGUGUGGGUAUAGAACUUUGAAGCAUUUAAGUGUGCAACUUUUUCCUUGAUUCUUAAGAGAUGUAAAGACAUGACUAGAGAUAUUGAUACCAAAGGCUUAAUCACGAUGAAUAUUUAGUUUCAGGAAAAAGAAAUGUACUGGGUUGAGACAGACAAGAAACACAACAAGAAGCUUGUCGGCUCUGAGUUCUGUCUUUUGUAGUGCAUUGUUUAUUUAGUAUCUUACAUUUUUCAUUAAUGGAAUGGGCAUGUCCUCAAUUAUGAAGAUUGCUACACUCUCUUGCAGUUUUCUUUCUCCUUAUUUCUUUUAUCUAGUUUCUGUUUUUCUAGUUCAACUCAAAACUCUUCUCAAAUUUGAGUGAGUUUUACUUUUCCCCUAAAAAAGGAUGAGAAAUUGGCUUACUGUUGCAGUUAUUGUGAUCUAAUCUAAAAUAAAAAGUUAAAACAAAUCCAGAUGGUCAGCACCUCUUGUUGUCUCGCAAUUAAUUUCUCUUUACAUUGACCUGAUAGAUCAGAGUGCCCUUGGUUUUUUGUUCCCACAGAACUUGAUGACUUUGUUAGUAUUUUUAUUGUUACUCAGUCAGCAUGAUACUUGUUCAUUUGCUUUUUACUGGGUUAUUAAUUCAAUGUCUAUAUUAAAUGCCAGGCAAAAAUUCCUGAUAUUGAGAUGUGCUUAGACAUAGUCGCCACUCUACAGGCCAAGAAGGGUUCUAGUGAGGUUCGUUGUCUCUCUUAUUUAUUUGAUAUGUAUACCUGCAUAAUGACUGAAGCGAACUGGCUUAUUUGCUAUAGCAAAGUGAUCUGUGAUUGAGGAUGCCAUUAUAUGCGUGCACAAUGAGUUUGAGUUUCUAUUACAGUAAGAUUGAAUCAUGGCCUCAGAACUGGAAUUUAAGUUUGAAAUUCAAGCUGAACACUUUUCGGUGCAUGUAUUUUAACUGAGGAUACUUAAUGGGUAUCUGUCAGACUUGUGCUGCUGACAAUGAGGCUUUUCACAAAGUAAGCUUGAUAUUGCGUAACCAGAUCAUAUUUUUUCAAUCCGGUUCUUUCUCAUUAUAUCCGCUGGAGUUCUUUGUAUUGUCUUAGAAUCCACCAAUUUUUUCCUUUGCAGUUUCUGUUUUUCAUCUGGAAUCCUCGACAAUCUAUCAGUCAUCUUUUAUAUAUGAUGUCAACUAAAUUUUUCUCAUAAUCUUGUUAUGCCAAAACAUAUUAUCUUAAAAAAAUAUUCUUGUUCCUCGAUGCUCUCUUAGCCAAUCAUAUUACCCCUUUCUAUCUUUACAAAGCAAAUGGAGGAUAGGCUAGUUUAAUUCUUGCCAUACUAGGAACUAAUUUUGGUACGGUUGACAUGAUGUGAAAUAUCCAAUUGUUGUUUCUCCUUUGCAAAUACACUUCUGGAAGCAAUAUUCCUAAUAAUCUAGGUUAGUGCUUUGAAGAGCCCAUGCUGAUCUCAAUAAUGGGGUGGUUUUAGAUUUGAACACCUGAAUAUCACCAGUAAUAUUUAGCUAGUUGCUUUGGUGUCUGAAGGUCCAAUUAGAAACUGACAUGGGGUGGGAUUACUGUAUUGGGAUUAAGACCUAAGACUAUAAAAACGUAUAUGGCGCAAAAGAUAAUAGACACCAAGCUGACUGGUUUUCAUGACUCUUUAUUUUGUAUACAGGCACUCCUUGCUGAUUUUGAAGUCUCUGAAGGCAUAUAUUCUCAAGCUCGCAUUGAAGAUACUGAUUCAGUACGUCUAUGGCUGGAAGCAAAUGUUAUGUUGGAGUAUUCAUGUGAAGAGGUUGUACUCGAGUUUAAGCAAUGUCCCUUUCUCUCCAAUAAUAAUGUCAAGUAUCUUAUUUAUUGCAUAAAUUUAUGUUGCAGGCCACAACCCAUCUACAAAAGAACUUAGAAAAUGCUAAAACAAGUUUAGAAGCUCUUGUUGCUGAUCUACAAUUCUUAAGGGAGCAAGUAACAAUCACUCGGGUAAGUCAGAAUUAUUUGGCUAGGUCUAUUAGGGUCGCACUACUGUGUCAGUUUUGGCUAGGUCUAUUGGGGUCAAACUACUGUUGUUCUGAAUUUUUUAACUGGCGUGAGGCUAUAAAUUGGGAAGACAUGUUAAUUGGUGAUAAGUUGGAGUGUGGUAGGAUUGCACGAAUGUGAACUUGAAAAAAUUCAAAGCUUGUUGUAGGACCAUAUCCUUUAGUUUAUCAUGGCAAUUAGGUUGGUGACCCUGGGAAAUUUUUCUUUCACUUUUUUUUUUUUUUUUUUGGUGGGGGGGGUUUUAUUUGGUAAGUUACGAUUGCUCGUGUGUAUAAUUGGAUCUUCACCAAAAGAGAAUCCGUCAAGUUGGUGUUCCUGCCAAAGACUCUUAAAGGAGUCUUUUCAACUCGGAUCAUGGUAGGAGAAUGCGUACUCCUGAAUGAGAUAAUGACUUUGAUCUCCCCAUUUUCGAUUAGGUGAAUGAAUUAUGUACAGCUCUGUGAUCGCAAUGGUUAAGACCGACUAUGAGAUUUUGGUUAGGUUGAGUUAGAUUUACUGCAUUACACAAAGCUUGUCAUGUAAACGAUUUAGGUUGAGAACCUCUUGGGCUUGAGUUUUCACUUACUGUGUGCAGUGUACUAGUUUUGAGUUAAUGUUGGAUCCAUCAAUGUUUCGUCGUUUCACCUUGACUAUGUAUGUUUAGUAAGAACCAAUUUAAAUUUGAAUUCGGGGGAGAAACAUGGGCCUGCCUGGGGUCCCCUGAGGAAUACGCAUCAGCAGGAGUGUUUUUGGAUCAAGUGACUUAAUGCUGUAAUUCGGUUGGUCUCUUGUUGUCAGAUCUUGAAGAUUUCCAUUAUAUUAGAGCAAUGUAGGUAUAGUCUGGGUAGAAAGUCCGUGCCAUGACAAUUUAUAUAUAUAUAUCACUAAAAUCAACUUUUUGCAACUUGUAAGUUUUUAAUGUAAGUACAUUACUCAGUCAAAUUUUCAAUUCGAGCCAUUACAGUAGUGCCAAGCUCUGAGUUCAACUCCUCUUAGAUAUUCGAUGCUCGAAACUCCCCUCAAAUCAUGGAGUAUUAAAAGUUUGGCUUGAGCUUCACCAAACUAGAAUCGAGAUAUUCAAGAUCAAGUCAACUCGAAACAAUCAAAUUAAAGAGUGGGCUUGAGCUUAAGCUCAUUAACUUCAAAUAUUAUCCUCUACAUUUAUGUGCUUUAAGUAUACUACAAUUUGCAAAUGUCUCCCCCUCUAUUUUUGUGAUUAUCAAUUAUUUUCUGAACAAAAUAAUAGAAAUUGGAUUGGAAUUGCGAUUCUCUCGAGGUUGAUCUUGACUCGAUGAAAUUCUUGCUGUAACUUCAGUCUAGGCUCGACUCAAAACUUGACUAGUCGAUUUCAAUUAAUUAUUAAGUCAAGCUUCAAUUAGUCUAGGCUCGACUCCAAACUAGACCAGUUGAUUUCAACUAAUUAUUAAGUCGAGCUUGAAUUAGUCCUGAGUUGGACUCAACUUCAACCCUACUACUAGGCUCGCAAAGUCCAAUAUAUGUAUGAGGACUUUCAUGGGCCAAAUAGUAUUUCCAACGUUGAACACCACAUUAUGUGAUGCAAGCCAUUCCUUGGUAGGAGGGUCUCGCACAUCUCCCCGAAGAGUUAUGACCUCCAAAUGAACGCGAAUUUCUAGAAAAGUUGAUGGGAAAAAGUAUAUGAUCACAAUUCAAUGGAGGCAAUUAAAAGUCAAAGUGGGACAAUAUUUUUUUUCCAUGUGAAAGAAUGUAUAUUUAUUAUGUACACUAAUUAUUCCUCUUAUCAUGAAUAUACCAAGAUGAUGGAAUGCAAAAGGUCAUUAGUGAAUUUGGGAAAAUUUGUUUGUUUUCUCAAACAGUCUAUUAAUGUUACAUCAUGCAUUACAAUCAAUCUACGACUCUUGAAAGCAAAAGGUGACUUGGAGCCAAAUUCAAAUUUCACAACUUUUUCAUGGCACAAGAUAAAAGAUUAGUAAGUGGAAUAAAGGGAAGUUUCAAUUGAUCAAGCAAAUUAGUGUGAAUAUGGAUUAAAUAUUAGAAGAUCUGCUUUGUUGGGCUUAGCAAAAGCAAAAUGAAACUUCGGCCCCGGCUAAGGAAAAGCUAAUCCUCUUGAUUUUUUGUGGUUGAAUUCCUUCUGAAUUUAAUGAGCAAAACAAAAACAAUUGCGCGUGGUUGUAUGGUAGAAGUUCCACCGUGAAAGUAAGCAAUAAUUUUGCUGCAAUGAUCUCGGGGUGAACAGUAUCUUGUCUGCCAAUACUGGAGACCUGAUAGCAUAGUGUAAAUAAGCAAUACUUUUUCUGUAGUGAUUGGACAGUGAAUAGUAUUAUUACACAUGUUGCUACAGUUUUCCGGCGGCUAUCUUCUCUUAAUGAUUUUGUUCUUCUUCUAAUAGGUCGACCCCACGGCAAUCAUCUUCUUUUGUAUCUCCGCUACGAUGUGAUUGGUAGGAGCUAGCUUUUCACAGUUAGUGGGCUCCUUAUUUCGGAAAUGAUUUUCUCCAUUACUGAAACAUAUUCAUGUGGUGAUUGCGCAGUAGCAAGGUAGGGCUACUACAAGAGAUUUCUGUUGCAAGAGUGAUGCAUUUGAUGAUCCAUCUAAUGUUGUUUGUGAUCUUGUGGUGAUUUGGGCAUAACAAUUGUUUAACCAAUUAUGGACUGAUUCUUUAGAAAUUUGUAUUGUCAAAGAGCGCAUAUAGCAAAGUUUAUCCCUACUCCCGCAAUUUAUGCAUUCUUACCAUAAAAGCCUGUAUUUAUUUCCUGAGUUACACACAUUUUCUUGAUGAGUGAUGACCAAGCCUCACCUAGCCACGACAAAAAGUUGAUGGAGAAAUCUAUCCUGUAAAUAACUAAAUUCACCCAAUUUUCACUAAAAAGACAAAAUUGCUUCAAAUCAUUCAGUCGCAAUUUAAUUGAUAGCCCUAAAUUCAAAACUUUUUUUUUUGUUUUUGUUUUUCUAUUUCAAUGUAGGAUUUCGUUACCAUAAUUAAGAAUUUCACAUGUCUAGUUUUUCUUUAUAAUAGGUAUUUCAAAUAUAUUUAAAACGUCAUUUCUUUUUUCACUGUUAGAUUUUUCUUCCAUAAAAAUUAUUUNNNNNNNNNNNNNNNNNNNNNNNNNNNNNNNNNNNNNNNNNNNNNNNNNNNNNNNNNNNNNNNNNNNNNNNNNNNNNNNNNNNNNNNNNNNNNNNNNNNNNNNNNNNNNNNNNNNNNNNNNNNNNNNNNNNNNNNNNNNNNNNNNNNNNNNNNNNNNNNNNNNNNNNNNNNNNNNNNNNNNNNNNNNNNNNNNNNNNNNNNNNNNNNNNNNNNNNNNNNNNNNNNNNNNNNNNNNNNNNNNNNNNNNNNNNNNNNNNNNNNNNNNNNNNNNNNNNNNNNNNNNNNNNNNNNNNNNNNNNNNNNNNNNNNNNNNNNNNNNNNNNNNNNNNNNNNNNNNNNNNNNNNNNNNNNNNNNNNNNNNNNNNNNNNNNNNNNNNNNNNNNNNNNNNNNNNNNNNNNNNNNNNNNNNNNNNNNNNNNNNNNNNNNNNNNNNNNNNNNNNNNNNNNNNNNNNNNNNNNNNNNNNNNNNNNNNNNNNNNNNNNNNNNNNNNNNNNNNNNNNNNNNNNNNNNNNNNNNNNNNNNNNNNNNNNNNNNNNNNNNNNNNNNNNNNNNNNNNNNNNNNNNNNNNNNNNNNNNNNNNNNNNNNNNNNNNNNNNNNNNNNNNNNNNNNNNNNNNNNNNNNNNNNNNNNNNNNNNNNNNNNNNNNNNNNNNNNNNNNNNNNNNNNNNNNNNNNNNNNNNNNNNNNNNNNNNNNNNNNNNNNNNNNNNNNNNNNNNNNNNNNNNNNNNNNNNNNNNNNNNNNNNNNNNNNNNNNNNNNNNNNNNNNNNNNNNNNNNNNNNNNNNNNNNNNNNNNNNNNNNNNNNNNNNNNNNNNNNNNNNNNNNNNNNNNNNNNNNNNNNNNNNNNNNNNNNNNNNNNNNNNNNNNNNNNNNNNNNNNNNNNNNNNNNNNNNNNNNNNNNNNNNNNNNNNNNNNNNNNNNNNNNNNNNNNNNNNNNNNNNNNNNNNNNNNNNNNNNNNNNNNNNNNNNNNNNNNNNNNNNNNNNNNNNNNNNNNNNNNNNNNNNNNNNNNNNNNNNNNNNNNNNNNNNNNNNNNNNNNNNNNNNNNNNNNNNNNNNNNNNNNNNNNNNNNNNNNNNNNNNNNNNNNNNNNNNNNNNNNNNNNNNNNNNNNNNNNNNNNNNNNNNNNNNNNNNNNNNNNNNNNNNNNNNNNNNNNNNNNNNNNNNNNNNNNNNNNNNNNNNNNNNNNNNNNNNNNNNNNNNNNNNNNNNNNNNNNNNNNNNNNNNNNNNNNNNNNNNNNNNNNNNNNNNNNNNNNNNNNNNNNNNNNNNNNNNNNNNNNNNNNNNNNNNNNNNNNNNNNNNNNNNNNNNNNNNNNNNNNNNNNNNNNNNNNNNNNNNNNNNNNNNNNNNNNNNNNNNNNNNNNNNNNNNNNNNNNNNNNNNNNNNNNNNNNNNNNNNNNNNNNNNNNNNNNNNNNNNNNNNNNNNNNNNNNNNNNNNNNNNNNNNNNNNNNNNNNNNNNNNNNNNNNNNNNNNNNNNNNNNNNNNNNNNNNNNNNNNNNNNNNNNNNNNNNNNNNNNNNNNNNNNNNNNNNNNNNNNNNNNNNNNNNNNNNNNNNNNNNNNNNNNNNNNNNNNNNNNNNNNNNNNNNNNNNNNNNNNNNNNNNNNNNNNNNNNNNNNNNNNNNNNNNNNNNNNNNNNNNNNNNNNNNNNNNNNNNNNNNNNNNNNNNNNNNNNNNNNNNNNNNNNNNNNNNNNNNNNNNNNNNNNNNNNNNNNNNNNNNNNNNNNNNNNNNNNNNNNNNNNNNGCUUUUUGGGCUUAGCAAAAGUACAAUGGAUUCUGGCCCCACUGACAAAGCUAAUCCUUUUGAAUUGAAUGAGCAAAACAAAAGCAAUUGCGCGUGAUUGUACAGUAAAAGUUCUAUAGUGAAAGUAAGUAAUAAUUUUGCUGCAAUAAUCUGAUGGUGAAUAGUAUCUUGUUUGCUAGUAUCGGAGGCCCGCUGGCAUAGUGAAAGUAAGCAAUAAUUCUGCUGCAGUGAUUAGAUGGUGACCAAUAUUAUUGCAGAUGCUGCUACAAUUUCUAGCGGGUAUCUUCCCUUGGUGAUUUUGUUCUUCUUCUAAUAGGUGGACCCCAUUCCGGUCAUCUUCUUUUGUGUCUCCAUUACGAUGAGGAAAACAAAAGCAAUUGCGCGUUAUUGUACAGUAAAAGUUCUAUAGUGAAAGUAAGUAAUAAUUUUGCUGCAAUAAUUUGAUAGUGAAUAGUAUCUUGUCUGCUAGCACCGGAGGCCCGCUAGCAUAGUGAAAGUAAGCAAUAAUUCUGCUGCAGUGAUUUGACGGUGACCAAUAUUAUUGCACAUGCUGCUACAAUUUCUAGCGGGUGUCUUCCCUUGGUGAUUUUGUUCUUCUUCUAAUAGGUGGACCCCAUUCCAAUCAUCUUCUUUUGUGUCUCCAUUACGAUGUGAUUGGUGGAAUGCGUAAUUAUGGUAACUAGAAAAAGUAGGAAAAGAAACAAUGUGAUUGUCACUUUAAAUUGCAAUUGAAUGAUUGAAGGUAGUUUAGUCUUUUUAGUGUAAAUGUGGUGGAUUCGAUCUAGCUGUCCAAAAUUUAAUGGGGAAAUUAAAGUUACAAUGAGAUAAUAUUUUAUUUUCCAUAUAGAAAGAAUGUUAGCUCUUAUGCACACUAUUUAUUCCUUCAUCAUGAAUACACCAAGAUGGUAAAGUGCAGAGGUCAUCACUAGAUUUAGAAAAAUUCCGUGUGAUUUCACCAACAAUUGGCUUUUAACAGUGUAUCAUGCGUUAUGGUGGAUCUACGACUCUCGAGGGCGGAAGGCGACUCUAUGCUGAUAUCGCACUCACAAUUUUGCAAUGACAAAAGAAAAAGAGUAGUCAAUGGAACAAAGGCAACAUGAUCAUUUGGCUUAGCAAAAGCAUAAAGGAAGUCUGGCUCUGACUGAGAAAAGCUAACCCUUUUUAAGUUAAGAAGCAUAACAAAAGCAAUUACAAUAUGCUUUUUUUCUAGACUAGAAAUCGAGGAAGAGAUUUCUCACCAAAAACAAAACGGACAAAAAGGAUAAAGUGGAUCCAUUAUACUUCUUUGGAGGUCACGCCAAAUCGUCUAUUUAUGGAGCCAGACCACUUACAUGUUACAUCAUCUUGUGUUAUUGUAAUUCUAUAUAUGUCUAGAAAGGAAAAGGGCAUUAAGACAAGUGUCUAGAUUGGGAUCCCAUGAUUCGUGCAAUGACUUAAUUGCAUAAUUUGAAUUAAAAUACAAUCUAUGAUAACAAAAAUUAGAUACAAUUCUAAAUGAUUUGUGAGCCUAUUCCCUCUCACUUUUUGUUUCUCGAAUUUAGACACCUAUAUGGGAAGCUUAAUUUUUACGUGAAAUUAAUCGUCAGUAUCAAUAAAACAUUUUAAAUUUCUGUGUGUAUGUGAAGUGAGUCUCUAUACAAUCGCAUAAUAUUAGAUUCAAACUUGGUGUUGUUAUAAUUAUGGUUAAUGGAUCAACGAAUGCCAAUAAAUUAAGAUACGUCUUUUCUAUUCACGUAUCUCUUUUGGAUUCAUGAAUUUCUUAAACUUUUCCGUUCACGUAUCUAUUGAAUUCAUGAAUUUCCUAGAUCCAUGUAUCUUUUAAUUCAUGUAUUUAUUGAGUUCACGAAUCUCUUGAAUCCAUGUAUCUCUGGAUUCGUGAAUCUAUUGAAUUCAUGUAUUUCUUGAUUCGUGAAUUUCGUGGAUACAUGUGUCUAUUUAAUUCAUGUAUCUCUUUUGUACAUGAACCAAAAAAUCUCUAUAAAUAGAUGGGAGCAUUGAGCUUCAUUAUGCUUUUUGGUUUUUCCGACUCGAUUCCAAAAAGGCUCUGAUACACUUUUCUACUCUUCUGAAUUUUCUGAGUGUACUGGUUCAAUUGAACGGUCGACUGAGUCCUGUUUGCAUAGUGCUAAUCCAAACAGAUUCGAGGUGUUGUAUCUUGGGAGGCGUAGUUUGUGAAUCUGCGGAACACCAUUGGUAGGAACUAAUUGCCUUAAUGAGAUUCGGAUAUCCGUACCUCACCCCCAAUUUUAUGUUCUGAUUGCAACAAACAGUUUGUGUUUUCUUUGGAGUAUAUUCCAACAGGUGUCCACCUUAAAAAUGACAUUAGGACAUGAUCACAUUUUGUGUAUUUGCAUGUGUGAAUAAUCUGCAGAAAUGGACAAAAAAUCUAGACCGCAUUCAAUGGAGCUAGAGAAAUGUUCAGUGCCUUCGAUUCAUUAGAGACGUCAUCAUCGAUCCACCAGAAAAAAAGUAGUUGAUUUAACCGUAAAAUUUUGGGCCUGGCACUUAUAAGAAAGAAAAAUUUUGCUCACAAAAAGAAGAAAAAAGAAAUAUAGCCCUUUGGUCGUUACAUGGAUGUUUCUACGAUCUUUCCAAGAGGCAUAUGCAAUUGUUAAAUCACAAAAUAAUUGAUCUCAACUGUGCAAACAAAGCUUUUCAAGUUUUUACAAAUUGCUACAAUUUGCAUUAUGACGAGGUAUCGAUCAAUCCUCUAAUCAUAAAAUGGAAAUAGUUGCAUGGUUCGUGGUCUGUAGAAUAAAUGUGAUCACAUCCAUUGAUGUUUGGGUGUUCCAUGUAUAAUAUAUUUCAUAAUCAAUUUUGUGAUAGAUCUAUUUUAUGUGGAUCCGAGUACUGGCAAGCUAACCCAAUGAAGCCAACAUGAGUUAGGAGAGAGAAUGAACUUCCUUAAGAAACAAAGAUGAACUUGAGUUCUCUUUGCUUAUAAUCUACGCAAGUCUAUCCCCAAGUUUUUGUCCAGCCCUCUUGUGAAAGCAAAAGCAAAAAAGCAAAAGAAAAAGCACUGAAGUACGUUUGUCUAGUCAAUUCAUUUGCACAUAUCCAAAUUCCACGUCAAACAGACUUGUUUGUUCGUGUGGUCGCACACAUGCGUGUUUUGCAAUUUCAGGACCAGGACCUGGAAAAUACCAAGAAACUCAUAAUGAUAUGAUCAAAAAGCAUAAAGACCCUUCUUCAAGAUUAAAAAUGUUUCGAAAAUUUCAACUUUGUUGACCUCCUUGUGGAGGAGGAACUGUACUUUCUUCGCAAUUUCCACCAAAGAAUCGGCUAGGACUCUUUUAGCUCAACGAAAGGGAUCUAUUUGUACAUGUAAUUUGCAAGGCAAAACUCAAAUUGCGUAAAAGAUUAGCAUUAGCAUGGACCUAAAAUUAAAGAAUAUAGAAAACUUUAACCAAUAUCUUUCAAUUUUUUGAACCAUUAGGUGAAACUGAACUACAUAGACUUCGAAGGAGGUCAGCCAACUUAAAUUGCCCAAUCUAUUAUGUAGAGUAAAACUGAAGUUGAAAGAGCGGUUGCUCCUAUACUGGUCACACGACACUUCUGCGUAGCUCUAUACUUAUGAGGUGAUGUGAUACGACACUUACUAUUGUGCUGCCAUGUGGUCCGAUGACCUUACAAAUUAUUUCUAUGUCAUCUUGUAAUUCAUGUGUUAUUUUCUAGUGCUAUUUAUAGAUAACAUCAACAUUUAAUCAUCUUCAAAUACUAGAAAAAAUGAUUUUAUCUACAAGUAGGCUUAGGCAAAACAAUUGAUUUAAACUUAGCCGAAAUGAUUGAAUUAAAUAACGAAAGGAAUGGAAAUGUGUUUUAUAUGUAGUACAUACUCCCUAAAUUGUCCUAUUCCACGGAGCAUCCACUUUUUCUUCUUCUUUUUUGCUUCAAAAAUCUUGAAAAUUAAUGCUACACUUUUUUUUUUAACAAAACUUGAUCGAACUUGGUCCAGCAUAACUUUUCUGUAUAAUGUACAAUUGAAGACAUCCCCCCCCNNNNNNNNNNNNNNNNNNNNNNNNNNNNNNNNNNNNNNNNNNNNNNNNNNNNNNNNNNNNNNNNNNNNNNNNNNNNNNNNNNNNNNNNNNNNNNNNNNNNAUCAUAAAGUUUCCAACACCUCAUGAUUGGACAGCUGUGUUUAGAAAAACUUGACAUCUUAAGAUCCAGUGAUUCAAUUUGGGCAAAUUGGGUAUCUUCAAAAAGCUUUUGACAAGUACAACUCAACUAUACCCUUUGACUGAACUUGUAAUGAGGUUGGCCUCUCGGUCAACUUUGCUAUGGCAUUGGAGGGUCGCUUGUGUCUUUAGUGACCUUCCGCAUGUGUUCAAUGACGCAAUGGAGGCUCUGUCCACCAGUGAUUAUCUAUCGAGCAAUCGAGCUUCAUCAUUUCUAUUCCUUAUUUGAUGAAGUUAGCCAAUAGGAAGCAUGAUCAUUCUACGGUCCAUUCGUCAUUGCCGAAAUAAUAUUUUCUGGAGUUCUACUGUUAUUUUGGUCUUUACUAUGUUGGAUCCAAAUUGAAUGUGAAAGAGCUCGGACUUCUGCUUUGAAAACUUUGGCCUUGAUGAAUUUUGUUAUGUCCGACAAAUCUUGGCAACGGCGAGGACCUGACUACAUAAUCCGUAUGGUAAGUAUUUUCCUUGAUAUGAUAAGCAAUUGGCCACGGACAAAGAUGCCAACCUCAUCUAGCAGACUAUCCAGAAACAUCUAGGACCUAAUAUGCCCAAAUAAAAAAGCACCUUCGAGCUCUCAGAGCACAUCAGCGGGGGCAACAAAAGAUUAUUAAUUAUUCUUUAUUAAUGAAUCUCAUUCUUUCUCAACUGCAUGGACUUUAUAUUUUUUUUAUAGCUGUGUCUUCCUCCUAUCUUAUCUCUCGCUUGGCAUAGAGCUACGUACCCUAAGCUCGUAACUAAGUAGGGCAUUAAAUUGGUCGAAUGUUCUUGAUCAGUCGGACCAAUGGAAUGAGCUACGACCCUUAAAUUCAUCCUCAACUAGUGUGCGCCCUUUCUCGGGUUCAAGGGACUUCCCGUCGUCAAGAUCUAGCUAGGAACAAAGGUUCUCUCUCAUUUCGAAGCCGCAAAAACGCUCAUUUCGUUUCAUGCUUGUAUAGCCAAAGAAAAAAGUAAAGAGCCUACGUAAUGACCCCGUUUCAGACACGUGGAAUACAAAGGCUGAAAUUAUCUGGGACGCACAAGCGUAACUAUCCCACGUCGGGGCGUGAAAGUCCAAAAUUACCCACCGCAGGCAGGAAAUGGGAAAUAUUAAAAAGCCUUUUUUUUUAUAUAUGAAUGGAUGAAGAGAGGAGGGGGAAAACAAGCAUUUUAGAAAUGUAAGUCCCAUGUCAACUGAUUAUAAUUGAACAUCUUGACCAAAUUGGUCUUGAUGGGUUAUCAACACUGUGAGCCUCCGUUAUAUCCCACUCGAUGUGAAGGAGUAUAAGAGGAAGGGUGCUUUGGACAUGUGAAAGCAACGAUCCAAUUUCAAGAUUCAAAACAUCACAAUUUUAGCACAGGGAUGUCCGACCGAGGAGCAACUACUUCUUAACCUUCUGGGCAUCAGGGAUAUAGCUAAUGAAUUAAUUACACAAUAAAAUCCAAAUAAAUUAUGACACUUAGCAUAAUAUAAGAAGUUAUAACUCGUUAUGAUAUGAUAAUCUCUCUUUUAAUGGAUCUUGAAGUUAUCUAAUCAUGAAAAUCAUUUACCGGUUUUGAUGUUUCAAUUUGGAAGCAUUAAAGCGAAAAGGACGGCUUUUUAAAGUCCUAACAAAUAAUUUCUUUUUAAUAAUUGAGAAUAGAAAUCAAUAGUCCGAGAAAUUUUCCUUAAUGAAACAAACCAUCGUUUUUUCAUGUUCUUCUGUCCUCCCUUGGCCCCUUUUCCUACUCCACUGACGUCGCUUCAGUGCAAGCUUCGACAGCCUUUGGCAGCUUUCUAGCUCAAGGAAGGCGGCCAGUACAUGAUCAUGAAAUCUUUAAAAAGGGAAACAUUCCAUCAAAUUUCAAUUUGUUGAGUUCUUUAACCCCGUGGUCCGUGUGCUCGUAAAACCAAAGUCCUAUCAUCUCUCGAAUUGUUGAUAUGAAUGCCAAGUACCAAAAUAUGACUCCACACUUUAUUCAAUAUAAUGACCAAGUAGAAGUCACAACAAAACUAUUGGACUACCCGAGUUUUAGCCAAAGCUGCUCUCCGGGGCCGUAUCGAUUGGUUGAAAGGCCUAAAAGAGAAUGUUGUUAUAGGAAGUAUGAUACCCGUUGAUACUGGAUUCAAAGGAUUAGUGCAUUGUUCAAGGCAACAUAAGAAGACCUUUGCCGGAAACCAUGAAAUGAGUGGAAUCGGUAGACCAAUUCUUGCCAAUGUUAUUUUGAACAAGUUGUCUUUAGUUUUAAGGUGUAGUUUCCUCGAACCAUCCCAACAUGAUGAUCUUGUGUACUUGCAAAAACGAUUGUUAUUAAGUCUUGAUUUAAGAUUAACUAACUUGAUCAAAAAACACUUUGUAACAGUCCUCAUUAUAUGAAGCACCAUUGCCUACAAGGACCAUGAGAAUGAUUCCUUGAAAGCAAGAUGAAUUUCAGCUCAAAACUUGAUAGAACCUAAACUCAAUUUGAACUUAACCUUCACGCGACUUCAUCUACCAAGCAUUAACUCCCAAAAGUUGCUGAGGGAUGGGGCAAUUAUCCUCAAGUCUCGCACCAAAGUUCCCGCGGAACAGCUAUGCACCACCCUUUUUUCCUCACUUUUUUGAAUGGGUGGAUUCCACGUGGCAAACUUAGAGUCGUUAACUUUUCUUUUAUGAAGAAGAGUGGUCGGCCACUUGAAAAAUUUGCUAUUUGGUCUGUGGGGGGAUCCAAUUUUUUGAGGGUUUUUUUAAUUUUUGUCCGGUCAACUUGAUCUCAGAUGCGUAGGCAAUCCGUCGUAUCUUUGGUUUGAUUUAUUGGGCGAUGAGAAGAGUGAACUGAGGUAAAUCCCUCGGUGGCUUGUGAUAAUUCGAACCGAAUUGACAUCGACCCAACCUAGUUAAUCCCUUAAUGCCACGGUCUGCAUUAGAAAGUAUAAUACGUUCACAAUAAUUACAAUGAGAAAUGAUUGAAGUUGAUCAAGCAAACGUGCGUUUGGUAAUAUUUCUAUUUAGGAGAAUAAUUUCUUCUUAGAAAUAAUCUUUUUAUAUUUCUAUUUUCUGAAAUAAUUUUUGAAUAAAAGAAUGCGUUUAGUAAUUAUACAAAAUUUCUAUUGUCGAAAUAGAAAAAGAUUAGGAAUGUGUUUGUACAAAUUAGGAAUUUUUCUAUAAUGCAGAAUUUCUUUUAAUUUUUUAAUAAUUGUUUUAGAUUUUUCUUCUUUUUUUUUCCCUCUCUUCUUCUUCUUGCUCCUCUAGCCGAUAGUGGCGGCGUUUGACGAGUGGUGGCAACCAGCGACUUGUGGCGAUGGCAGCUAGCGGACAGCCGGGGGGGGGGGGUGGUGGGCUGUGAGGAAGAUGAAGAAAAGGAAAAAAAGAAAAUAACUUAUUUGUAAAAAUUGUUUCUAGAAAUAAGAAUUUUUUUUUUCUAUUUCUUAUUUCUAUUUCAAAUCUAUUUUCUGACUACUUUUCUAUUCCGGGAAAUUAUAAAAUUAGUUGACGUUACCAAACGAAUUUAUGUUAUUAUUUUGUUCCGGAAAACAAAAGAACAAAAUACUAGAGAAAUUGGCAAGUUACCAUGCAAACCCAAAGGAACCAUAAAAGGGAAAUAGUUGCAUGGUUCAUGGUCUAUGGACCAUAUGCUGUAAUUUAUAUAACCAAUGAUUUUAAUAGACUGGAUUUAUGGGACCUGAGUACUGGCAAGUCUAAUCUAACGAAGCCUAUUUGAAUUAGGAGAGAGAAUGAACUUCCUUAAGAAACACUGAAACAGAAAUGAACCUGCCUUUUUUCUUUGCUUAUGAUGUACACAAGUCAAUCUUCAAAUCUUUGUCCAACCCUCUUGUGAAGGCAAAGGAGAAAGCACCGAAGUAUGUCUUGUCUAGUCAAUUGACUCGUUAUGCAUUGGUGUGCACAUGGUCAAAUUGCGCGUCAAAUAGGCUAGUAAUUCGUGUGUUCACACAAGUACACACAAAGAUGUCAACACUUAUAAUUUCCGUUUGGAAAUUGGCAACCCACUCGCAAGACCGGCAAAGCGCGUUUUGAAAUUUCGACCCUGGAAAGUACCAGGAAACUCAGGUUGAUAUUAUAAAAGAAAAUCAUACAGCUCACGCCUUUGAGAAUAAAAUAUUUAAAAUAUCUCAACUUUGUUGGAAUCAUCGUGAAGGAGGAACCACAUUUUCUUUGCAAUUUCCAUUAAAAAACAAUGUCGAAUUAAGCAGACAUGAUUUCAAUGCCAAAUCAACCAGUAAACAAAUAAUAGAGACGAAUCAGAAAAAAUCAACAUUUGAUUUGAAUAUUUGCGUCGGUGUACAAUUUCAAUCGGCGAGCAAUUUCAUUUUGUCAUCGUUCAAUCUAGCAUUGAAGUGCAAUCAUAACAUGCAAUCCUAGUCUAUUUUCAGCUUCAUGUAACUUUAUGGCAAUAGCAAAUAAUAUCGAGUAUAUGAAUGGCUUUAUGAAGGAAGGCUGCAGGUGGCUUCCAGGCGAAUGGCGCAUAGUACCAAAGUAAUAGCAAGUGGAACUCAUUAUAACUUGUCCAGGUACAUCCAACAUCUAACCGUUCAGCAACACGCAACUUAUACUUCCGACGCCACCUCCUCCCCUUCGACGACUUUCAUCAACUUAGCCUGAAUGCUUUUGUUUACUUAUGAAGGAAGGUCGCUGGUGCAUUACAGUGCCUGUUACUCUAGACACAGCUCGCCCGGUCUCUACUCUGUGAACAACCAAUUAUACUUUCGAUUGGUAUUGCGGGUAUAAGGCAGCAUGCGAUUGAUAAAGUUGGAUUAUGGGUGCAUUUAUUUUACGAAAAAAUGAAUAAUUUAAAAAAUAUUUUUCUAAAAAAGAUUGUUUAUAUCGCUCAAUAUAAUUAGUCAAUGAAAAUAUUUUUCAUUCAUUAAUUUUUAUAAGUGAUAUAAGUGUUCAUUUUUUAGAAAAAAAUAUAUUUUAUAUCAUCUAUUUUUCGCAAAACAAACGGAGCUUAAGUUAAAAGUCAAUGUUCUAAGACAGUUAAGUGGUUCAAUUCAUAAGAAAUUAACAUUGUGCAUUCUAAGUUGCAAUAUGUCAGUGGAUUUCCUCUUAAUGAGAUGAUAUAAGUUCCUCUGUUUUUGUAAUGAGUUCUCAUGCAAUAAUUAUCCUUCUUGUAGAUUCUGAGUUGAUUUUUUUUUUUUUUUUACCUGUGAUGUUUUUUCAGUUGAAGAAACAAUUAACUACAAAUAUUCAAGAGUCGCUGGCAUGUUCAUGGUUUUAAUGAUUACUGACACUCUUUUCGGUGGCAUUUCUUUUCACUCUACUAAAAGAUUUACCUACCAAUGUUCAAAUGUAUAAAUUACGGUAGUGCGNNNNNNNNNNNNNNNNNNNNNNNNNNNNNNNNNNNNNNNNNNNNNNNNNNNNNNNNNNNNNNNNNNNNNNNNNNNNNNNNNNNNNNNNNNNNNNNNNNNNGAUAUUAGAUGCUCGGAACUCACUCGAACCCAUGAGUAUCCAAUUUCCAGCUUGAGCUUGACCAGAAAAAAAUGGAGAUAUCAAGCUCAAGUAGACUCGACACAAUCAUGUUAUAAAAUGAGUUCAAGCUCAAGCUCAAUAUGUUCAAAUAUUAUCCUUUUCAUUUAUGUAAUUAUAUAUGUAUAUCACAACUUUUAAAUAUCUUGCCCUUUAUUUUCCAUAGCUAUCAAAUAUUUAACUGAACAAAAUAAUAGAAAGUUGAUUAAUAUGGCGAGUCUCUCAAACAGAAUAUAAUGAGCUCGAUUUUUUUUUUUUUUUUUGGGUCAUGAAUAAAAUUCUCGUUGAUAGAUUAAGAUUUGUUUGGCUUAAGGAAAGCAAAAUGAAAGUUUGCCUCCAGCAGAGAAAAACUAAUCCUUUUUAAAAAAAUAUAUAUAAUUAGCAGAACAAAAGCAAUUGAAAUAUGCUUUUUCUAGCCUAGAAAUAAAUGAAAAAAAUCCUCAUUCCAGAAAACAAAACAGACAAAGAAGAAUGAAGGGGAUUUAUUAUGCUUCCUUUGCAGUCACACCAAAUUUGAGUGGACCUCACAAACCAAUUGAAAUCAUCUCUUUUAUAAAUCAUACUACAUAAAUAAUCUAAUGUUAUUACAAUUCAAUGUAUGUCCAAAUGAUAAUGCACUAAGAAAAGCAUCUUGAUUGGGAUCCAAUGAUUUACACCAUGAUUGAAUUGCCUAGUUCGAAUUAGAAACAAAUCCAGGGGCUUUUGUCUUUGCUUAGACAUACGCNNNNNNNNNNNNNNNNNNNNNNNNNNNNNNNNNNNNNNNNNNNNNNNNNNNNNNNNNNNNNNNNNNNNNNNNNNNNNNNNNNNNNNNNNNNNNNNNNNNNCCUUGAAAUUAAAGAAUAUAGAAAACUUUAACAAUGUCUUCUAAAUUUUUGAAUAAUUAAGUCCAUUUAAAGUGUGGAAACUUCUAAGUAGGUUGGCCAACUAAAAUUGCAAAGUAAAAAAUCUAGGAAGGGCACGUUUUGGAAUUUUUUUUGGAGUCCGUUCACGGGUUCUGAAUAUUAAGUAUGAAUCAUAGUUAAUAUUUUGUGAUUUAUACUCAAAUAUACCCCUUGCCUAUGGCAGUGAGGGCCAGGACCCUCACUUGUGGUGGGGAUCUUAUGAUCUAUGUCCAAAUUGUAAAACUAUAAGAUAGCAAAGCAUAUUGACUGGUCUCUUAAAAUAUGUUUUUUUUUUUUUUUGUAAAGGUAAGAAUAUAUUGAUAGCUUUGGACAAAUGUACAAAAAAACGGCACCAAAAGCUUACACUCUAGAUGCAAGAGCACAAGAGUAGAAGGGAGCUGCGUAAAAGCCAUAAAAGGCAAAAGCACAAACUAAACAAACAUUGCCCAGCCAACAACUUUGGCCACGAAACCUCCAAGGACGCCGGGGAAGUCGAGGGGGAGAGCGCAAGGCAGGACGAGUAGAACUACCCAUCCACCAGCUUCAACCAUAAACCUCCAAGGACGCCCGUGAAGCCGAAGAGGGAAAUGCGCAAGGUAGGAACACAAAGGCCAGAAGUGACCGAGACAGGGAACAAGAGGAAGCAAUACAGAUCAACAAAAGACCUGCAAUCUUAUGCGAAAAUGGCUGGGUCGAAACCCCAACCUCUCUGUAAGCGCCGAUUCCUUGGAGUGUCAGGCACAUCUCUAUAAGUAAGGGCCUUAUCCUUAACCAUCCUAAUCAAACAGUUCUUCAAAGUGGGAAUAUCCACCCACUCCCCUCGAAAAAUCAUGGCAUUUUUUUUCUUUCCAAAUAAGAUAGCACAGAGCACCAAAGGAAUACCGAGAGAGACUAUGAAAGAAGUCCUUACCAGCAAGGAACCUCCGGGCCCAAUCAAGGUUUUGUUCCCAAGUGCCAUUUCUCCACGGUAGAUUACAUCUGGUAGCCCAGAAGUAAACUAAAGUCGCUGGAAAAUUGCAGCUAAAGUACAAGUGGUCAAUAGAGUCCGGCUGAGACUUGCAAAAGGUGCACGCCGAAUAGUCAAUUCUUCCAUGAGAGAGCAAAAAUGCCUGGGUAGGCAAACGUUUCUUAGUGGUGAGCCACAAAAGAAACUGAAACCGAGGGGCUAAGUCCUUGUCCCACACAAAGGAGGUCCACGGAACUCUUGCUUUAGAAAUUCUAAUAAAAUUCCAAGCUGAGGCCACAGAGAAAGAACCCGAAGCAUGUUGAUGCCACACAAAGCGAUCAUUGCCAGCUGAGAGAGAUGGAAAAGAAAACCCAAGAUCCUCCGGACGCUGUUUGCAAGACUCGCCAAUGUACGAAUAGAGAAACGCCACAGUCGCCCUAGCAGGAGCGUCGGAAUCAGACACAAGGUGCUCAGGAACCUGUAGAUGGAGAGGGCCAUUGGGCAACCAAUUAUCAAACCACAUGGAAAUAGAGCGGCCAUUGCCGACCUCCCACCCGAAGGACUGCCUGAACGGUCCCCUUAAUUGAAGAAUUUUCUUCCAGCUCCAAGCACAAACUAAAGGCUGCUGGGCAACCCAAAAGUUAUGCUUGUUUAAGAAGUUGGAGUGAAUCCAGCGGCACCACAACGAUUCCUUAUCAGUGAACAAAAUCCAAAUAUAUUUCAGCAUUGAGGCCUUGUUGCAAUCCUUAAUAGAUCUAAUACCCAGCCCCCCUUCCUCUUUAGGCAAACAAAUAUCCGCCCAAGCGACUUUCACACCUCCCGUGGCCAAAGAAGUGCCUUUCCACAAGAAUCUACGUAGUAUAUUCUCAAUCCCCAGGAUUACCGAAGCUGGCAAAGUGAAAACACUAGCCCAAAACGAUUGAAUUGCAUGAAGCACUGACCUUAUAAGCUGGAGUCUCCCCGCAAAGGAGAAAAAUCUGUGAGACCAGGAGCGGACUCGCGAGGUGAUGCGGUCAAUUAGCUGAACACAAUCUCCCUUGCUCAACCUCUUAGAAAUGAUCGGCACUCCAAGGUACCGAACCGGGAGUUUUCCUUCUUGGAAUCCGAAGGCCAGGAGGAUUCUGCUACGUAGAGAAGGAUCACCUCCCGAAAGGAAAAUGUGACUCUUUUCUUUGUUAGGAAGAAGUCCACUCCAAGAAGAGAAAAUGUCGAGGCUUCUUUUCAGUAUCGUAGCCGACUUCCAAUCCUCUUGGCAAAAAAGAAACACAUCGUUUGCAAAAAACAGAUGCGUGAGCUUGGAAGAUUUACAUCUCCAAAAGUAUUUGAACUCCUUGACUGAGGACCUUCGGUUCAAAAUGCCCGAGAAGAUCUCCAUGACCAAAGUAAACAGAUAUGGUGACAUUGGGUCGCCCUGCCUAAGACCUCUGCCUCCCGGGAAGAAGCCAUGAAGCCCUCCAUUAACAGAGAUAGAGAACCUGGGUAUGCGAACACAAGCCAUAAUCCGAGUGAUGAUCCACUGAAGAAACCGAAAAGCUAUAAGUGUGAGCUCUAGGAAAUCCCAAUCAACGGUAUCAUAUGCCUUACGGAAAUCCACCUUUACCGCACAUCUUGGAAGAUAUGGGUCAAGGUGAAAACCUGCAAACAACUCUUGGGCCAAUAAGAUAUUAUCUCUAAUUCUUCUUCCUUUAACGAAUGCAUUCUGGGUAGGACUGAUGAGAUCCUGAAGUACAGGUGCUAUUCGAUUGGCCAAUAUUUUAGCGAUAAGCUUAUAGACAGUAUUGCAGCAUGCAAUUGGUCUAAAGUCAUUCACUUCACAAGCAUUCGGCACCUUAGGGAUAAGGGCUAGGAUAGUCGCAUUGACUUCCUUUAGAAGAAAACCUGAGGAGAAGAAAUCUUGCACUGCCUCAGUAACUAAGGAUCCCACAAUAUUCCAGUUAUUCUUGAAGAAUUCUAUUGUAAAACCAUCUAGACCAAGGGUCUUUCCUUUGGCAAGCGAGAACAAAGUAUUCUUAACUUCCAAAUCAGACACCGGUGAGGCUAGAGAACAUACUUGGCCCUUCGUCAACGGCCUCGGAAUAAGAGAAGUCAGCUCUUGAAGAUCUAGUUUAGCCACAUUGACCCAAGGGGCAAGGAGAUCCGUGAAGAAGGAUAGGAAAACUUUAGGCACCAAAACAGGAUCCGAAACAACUACACCUGCAGAGUCCUUAACCGAGAGAAUUCGGUUAUUGAGGCAUCUAGCUUUGACAUAGUUGUGGAAGAAUCUUGUGUUACGGUCACCUUCCUUCAACCAUUUAAUUCUGGAUUUUUGUUUGUAAAAUGAUUCUUCUUGACGACGAAGGUCAAUAAACGCACUCCGCUGACCUCUUUCAAGUUCCGCAAGCAGGAUAUUUUCAGGAUCCAACUAAAGGAGCAUCUGAGUAGAACGCAAGUUUUCCCUCGCUUGAAGGGUUCUCUGUGAGAUAUUCGAGAAGGCUUCCAUAUUAAGAUCCUUUAGGCGGGCUUUCACCAACUUUAGCUUAGAAACAAGUCUAAACAUCGGAACACCCCAAACCUGACUAUUCCAUGCAUGAGAGAUUGUAGACUGGAAAUCCGGAUGAUCAGCCCAGAAAUCGAAAAACUUAAAAGGCUUUCUCCUUGGCUGCGGAUCAACAACCCUAACAACCAUAGGGGUGUGAUCUGAAAUUCCAGGGUUGAGAAAGGACGCCUCCGAAUAAGAGAAGUCCAUCCUCCACUUAGAGUUCACAAGAACUCUGUCGAUCUUUCGCAUCUUCCUGGCUUCUCCCGCCGAAGUUGACCAUGUGAAUCUGAGGCCUGAGUACCUGAGAUCUUCAAGUUCCGUUUGAUCCAGACAAAGUUUGAACUCAUCAAAACAGGGAAUCCAAGCAUUAGAGCCACCAAAGCGGUCAGAAGGAUCUUUGAUUGCAUUAAAGUCUCCCGAUACUAACCAAGCAGAAUCUUGAAAGAGCUCAUCACAAAAGAUAAGAUCAUCCCAAAGAGGCCUCCGACGCACAAAGGUGUGCUCACCAUAUAUCGCAGAAACGCAGCAAGUGAAGUUAGACGAACUCAUAUUUAAACGACCAUGGAUGGCUUGGUCAUUAAGGGAAAUCACAUCAAAAUCAACGGAAUCUGGGUUCCAUCCAAUCCAGAUUCUGCCUCUAGGAGCAUAGUCAUAAUUAGCAGUCCAACGCCAUCCUCCUAGAAUAGAGGAUGAAAUAGAAUGAAAUAGCUGCUCCGGGACUUUCGUCUCAAAAAGGCCUAUAAGGCUCAACUUAUUUACAGCAACAAGCUUCCUAACUUCGGCCCUACGCACAGGGUCCAUGAUUCCUCUCACAUUCUAGAAUCCAAAAAUCAUCAAAAAUGAAUGAGAGAACCUACCUCUGCUUGUAGGCUUUGUGACUUGACUUAGUCGCCUUUGAAGUCUCCGGUUGCAACAAGUCAGGGGGAUCAGGGCAAAUCUGUAAUAGCUGCUCCUGGAUGGAUCCCUCCGCAAGAGCCGAGGGAGCUUUAACAGACUUGUCCGCAGCUGCAUCUUCUCCAGGGGAGAAAUCGCAAAUCUCAUCUUCUUGAGUGGAAGAAGGAGUAGCAGUGGAAUGAUCAACAUCACCUGCAGCUUGUGAGGAACGGCCAGUUCCACCCUUGCCCACAGCUUUCGAGGGUCCUUUGGGGUAUUUCUUUUGCUGCACAGACUCUGAAGGCCUAGCUUCCUUCGGUUUUAGGAAUUGCCCCCCAUCACCCGACGGGGACAACUCAAAUGAGGCCGCAUCUACUGAGAACUGUUGCUUCUUCUUCGGUUUUACCUGUUUCCAGCCAACCUCUCCAGGAUUAGAGACAGGAGGUAACACAGAAUCAGGAUCAGCCUGUAGGCUUUCAGCUUCAUGAGAUCCUGAGACACCAGAAGUCACCCCCAAAGCUGAGAUUCGAGGGUCCACUGCCUCCUAUUGCACAAGCUCAGCAACCAGGGCUGUUUCCUUUACAUGCAUUAUACUGCCCUCCACAGACGGGUCAUAUGCAGCAACCUCUAAAGACCUCGAGCCCUCAUUGAUCUGCUGUGAACUCCCCUCUACCCGAGAACGAGGCAGCGCCUCAUCAACAGGAUGAGCUGCCGCAACAGCAGAAUCCUUGGCUUUUGGAAAAAAUUUCCCUACACAAUUAUGCCCGAAGACACCACAAAUAGCGCAAACCGAAGGUUUCCAUUCAAACUCAACUCCUAUCUCACAUUUUUCACCGUUGUAAGUUGUCUCUAUCACCUCAUCGAAGGUCUAAUUUGCUGCAAUUUCAACACAAACUCGAGCGAAAGAAAGGCUCUUAAGUUGUUCAGUUCGCUGAUCAACAUAAACAGGUUUACCAACCGCACUUGCAACCUUUCCUAUGAAUUGAGCCGACCAACAGGAGAAAGGUAAAUUGGACAGUCGAAUCCAUACAGGCACUGUGGGAUGGUUUUCCUUCCUCAGCUCAAGACCCGGAGUCCACUGCUGGAGGAUGAGGGGAACAUUAGCAACCGUGACACGGCCACCUUCGAGGACAUUCCUGCGAAAGUCUCUGUCCGGAAUGUGGAACAUAAAUAGUCCCUUGCUGUUCGACAUAACUUCGAACAAGUUCGGCCCCAUAGCUUCUUAAGAGCUUCUUCCACAACUCUAAACGGUAACCUACGGCCAAUAAAAUGACCCAUAAGGCACUGAUGCAUCUUUGGAUCAACAGCUUCUAAGUCUUGAUCUGUGAUUUCGAUGACAGGCUUAUUGUUCACUAAAGUAGGUGGUGUAUAAACCAAGUCAUAGCCCUUUGCAACCGUUCGGGCCACAGCCACCCAAGACUUCUGUUGGGGAUUCCUUGAAUUACUUCGGCCAGUAGGCCUCUUUGAACUCGACCUUCCCCUGUUCAUAGGCCGCACAUCUGCAGAUGCUCGGGAUGGUCGCUGGACUUUUCCACCAGAAGGAAUAGUAGCGGCAUUCCGAGAAUCCGAAGGCAAGGUCGAAGAGGGGCCUUCAUCCCCAAUCAAAGGGGAUUUCCCACGGGAACCCAUCCCCUCAUCCGCAACAUGGGGGUUAUCCCCCUCACAAUCCAAACCAGACAUCAAACUCGCAGUAAAAUCAGCGGGCGAAAACCCUAACCACCGAAGCCAUGCGAGCUGAGAGGGAAGGACAUACCAAGGGUCAACGAAAUAGGGGUUCAAAGAGGAGUGGAAGGCGCCACUUUCCACCGAGUAACGGUCGCAAACCACCGGUCAACAGACCCUGGGCCAGAAGCACGAGAAUGCACGAAACAGGAACAGUUCGCCCGAGAGAGAAACCCUGUGAACAGUACUCCGGAUUGUGCAAAUGGCCAAAGCGUCAGUGUCUCUUAAAUAUGUUUUCCCAAGGCAUCCCGCUCAACUACUUCUCCAAUAUGCUGCUUAGCUCAUGGGGUUGAGAAUAUAAUGUUCUUUAAUUGUUCACCUUCCAUAAAAUCAAAUUAAAAAAAUCAAAAUCUUGUCCCGGUAAUAAGGGUUAUCAGUUAAGACAAAUUUUCUUUUCAAGACUUAGUCAUAACCCGUGGAUUUUUUUUGGAUAGAGUUCGAGAGAGCCAAUACGAAAUGUAAGCAACACCUCAUAAUGGGGUUACAUGUGUCUGCCUAGCCAUAGGCUAAACUCUCUUGGUGAUUCAUGAAAUGCUUGAUUCAAUGGUAAUAUUUCGUUCAUAAUGCAAAGAUGUGCAAUCAUCAAAUUUCAUAUCGUAAGUCAACAUUCAGAAAUUCAAUCAAUGACAUUCAAUCACUGGAUGUCGAAUUUUUCAAACAAAAAAAUGGAGUCGGUAUUAUCUAAAAGUCGUUUCUUUAUAGUAUUUGAGAGUAAUUAUUUGAAAAUUAUCACAUAGAGCCUCGGUUCACACAUCGAUGAUGUUUGAGGACUCGUCUUGGACCAUUUGCCUUAGCCGCCCAUUUGGUGCGAAUCUAGAAGGGUCUUUUUAACUCAUCGAGGAAGGCCGCCGGUAACUUCCAGACAAAUGGAACAAAAUAUCCUAGUAAUGGCGAGUGAAAUGCGUCCAAACAUUCAAAGAACAUGCAAUCAUAUAAUAUAAUUCCGAGACGACCUCUUCGUCUUCGAAGACUUACACCAAUUAUUUCCUCAAACUUAGCUUUCUAUUUGGUGCUGAGUCUGAAUGGUGUUUUUUUUUUUUUUUAAUUAACUAAUGAAGGAAGGCCCCAGGAAACUUCCAGGCAAGUGGCACACGAUAACAAAGGAAUGGCAAGUGGAAAAUAUAUACUAAGUUGUCCAAUACGUCCAACAUCUAACUGAACAAAAUAAGAGAAACCUUAUGGCUAAAAAAUAAAAAUAAAAACUUGAUUAAUAUCCCGAGCCUCUUAAGCAGAGUAUAAAUGAGCUCGUUUUCUUUCUGUUCGUGAAUAAAAUUCUAAUUGAAAUAUUUAAGAUUGUGCUAACACGAAGCACAAAAAAAUGGCUUUUUACUGAUGCAUAAUGCUAGUAGGUGGAAUAAAAGCAAGAAUGAAUUGAUCAUGCCAAUUAACUCGAAUCUAGAUCGAACGUAAGAAGAUAUGCUUUGUUUGGCUUAGCAGAAUGGAAGUUUGGCUCCAGCUGAGAAAAGUUAAUCCUAUUUUAAUUUAAUUAGCAUAACAAAAGCAAUUGAAAUAUGCUUUUUCUAGCCUAGAAAUAAAGGAAGAGAUUCCUCAUUCCAAAAACAAAAUAGACAAAAAGAUCAAAGGGGAUCAUCGAUUAUGCUUCCUUUGUGGUCACGCUAAAUUUGAGUGGACCUAACGGGCCAAUUGAAAUAAUCUCUUUUAUGAAUUGUACUGCAUAAAUCAUCUUAUGUUAUUAUAAUCUUAUGAAUGUCUAACUGAAAAUGCACUAGCAAAAGCAUCUCAAUUGGCAUCCUGUGAUUCACGCCAUGAUUGAAUCGCAUAGUUCGAAUUGGAACAAAUCUGUGGCCUUUCGUCUUUUCUUAGAACAUAAGUAGGUCCAUCAUCAAGUCUUUGUCCGACCCUCUUGUGAAGGCAAAGAAAAAGCACUAAAGUGUAUUUAUCUAGUCAAUUCACUUAGUAUGUGUUGGUCUACAUAUAGCCAAAUUCCACAUCAAGUAGACUUGUGUUGGUUGACUCGUUUUCCUUGACAAUCUAAACGCCAGAAAAAUCGGAAAAUAUAAUAUCAGAAAUAUGUUUUCCACGAAACAUAUUUGGAGAAUGGCAACCCACUAGCAAGAACAGCAAAGCGUGUUUAGAAACCAGCAAGCUUGGGUUGAUAUCAUAAAAAAAUCUUAAAAGUCACACCUUCGAGAUUAAAAUGUUUGAAAAUUUUCAACUUUAUUGGAGUCAUUGUGAAAGAGGAGCCACAUUUUCUUCGCAAUUUCCAUAUAAAAUGUCCAAUUAAGCAGACAUGAAUCCAAUGCGAAAUCAAUUAAUAAACAAGCGACAGGGAUGAAUCAAAUCCCGAUAGAAUCUACAUUUGAUUGUAGUAUCAGCAUGCAAUUUUAUUUAGCGAGUAAUUUCAAUCGGCGAGGAAUUUCAUUUUGUCAUCGUUUAAUCUAGUAUCGUAGUGCAAUCAUAACGUGCGAUCUUAGUCGAUAUUCAUUUUCAUGUAACUUUAUCACAAUAGCAAAUAAUUUCGAAGUUACCAUGCAAUCACUAGUCAGCAUAUGAUUUUAUAGCAGCCCAAAAUUUUCAAGACAAAUGUGUAUGUUCAUAGGAUCGUUAUAGGGGAUUUUGGAAGUCUUACACAACUACAACUAUUGUAUAAAAAUUCAAUCCGAUAAAUUACUUGUUUUACGUCAAGCAACUUGAAUUAGUGUCCUGGACAAAGUAACACAGUAAUGGCGAGAGUAGCACGUGAUUGUUCCUCCUAAGUUUCAUUAAUUAUUUCUUCAACUAGUUGGUGCGAGUCUGAAUUUUUUUUUUCCUUUUCUUUUUUUAUAUACAUGAAGGAAGGCCGCAGGUGACUUCCAGGCAAAUGGAGCUUAGUAACAAUGUAAUAAUAAAAUAUAUUUCUGAGAUCACGUCCGACGACGGAUGACUUCCAUCCAUUCUUUCCUCAACUUAGCCUCCUAUUUAGUGCGAUCCGUAUGGCCCUUCUUUUAAGCUUAUGAAGGAAGGCUGCAAGUGACUUCCAGGCAAAGGAUUAUUUCCUCAACCGAGCGAUCUCACUCUGUUUGCGUGGGGGCUUUUAGGCAAAGGAGCAAACUGGACAAGGUAAGGCAAGUUUCAUUAGAUGUUCGUGUUUUACAAAGGAUAGAGGGGAAGAGCUUCAUUUUUUAGUUGGUCUGUUAUACUUGUUUCCGAGACCAAACAGACUUGCCUCUUCAUAGGUUCGUUUCCACUGCCGUUCUUCAGUUAAUUUCUCUGAAUAUUAUCUCUGCUUGUUCAUUUUGCAUGCUGAACAUUAUUUUUAACUAUCGCAACUCAAGCUAGAGAACACCAACUACAACUACCAACUAGAGACUUGAAUCUUAGAGAAGUCCAGCAUUUUGUGGAGAUUUGAUCAAGACGUCCACAGCUUUAUCAAGUUGUUUCGAGGAUCAGACUCAGACUUCCGAGUCACCCAGCGGACUAGAUUAAGAGAUCAAUCACUUCAUCGUCCUCCCAGAAUGAAUAGAAAGAGUGAGGCAGAAGAGAUGGCGGUGCCUGCAGUGAUGGCGAUGGAGGCGGUGACAAAAGCUCCGGCAAGUGGUAGCCAUGAUGGUGGAUCGGAGAGGGGGCUGAUGGCGGUGGCGACGGCAGCACUGGCAAGCAGUAGCCAUGAUGGCGAAUUGGGGAGAGGCUAUGAGGUAUUCUUGAGCUUUAGAGGGCCCGACACCCGCUUAACCAUCGCUGAUUUUCUCUACGAAGCCAUUAAACAUGCAGGGAUCCGCGUUUUCAAAGAUGACGAAGAGCUCCGAGUUGGUAAAGAGAUUAGAGGCAAUCUUUUGCAAGCAAUCAACGAAUCCAGAAUUUACAUCCCGAUUUUCUCCAAAAAUUAUGCUUCAAGUAAGUGGUGCCUCCGCGAGCUCGCACACAUAGUGAAGUCAUCGAGAGACGAUGCUGAGAAAGUGAUACUUCCUAUAUUCUACGAUGUGGACGCGGAUGAUGUUAAGCUAAAGACCGAGUUAUAUAGGCAAGGCCUCCAAAAGCACGAGAAUGACUCCGGGAAGGAUACGGCAAAGCAGUGGGAGGAGGCUUUAAAAGAGGUUGUCAGAAUUAAAGGAUGGAAUCUAAAAGAUUACGGGUACUGUUAGCUUUUUCUGUUAAGUUUAUUUCCAUUUUGUCAAUUUCGAGAUUAUUUUCUAUGGUACUUUUUUCCAGAAUAAUAACUUUCAGUUUGCUGCUGUUCAAUCUUCUUUGAUGUAUGGUUGGAUCGGACGCAGUGAGGGAGCGAGAAAUUUUGCUCUGGGAACAAGGUUUCUUGCACAAAUUGAUUUUUCACUUUUACUCCCAAGUUAUGGUAACAAUAAUGCACAUAUGUGUGAAAAAGAAAAUUUUAAAUCUCUUAACUUCCCAGCUUAUUUUUCGGCUAGCAAAAUAUUUCAAAAAAACUUUGGUCGUUGCUCUUGCUUUAAACAUGGACCUAUUCACGGCCCCAAACCUUAUUUAGGGCACCACGGGGUGAAGAUUUCCUUUGCCUUGUGACCAUCCUAGUUUUAAAGUUCUCAACUUUUAUAUGAAACUACCAACCUUAAUUUGUGUCUUGCCAACUUCUUUUCGAUUAUUUUACAAACUAAUUUUAGGUUACCGGUGUUUAUUUGAGUCAUUUACUAGGUUUAUUUGAUCGUUUGCUGACUUAACAACUUUUUAUAAAACCUACCAUCUCUUAUUUGAAUUGUGUACUUCACAUUUCAAAAUUACCAAUAUUUGUAACAAAUUACUAACCCUAAUAUGAGUUUCAUACAAACUAAUCUCUAAUUAAGUUAAGAACUAAUUUAAGUAACCUACUCUUAUGUGAGCCACUUAUCAAUAGUUAAUUUUUGCUUAAAAAUUCCCAACUUUCGUAACAAACUUUUGUUAACAACUUACCCCCUUUUAUUAGCAUAGUUCACGAACAUUCUUACGUUAGGAACUCUAUUAUCAAAUUACCAAGUAUAAUAUGAGUAACUUACCAACUUAUUCCGAUUAAAUUACUAACAAAUUUAAUGUGAGUGAUGAGAUUGCUAACUUAAACUAGUUGGUAGAUUAUUCGGAAAAAUGAUGGUUGCAUGUUAUGUAUGUGGCAGCCAAUAUAAACUUACAAAGCUCAUGGUGGAAGAGGUUUCAAAUUUGCUAUGGACAAGACGAACGGAUAUGUCUAAUCAUUUGGUGGGAAUUAAGGAUCGAAUGGAUGACAUUAUGAAGCUACUAGAUCUAGGAGCUUUUGAUGUACGGUUUAUUGUGAUUCACGGUAUGGGUGGCAUCGGAAAGACGACACUGGCCGAGGCCGUCUUCAGGCAAAUCUACCCUCAAUUUUGGGGUAAUUGCUGCUUUCUUAAAGAUGUUCGAACUCAUGAUAUAAUAGGCUUACAAAAGAAAUUGAUGUUUGACGUUCUCAAUCUUAGUUGCACAAACCCCUUCUUCAUUGAUGAAGGAGUUGACGUGAUCAAGACAAGGUUUCUUGGCAAGAAAGUCCUCAUUGUUCUCGAUGACAUUGACAAUUGGGACCAAAUCAUGAGGCUUGCAGGUGAGACCAACUGGUUUGGUGGGGGUAGUAGAAUCAUCAUAACAACAAGGAAUAUUGAAUUCUUGGUAAAGGAAGGUGAGGAUGACAAUCUCCCAAUCCCUAAUAGCGGACAAUUUUCAUUCUACGAUAUGCCGGAGAUGAAUUCACAUUAUGCUCUUGAACUUUUCUGUGAAAGUGCCUUGGGAUGUGCCAAGCCUCCGCUUAGUUACAUGGAUAUCACAGAUAAGCUAAUCAAUGCACUAGGAGGACUUCCAUUGGCUCUCAAUGUCGUAGGUUCCACGCUCCGUGGAAAAUGCCCAAGUACAUGGGAAAACGCCCUAUGUAAGUUAAAGAAUGUGAUGAAUGAGGAUGUCAAGAAGAAGCUGAUGAUAAGCUAUGAAGCAUUGGAUCAUAAUCAACAACAAAUUUAUCUUGAUAUUGCAUGUUUCUUCAUCAACGAAAAGAAAACAAUAGCAGUUAAAUAUUGGGAUUCAAUUUUUGGGUAUUCGACCGAAAUCGAGGUCAAUAUCCUCAAACGCAUGUCUUUGAUAAAAAUAUCCAACAAUAAUAAACUAUGGAUGCACGACCAACUUAGAGACCUUGGAAGGAGUAUCGUCCAUCCAGAAAGUGGUGAAAUCCAUAUGAAGGGUACAAGAUUGUGGUCUCCCAAGGAUGCCUUUCAUAUAGUGCGGACAGAAACGGUAAUCUUUACCUCUAAAAGUUUUCUAGUGCAUCUAUUAGCAUCAUCACCUUUUUGAUCUAAUUUCAACUCAAACGAACGUAUGUUUUCAUUGGUUGCUACUUUUAUUUUCCAGGGAACCAAGGACGUAGUGGCGCUCAAUCUUGGUACACUUGACCCCCAUAAGACAUACAUAUUUAAGCGCAAGCAAUUCACGGGCUUGGUCAACCUUAGGUUCCUUCAAUUGAACCAUGGAAAUUUUGAAGGAGACUUUAAGAAUGUUUUCUUUGAGUUGAGAUGGCUCUCUUGGAGCAAUUGCCCUUCGAAAUUCCGAGCUACCAACCUUGGGUUGAACAACCUAACGAUUCUCAUGCUAUCAGGGAAUAACGUUACUGAAGAUUGGGGAGGAUGGUGUCAAAUCAUGGUAUGAUCUCACAACAUAUUUUUGCAUUACAUUUACUCUUCCUCUUUUCUAAGUUUCAACCAAUUACUUUAUAGGUGGCAGAACAAUUGAAAAUCCUACAACUCGAGGACUGUCCAUUCCUUAGAAAGAUGCCCAAGUUCUCCACAAUCUCGCAGCUGGAGAAAUUGAUUCUGAGAUGCGUUCAACUAAGAAAGAUUAACAAGUCCAUCGGCAAUCUACAACAUCUUGAUUACCUAGAGAUAAAGAGUGAAGCUAUUGAGUUUCCAUCGGAGUCCAUCGGCGGUCUAAAAUCUUUGACAGUGCUAAGAAUAGAACGGACACCCUCAAGGAAGCCUCACUCGAUUGGCAUUUUAGCAAAGGUGAAGUCUCUAAUCUUGUCAUGCAAGGAACUUCAAAAGAUUCCCGACUCUAUCGGACAAUUGGAGUCACUACUUGAGCUAGAUGUCCAAUAUUUAAAAAUUAGUGAAUUACCUCAUUCUAUUGGAAAUCUUGAAAGGUUAAAAGUUUUACGCAUACAGAAUUCCUAUCUAGAAAAGCUACCAGACUCGAUUGGAAGGCUCCAAUCAUUGGUCAAGUUGGAUUUGAGCAAGUCAAGACUUAGGAGCUUACCUGAUUGUAUUGGAAAUCCAAAAAGUUGAAGGUACUAAAUCUCAAUGAUAGUUGCAUAAGUGAACUUCCGAAAACCAUAGGAAUGUUGGAAAAUCUGGAAAAGUUAAAUGCCCGCUCUGAACAUCUGGUGGGGGAAAUUCCAAGUGAAAUUGGGGCACUAACCUCAUUGAAAUAUCUAGACUUAUGCCAAGGUCGCUUUAGUGGAUUGCCCACAACGAUCAAUCAACUUACAAAUCUCCAACAACUUGAUUUACAAUACUGUAAUUCAAUCCAACAGCUGCCAGAGCUUCCCAAGAGUCUAACGUUUUUAACCCUAACAUCGGAUUCACUAACCACGAUCCCCGACUGCUCAAACCUAACCAAUUUAGUUGACGUUACGAUAACUGGAUAUUCAAUUGAAGAACCCAACACAGAGGGGAUCGUGAGACUACCUGCUCUGAAACGAAUGGUCCUCCGCAUUGGAAGAAUGGCCUUGCCUCCAACUGAUUUUAGUUCCCUCUCUCAGCUACAACACCUCUCCAUAAAUUGUGCUGAGCCCCAAUCUCUUAUCGGGCUCCCAUCCAGCCUUCAAUAUUUGUUGUUAUGCAAUGUCCAGUCACUGAUAGAUUGGUCAGUCUUUUCCAACUUGGAGAAUUUGUCAAGCUACAUAUUGGUGGAUAUUCGCUGGGAGAGAUUCGAUUCGAGGUGCUUGGAGAGCUACGGAAAUUCAAUGAAUUGUGGAUGUCCAAUUGUCCAUUGCUAAAGACGCUGCCCCUUCUACCUGGUCUAAAGGAGAUCCAGAGUUUGACCCUAGUUCAUUUCCCUCGGCUAAUUGAGAUUCAGGGUUUGGGAGAAUUGAAAUCAUUGCAGGUUUUGCAUAUCUGGGAAUGCAAUUCCAUCAAAAGCUUAAACGAAUUUGAUCUUUCUAAUCUACAAAAUCUGAAAAGUUUGACGUUCUAUGGAUGUAAAUCAUUGGAGAGGGUGCUUGGUGUGCCAAAAUCUUGUCAACUUGUGGUGGAUGAUUGUCCGAGGUUCAAUAGAGAUGGAUAAGAUAUGUAUCAUUUGAUUGGCAAAGAUAGUCGAUGAUGGUAAGUCCAUAGAACUAGAGUUCAUUUUUUGUUGUGUCCUGUUUUGUGAGUUUUCCUUUAGCUAACCUUUCAUCUUAGUUCUGGAACCACCUCUUGCAUUCGUUCAUCUUGUUGUCUCUGAGGGAAAACCUCUUUCAUGUAUCAUAAAUGUGUGAUACUUUGACUUGCCUACUUGACAAUGGUGAUACCUAGCUAGUUUAUGUUGCGCACCAGCAUAACGUCGGGAUUGACAUGCUUCGCGGCACCUAUUUGUUUAGAAAAAAUGGAUAAAGUGGAAGGGAACUUUUAGAUAGUAAGCACACUAAAGAUGCUAACAAAUGCUGGAUUUUGUUGUAAGGCUGAGGUGGUUGAGACUUGAGAGUACUGGUCUCAUCUUAUGGAGUGUUUUUUUUAAAUUAGUAGAGAACAAUCAUGAUUUAUGAGGACUGAAAUAAAGGAAUUAUUGCUUGGUUAGCGGAAGAGUGUAUCGUUGAUACCUAUUAUGCAAUAUGAGUGAUUUAGUUAUUUCCUUCAUGAAGAAUUGGAGGUGUUUUGCUUGUUACUUCUGAACUGAAGUGGAGAAGCUUCAAGUCUUGAGUCACGGUGUGAUUUUGUGAACUAUCUUUCUUCAUUCUAGUAUUUAGCCAUUUAUGCGUGAAAUUCGUGUUGGGAGACAAUUGAUAUUGGAGUAAACUUGUCGAUAUGGUCAAGCCACCAUUUUGUUGAAGACUAGGUUUAGCUGCAUCGAGUUGUGCAUUCUGCAAUUUCUGUUGUUAGGAAAGAGGACCUUUGGGUCGUUGAAGACUAGAUUUUGUUUAUUCUUUCAGCUGACCUAUUGCACCUUUCCUCAUCUCUCUCUCUCUCUUUCUGCUAAUAAUGUGGUUACUGUUAACUUGUUAAAUAAAUCUGUUUGAUCUUUGUGUCUAUCAUUUUUACAUUUGCUGAUAAAAAUUUUUUUUACAAGCUCCUCCAGGACCAUGGUGAAAUGUUCUUUUACAUGAACGUCUAGGCUUUGGCAAGACAUAUUGUAGGUGCUACGGUAACGACUUGUUCUCUUCAUCCAUAUUAGUAAAAGGGUGAGCUAUGGGAUAGUACAUUGGUACUUUUAAGCAAGCUUGUACAAGGCUUUCUUUUCAACUNNNNNNNNNNNNNNNNNNNNNNNNNNNNNNNNNNNNNNNNNNNNNNNNNNNNNNNNNNNNNNNNNNNNNNNNNNNNNNNNNNNNNNNNNNNNNNNNNNNNUCAGCACAUUGGCAGCAUUGAUUUUGUGAACAAACUAGAGAAAUUUUGAAUAUUUGAGAGUACUAGCAAUUUUAAAUUACAGGUUGGGAUAUAUUCUCGAAGGCAACAACUAUAGCACCUUAACUUCUCUUUUUUCAUGAAUUUGAUUCCAUUGUGCUGAUGAGGAGGCAUGAUAAUACGGGGGUCACUGACCUUGUCAUCAAUCAGUUAGUUGCUUGCAUUCAAUGGCACUUGUAAAGUGGUCAUGUGAAAUAUAGUUGAUGGUAUGACUCACUAAUAGUAUGUUAUUCAUUGGUGCAAAUUUUUACUGAAUCAAAUGGUGUUGAAGUUUUAUGCGGUGUGUUUGUGUCAGCAGGGACAAGGUAAUAAUUUCAUCUUACAUGGUAACAAAAAGUACUCUUUUUCCAUAUCACACUAAUUGUAAACUGCUGUUGGAAAUUGCAUGGCCAUUAUGAAUGCUUUGCCAAAAAAAUUUCUAUGAAGCAUUUAAUAUGGAGACUACGUAAUAACCUUCAAGGUAGACUAUUAAAUGCUGGACAUGACUUUCCUUGAUUUAGAAUUGUUUAACUUUGGAUACACAGUAUUAGAUAAACUACAUAUGUAUCAAAUAAGGAAACACACGGUAGGAUUGCUUGAAUUACUUUUCAGUUGCUGAAGUAGCUUACAAGAAGUGUAUUAAACUGGUCUUGAGCCUCUUCAACAACAUCAACGGAUGUUGAUCGUUUUAGUUUUGGGUGUGCCAAAAUCUUGUGAGCUCAUCAUCAUUGACUGCCCGAAGCUCAGUAGAGAUGGAUAGGGUAUGUAUCAUUUGAUUGGCACAUAGUUGAUGAUGGUAAGUCCAUAGAACUAGAGUUCGUUUUUUUGCUACGUCCUAUUUUGUGAGUUUUCUUUCAGCUAAGCUUUCAUCUUAGUUUUGGAACCACCACUUGUAUUCAUUGAUCCUGUUAUCUAUGAGCAAAAUUCCUUUUUUGCAUGUCAUGAACAUGCGAUACUUUCACUUGCCUCCACGGUGGUGAUGCUUAACUAGUUUAUGUUGCGCAUCAGCAUAAUGUUGGGGUUGACAUGCUUCGCAGCACGUAACUUGCUUAGAUAGUAAGCACAUUGAAGUUGCUAACAAAUGCUAGGUUUUGUUGAGAGGCAAAGAUGGUUGAGAGUACUAGUCAUACCUCAUGUAGUGUUUUUUCAAUUUCACUGUAGAACAAUCAUGAUUUGUGAGGAAUGUAAUAAAGGAAUUAAUGCCUGGUUAGCGAAAGAGUGAAUUGUCGAUACCUUUUAUGCAGUAUGAAUGAUUAAAUUACUUCCUUCUGAAAGAAUUGAAGGUGCCUUUCUAGUUACUUCUGAACUUAUAUUAUGUUUGUCUAGUUGUUUGCUAUUUGUUCAUUCCCUCCCAUCUUAAAUUACCAAACAGAGUUAGGGAAGAUGUUGCAAAUCACCCAAUAAGGCAUUUACGUUCUUGAAUUCUUAUUUGUUGUGCCGAUGACUUCUAAAUCCUUUGCUAUUUUCAAUUGGGUUUGCAAAUUUGAUAACUCUGACUCAUUGAUGAAUUAAAGAAGGGAAAUACAAUAAUCUUGGUUGAUCUCUUUUGUAUAAUUUUUGUUUCCUGCAGUUCCAUAGAUUGAAUUGGGAUUUUCUGAUGCUGCACAAUCAAAGAUCAUUGUCAGCUUUGCUCCACAUCUGAUUCCAAUGGUUAUAGUUGCAAUUUUCAAGCAUUCACAUUCUUAAAGUAGAAGUUCUGCUUCUCUGGCCAUAAUUAUUAACUUUUUUCAUCUAUUUAUGUAAAGUCCUGGAAUGCAGUCAACUGUUGUUGCUGAAAUGUCUUAGGGUGUAAUGGUGGGGAUCUAUAUGAGCAACUUAAAGUUGUUUGCUGGCCAAACUUUGUUUGGCCAAUAGUCCUAUUCCUCUUAGGCAUUCAAUGGCUUAAUGUAUUGAGCAUUAACCUUAGCUUUUGUUUGCUGAAGUAUUUUUCAAUACUCAUAAUUAGCUUAAUCAAAGUACAUAAUUUAUUUCACCCACAUCUAGAUAUUGUUUUAUGAGUGUCUUUCCUAAUUGAGUAUCUAGACGAGCAAUACUAAUCUCUAUUGUAGGUUCCCAAGUGUCGGUUUUCCAUUGAAUGCUUUACUUUCCGUGUAACGUCAGAGUCAUCUUAUGGUGGUAAGCUAUCUAAUUUUUUUUUGCAAAUCAACAAUGUAGUGAAGGGAGCUUGUGGUCAAACUCUGCAAAAUUUCAGUGAGAUGAUGGUAUUACUUGAGAUUGUGGGGUUUAACUGCCUACCAUUGUUUCCCUGAUGCAUUCUUGUGGAGUUCAAGAGUUCUUUUGUUUCAAAAAAGUGACAAAAGAAAGGUGGAAAUAUGUCUAAUUUAGGAGUUCUUUUGUUUUCUCUCUUUUUUUUUAAAAAAACUGUUUCAUAUUGGUUGUUUUGAAUUUUUCACUGAACACUUAAGGGAGCUCAGAGCUGGUGGUACCAACUUUCGUGUGUCCUUUUAUUCGAAUAAGACAAUGCUUCCUUCCUAUUGUAAUAUUCUUUGGAAAGCAAUAGUUUAAUUGCUAACACACCAAGUGGGAGCAAACCUUUUAACAGAGUUAUUUAAACUAGAGUGAAUCUAACAAAGUUGAGGUAAGAAAUUAAUCGUACAAAGAGUAAAUCAUAAUGUGAGGUCUAAAGCCAUCUUCCCUCAAUGUAAGAUUGAAAGGCUCUCUUACUUCUAUUUCUCAACUAACAAAAAUGUCAAGAUUUGGAUUGGAUAUGACUCAAUUCUAUGGUCACCAUCUUAUCUUCAGCUCUUUAACAGAUCCAUGUCCUAAGGAGAUUUAGUCCAAUGGCAACAUAAUAAGUGGGUGACCUAAGGAUUCUCAUUGACUUUGCUAUAGCUAGUAUCGAUUCAUAUGCAUCAUUCUUUUUUCUUUUUGUAUAUUGGCUACUUUUAAACACUCCCAAGGCAAUCACUCGUGGAAAACCUAUGGUGCCGAAUGGUCCCAUGUGGUUUUCAUCUUGUAAGCAGCUAAGCUAAUAGCCCUUGCCUUCUUUGGAUAGUCCUUCCUUGUCUCUUUCACACCAGCUAACUUGUGUGUUCGACAAUCUUGUUCUCAUCUGGUCACCAGUCUCCAUGCAAGUGGUAAAUUGUACAUUCUAGUACUUUCUGCCAUCAACAAAGUUUCCUGCUUGUGUGCUGUUAUUUUGCAUAUCUCUGUAGUGCACAAGAAUCUGCUAGAUUUAUUCCGCACCAUUACUCCUUCAAAAAAUCAACUAUGAGGUAGCCAGGCAUCUCAGCCUCUCUACCAAAACACAGACAAAGCGCACAAGUAGUACUAUGUCCUGCCUCCAUCUAUCUCUGCACUGAGGUUUACUACCUCAAAUAGGCUACAACCUUUAACUCUUUGAUAUUACAUAAAUAAGGUGUGCUAUCUCUCUCAAUAUGAAAAUUUAGGAUUUGAAUUGAUCAAUCAUUUCAAAUUGGGCCACCUUGAUGCAACAAUUACUUCACCUCACCACUCCAUUCAGCCACAAAGAUGUCCUCUUUUUUGGGCUCUAGUUUUUUUAUACUCAAUUAGGAACCUGCAUAAUGACGGAAGCAAACUGGCUUAUUGGAAAGGUGCUUUAUACCAAGGUGACCCUCCCAUAUUUCGACAUUCACUUCUCCAAUCUACAAGUCUGUACUCAGAUAGCUCACUGGUUGGAUCCGAAAUUUUCUUUGAGCCCCAGAGGAAUGGUUAGAUGUGCUAUAGCAAAGUGGCUUGUGAUGGAGCAUGUGAUUAUGUGUGUGCAAUGAGCAUGUGUCUAUACCACUGAAAGAUUGAACCAUAGCCUCAGAACUAGAAUUUAAGAUUGAAAUUCAAGAUGAAAGCUUCACGGUGCAUGUAUUUUAACUGAGUGUUUUUCCAAUGCGGAGUUCUUUCUCAUUCUAUGUGGCACCCCUCGAUGGCUCCCAAUCCGUUAGGGUCACCACAGCCUGCCAAUCGGUUUCUCUCAAAAGAUAUCCGUUACUUGUCUUUUAUAAAAAAAAAAGGGGUUUUAAAGAAGGACCGAGGUCCUUAGGCAUUUUUUUUUUUUUGAAAACGGUCCCAGCGCAACUUAUUAGCACAAGCAUAAUUGAGUCUUACCAUCUCUCCUUCCAAUAACCAUAAUGCAAUGCACACCAACUACGCACCAUAAGAAAAGAUGAAGCCGAACCACUUUUAUUUAUAUAUUUUCAUGAUGGAUUUCUCGGGUCGGUACAGCCAAAAAGAAAAGCCAAGACUUUUAACUACACUUGGCCACAACCCAAAAGAUAUCUUGACCCCUAUAACAAUCACGUGUCAUCCUCCAUCUAUCAGUGUCGGCUACUCUCAAAAAGAAACGUCAGCUCUCUACUCCUCACGUAGCCAUCACACCCAUCCUAGCGCGUCGGGUGGUGGUGGCGGCAACAUCCCCCGAAUCACUCCAUCUCGGCGGACGUGGACUGACAAAACUCCUGAAUGACCGGGCCCCCAGCCAGGCCCACAUCAUACAUGACCAGCAAGCGAACUCGCACAAACGUCAGACCAAGGAUGGUAACACAAUCAAUCUCUGAACACUUGACCUCCACAUCAGAAGGAAGGCCGUAAAAGGUACCCGCGUGACCAGAGAGAGCGGCAUCUUCCUAAUCUGAAAUGUUGGUCCCCGAAGGGGUGAGUACAGCCACUCAGCAGGUAAAUGACCCAAUAAACUACUCAAUGCAUCACACAAUACAAUCACAACAUCAUAGCAUAGUACAUAUCAUCCAUGCAUCCAAGCAUAACUUACCUUGCAACCAUGCAUAUGUCAUCAUACCAUAUGUGCAUACAUCCUCAUGCACUCAUCACCAAGCUUUCAUACAUAUACCAUCAUGCCAUAGGUGCGCAUACAACCAUGUACUCAUCAUCAAGCAUCCACACAUAUACCAUGCCUCAUGUACGCAUACCAUCAUGCCAUAGGUAUACAUACAACCAUGCACUCAUAAACAUUAUAUCAUACAGCCAUGUAUACAUGUCACCACACCAUGCAUGAUUCAAUUUCCACUUUUUAUCUUUCAAUUUGAUCAACACAUCUUUCUUUCCCGGGAUCAGUAAUUGCAUCCCACAUUUUAUCACUCGCACCCCAACUUGGCAUCGCGAGAAAAACCUCCGGCACACACCACCGGGCAUCCGGCACCCCCACAUUCCGGGCAUCUCAUAUCCCAACUGGCAUCACAAGUCAUCCCCCGGGCACAAACCUCCGAGGCUUCCGGCACCCAACCAUUUCGGGCAUCUCGAAACUCCUGAGGACAUCCGGGCAUGUAUCACAAUACAACCGGGCAUCCGACACCCCCCAUCCCGGGCAUCUUGACACUCCCAGGGCAUUAUCGGCUCACCCCCAACAGUUUCAUCAUUCAUCAUAAUUCAUAUUCACCAAUUUAUGUCUCACAAUCAACAUGGCACAUGAUGUAAUGGCAACAAAGUCAAAUUCAGUUUUUGAUGCUAUAUGCAAUGCUGAAUAUCAUCACAUGUGCAGCAAGAUUUAAUCACUUACAACAAUACAAUUUAUGGGGCUCAUGCAAAACAGAAUAGUCAAUGCAUUACAGCCCUUGAAAUCCGCACAAUCCAGCUUGCACAGUUUUAGAAAAUAUUUCCAUUAAAUACCCAAAUGACCUUUAAAAAUUAUGAAAUUCGAACAUGUGAUAGCCAAGACAUAAAGGCAGAUAUUUCAUGAGGGAAACUGCACCAAAAGACCCUCAUAUCAUACGGUAUAGACCGAACAUCACAGCACCAUUAUCAUAACCACUUAACUUGCACAAUUUUCGAAACAUUUUCAGUUAAAUAGGCAAAUGAACUUAAAUAAUUAUGAAAUUUUAAUAUGUUUCCGGGAAGAAAUAAAUAAAGAUACUUCAUGCAGAACACUUUGCCGAAAGAGCUUCAUAAAAAAUGAUAUGGCCCACCCAUUGAAACUGAUUAAGUCCGAACGCGUCAGAUUACACGAUUUUUGAAAUAUUUCCGAUUGAAUAUCCAAAUGAUCUUCAAAAUUCAUGAAAUUCGACUAUGUUGUAUCCAGGAUCCUAAGGUAGGUUUUUCAUGAAGAAAUCAAAGUCAAAUUCGUUCUAGGUGAUUUAAUAUAGACGGUUAAAGCUUCUGUUUCACUACCGAAGUUUCCAGAUCUGACUAUUUCCGAAAAACUACGAUUUCACCUAUCUAUUCUUGUUAUUUUUCUCUAAAUUUUUUAUAUGUUAAACCUCAGGAUGUCCUUUACAUCUUUUGUUAAGAAAUAAAAGUGAAAUUUCAACAAAAAGAUAGGCUUACAGACCAUGCAUUCAUUUAAAGGUAGUUACCGAAAUCUCCAGAUUCAGUCUCUCCGAAAAAAUAACGAUUUCACCCACUUAUACUUAUUCGUUUUGUCCCAAAUUUGAGUAUGUUAUAUUUCAAAAGUCCUUAACAACUUUCAUUUAGAAUUCAUGGCCAAAAUCCAACUCAAACAACACAUGCAAGCCAAUAGAACAUCCAAGGUCGAACUGUUUCCUCAAGAACAAUUUACUAGUCUCAAACAUCCCUCUUAACACUUCAACUUUUAACACCCUAAACAUCCGAAAUCUAUCACCAUUCAAGCACACAUACUAGGCACAACGUGCAAGAGCAGAUUAAGGAUCCCAACUUGCCUCUAAACCGAGCAAACAGCAAGCACACGGUGACGAACGACGGACGCACGGCGGACGGUUGAUGGACGAUCGGCUUCCUUCUUCUUCCGCACGCUCACUCUCCCUUUCUCUCUCAAUUUCUCUCUUUCUCUCGGUAACCCUCUCUCUCUCUCUCCCUUCUCGGUCGACACCCCCCCCCUCUUCAUCAUCAAACGGUUCUCUCAAGUUUUCCUCUCCUCAAUGAUGAACAAUCAUUGAUUUUGCAUGAAUGACACUUGGACUAAGGGGGAAACACUUGGCAAAAUCUUCAUGCAAAAAGAGUGGGCCUCUCAUGGGCCGGUUCUUCCUUGGUCGACGGCCCAAUGGGGCUCCAUCCGACCGGGCUUGAGGCCAGCUUGGCUGACAGCUCCUCCUCCUCCUUUGGGCUUUGCGGCUAAGCCCAAAUGGCUGAAGGGUGGGGCUUCUUGUGGGCUGGUCUUGAGCUAGAAUUUUGGCCCACACCUCAUCCUAAUAAUCCUCCUUAAACCUUAAUUUUAUAAACACCUAAUUGGAAUUUAUAAUUCACAAAACUUUGUGACCUAAUUUAAUAAAUUCCAAUCCAUAAUUCACAUGGCCAAAAAUAGGAUUUUCCUAUCAAAUAAUUAUUCACCAAAAUCUUGGCCAAAGUCUCAAUGCAAGACAUGAAUUAGAGCACCCCUAAAGAUUGGCAAGGAAUUCUAGGAUGCCACAUUCUAUUCCCUUAAGUUCUUUUUACUGUCAUUAAAACACCAAUUUUGUACUCUACAGGAUCUCUUUUUCAUCUGGAAUCCUUGACAUUCUAUCAAUCAUCUUUCAUUUGUGAUGUGAACUUAAAUUUUCUCAUAAUCUUAUCUUGCUAGAAAAUUUGCAGGUUAAAAUGUCUUCUUGCUCAUCGAUGUUCUCUUGGCUGAUCAUAUCAGCCCUUUUAUCUUAACAAAGCAGGUAGAGGAUAUGGUAGUCUUAUUCUUGCCAUACUAGGAACUACUUUUGGUGCACUUGACUAAAAAUGGAAUAUUCGAUCGUCUUUUUUCCUUCGCAAAUGCACUUCUGGAAGCAAUGUUCCUAAGAAUCUGAGCUAGUGCUUUGAAGAACCCAUGUGAUCACAAUAAUUGUGCGGUGGUUUUAGAUUUGGACACCUGAAUAUCACCAGUAAUAUUAUGCUUUGAUGUUUGAAGGUCCUAUUAAAAAGCAAAAUGGGGUGGGAUUACUGUAUUGGGCUAUAAUACCUAAGACCAUCAAAACUUCUAAAACGCAGAAGAUAAUAAUAGGUGCCAAACUGACCAGUUUUUAUGGCUCUUUAUUGUGGAUGCAGGCACUGCUCGCUGAUUUUGAAGUCUGUGAAGGCAUAUAUUCACGAGCUCACAUCGAAUAUAUACUGAUUUGGUAUGUUUAUGGCUUGGAGCAAAUGUUAUGUUGGAGUAUUCAUGCAAAGAGGUACUCGAGUUAGAGUAAUGUCACUUUAUCUCCAAUAAUUAUGUCAAGUAUCUUAUUGAUUGCAUUAUUCAUGUUGUAGGCCAUAACUCUUCUACAAAAGAACCUAGAAAAUGCUAAAGCAAAGUUUAGAAGUUCUUGUUGCUGAUCUACAAUUCUUAAGGGACCAAGUAACGAUCACGUAGGUAAGUCGGAAUUUUUUGGGAACUUGGAGGUCCCUGCUUGUUUCAAGUUGUUUACUAUGUCAGUUUGGGGUUGGUCCAUUGUUGUUAAAUUACUGUUGUUGUGGUUUUUGUUACUGGGUUGAGGCUAUAUAUUGGGAAGACAUGUUAAUUUGUGACAGCCUGGAGGGUAGUAAUAUCGCACUUAUGUGAACUUGAAAAAAAUUGAAGGUUGUUGUAGGACAGUAUUCUUUAGUUUUGCAACUUGAAUCAAGCUAGCAAGGGUUAGAUGACAAGUGAUUUUGGUUAGGUUUAGUAUGAUUUGCUGCAUUACAACAAGCUUGCCAUGUAAAACAAUUUUGAUUAAGAACUUCUUGGGUUUGAGUUUUCACUUUUAUGUUGUGCGCUUGUUUUGAGUUGAUAUAUGGUCUAUCUGUUUUGUCUUGUUUCACCUUGGUCAUGCGUGUUAGGAAGAACUAAUCUAAAUUUGAAUUCAGGGAAAAACAUGGGGAGAUUUAUUUUUUGCCUGAUAAGGCAUUUACAUUCUUGAAUUCUUAUUUGUUGUGGUGAUGAUAUGUAUUUUCUUUUUCCUUUGCUAAUUUUCGUUGGGUCUAGGAAUUUGAUGAUUCUGACUCCUAGAUGAAUUAAGUUAGGCAUAUGCAAAACUUGGGUUGCUCCCUUUUGUAUAAUCUUUGUUUCCUGUAGUUCCAAAGGAUAUAACUGGAAUUAUCUGAUGCUACACAACCAAAGAUCACUAUCAACUUUACUCCCCAUCUGAUGCGAAUUGUUAUAGUUGCAAUUUUCAAGUGUUCCCAUUCUUAAAGUUGAAGUUCUAGUUCUCCAGCAAUAAUUAUUAGCUUUCUUCAUAUAUUUAUAAAGAUCCCUAGAAUGAUGUUGUCACAAAGCUGAUUAGAGAACCCGCAGCAAAUAGUAAGAGAGAAAGAAGAAGAGAGAAGGAAUAGAGAAGAGGAGAAGGAGAAUGUGAAAGAAAGAGACAAAGAGGGGCUGUAGAUUUCUGUAGUAACAGAAACCCUACACCCAUUGUAUUUAUAUUGACUAUAAAUUGCAUAUGACAAUAAUACCCUUAUGUAAGUCAAAAAGGAAAUAAAACUCUGAUAAUAAAGGAAACUUAAUUAAAGUACCUUAACACUCCCCCUCAAACUGGAGCAUAUAGGUCACCCAUGCCCAGCUUGGAACAACCAGCAACAAAAACAGGAUGAAAUAAUGCUUUGGUAAACAUAUCAGCAAACUGAUCUCUAAAGGCAACGUAAGGAGUAGCAACCGGCUUCUACUUCAUAGCAUCCCGAACAAAGUGACAGUCAACUUCUAUAUGCUUAGUUCGCUCUUGAAAAACAGGAUUCUCAGCAAUAUAAAUAGCUGCUUGAUUAUCACACAUCAUAUUAAUAGGUUGAUUAAUCGAAAAUCCAAGCUCCUGGAGAAGAGAUUUCAACCACCACAAUUCGGCCACAGUAUGUGCCAUAACACGAUAUUCAGCCUCUGCACUAGACCUGGCAAUGGUAGUUUGUUUCUUGCUUCUCCAAGUAACCAAAUUACCACCAAUAAAGGUGCAAUACCCAGUUGUAGACCGUCGAUUAUACGUUGACCCAGCCCAAUCAGUAUCAUAAUAGCCAACCAGAGUGGAAGAACCAUUAGAUUAUAAAUUAAUCCCUUACGAGGAGAGCUUUUAAGAUAUCGAAGAAUGUGACAUACAGCAUCCCAAUGAGCCUUCUUAGGUGACUCCAUAAAUUGACUCACCACACCAACAGCAAAAGAAAUAUCGGGACGUGUAACAGUAAGAUAAAUUAGUUUCCCAACUAGAUGUCAAUAUGAUGUUGUCUCAAUUUCACUCCAUCAUCAACUCCAAACUUUUGAUUUGGAUCCAUAGGAGUAUCAACUGGCUUGGAAGCUAGUGUACCUGUCUCAAACAAAAGAUCAAGAACAUACUUUCGCUGAGACAAAUUAAUACCUUUUUCACUUCGUAAAACUUCAAUACCUAGAACAUACCUAAGAGUUCCCAAGUCUUUAAUCUGAAAUUGCUACUGAAGAAAGGACUUAACCUCAUAAAUGCCAGUCAUAUCACUACCAGAAACAAUUAUAUCAUCCACAUAAAAAUGACCACCCCCGAUUCCUUCUUGCGAACAAAAACAGAAUGAUCAUAAUAACAUUGAUGGAAACCACAUCUGGAAAUCACUGAGCUGAAUUUUUCAAACCAUGCUCUUGGAUUCUGUUUCAACCCAUAAAUGGCCUUAUGUAGCCGACAUACUUUACUACGAUUCUCCCCCUGAGCAACAUACCCAGGAGGUUGCUCCAUAUACACUUCUUUAGACAAAUCACCAUAAAGAAAAGCAUUCUUGACAUCCAAUUGAUAUAAUGGCUCGAAAUUCACAGCAAGAGAAAUAAUAACACGAACAGAAUUGAAACGUGCCACGGGGGAAAAAGUGUGGCACCCCUAGACGGCCCCCGAUCCGUUAGGGUCGCCACAGUUCGCUCUACCUUUCACUUUCCCUAUUAACAUGUCACUCUGAUACCAUUUCAAUUGCAGCGGGUCCAUACAACUUAGGGGUUUACAUUUUUUUUUAUCGGUCCCUUGCGCAAUUUAUAUGCGGAAGCACAUCCAACAACUCCCUUCCCUAUAUUCAGAAAACGAUGCACACCUACUAAACAUCUUACAUAAGUUAAAACCGAACACGUUUAUUUACAUAAAGUAGAUGGACAUCUUUAGUCAGUACAUCGAAAUGCCAAUGUUUCUAUACUCGGCUAUACUUCAAAAGAUGACCGACAUAUCCUCCCACAAUCGUAUGCUUAAGGUCCAUCAACCAGUGUUGGCGUCUAAAGGUUCCCUCAUUUGCUAUCCUCCUCCUCACGGUCACAUCCAACCGUUCAAACCAUCUACUAAUCUGAAAUGUUGGUCCCCAAAAGGGGUGAGUACAACCACUCAGCAGGUAAAGGAAUCCAAUAACAACUCAAUGCAUCAUGCAAAUCAUACAUGGAUUGCAGGCGUUACUUACCUUGAAGCCAUGCGCAUACUAUCAUGCAUCAUCACCACAGUCAUAGCACAUACAUGUGUAUCAUCAUGUCAUACUCAUAUCAUCGUCAUCAUGACAUUCUUAUAUUACACACAUGUCAUCAUCAUCAUAUACAUUACACCAUCAUACCAUACACAUGUCAUCAUCAUCAUGUCAUCAUCAUAUCACACAUGUCAUCAUCAUCAUGACAUCAUCAUAUCACACAUGUCAUCAUCAUCAUGACAUCAUCCUCAUCAUAUCAUGCAUAUCACCAUGCCAUAUCAUAUAUCAUCAUCAUAUCAUGCAUAUCAUCAUGACAUAUCAUCAUCAUCAUAUCAUGCAUAUCAUCAUACAUAUUUCAAUUUCAAUUUCUCAAUCUCAUCUUUCCAUAUUGGACUGCCACAUUUCUCUUUCUCGGGACCAAUAUUUGCAUCCCACAUUCAUCACUCGCGCCCAAUCCUGGCAUCGCGAGAACCAUCCGGGCAUGUAUCCAAGAUACAACCGGACAUCCGGCACCCUCACAUUCCGGGCAUCUCGUAUUCCAACUGGCAUCAUGAGGCAUCCGAGCAUGUAUCCAAGAUACAACCGGGCAUCCAAAGGGCAUCGACUCAUUCGAACCUCUGGGCAUCUCGCACCCCACCUAGCAUCACGAGGAAUCUCCGGGGCUCGCCAUGAAAAUGGUUACCCCCUACCCUUCAGGCAUGCAUCAUGAUACAAUCCCUCACCCUUCGGGUAUGUAUCAUAAUACAACCGGGCAUCCCGACACUCCCGGAGAAAAGCUCUGGGCAUGUAUUCAUAAUACAACCAAGCAUCCAAAGGGCAUCAACUCAUUCGAACCUUUGGGCAUCCCGACUCCCGGGGCAUUGUUGGCUCACACCUCCGAUGGUAUCAUCAUCCACCACAACCAUAUCCUCAUUUAACAUUAUUCAUGUUCACCAAUUUCGAUCUUAAUUUAGCAUGGCAUAUGAUGUAUUGGCAAUCAAUCAAUCAUGUUCAGCAUUUGAAUUCCCACAUGCAUCUCAAUGCAUACAUCAAGACCUCAUCACACAUACUACAUGGUGAAAUUAUUUAUAAAAUAUAAUUCAUGGAAUUUAUGCCAAUUAAAAUAAUCCAUUUAUCAUGCCCUUUUUUACAUUUAUUUAAAUUCCAGCUUGUGCCAUUUUCAAAAAUAUUAAAUUUAAUUAUUUAUAUAAUCUCAAAAAUCAUAAAAUUAAGGCAAGUAAUAAAUAAGACAAUCGGGUAAUGAUUUCAUGCAAAAUACACGGCCAAUAAAAAUUUCACACAAUUUCAUAAUUCACACAAAACAUCAUAGAAUUUUCGGAUGAAACCAGAAUGCACGGUUUCCAAAGAAAUUCGAUUAAAAUAUCUAUACGGCCUCCAAAAAUUACGAAAUUUUACCGAGUUAUAGCCAAGACAUUUUCAUACAUCUUUUAUGAAAACUUACAAGCCAUAUUAUUUUUAGAUUAUUUUAUACAGUCUCACGAAGCUUCUGGAUCUAUUACCGAAUCGUCCAGUGCAUGCUUCUCCGAAAUACUGAGUUUUUACCUACCUUUUAUUCUUCGUUUCCUCUGAAAUUUAGAUAUGUUAUACAUCAAGAUGUUCUAUACAAGUUUCAUGAAGAGAUCCAAGUCAAAUAACCACAGUAUAGUCGUCAUUUAAGUCCAUGAAGUCUCGGGUGUCCCAAAAUACACCUCCAGAAUUACCGUCUUCAAGAUCUAGCCGAUUUACUAGGUUAUACUUGUUUAUUUCACUUCAAAUUUUAGUAUGUUGUAUUUUAAGAUGUCCCCUACAACUUUCAUGAAAAAAUCGAAGUGAUAUUCUCAUCACAAACCAACAUGCAAUCACGAAUCCAGCAAGAGGUUAGUAAAAACUCUCCAGAUCUGAGGUCUCCGUAGGAUGAGACUUUAACCCCUCAAAUCUCCAUCAUUUUCCACUAAAUUUCAGUAUGUUGUAGUUAAAGAUGUUAGCAACAACUCUCAUGAAGUAAUAGAAGCAAAAAUAGGACUCUAAACAUGUAUGCAAGCUCUCACAACAUUCUGACUCGAGCGGAUUCAUGCGAAAACAUUCCAGAUCUGACAUCUCCGUAAGAUGAGAGUUUGACUCCUCAAAUCUCCAUCAUUUUCCACGAAAGUUUAGUAUGUUUUAGUUUAAGAUGUUGGAUACAACUUUUAUGAAGAGAUCAAAGCCAAAAUCGGACUCUAAACAUGCAUGCAAGCUCACACAACAUUCUGACCCAAACUGUUCAAGCGAAAACAGCAUGCACUCAAGAACAAGCCAUCCAUACUCCGGUUUUCCUCUCCUAACCACUCAAAUUCGACACUAUAUCAACCAUACAUGUAACAAACACACAUGCAAGAGCAGCAAAAGACCCCCAACUUGACUCUAGACCACACGAACGACGGCACACCGGCGAUGGACGAACGGCGUGCGGGCGGCGACGACUCCUUCCUUUCUCUCUUCCUCUCUUCCUCUCUUCCUCUCUUUUCUCUCUCACUCUCUUGGCCGAAUGAGGGAAAUCCGGCCACCCUCUCUCUCUUCCCUCUUAUACCCCCAAAUCCUCAUGAUUACUUGCCUACAAACCAGCCAAUGCAUGGCCUUCUUCCCUAAGCCAAUGCAUGAGAGUCUUGUGCCACUUGUCCUAUGGAUUUUUGGGCUUGGGCUUUUUGGGCCGGCCACUAUUGGGCCUCCCUCUUGGGCUGGUCGACAGCCCCUCCGUGGGCCUAAUUGGGCCGACUAGCUUGGCCCAUCAAAGGCUCAAGCUAUUGGGCCUAAGGCCCAACCCAAUUAAAAUCAAUUUUACCCCUUUCUUAUUCUUUCUUUUAAGAAUUAAAUUACUAAAUUCCACAUGGCCAAAAUCUUGUAAUAUUUUACAUAUAGGAAUUUAAUUUAUGAGGUGCAUAGCCAAGCAUAGAUUAUUAAUUUAUCCUAUAGUCCUAAAUUCAAAAUUCAUAAACACAAGCACAAUAACACAUAGCCUUAAGAAAACUAAUGGCUAACACAUAGACCAUAGGUAAUUUCAUUACCUAAUUAUAGGCUUUAAUUUCUCUAGAGGAUGACUUGAAUUUUGGGAUGCCACAAAAAGUCUCAAAAUAAUCCACUCCAUAAGUUUGAGUAAAACCUUUAGCAAUGAGCUAAGCUUUAAGACGCUCGAUUGAGCCAUCCGGAUUGUACUUGAUAGCAUACACCCAACAACACUUCACCACAUCUUUCCCAAGGGGAAAAUCAACCAAUGACCAUGUUUGGCAAGACACCAGAGCUUCCAUUUCCACAUCCAUAGCUUUCUUCCACUCAAGGCGAGACAAAGCCUCAGUGGUAGAAGUAGGAAUUGUGUGAGUUUGUAAUGAUAGAGCAAAGUCAUGUAAUGGAGAAGGAAGAUGUGAAAGAGACACGUAACGCUCAAUAAGGUAAGCCAAAGAGGAUUUUUGUGUGCAAGACUGAGUACCUUUGCGAAGGGCAAUCGGAAGAUCGUCUGGACUAGGAGACAAGGAGGAAGAUUGAUUGGAGGGCAUUGAAGAGCUAGAGACUAGUGGUGCCAUAGACUGCUUUCGCCGUUGAUACACUUGCAAGGGAGGAGAUAUUGGAGAAGGACUAACGGAAUCUAGGGGGAUUUGUUGUGGGAUAGGAGGAUCAGCUACAAUGUCAGUUGAAAACUCUUUACCCUUAGUAGAAUAGUAUGGUGUGCCCUCGAAAAAAGUAACAUCAGCACUAACAUAUUGGGUAUAAGUUGUAGGAUCAUAACGCCGAUAUCCCUUAUGUGUACAUGAAUACCCGAGAAGAAUACAUUUAGUAGCAUGAGGAGAUAGUUUAUCAUAACCGGAACGUAGGUUAUGAACAAAGCAAACACACCCAAAGACACGCGGGGUAAGAGAGAAUAAUGGCUUGUUAGGAAAUACAACACCGAUUGGUGACUGAUGAUUAAGGAUAGUGGAAGGCAUACGAUUUAUGAGGUAACAUGCGGUAAGGACAACAACAUCACUCCAAAAUGAUUUUGGCACAUUCACAUGAAAUAAGAGUGAACAAGCAACUUCUAGAAUGUGACGGUACUUUCUCUCGGCCACAACUUGUUUGAUGUAUAAUACCAAGACUAGAACAAAACAAAGAAAUUGAUUUUUGUGUAUAUUCUAGAGCAUUAUCUGUUCGCAAAAUUUUAAGGGAUGUAUUAAACUGAUUAGUAACCUCACGAUGAAAUAAUUGAAAAACAUGUAAAAAUUCAGAGCGGUCAUGAAGCAUGUAGAGCCAUGUUAAACGAGAAUAAUCAUCCACAAAAGUAACAAAAUACUUAAAACCAUUUCUACUAGUAAUACGAGAAGGUCCCCAUAUGUCUGAAUGAACAAGUUCAAGUAAAGUAGAUGCACGAGAAUCAUUACGACUAGGAAAAGAACUACGAUGAUGUUUCCCAAGUUCACAAGCCUCACACUCAAGAGUAGAAAUUGAUUUACACUCGGGAAUUAUUUGUUGUAACUUAAAUAAAGAUAAAUGCCCUAAACGAGAAUGCUAUAAUAGGGGGGUAAUAGAACUAGCAGCUAGACCAUUGGUGUCAGCAGUAGAGACACCAUUUAGAUAGUAGAGUCCAUCACGUUCAUGCCCUCCACCAAUCAUCUUCUUUGUCUGAAGGUCCAGAAAAACGCAAUGAGAUGGGUAAAAUGUAACUAAACAACUAAGAGCUUUAAUUAACUGACUAACAGAUAACAGAUUUAAAGGAAGUUGGGGAACAUGUAAAACAGAGGACAAAGAUAAGGAAGAUGUAAGUGAAACAAUCCCUGAUCCAACCACUUGAGUCAAGGAACCGUUAGCUAAAAUAACUUCGGAUGAAGGACUAGAGUUAGUGUGGGAAGAAAAUAGUUCUUGCUUACCCGUCAUAUGACUAGAAGCUCCCGAGUCAAUGACCCAAGAGGUGUUAGGAGACAAAGUAGAGAAAGAGGCCAUGUUACAUGUACGUGCAAGAGUGGCGGUGGAUGAGAAAUUGGAAGCCUCUAGUUGUUGAACACGCUUGAUGAGUUGUGCAACCAUAUCAUCUCAAGCUGUAGACUCAGAAGAACUACCCCCAGGUGGGAUAGAUGAGUUCAUGUCGCUAUAACACAUCUCGAGCACUCCCUUCAGACAUUGCAGUAUUUGCAGUAAAUAAUCGUUAAGCCCACUCAGGCUUGCCAUGCUUGGCCCAACAAGUGUCAACAAUAUGACCGGAUUUGCCGCAGUAUAUACACUGAUGGCUAUCUCGACCAGAACUUUGUCCACUACGUCCACCACCACGACUAUGACCUCCCCCGAAACCAUGACCUCUAUUGGAAAAUCCACAAAGACCAUGACCACCACUACUAGCCACAAAUGUUGAAUGGUCUUUAGAUGACGUAGAAGACAGAGGGACAAUGCACUGAAUUCGACAAAAUGCUUCAUUCAUAGAAGGAACUCUCUCUCCAGCAAGAAGUUGACUCUUCAUAGGCUAUAAGUCAGCAUUCAAGCCAGAUAAAAACUUGGCCACUUGAAAUUCAGCUCGUUGUGUCUUAAUUCUCUCAAGGUCAGUAGUGAUGGGCUGAUAAAGAUUGAGUUCUUCCCAUAUACCUUUCAAAGCACCAUAAUACUCUCCAAGAGACUUGUCUCCCUGUUUAAAAUUAAAGAUCUUCUCAUAUAGUUCAUAAACUCUAGACAUAUUUUUGUCUUGUGGGUAACUCUCCAUAAGAUCAUCCCAUACUCCCUUAGCAGUUGUGUGGAACAUGACAUUAGCAGCGAUGGAUGGUUCCAUGCUAUUCCAUAACCACACCAGAAGUGUAUCAUUCUCUCUCAUCCAAUUACUAUAGUCUCUAGAAUUUCACAGCUUGGGCCCAUAAUAAGUAAUUGGAGGAUCCAUUUAAUUUAAUAGUGGUAAUUUGAACAUUGACACUAUCUGUAGGAGGCUUAGUAUCACUCAUGAUGAUAAUCUCAAUAUAAAUAUAUCUACCACUAAUCAAGAAGGCUGAAACUUUAGUGUAAGAAACAAAACAACAACACUAAUGUAUAAUCAGAUGUAAUUGGCUCCAUCAAUUAACCAAAGGGAUGCAAUAGAGUACUCUGAUUCUUGAAUCCACUGAUCAAUAAGUGUUGUAAUCCAUGUUCACAAACCGAACCUGAUGAAUUUGAUAUCUUCUGAUCUCAUAUGUAUCAAGAGUUGAAGAGAAAACAGACAAAAAUUGCAGCUUUAGGUGGCUACACACCAGAAAAGAAUUAGGGUUACUAGGGGACUCUCAAACCAGCAAUAGGAUCAAGUGAUCAGGUAGUUAGAUCUGCUCUGAUACCAUGUCACAAAGCUGAUUAGAGCACCAGCAGCAAAUAGUAAGAGAGAAAGAAGAAGAGAGAAGGAAUAGAGAAGAGGAGAAGAAGGAGAAUGUGAAAGAAAGAAACAAAGAGGGGCUGUAGAUUUCUGUAGUAACAUAAACCCUACACCCAUUGUAUUUAUAUUGAAUAUAAAUUGUAUAUGACAAUAAUACCCUUAUGUAAGUCAAAAAAGGAAAUAAAACUCUGAUAAUAAAGGAAACUUAAUUAAAGUAACUUAACAGCUGUCAACUAUUCAUGCUGAAAUGUCUUUAGGUGUAAAGGUGGGGGAUCUAUAUGAGCAACUUAAAGUUGUUUGCUGGGCAAACUUUUUCAGGCUAAUAGUCCUAUUCUGCUUAGGCAUUCAAUGGCUUAAUGUACUGAGUAUUAACCAUAGCUUUUGUUCAUUGAAGUAAUUAUUCUCUAUAUUCAUAAUUAGGUUAAUCAAAGUACAUAAUUUAUUUUAUAGACCUUGGUAAGUCAGUCAAAUAGUAGACAUUUGGGGGACUUAAACUUGGAAGGCCCGUGACUUCUUCUAUGUUCUUGAGUGUGCGUCCCUCAUACUUCAUGCUAUUUGAUUGCUUAAAUCACUUUAUCUUGUUGGAUGAAGAAUUUGUUAUUUUGUUAGGAAAAGGACUUGUUCCCCAUACUCAACAUGUGCGAGGAUCCUAUUAUUGUUUUCUGAGUGUCUUUCCUGAUCGAGUAUCUGGAUGAGCAAUACUAAUCUAUGUAGUAGGUUCUCAAGUGUCUGUCUUCCAUGAAGUGCUUGACUUUCCAUGUAACGUCAAAGUCAUCUUUUGAUGAUAAGCUGUCUAAACCUUUUUUGCAAGAUUGACAAUCUAGUGAAGGGAGCUUAUGGUUAGGCUCUAUAGAAUCUUCACUAAGAUGAUGGGAUUACCUGAGAUUGUGGGGCUUAACCACUCACCAUUGUUUCCCCGAUGCAUUCUUGUGAGUGAGCUAAAUUAUGCAUGGAUUUUGUUCAAGAAAGCUUGUAUAACUGCAUUGGUUGUGUCUCAGCUAUAGCUUUUGUUUAUUCUUUCUAGUGACUCAUUACACCUUUCCUCAUCUUGCUCUCUCUUUAUCUCACUAUGCUAAAAUGUGGUCAUUGUUAACUUGUUAAAUAAACCUAUUUCAUCUCCGUUUCUAUCAUUCUUAUAUUUGCUAAUAAAAUGUUUUCAGGCAAGCUCCUGUAAGGCCAUGGUCAAAUGUUCUUUUAAGUGGACAUCUGGGCUUUGGCAAGACACACAUUGUCGGUGCUGCAGCAGCAACUUGUUCUCUUCAAUCCGUAUCAGUGAAGGCUGAGCUGUUGAAUAAGUACAUUGGUACUACUAAGCUAGCUAUAAGAGGCUUCUUUUCAACUACAUUGAUGCUGAUUGAAUUCCAUUGUGCAAUCUGGUAUUAUACUUUGUUAUUUCCAAACAUUUCACAUUUUUGUGCUUUCUUCUGUUGCUUUUGUAUGCAUUUAAUAGAGUCUCUUCAAGUAUGCUAGCAGUUGAAAUAGGAUAACUAGCGGCAGCAAUGAGGAUCCUCCCAUAACCACUAAAAAGGCCAAGUUAAAGCGGUUGAUGAGUUUCUAACACAUGAAUGAGAGGAUCGUCUAUGACCAUUUGUUUAAGAGAAAGAUUAAAGAUGUAAAAUAUUUGAAGAUUUUUCUUUACUAAAAAUUUGGAAUUGGUGAUCAAAUGUCAACUGGGUUUUCUAUUUUGCAAAUUGAUGGCAUUGAUUUUGUCAGCAAAAGGGAGAAAUUUUGAAUAUUUGAGAGUAAUGGCAAUUAGAAAAUACAGGUUCUGGAUAUAUCCUUGAAGGCAGUAGCUGCAGUCCUUGCUUCUCUUUUUUGAUGAAAUUGAUUCCAUUGCUCCAAAGAGGGAUAAUAAGGGGUUCACUGAUCAUGUUAUUAAUCAAGUCAGUUUCUUGCAUUCAUAGCACUUAUAAGGCAGUCAAGUGAAUAUAUUCAAUGGUAUGACUCACUACUGGUAUGUUAUUCAUUGGUGCAGUUUUUUACUAUAUUAGAUGGUGUUGAAGUUUUAUUCGGUGCAUUGCUGUUCGCAGAAACAAGGUAAUGAUUUCAUGUUACAUGGUAACAAAAAGUACACUCUUCCAAUAGCACACAAGCUGUGAACUAUGUGUGAACUACUAUUUGAAGUUGCACAGCCAUUAUGAAUGCUUUAACAAACAUUUUCUACCAAGCAUUUAGUGUGGAGACUAUGUAUUAACUUUUGAGGCAGACUAUAAAAUGCUAGACUUGACUUUUCCUUGAUUUAGAACUGUUUAACUUUGGAUACACGGUAUUGGAUAAGCUACACAUGUAUCAAAGAAGGUAACAAAAGAUGGGAUUGCAUAAAUUUUCAGUUGCUGAAGUAGCGUAGAAGAAGUGCAUUAAGCUAGACUUGAGCCUCUACAACAGCAUCAAUGGAUUCUGAUAGUCUUGUGACAUCGAGCAUAGGGCGAUUUCUCAUAUCUGUUGUGACAUCUUUGUGGCAUGAAGUGAUCUUUUGUUUUCCUCAGGAGUCAUGAGUUCAUCUAUCUCUGAAUAACUCCAAUUCACUUUCCUUUCUUGGGAUCCUUUUUCUUUAUUUUAUAUUUGUCUAGUUAUGUGCUCUUAGUUCUACUCGAGUUGCAUUUGGUGUGAAGCGGUAGACCGGGACUUACUUGAUGGUGCAUUUCUGAGACCUAGCAGGCUUGAAGACUUCUAUUCUGUGAUUUUUGUUCAAUAAUGGAGAGGCUAGAUAUCCUUAAAGUUUUAUCAAGGAAGGUAAAAACUUAGCUUCCAUCCAUCUGCCAGUGCUUGCUUUUAACGUUUCAUCUGUGACAUGGUCUGAAACUGGUCAUACAGAUGGAAAUUUAUAUGAUUACUUGUUAAAAGAACUACAUAUCCGCAAUCUUACUUUUCAAGAAGAUGCAUCUGAAAGAUUACAUAUGAACAGAGAAUGUUGGAUCCUGUUAAGUAAGAGCGCUAGAAACAGAAUCAAUUUGAGCAGCUGAAGAUCCUGCUUAGAACUCGAGGCAUCUGACACAAUACUUUUAGAAGAAAAUGUUGAAAAAGGGUUGGAUCUACAACCCGCUUGGGUGAGGCUUAGAUAAGUUUAGAUGUCCAAUAGUAAAUCACCUUCAACCUCAACCUCGGAACUUGGAACUGGUAGAUUUUACACCUAUUGAUGUUGCUUAGAAAAAUAUGAAAAUGGCCUUUAUAGCACAGGACAUUGACAUCCCUCUCUCUCUCUCUCUCUCUCUCUCUCUCUCUCUCUCUCUCUCUCUUUUCUUUUCUCUUGGAACUAAUUAUGAAGAUAUUGGCAAAUUCAUUUCAUUAUAUUCCUCCAAUUCAGUAUAAUGAGGCUGUUAAAAUGGCAACAAUUGGGCAUCGCUGAAGUUUUGCUGAGUGUCUGCUUUAAUUCCCUUUUGCAGCUUCCUUUGGCCAGUGAUGUGGACUUGGACGCCAUAGCUCAUGAUCUAAUCUGUCUAAUCAUAAUCAGCGGUUCUUUGAGCACUGCUUUCAGAUUCACAGCUGCAAGUGGAGAGAGAAAUCAGCAUGGGAAAUAGCCAGUUAUAACAGACUCUUCUGAAGUUCGCUUCAAAGGCGAGCCAGUCAAUUUCAGAUGCUGAGAAGAGAAGACUCCAUACAAAUAUUUCUCAUUCUUUGUCUAUCAUCUCUCCCCAAAACUACAAUUGUGCAUCUCUGAUCAGAAAGUUCAACCGGGGAUUCUGGUAGUUGCUUACUAUUGCAUCUUUGUCCGCCAGUAGAUCAUUGAUUAGCAUACCUCCUCCGAAUAGUCUACCUGGUCUAAUGGCUUGUAGGACUGUCAAUUUUUGUGAUCCAAUAAUGUCAGACAGCUUAAUCCUUGCAGUGACAUU